rnacentral:lncRNA from 1 species
GCAUAUCGGGUGAAAUGGAACAAAUCACCACCACCACUCCAGCAAUCCCAAGACUCCUUCGAGCCAGAGGCAUAUCGGGUGAAAUGGAACAAAUCACCACCACCUCACCAACAAUUGCAAGACUCCUUGGAGCCGGAGGCAUAUCGGGUGAAAUGGAACAAAUCACCACCACCACUCCAGCAAUCCCAAGGCUCCUUCGAGUCAGAGGCAUAUCGGGUGAAAUGGAACAAAUCACCACCACCACACCAACAAUCGCAAGACUCCUUCGAGCCAGAGGCAUAUCGGGUGAAAUGGAACAAAUCACCACCACCACUCCAGCAAUCCCAAGACUCCUUCGAGCCAGAGGCAUAUCGGGUGAAAUGGAACAAAUCACCACCACCACACCAACAAUCGCAAGACUCCUUCGAGCCGGAGGCAUAUCGGGUGAAAUGGAACAAAUCACCACCACCACUCCAGCAAUCGCAAGACUCCUUCGAGCCGGAGGCAUAUCGGGUGAAAUGGAACAAAUCACCACCACCACUCCAACAAUCGCAAGACUCCUUCGAGCCGGAAGCAUAUCGGGUGAAAUGGAACAAAUCACCACCACCACUCCAACAAUCCCAAGACUCCUUCGAGCCGGAGGCAUAUCGGGUGAAAUGGAACAAAUCACCACCACCACUCCAGCAAUCGCAAGACUCCUUCGAGCCGGAGGCAUAUCGGGUGAAAUGGAACAAAUCACCACCACCACUCCAACAAUCGCAAGACUCUUUCGAGCCGGAGGCAUAUUGGGUGGGAUGGAAGCAACAUGCGCAAGGUGAUUUGAUUUCUUGUUUUUUUGCUUGCUCGCCGUGAUGAAUCCAAAUUUAUUUCUUGGGAUUAACUGAACUAUACCAUUUCAUGAUAACUCACGGAGGAGGCACCAUAUGUACAUCUUGCAGGAGAAACAGACGUUGCUGAUGGGACGACGCCAGCACGCGGCCAUGGCCUGCAUGUCGCGACCGGGAUGCUUUUCACGAGGAAGAGCUUGCUUCCAGGGACAGCCCUACCGGAAGGCACCAGGUUCAGCGGCCACGGCUUCCCCGAUCCGCAGAGGUUCGCGCUACGGGCAGACGCGGACGCCAUCCCCUUCAGCUACAGCCAGCUCGACGCGAUCCUAAGGAUGUUCCGGAUCCCUCGAGGGUCCAAGAAGGCGGAGCAAGUCGCUGACACACUCCGGGCAUGCGAGGCCGAGUCCUCGGACGCUCAUGCCUGCGCCACCUCCGAGCAGGCGGCGGCGGACUUUGCUGCCUCCUCGCUCGGGGUCAGGGCCAGCGACCUGGUAUCGGUCGUCACCGCCGUCCACGGGGGGAAGGACGCCACUAGGUACGUGGUGGCGCCCGACGGCGUCACACGCAUCGGCAAGGCGGCGGGGGCCGCGACCGCGGUGCCGUGCCACCCGAUGCCGUACCCGUACAUGGUCCAUUACUGCCACCGGCCGACGGACGUGGAGGCGCUCCGCGUUGAGCUGACUGGGCUCGGAGACGACGGCGCGACCAUCGCGAUCGCCAUGUGCCACGCCAACACCAUGAGCUGGGACGACCGCUACUUCCAGAUGUUGAACGCGACGCGCGGCGAGGAGAUCUGCCACUUCAUGCCGUGGAACUAUGUGCUAUGGCUGCCGGCUGCCGACCUUCUAGCGAAUAACUAGGAUCACCUUCUAGGCGGGUGAUACACCGUCCAUUCUAAAAUGUAAAAAAUAAAAAUAAAAACUAUAUACAUAGUUUUUUAUUAUGCACUUAGAUAUGCGUUAUAAUUAGAUAUAUAAUAAAAAAAUAAACGACUUAUAAUUUAUAAUUAUCAUCCAGAACAGAGGACGAAGAUCUAGAUCACAAUUUUUAACGAGUAAAGAAAUAGUAAGAACCCUAAAAUUACACAUUCCCGAAGAGUUGUAUACUCUUUUUUUCUGAUAAGGACGAUCACAAUAUCAGAUAAUCUUGUCACACAUUUAAUGUUAUCUAAACUUUCCUAUUCUUUUCUCUGCUCUUAAAUCUCUAAAUUUAAAAAGUCUAGUUUUGAUAAUCGAUGAAUUCAUUGACCUGAACCACUUUUUAGCAUAACUAGAAAAAGAAGCUUAAUGUCACAUAUUUAAUCGGGCGCUGUAUGAGUCACGUGGACAAUUUCUUGAAUGUGAUCUAUGCAUUCUUUUUCUAGCUUUCAUAUUUAUGUCAUCAAACAUAUUGUUCAAAUAAAUAAACAGUAAUAAAAAAUCUGAAGCAAUUACUGUAAAACCUCAGGUGUUUAUAUUCCGCUCGACAACGAGUAUGAAUUUAAGCACGUAAUAUCAGUGGAUAAAAUGGACGCUAAAUUUUAAACAUCUUCGUCUAUCGCGAUUUUAAUAUCGCACAUGUUUCGUGUGUCGCGAGUUCGACAUCGUUUUUAUUUAUCCGGGCUCUUCCCAAAAUUUCACGAUGUUCAGAACAUUGUUGUUGUUCCGAAAAUCGGUACGUCCGGAGAUUAUUUAAAAUUCAUCGCUCGCGCAUAUACGAAUUUGGAAAUUUAGUCCAGCCCUCCGAUUUUCUCCUAGAACGAAUUAACUCGAACUCGGCGAUAGAAAUGAUGCAAAAUUAAAUCGGACUACACCUGGAAUCCAAGAAAAACCGGGCGUAGAAUUACAAACUGAGUCGUUUCCUAGUCGACUCCGAUAUCGUUUAGCUUAAUCCGUUAACAUCAGACUAAAACUCAAACCUUGGUAAUUUAAUCUAUUCCUUACCAGAUAAAUUUUUGUCUGACUUCUACGUAAACCAAAGCUGAAUACAAUAUUGAAGUGGAAAUCAGUUCGAUUCAUAUGGUCGUUUCUCGCCGGAUUCAAAACUUCAGAUAUAAAUAACUGAUUAAAAUUCAUAUGAUUCCAAAGUAUUCGCCAAAUCAAAACCAUGUCACAAUUACUGUCGACUCAUUUUACAUUGCUAAAAAUCGUGAUUGUAAAAAUAUCUGCGAUUUUUAAGAGAAGAAAAAUGAGAAAAUCUGAAAAAUCUCCUCCACACUGCCUUCUCUCUCCCCAGAUUUUCCCCUGCCGCCGGCUUAUCUCCAGCACGCGCACGCACGGAAAAAUCGCGCCGCCCCAUCCUGAUUUUUCCUACAGCGCACGCCGUUCUUAUCUUCUUCACGCACACGAUCUCUCUGGUGCUUAUCUAUCUGCCGCUCUUCUCUGGUGUUUAUCCCAGCCGGCCAAGCUCCCUAGUGCCCAGCUCCACUGCUCCCAUGGCGUGCGCCGGUGCCAGCUCGAGUCCCUCCCCAGCCGCGUCUCCUCCCCUCCUGACAUCCGCUCUUCUUUCUUCCUUCCCCGGCGCCAGAUCCCAGCUCGCAGAGCUUCCUCUGCGCGGCAUUCCUGUGUCCCGAGCUCCCUCAGCCAUGGCGCGUUCUCCCUGCGCGCCCAGCUGCUUCUCUCCCUCCCUCUACUUCUUCCUCGUUGCGUGCUCAUCUCCCUGCGUGUGCUGCCGCGAGUCCUUCCAUGGCUGCGCGCGAAGCCCUCUGCUCGCCGCGCCCUGGAUCUCCUGGCCACCGCGCCUGCUUCCUCUCUCCCUUCUCGGCCUCUGUUCCGAGCUCGCGCCCAGCUUCCCUGUGCGCGCUUAGCUUGGAGCUCUCGCAGCUCAGCUCGGGUCUUUUCCAUGGCCGCGCGCACCUCAAGCUCGGCUCUCUGGUGCCGCGCGUGCCUCUAGUUCGCCCCUGCUCGAACUGCGUUCGCCCUGCUGCGCGUGUCGAGCUCCUCUGUUGUGUGCGCGAAGUUCUCUGUUCGCCACGGCACGUCGAGCUCCCGCGACGAAUCCUUUUCAAGCUCGCCGCGACGCCCGGCGUCCUGCCUGCUUUGCUCACCUCCGUCGGCUACUCGUUGGUGCUCCAACUCGUCAGUUGUCGUUAUCCUAUCAGCGCCAGCACGCGAAUGUGGUCGUGUUCAUCGUAUUCGCCAACGCUCUAUUGCCGAUUCGACUAUCGUCGCUGGUGAUAGUUUUGCAUGCUGUCGUUCGUCGACCUCGCUGAUUGUCGUCUAUCCCCAUCGCAUCGUCGACCUCGCCUAUUGUCGUCGUUCGUCGUCGCGUCGCGUGUGCAGCUCAAUAUACAUCACCCUCAUGUAUCUUCGUCGAACCUGUCAUCCCCUGCUUGACUCCCAAGCAAACCCCCUGAUCCACGUCCUGCUCGCCGUCGACUCUCGACACCACAAGCUCGUUUUCCCUUGUGCACAUCCCCAUAGACCCUAUCUCAUCACGCGUGUGCGUUAUCGAUCUCGUCGUCGUUUCAUGCAUUCUCAAGAAAUACAAAGCGCCGGGUGAAGACAAAGCUAGCCGCGUGAUAUUCACCAAGUGCACGACAAAAAGCUCGAACAAGUCGUCAAUCGUCAUCCUCGUCUACACCAAUCCCCAAGCCGUGAAGACACUCUUGUGCUGGCCACGCGUCACCAGCUCGACAAAAAGGAAUCCCAUGGGUAUUUGGUCAAGAAUAGAAACUGUGUGCCUCGCUCGCCACACGUGUGUGAUCAAUGACGUCGACCGGAAACCGUCAUCGUGCUUCCGACUAUCGCGUCAAAUUAGUCAGGGUAAGCAAAUUUGUUAUUCGUAUUAGUGGAUUGAUGGAUGGUUUGACUAGGUAUAGUAUUUAUUAGAUUGCCUGAGUCGCUUUGGUAAUAUGGUCGAUGUCGUAGGAUGAAAGAGGUCUCAAUAGGUCUCAGUGUUUGUGGGACUGUAGGUGUUAAAAAUGGGAAGUUUUAUUAAUAUAUAUGAUACACAGGUUAACCGGUAAAUUAGUUUAAAAAGUUAAGGAAAGUUCUUCUAUCAAACUUUAUAAGUGUUAGGUGUCCAAGAAUUUUGAAGUUAAAGUUAUAAGUCAUUUAGUGUGCUCUCUAAACUAGGUACGAUAUUCUAUGUGUGCUAGUCGAUUUCAUGAUUUGAAUGGAUGUUGAUUGCUACUUCGAAUAUUUAGGAUCAAGUAACAUCGAUAUAUUGUAGCUAAAAAUGAUAGAGUGUGUUUAUAAUUUAUUAUUUUAUGACUAUUGCGCGUAGUCGUAUAUCAGAUAACUAGUGUUUCCAUAUAAAAUUGUACAACGCCUCGCCGCUAGGUGUUAAAUUCGCUAUCGCGUAGCACUAUUUAGGAUUGUAAUAUUCUUGUCUAUAUGCAUUCAUGUGCAUAAUGCAUUUCAUUCAGGUACGUUAAUUAAUCGCGUGAUGCGGAAGACGAGUCAAGUCGACCCUAAGCGCGGACUACUCUGCAUGGUGAUGUUGAUGGACGAACCUGCCUAAUCAAGUGCUAGGACCAGGAUGAUCGUCAAGUGGACAUCGCUUAACAAACACUAACCUAGUGUUAUUCAGGCAAGCCCCGGUGCAUUUGCCACCUCCUUGCUGUUUUAAAAUAUUUAUUACCUUGUUUGAUGCAUUAGGUGAUAGGAGUUGUGUGCUAAACCGUUAAUGCAUUUCCUUCCUUGAAAAUUUAUUACCCUUCCUUGACACCCGUUUUGAAAAGAAUUUUAUGAUGCUUAGCCUUGCUUUAGCAAACAAAAAUGUUUUGUUUUAAAACAAAAGUGAUGCUUCAGUGGGUGGGAAGUUUUCAAAAAUAAAACUUGAUGGUGGAUCCAUCACGGUCGUGAUGGGUACAACAUCAGAAAAGAUGUACCUCUACCAGGUACCAAACUUUGGGUUUUAAAUAAUAAAGCUGAGACCGGGCGGUUGACUUGCACGAGAAAGGAGUCUCAGUGUAGUGUCUCUGUCUGAGUCGAUUAAGGACCUUGUCGAUGUAGGCCUGCUGACCGAGGACCCUUUAACUGGUCACAUGCCUCGUCAUGGGUAAGCUUUGCCUCGGGCAGACUAAUACCAGAAUAAGAUAACACGCAAUGGGAGUGGAGAGAUGGCGAGAGUAGCAUGUACCCUCCGUGGCAAGAGGCUGGACGGUGGUGUAUCUGUGCUCUCGGUUGGCGUGAACCUGAUCUGGUCUUAAGAACCCCCGGUGGCGAGUUGACAUAUGCAAGGGUUAAGUGCUACAUAUGUCGUGUGAUUGGAGAUCCUCAGCUGAGUAUUAAUCGAUUCGGAUCGCCGUUACUUCUCGGACAUGAAGACUUGGUCACUGACUUACACGUAGCAUUCCAGUGAACUUAAAGGGUUGAUAAAAGAUGGCUAGUGCAGGUCAAGUGAUUGAACUAGGGUAGAAAGAACUCUAGAUGCAGGUAAUUUUACUUAACCUGACAAGUAAAAAUGGAUUUUUAAGGAUCCACUCAUAGUAAGCUUUUCUGCAAAACAGAGUCUUCGAUUUUUGAUAAGCCAUACCUUGAUUCCCUCUAGCCAUCAUACCCUUGAGAGUCUUUUUGUUAGUCGGGUAAGUCUUGCUGAGUAAUUCCGUACUCUGGGUUUUAUUCCCUGUUGUUUUUCAGGUUAUAGUUUUGUGCUGCUGAUGAUGGUGUUAAGUGUCGGUGGGCUCGACCUUCUUAUAAGUCUAAGUAACCCUUCUAUACUUCUUAUUGAGGAUGGUCACUUGAGCUAGCAUAUAUUUCAAACUUACAAAUAAUUUAUAACAUUUCAAAGUUAUUCCUUUGAACCACUUUUGUAACCACUCCGAUAAAUACAAUGUAAACUUGUUGUAACUUGUAAAAUUUGGUAAUAAAAUUCCACCGCAAGAUGUUGGUGUGUGAUUUGUGUUACUUAAUCUUGUGGUCUUGGUUGUAAGUGGUUUAUCCGAGGUCCUUGGGACACUCGGACAGAUCCUGUUAAGUUAUCUGGUGCACAUGCAUAGCCGUCUGAGGUCUUUGAGACAAGGGCAGGUGCAUGUGGGCCCAAUAACUUGGGAGGUUCUGCCAUAGCUGGUAUCGGAGCAGGAUUAAGUUUAUACAGUCACAUACGUAUUUUCAAAACAAAAGUUUUGGUUUCAAAAAAUCUAUUUUCAACUAAACACAUUGUUUGGCUUUGAAAAACAGUUUUGAAAAACUAUAAUGCUAGCGACAUCCUCUAUUAAGCCCUAAGUAAAGGACUAUCAGGUGGCUUAGUUCAAAACCACUAACCCACAACCGGGUGGGUAUUGCAUACAUGUGUAUUGUUCUUUUUGAGGCCAUUCAGUUUUGAAUGGAUCGACGCUCAGGUAAGGUGAGAUGUGAGAGCAUGACCGAACAAACGUCGAUCUAAGGAAGGGUAUGAAAAGCGCUUGAUUAUAUACAUGUUUUACAUGUGUAUAUAUGAAGGCUGCGAUGCAGAGUAUUUACUUCUUCUGGGAAUUCAGUACCCCAUGGAUGUGUAUGGGUAUACAAACAUGGGAAUACUAAGAAGUGUAAUGUACUUGCAACGAUGCACCUACGCUCAGGUAAGAAGUUGAGUUACCAUAAUGAGUUGUCCUAUGGUUAAAGUGUGGCAACGGCACCUAUGCGUGGCUCGACGCUUAAUGAUGAGCUGGCCUCCAUAUAGAAAUAUAUGAAGUAUAAACUAUGAUAAACUGUCAUGUGUGAAUUGCAUCAUGGGAAAAAUGGGCUGUGAUGGAAUUUUCUGCAGGUACACUAACCUCGAAAACGUAUGUGUAGCUAACGAAUAGCAAAAUAUCGAGAGAGUCAUAAGUAUGCCACCGAUAUAGAACGCUAUUGCCACAUUAUGUUGGCAAAACUCGUGAGGACGCAUAGGACGAGCAUGCAUCCUGAUUGUUGCAUCAUGUUUGUCACCUAUACAUCCAAACUGCUUCUCUCAUCCUUAUUCCAGUAACCAGUGAUUGUAGAUAAUGUGGUGUAAUGAUGUAUUAUGGACUUCGAUGAAAUAGCUGUCCUCCAUUCUUUAGGUAACCUAUUUAGGUGUUAUAUAUGUGUUUGCUCUGGUGCUUGAUGUACUGAUAGAAGGUUAGUAGUUUAGUUGCUUAAACCCAUAACUAGGCCAUGUUCUUAUUUAGUGAACCAUGACCCAAAUUUGAAUUUUCCGUUAUCCCUCCAUGACUAAACUCGUACAAAUAAAUGCUUAGGUAAAUUCUUUGUUGAACAUAAAGUGUACCCAAGCUUAAAACAAGAAUCUCGAGUCAUGUCUCCAUCCUAAACCAUGUCCUUGUUCGAUUUGUGCAAGUUGAUGUCUCUAUUCCAGUUUGCCUGUUCUUAAGGAUCGUCAUGUUGCUUUGUCAACCCAACUUAGGAAAGACAUGCCCGAUCAUCUUCUUGAAUUUGAUGCCUUUGGUUUCCCCAUACCUAUCAAAGGCAUACCAACUUAAUCCUUGACUUGUAAUUGUUGCGCUGGGCAUAGAAAUAUGCUUGGGGCUGAAGUUACAGUCUCCCAUCGUACUCCCUCACCAACCAGUUUAGGUUAUGGCCAUGCCUUGUUCAUUUCAUCGGGCCAUGAUCUGUUUGGCUCUCUACUGUAACCGUUUUGAUAGCCUUGGAGCUUUUUAGUGUUGGAAAACAACUGAUUAGCUCUCAGAUUGGAGACUGAUUUUCCCUGCUGCUGAUGCAGGAGUUUGUUCAUUCGCUCUCUUAUUUAAUCCAUGUAUUUUCGAACCUAGUCUGUUCAUCUCGCAUGCAGAAACGGAUUAACAACAGAACCAAAUGGAUUUCUACUCAAGUGCAUAAUCUCCUGUUAGCAAAUGUGAACUCUCAACCAUUGGCUUACCGAUGGUACUGAGAGGACAUGCCCAAUGUCAAAAGUAGUUCAACAAGUUGGUUUUGACUAACUUGUAACUGCCCAAUGAAUGAAGAUUGAGUUUAGAGAUCGUUUUAUCGAUUUGCCUAAACUCAUUUUGGUUCAACCCACUUAAGGAAGUACUUUCAAGAAUCGAGAUUAAGUCGGCCAGUAACCACCUAAUGAUCGCUCUAGUCAUGCCUCGAUCGCCUCAUGUGUGCUUUUCCAGCAUGUGUGACCAAGUCAAGUCAUGCUUAGUGCUCGCUAAAGCGGAUUGAUUGUGAAGUCAACAUUUGUUGAUCAUCUUCACUAAUGUGUUCCUCGAAUUUUUAUUAUCUUCUUGGAACUUGAAUUCCUCAAGUGACCACUUGUUGGUAAACCUCCUUCUGUGUGUUUUACCCAAGAUGGUGCAUCUGAUUCUGUUUAGGUAAAAUCACGUAUUUACCGCUCACUCAACAGACUCAGAUAGUACAGUGUUAUCAGAAAAAGCAAACUGCACACAUGGAACCUUAUGUGUUCUUUUGGUAGAUAUCGUCUGGUGGACAUUUCUAAACCAGCUUGUGGUAAUACAUGAUAUGUCCACUAGAGAAACAACAUCCUGAGACACCCUCCUUUGCUUGGAACUGUUUUAUGGUCAUCGCUGAUAUGGACAUGGGUUACAUGCUUCUCUACUCUUAAGAGUCUUUCGCUCCGAAUCUCGAGACGAGAUUCUUUUAAGGGAGGAAGGUUGUAACACCCCAGGUGUUUAUAUUCCACUCGACAACGAGUAUGGAUUUAAGCACGUAAUAGCAGUGGAUAAAAUGGACGCUAAUUUAUAAACAUCUUCGUCUAUCGCGAUUUUAAUAUCGCACCUGUUUCGUCUGUCGCGAGUUCGACAUCGUUUUUAUUUAUCCGGGCUCUUCCCAAAAUUUCGUGAUGUUCGGAACAUCGUUGUUCCGAAAAUCGGUACGUCCGGUGAUUAUUUAAAAUUCAUCACUCGCGCAUAUACGAAUUUGGAAAUUUAGUCCAGCCUGCCGAUUUUCCCCAGAACGAAUUAACUGGAACUCGACGAUAGAAAUGAUGCAAAAUUAAAUCGGACUACACCCGGAAUCUAAGAAAAAUCGAGCGUAGAAUUACAAACUGAGUCGUUUCCUAGUCGACUCCGAUAUCGUUUAGCUUGAUCCGUUAACAUCAGACUAAAACUCGAACCAUGGUAAUUUAAUCUAUUCCUUACCAGAUAAUUUUUUGUCUGACUUCUACGUAAACCAAAGCUGAAUACAAUAUUGAAGUGGAAAUCAAUUCGAUUCAGAUGGUCGUUUCUCGCCGGAUUCAAAACUUCAGACAUAAAUAACUGAUUAAUAUUCAUAUGAUUCCAAAGUAUUCGCCAAAUCAAAACCAUGUCACAGUUACUGUCGACCCAUUUUACAUUGCUAAAAAUCGUGAUUGUAAAAAUAUCUGCGAUUUUUAAGAGAAGAAAAAUGAGAAAAUCUAAAAAUCUCCUCCACACUGCCUUCUCUCUCUCCCCCCAGAUUUUCCCCCUGCCGCUGGCUUAUCUCCAGCACGCGCACGCAGGGAAAAAUCGCGCCGCCCCAUCCUGAUUUUUCCUACAGCGCACGCCGUUCUUAUCUUCUUCACGCACGCAAUCUCUCUGGUGCUUAUUUCUCUGCCGCUCUUCUCUCGUGUUUAUCCCAGCCGGCCAAGCUCCCUAGUGCCUAGCUCCACUGCUCCCAUGGCGUGCGCCGGUGCCAGCUCGAGUCCCUCCCCAGCCGUGUCUCCUCCCCUCCUGACAGCCGCUCUUCUUUCUUCCUUCCCCGGCGUCGGAUCCUAGCUCGUAGAGCUUCCUCUGCGCGGCGCUCCUGUGUCCCGAGCUCCCUCAGCCAUGGCGCGUUCUCCCUGUGCGCCCAGCUGCUUCUCUCCCUCCCUCUACUUCUUCCUCGAUGCGCGCUCAUCUCCAUGCGUGUGCUGCCGCGAGUCCUUCCAUGGCUGCGCGCGAAGCCCUCUGCUCGUCGCGCCCUGGAUCUCCUGGCCACCGCGCCUGCUUCCUCUCUCCCUUCUCGGCCUCUGUUCUGAGCUCGCGCCCAGCUUCCCUGUGCGCGCUUAGCUUGGAGCUCCCACAGCCUAGCUCGGGUCUUUUCCAUGGCCGCGCGCACCUCAAGCUCGGCUCUCUGGUGCCGCGCGCGCGCCUCUGGUUCGCCCCUGCUCGGACUGCGUUCACCCUGCUGCGCGUGUGGAGCUCCUCUGUUGUGUGUACGAAGUUCACUGCUCGCCACUGCACGUCGAGCUCCCGCGCCGAAUCCUUUUCUAGCUCGCCGCGACGCCCGUUGUCCUGCCUGCUUUGCUCACCUGCGUCGGCUACUCGCUGGUGCUCCAACUCGUCAGCUGUCGUUAUCCUAUCCACGCCAGCACGCGACUAUGGUCGUGUUCAUCGUAUUCGCCAACGCUCUGUUGCUGAUUCGACUGUCGUCGCUGGUGAUAGUUUCGCAUGCUAUCGAGCCUGUUGUUUUCCAUGUCCUAUGCUCGCGCGGCUUUAUGCUCGCCAGCGCGCCCUCUCGACUCGCUCGGCCUUAAUCUCCAUCACAUCGUCGACCUCGCCGAUUGUCGUCGUUCGUCGUCGCGUCGCGUGUGCAGCUCUAUAUACAUCACCCUCUUGUAUCGUCGUCGAACCUGUCAUCCCCUGCACGACUCCCAAGCAACCCCCCUGAUCCGCGUCCUGCUCGCUGUCGACUCUCGGCACCACAAGCUCGUUUUCCCUUGUGCACAUCCCCAUAGACCCUGUCUCAUCACGCGUGUGCGUUAUCGAUCUCAUCGUUGUUUCGUGCAUCCUCAAGAAAUACAAAGCGUCGGGUGAAGACGAAGCUAGCCGUGUGAUAUUCACCAAGUGCACGACAAAAAGCUCGAACAAGUCGUCAAUCGUCAUCCUCGUCUACGCCAAUCCCCAAGCCGUGAAGACACUCUUGUGCUGGCCACGCGUCACCAGCUCGACAAAAAGGAAUCCCAUGGGUAUUUGGUCAAGAAUAGAAACUGUGUGCCUCGCUCGCCAGACAUGUGUGAUCAAUGACGUCGACCGGAAACCGUCAUCGUGCUUCCGACUAUCGCGUCGAAUUAGUCAGGGUAAGCAAACUUGUUAUUCGUAUUAGUGGAUUGAUGGAUGGUUUGACUAGGUAUAAUAUUUAUUAGAUUGCCUGAGUCACUUUGGCAAUUUGGUCGAUGUCGUAGGAUGAAAGAGGUCUCAAUAGGUCCAAGUGUUUGCGGGACUGUAGGUGUUAAAAAUGGGAAGUUUCAUUAAUAUAUAUGAUACACAGGUUAACCGGUAAAUUAGUUUAAAAAGUUAAGGAAAGUUCUUCUAUCAAACUUUAUAAGUGUUAGGUGUCCAAGAAUAUUGAAGUUAAAGUUAUAAGUCAUUUAGUGUGCUCUCUAAACUAGGUACGAUAUUCUAUGUGUGCUAGUCGAUUUCAUGAUUUGAAUGGAUGUUGAUUGCUACUUCGAAUAUUUAGGAUCAAGUAACAUCGAUAUAUUGUAGCUAAAAAUGAUAGAGUGUGUUUAUAAUUUAUUAUUUUAUGACUAUUGCGCGUAGUCGUAUAUCGGAUAACUAGUGUUUCCGUAUAAAAUUGUACAACGCCUCACCGCUAGGUGUUAAAUUCGCUAUCGCGUAGCACUAUUUAGGAUUGUAAUGUUCUUGUCUAUAUGCAUUCAUGUGCAUAAUGCAUUUCAUUCAGGUACGUUAAUUAAUCGCGUGAUGCGGAAGACGAGUCAAGUCGACCCCAAGCGCGGACUACUCCGCAUGGUGAUGUUGAUGGACGAACCUGCCUAAUCAAGUGCUAGGACAAGGAUGAUCGUCAAGUGAACAUCGCCUAACAAACACUAACCUAGUGUUAUUCAGGCAAGCCACGAUGCAUUUGCCACCUCCUUGCUGUUUUAAAAUAUUUAUCACCUUGUUUGAUGCAUUAGGUGAUAGGAGUUGUGUGCUAAACCGUUGAUGCAUUUCCUUCCUUGAAAAUUUAUUACCCUUCCUUGACACCCAUUUUGAAAGGAAUUUUAUGAUGCUUAGUUUUGCUUUAGCAAACAAAAAUGUUUUGUUUUAAAACAAAAGUGAUGCUUCAGUGGGUGGGAAGUUUUCAAAAAUAAAACUUGAUGGUGGAUCCAUCACGGCCGUGAUGGGUUCAACAUCGUAAAAGAUAUACCUCUGCCAGGUACCAAACUUUGAGUUUUAAAUAAUAAAGCUGAGACCGGGCGGUUGACUUGCACGAGAAAGGAGUCUCAGUGUAGUGUCUCCGUCUGAGUCGAUUAAGGACGUUGUCGAUGUAGGCCUGCUGACCGAGGACCCUUUAAUUGGUCACAUGCCUCGUCAUGGGUAAACUUUGCCUCGGGCAGACUAAUACCAGAAUAAGAUAACACGCAAUGGGAGUGGAGAGAUGGCGAGAGUAGCGUGUACCCUCCGUGGCAAGAGGCUGGACGAUGGUGUAUCUAUGCUCUCGGUUGGCGUGAACCUGAUCUGGUCUUAAGAACCCCGGUGGCGAGUUGACAUAUGCAAGGGUUAAGUGCUACAUAUGUCGUGUGAUUGGAGAUCCUCAACUGAGUAUUAAUCGAUUCGGAUCACCGUUACUUCUCGGACAUGAAGACUUGGUCACUGACUUACACGUAGCAUUCUAGUGAACUUAAAGGGUUGAUAAAAGACGGCUAGUGCAGGUCAAGUGAUUGAACUAGGGUAGAAAGAACUCUAGUUGCAGGUAAUUUUACUUAACCUGACAAGUAAAAAUGGAUUUUUAAGGAUCCACUCAUAGUAAGCUUUUCUGCAAAACAGAGUCUUUGAUUCUUAAUAAGCCAUACCUUGAAUCCCUUUAGCCAGCAUACCCUUGAGAGUCUUUUCUUUAGUCAGGUAAGUCUUGCUGAGUAAUUCCGUACUCAGGGUUUUAUUCCCUGUUGUUUUUCAUGUUAUAGUUUUGUGUUGCUGAUGAUGGUGUUAAGUGCCGGUGGGCUCGGCCUUCUUAUAAGUCUAAGUAACCCUUCUAUACUUCUUAUUGAGGAUGGUCACUUGAGCUAGCAUAUAUUUCAAACUUACAUAUAAUUUAUAACAUUUCAAAGUUAUUCCUUUGAACCACUUUUGUAACCAGUCCGAUAAAUACAAUGUAAACUUGUUGUAACUUGUAAAAUUUGGUAAUAAAAUUCCGCUGCAAGAUGUUGGUGUGUGAUUUGUGUUACUUAAUCUUGCGGUCCUGGUUGUAAGUGGUUUAUCCGAGGUCCUUGGGGCACUCGGACAGAUCCUGUUAAGUUAUCUGGUGCACAUGCAUAGCCGUCUGAGGUCUUUGAGACAAGGGCAGGUGCAUGUGGGCCCAAUAACUUGGGAGGUUCUGCCACAAUUACAAUAUCUUAAAACAGGUCAAGCAAAACCGAGCUUUUCAAAGAUAGGAUUGCAUCAAGCUCACACUCUGAACACCUAAGCAUAAAAGGACUGCAAAAGCCAGAAUGGAAAGGCUGCAGGCCAAGAUUGGUUAAAACUUAAAAGCACAGAUGGUGUUAUGUGCAUUGUAUGCAUCGUCAUAUUUUACUUCAGUAUUUCAGUAAGUAAUGGAGCAAGUUAGUUUAAAUUAUCUUAUACAUACUACAAUAUGACAAUGGUCAUUAUACCAUAAGGAUACGAUCCAAGUUGUUACAAAUGAAAAAAGAGAAAAUGACGAAGAUUGUUAUAUUAUCAAAAUAACCAAAAAUGAUUCCACAUCCAAGAUUAAUGUGGCUAAAAUCUUUACUCUCUCCAGAAUACUAAAAAACAGCUUAUGGCAAGAUUGGUCUAGCUUUCCCCAUUGCCACAAAAGUUAAUUAUUAUGAUACCACGUUAUGUUAUUUUAAAUAAUCACUAAAUCCAUGAAGCACACAUUAUAAAAUUCCCUCCUUGAGACAUCUUUAGAUCUCCAUCCUAGACGAUAUCAAAUAGUGUCGAGGUCACAUAAAUAAUGAAUAGAUAUAAGUGAAAUAUUAACAAGACCUAAAGAAAAUUUACAAAAUCCAGUAGGUGAGGAGAAAGAUCGAAACUGUCACACUAGUAUACAUGAUAGAUAUCCUAAAAAUCUAGCCACAUGAUUUAUACGCCAUUGAAUAGUCGGUACCUUUGAUGAGCACACCAACACAAGUCCUCUCAACGGUGGAUUUCUCCAUGUACCACUCAUGGAAUCCACAUAUUUAUAUUGAAUGUUCUUUGGCCAGCUCUAGCCUAACUAGAGGCUUGUCAUGCUUGUACUACCAAACUAUAGAAGUACUUGCAUCUAUACUUGCUAGCUACAACACUUGUCUUUCAGCUUGCCUCUAGACUUCAAAAAUGCCCCCAUAUUUAUGUGAUGUUUGGAUGUCAUGUUAGGAAUAGUUUGUGGCUAUUUUGUGAGCUGCAAGACAUUUAUAAGAUUUCAUGAUAGAGCAAUCAUAGUAUGAUAGAAUAGUUUUGUUUGAUAUCUUGCUCAUCUUCACAAAGGACCUCCUCAGUUCUCGUUGUCGGAUCUAUUGAUUCUUUCUUUGGAAGACUUCUCUUUAUGAAGUGAUCCUUUACCUAGAUAACAACACAACUUGGUUCAACUCCUUGUAAGUUAGGUCAUAAGCUCGUUUCUAUGGUACCAAGUUAACUACAGAGCUAUUUGGUGUGUUCUGCCUUUUACUUUCAAUUGACUUAGCGUGAGUUUGUCUUUUAGUUGUUGGAUGUUUGAUGUUCUUGCAUUUAGGUGUGGUGCUCUUGUGAGGAAGUGUGGGGCGCUUCUAUAAGAAGGGGUAGGGAUCCUACUUGGAGGGGCGGGACUUCUGUUAGGAGGAGUGGGGCUGCUACCUAGAGAGUAUGCUGGUGGGAGGCCUAAUCAACUAUCAAUGUAUUCUAACCUUAGGAAAUUAUGAUGUAUUGCUUCUUUCAUAGAAUAAAUUUGUGCAAUGCCUAAUCAAUGUUGACUGUGGAGUACCCAUCUAGAAUCUCCUCGCUAUUGUAUGUAUUGCUUUGCUAAGGAGGUGAAACCAUACCAAAAGCCACCUUACUUGUCAAGUUGUUCACUGGUAUAUAUAGCUCACAUGAUAUUCAAUAUUGAGUUUCAUCCAUGGGAUAUCACUGCUCUACAUGGAGUUUAGUGGAAGCACAACCACUCCACUGUUGAAAGGGGCUAACCAUGUCGGUAGGAGGCAUUAUUCUUUGUUGAGUUAAGUUGGCAAUUACUUGUGUUAUUUGAUGUUGAACCUCGAUAGGAAUGGAUUAUUUGGUUUGAGCUAACUGAUAUUCCAAGUUAUGCACUGUUUUCUCUACAUUGUCCUUGCUUCUCUAUUGGCUCUUAUAUGUGUUAAUGUUUGUAUCAAACCCAUACUUCCAAGGCAAACUUUUGUAUACUCUUGUUUAGCUCGGGUGCUUGGGAUUCUAAAGAGCAAUAGUGAACUUAUAAUUUUCCAUAUCAGGGAUGAACUCCCCUUUAGAGGACUUACCGAUGGCAUGCAAUGACAAAAUUUUCAAUUGGUUCUUUGAUAAUUUCAUUGGAAGAUAAGCUUUUAUCUUUUAAGAUGCUUCCCAUGUGGGCAUAAUACAUUUUUUGUGCAUUCCAAUUAUGCAUCGCUGGGUGGCACCCAUUUUCUCAAGUCUUAUUCCAUCUUGGCUUACUUCACCAUGCCAUUUUUGUAACAACCAAAGCCAAGCUAAUGAAAAUAUUCCAUUUUUAGCAUAUUAACUUCAUUCUUUGUAUAAAGAUAGUGUCCAUAUUUUGAUUGAUUGUACUGCAGAAACGUGUCCUAGCACUCCCUAUACUUGGGAAACUUCUAAAAGUUAGUUGUUUUUCCAUCUUUAAGCAUUUAUGGUAAAGUUUUUUCUUAUGGCUCCAUAAUAGUACCACCAUCUUCUAGACUGUCUAGAUGGAUUAGUUUCUAUGAAAUUGCAUUGAGGAAUGCACAUAGGUUUAUGAUUGCUUUUCUAAUAUUAUUUGGUAGAAUACUCCUUAACACAACCAGAAGAAAAUAUGUCAUCAACACAUAGUAACCAUUAAACUUUAGAUGUACCAUUUUCUUCUUUGAAUUUAUAAGUCUAUUUACAUUAGAGGAGUACCAAGCUAAGAACAUGAUACUAUUCAAACAAUCAAACAUGUUAUCUUUCGCUUUCUUGCUUAUAGUAUAGUUAGUAGAGCUUAAGUAAUGCUUUCCUUUUUUCUAACUUUUUUGGGUGUAGGCUGUGUUUCAUAGCUUUCAAGCCAUGUUGUAUUUCUAGUGUAUCUUUGUUCUUUUCGUAUGUGCCGAGAAACCCAACUACUUGACAUAUAUAUUUUUCAUGAGAUACAUCACAUCCAUUGCAUGGCAGACGUCUAAUACUUCUCAAUAAGACAGGUCCUAAAAUAUCGACUUCUGUUUCUACAUAUGUGUCUUUCUAUUUUCAUUGAGGAUAGGUUAGCUACUAGAUCCCGUCCAAACACUAUGCUAAGGUUCUUUACCAUAUGGAACAUAAUAUUCCCAUUAUGAUGAAAUGGCUUAUCACAAUGGCCUUCAUGCCCGUUAAAGUGCUUACCUUUUUCUUAUUGGAUUUUUGGCAACUAGAAAUUGAUGAUGGCCCAUUUAAACAACCUUUCGACAAUGUUUCAAAUAUACAUGUUUGCCGGUACCCUGAAACUAGGGUACCCCUUACUGCUGUAUGAAGACGCAGUACCCACACGGCUAUCUUUAGUCGCGUGGUAAAGGAGUUGUAUGUGGGACCAGGCCAUAACUCGCCCCAGCCUCGGGCGACUACUCUGGGCCAGCAACAGCACCUGACCCCACCACGUGGACGGCUCCGGGGCCGCCACGUGUCCAGAGAAAGUGAUAUACUCCAAGGCAUCAACAGUGAGUCCGGACCCCCAUGGGAAAGUGUCGGACCCCUGGAUAUACAGUCCGGACCUCCAAGUUGGUCCAGGACCCCCACGUGUACGGACCGGACCCCUAGAAUGGGAUUCGGACCCCCCCCCGUAUGGGGUCCAGACCGCCCACAGUAGGGUCCCAAGGUUCUAGGACAGAACACACCCGGGCCUUAAUUAGGGCCUAGGCGGGGGUCCGGAGCUGACACGUGUCUAGACCUGGUCUGGUGUGAUUCGAACCUAUCCGCAUAAACUCCUGCUCCCCGCUCAGGCGGAGACCCGAUGCUGCCACGUGGCAUACUGCGCUCGGCAUAAGCCAACAGACGGAACCUGGCAUGACGCCUCUGGGCUACACGAGCCUUCGCAUUCAUUACGGAUAAGACAUGCGCCUGCCCAUUCCAUUGACAGGCGGCAUGCUCAGUCCAUGAUACGUGGGUCGUGCAGUUACUCACCAUUACUCCCGUGUUACCAAGGAUUACUACCUAUCAAUGCUACAUGGACUGCAGUCAUCAUGACUCCCGCUGAUUACUCAUGCGUUACUCUGUCAGCAUUAGUUAUUCACAUAAUGUAUUUCUUCCAUUAUGCUUCUGGGCCCGCAUGUCGGGGCUCAGCAUCCUUGUAUGUGCCUCCCUUAAACUAUAAAAGGGAAGGCACACAACGUUACAAGGGACAGACUCAAUCACACGCUCACACAUACUCAAUACAACUUACACACAGUGGAGGUAGGGUAUUACGCUCCGGCGGCCUGAACCACUAUAAUCCCUCGUGUCCUCUCGUGUUCAUCCCGAAUUCACCAGACAAACAACCCCUUAGGCCCCCUCCUCAUCUUAGGAUUAGGGCAGGUGUGUUCCGCCACCAGGCCGGUGGAUUUCCCCACCGACAUUUGGCGCGCUAGGUAGGGGGCGGUGGCUUUAGGUUUUUUGCCUGUUUUUCUUGCUCGACACGAUGGUUCAGAUCGUCGAGCACCGCGACUUGUCUCCCGAGGACUUCCUAAUGGAGGAAGGGGCAGCAUCUUCUAUGCCACGAGGCUCUUACCGCCCUGCGCCUGGUGCUGCUGCUAUGCACACUGCGCAACAGCACACGCCCGUGCAGACAUCUAGGCUCCGUCGGGGGCUGCUCAUGGUGGGGCGUUGUCUGCAGCCAGGGAGUUGCUGCGCAACCCACCAAGUUCCAUGGCCUCGCCGGGGGCCAUGAGACAGUGGUGCGAAGAUGUCGACCGUCUCCUCGGCAUGGCACAUUUUGGCUCGGCCAGGCCCAGGCCUCGAUCAUUCCGGCGUCAACGCGAGGCGUCGGUAUCGGUGCGCUCACCCUCAGUGAGGGGUGCACGGACUGACGACCUGCGGGCAGAGCUCAACCGCCGGUGUGCGGGCAAGGAUGCUCGAAUCUCUCUGGAGAAGGCUGACGAUCUGCGGGCAGAGCUCAACCAUAGGCGUGCGGGCGAGGAUGCCUGAGUCUCUCUGGAGAGGGCACGUGAGCACUGGCAAAACUUCGAGGGUCGCAACCUCGACCAGGACUUCGCUCCAGUUUCACCACAAACUCCAAGGGAUGCCCGAAUCCAGGCGGGUGUCCCAUUGGUCAGCGUGGGUUGUGGCGCACUAGCGGAUCAUCUCUCAGCGACUUGGCCACCCAAGUUCCGGCCACACCUGCCGGAGAAGUACGACGGUACGACGAACCCGUCAGAAUUCUUGCAGGUCUACGUCACCGCCAUUACGGUAGCUGGUGGAAACACUGCUGUGAUGGCAAGCAACUUUCAUGUAGCCUUGACCGGGCCAGCCCAGACCUGGCUCGUGAAUCUCACCCCGGGGUCGGUAUACUCCUAGGAAGAGCUUUGUGCACGGUUCAUAGCGAACUUUGCCAGUGCUUAUCAACAGCAUGGCGUGGAGGCUCAUCUCCAUGCAGUGAGGCAGGAACCCGGGGAGACUCUCUGGGCUUUCAUCUCCCGUUUCACCAAGGUACGGGGGACUAUACCUCGCAUCUCCGAUGCUUCCAUUAUCACUGCUUUCCGACAGGGGGUGCGUGAUAAGAAGAUGUUGGAGAAAUUAGCGACGCAUAACGUGGAAACCGUCACUACGCUUUUCACUCUAGCCGACAAAUGUGCCAGAGCUGCUGAGGGCCUUGCAUGGCACUCGCCGCCGCAAACUGAAGUUACCCAGGAGGGCGGCUCGGGUGCCACCACCCAGGGCGGUGGCAAGAAGAAGAAGAAGAACUGCGGUCACGAUAGGCCUCAGUCUGGUGCUCUGGUCGCCGUAGCUGCGGCUGGGGGCCGGGACGAGCGCGGCAAGUGCCCACGGCAGCAGGGAAGCGAUAGUGGGUCAUGCCCUGUUCACCCCAAUAGUCGCCAUAGCGCCUCGGAAUGCCGGGAGAUCCUGAAGCUCGCGAAGCGCAUCAGCGAGCGGCGCGACUAGGCCUCUAGGGAUGGCUCGCCGCCUCAGCGCCGGCCUGGCAAGGAGAAGGUCGACGAAGGUGACGUACCGCGGGAGAACGGGACCUCGGGUAUCAGGCCCCCGAGCAAGUUUUCAAGGACAUCCUCACUGGAGACUCCGACUCCGGUGAUGACAGUGACCGCCGCAAGAAGCUGUACGUAAUGUAUGGCGGAAGCUGGGAGCUCACCUCCCAUAGGAACGUAGUCCCUGCGUCGCGAGGUCCUUUCAGCGACCCCAGGGGUCCCGAAAGUAGCCCCACAUCACUGGUGGCGGAGCACUACUAUCUCCUUCGGGGCAUCCGACUGCCCCAAAAACAUGGCAGGGGUUGGUAUACUACCACUUAUCACCGCCCUUGUCAUCGCCAACAUGAAGCUGCAUCAUGCGCUGAUUGAUGGUGGGGCAGGGCUCAACGUCAUCAGCCACGCUGCGUUCAAGCAGCUGCAGAUCCCAGGGUCCCGACUGAGACCCUCUCUCCCAUUCUCUGGAGUGGGCCCUUAACCGGUGUAUCUCCUUGGGAGCAUUGCACUCCCGGUUACAUUCGGGACUAUUAGAGAGGAAAUCUCCGGCCGGGUGGUGGAGUGCACCCACCCUAAAUCCUAAGAUGAGGAGGGGCCUAAGCGUUUUGCUUGUUAGUUGGAAAAUGGGAAGAACACAAGAACACACAAGGAUUUAGAGUGGUUCGGGCCACCGGAGUGUAACACCCUACUCCACUGUGUGAUGUAUUGCUUGAGAGCAUGUAUGAACUUAUGAGUGUCUGAGUGAGCCUAAGAUCAGAUCCUCUGUAACGUCGCAUGCCUCCCCUUUUAUAGCUGAAGGGGGGCAUGCACAAAAGGUACUGAGCCCCGACAUGUGGGCCCAGGGACAUAAUGAAUAUAGCACUUGGAGCUACAAAUGUUCACUGCUGGGGGCAAUCUUCUUAUGCCUUGACAUCCGAGAUCUGCGUAUCCUCGGCGUGCAGGUGAAGCUUCUUGUAGAAGGGAUAACAAACAGUGCGCCACACGACAUGGGCGCACUGUUUGUUAACAGACUGGAUAGGCGCGCUGUCUACUGGACGACCCUGACGCCGUCUGCCAGCAGAGUGGACAGGAUGCAUUAAAUGCUGAGAGGGCACGUCGCCCGUCAGCAUGGUGGCAGGCGGCGCGUCCUCUUCGCAAUAAAUGCAAAGGCUGCACGGCUUUAGGGGCCUUACGCCAGGCUCGGCCCGUUGGCCUAUGUCACGGGCCGCAAGCCAUGCGGUAGCAGCGUGUCUCCGCCUGAGCGGGGAGCGUAGGGCAAGGUCUGGAUACGUGCCAGCAUCGGACCCUUACUCAUGCCGGGGUCCUCCCCGUCCCAGGACCUUGCUAAGGCCCGGACCUUACUCGGAGGGACCUGGGGCCCACCUGAGGGACCCGGCAUGCCUUCUUGGGAGCUCCGGACUUGUAUGUACAGGGGUCCGGUGUCCCUCUAUGGAGGUCCGAACCCAAUGAUGCAUCCUGGGAUGUAUUCCCUUUCGUUGCCACAUGGUGCCCUUAGACCUGCCCAUGUGGUGGGGUCGGGUGUCGUUCUCCGUGUGGCCUGGGGACGUCGUACGUGUACAGCAUCUUCAUACUGUAGAAGAGGGUACCCCUGAUUCAGGGUACCGACAGUGGCCCCCUGGCCCGCCUCAGGGGAGGAUGCGAGCCUGCAGGUGGGGCCAGAGUCUGAUUAGCGGUUGGCCUGCUGCUCUUGCGCGCCUGUUGACGCAAUUACUGCCGGCCCGCCUAUGGUCAUGCCGACUGCUACGCCUAUUCCCACGGUUGACUGGCUCGUGACGUUCGUACUUAAUGUCACUGUUGGGCCAUGCACUGGAUGCCUCGAGUCACUGCACUGGUUCUGAAAACUUAUCUUUUCAGUCUUCCGCGACGGCCCCGAGAAGACGUGGCAUUGUCGCGAGCAGUGGUGCGAUUUUUCCGCACCCAGUAACCGGCGCGCCGGUUGCAUAACAUGUGGGCCUAGGCCCCCAUGUUGGACCGCUGGUUGCAGCAAAGCUGAGGGGGUGCACAACCGCGGGGCGGUUGUACGCUUCCUGCGUGGUGGUUCGCCUUUUCGACCGCUAGUUUCGGCGAAGAUGAAGGGGCGCAUAACCGUGGGGCGGUUGCAUGCUCCUUGUGCGGUGGUUCGUCUUCCUGACCGCUGGUUGCCCCGAAAAUGAAGGGGCGCAUGACCACGGGGCAGUUGCAUGCUCCUUGUGUGGUGGUUCACCUUCUUCGUGCUUUGGGUCAGUCUAUAUGACAUGUGGGGCCUAGCCCCCGUGUCAUAGGGUGGGAACCCUGGUGCACGUCGAGGGAGACUUUGCGUGUGACGCUUCGGGGCGCGAGUGGGGAAAUCUGCCUUUAAAAAGGGGUCGAUCUCCCAGGCAGUAGCCAUGCUUCACUCCUCUUGCAUUCAUUACGCCCUUCCGCCUUCCGAGCCUCCAGAUGGGGUGCGCCGAUGUUCUCUAGGAGGAUCCGCGUCAGGGCCGCCCCCUCCGGCGAUCUCACCGCCGGAGAGCUCGCGCUCGUGGUGGUGCUGCCGAUCUUGUCUUCUUCUUGCUGCUGUUAGAGGAGCGCAGCCCCGUGGGGGUUGGUGCUCUUCUACCAUCGCUCGGCUUCAAGGAUUUUCAUCAUGCGGCCCGGUCGCAACCUCCCGCCGGUGGUCAUCCACAAGGAUGACUACCAGCCUUGUGGUGGAGAGAAGCGAGUCGGGCUGCAGCCUCCCCCCUGCCCUCAGCUUCAAGGAUGUUCAUCAUCCUCGCUGGGCUGGGAGGCGAGCCAAGUUGGGGCCCUGCCUUCCGCAUGGGAUGGCGGCUCGCUUCUUCCUCCGGCAUUCAGGGGAGAAGGGCGUCCACCAGCCUUGCGGAGGAGGCGAACUUCGGCUACGCGGGGUCGGCCGGCUGCAGGCGCCGUCAGCUGCCGCGUGUCUGGCUCCUCGGCCUGGAUGGCUUUGGUGCCGCCUCCGGUGCUGCCUCCUGCUGCUUGGUCGGGGUGUGGCUGUCUGUCCACCGCACGGGCGACGGUCGCGUCGUGCGUAGGUCCGCCACAUCCACGGCUUCUCCCGCGCCGCCGGCCGUACUAGGGGUUGUACAAGAUGUCGUACACCGCGGGGGCGGCGACCGUGUUCUUGGAUGGUCUUGUCCUCACUCCUACAGUGAGGACGAGAGCGACGACCUCUUCGCGCAUGCUGAGGCAGCCGCCGCCCACCGGUGCGGAGGUGGCCGCUGUCGUCGAUGCUGAGGUGGUCGCCGCCGCUGGUGAGGCUGCCCGUUGCAGAGGUGGUUGCCUCUGCUGGCGAGACCAUCAGUGCCACCUGUCGCCGAGCCUCCAACUCUUUGGCUUUAAUGGCCUCAUUGUCACCCCCCGUAGGAAGACGGGGGCGAGGACCUUUUCGCAAUGGCGCACGUGCUGAGGUGAUCGCCACUGCUGGCGAGUCGUCAGUGCAGAGGCGGCCGCUGCCGUCGGUGCUGAGGUGGUCGCCUCCGCUGGCGAGCCGCUCGGCGCUAGCUAUCCCACAGCCCUACUGGUGUGGAGGUAGUUCAUACCUGUAGAGUAGAGAUGGAGCUAGGGCUCCGCUUGGAAACAGAUGUAAUACUUUCGCUUUUUGUAAGGUACUCAAGAGUACUAUUUAUUAAGCAGUAUUAGCACUCAUCUAUUUUCAACUUGUUUCUGCUGUGUGCGAUAUUGUUGACUCCUCCUGGUACCUGGCCCCCCGCCUGGGAUGCAGGCUUGAUGUGUUGAGGUUGGAUACCAACGUAUCUGAAAAGGUUGUCAACAACUCUCGGGAGGCAACCUCGCUGGGAUCUGGAUCUUUACAUAGCUUCAGCUAGGGAGCGUUAGUAGUACACCCAUAGGGUUCCCUAUCUGGUAUUAGCCAUCCUUUGAUACAUGCUCGGGACUCGCAGGUUUCAGUCCGGGUGGCCAAGUUGCGUGUCCGGACCUCCUUGGGUCGCGGUUCUAGAUACUAGGGCACUUGUCGCAGGGUGGUGGAGCGUGCAGGCCCACGAUACGGGACCAGGCUGAGCGGCUACACGGGCUUCGGACCACCCCAGGAGACUAAUGUCCAUUCUCUAGCUCCGUACCCGAGGUUGUCGGACCCACAGGACUUAUAGCCCCAAAUACUAGGUACCCAUCACGGGGUGGUGGAGUGUGCAGGCUUUCGGGUACGGAACCAGGCUAAGCGGCCACACAGGCUCCGGACCACCCCAUGGAACGGGGUCCCGUUCUCUAGAGCCGGCUCCCAGGCUGUCGGACCUUCCAACUUUCGUAUCGGGGGCCCUAAACUGCAAGCUUGGCUGCUCAAUUCGGAUGUCGUCAUGUCAAGACAGAUGGGAAUCGUACGGGUGGGUUAGAUAAAAAAUAUUAUCUGAAGAAAAAAAACUGCAAGGUAAGACCAUGGAGCAGCGAGAUGGAACUAUCAUAGGGGCUCAACUGAGGGGGUAGUUUUUCUUUAUAACUCGUCAUGCAUGGGUGCAGACCAAUAGGCUGGGUUUAUGGGGACAGACCCCACCGGAUUGUCGUACAUGUAUGUGUUACCUAGUUACAAAAGGGAAACAGAUUCGACCCCUUAGACUUGCUCUAUGGAUAGAACUUACAGAGAUGUUUCGGCAUCGGGGUAAGGCACUCCUUCAGUUGUAGCUAGAUGGUUGCCCUCGGGUCGGUGUAUUCCUGUUACCUUGAAGGGUCCUUCCUAGCUGGGGGAGAGUUGAGGAGCCCUUCUUGGUCUGGUACUUACCGUAGGGCUAGGUACCAACCCUAGGUCCCCAUCUGCAUUUGACAUGGGAGCCCUCGUCUUUGGCUGUGGCCACUCCUGCAUGUACCUGUCGGCAGCCUGGACCCAUUGGAAAUCUAGAAGGGUUUCCGGAGGAAGGCAUGCUUCAGCUCCGUAGACCGGGGAGCACGGGUCCCUCUGGGGUCCGUCUAGUUGUCUCCACCGGAGUAGGAGCCUCCAGCGAAGACAUCCUUCAGGUCCCCCUCGGGCGACUGAUACCCGAGGUCCCGUUCAGCCGCGGCCACCUCGCCAUCAUCCACCUUUUCUUUGCCAAGUCAGCGACGAGGUGGGGAGCCAUCUUUGGAAGACUGCUCGUGUCGCUCACUGACACAUUUUGCGAGGUCAAUGAUCUCGCGACACUCCAUGGUGCUGUGGUGACCGUUGGGGUGCACAGGGCAUGAGCCGCUGUUACCCCUCUGUGGUCAUGGACGUUUGUUGCAAUCGCCAUAGCCUCCAGUCGUGGCUGCGACAACCAGAGCGGUGGAUCGCGACUUCUAGUAGUCGCGGUCCUUCUUUUUCUUCUUUCCGUCCCGGGGGACGGCACCCGAGCCACCCGACUGGGCAGCUCCAGUUUGUGGGGCUGAGUGCCAUGCACGACCCUCGGCAGCUCUGGCGCAUUUAUCGGCCAGAGCAAAGAGUGUGGGGACAGUUUCCACGUCAUGUGUGGCCAACUUCUCCAGCAUUUUCUCAUCACGUACUCCCUGUCGAAAGGCCGUGAUGAUGGAAGCAUCAGAAAUGCGAGGUAUAGUACCUCGCACCUUGGUGAAGCAGGAGAUGAACUUCUGGAGGGUCUCCCCGGGCUCCUGCCUCACCGCAUGGAGGUGGGCCUCCACACCGUGCUGCUGGUAAGCACUGGCGAAGUUCGCAACAAACCGCAUGCAGAGCUCUUCCCAGGAGUAGACUGACCCUGGGGUGAGGUUGAUGAGCCAGGUCCGGGUAGGUCCAGACAAGGCAACAUGAAAAUAUGUUGCCAUCACAGCGGUGUUUCCACCUGCUGCCGUGAUGGCGGUGACGUACACCUAUAGGAACUCCGGCGGGUUCGACGUUUCGUCGUACUUUUCCGGCAAGUGCGGCCGGAACUUGGGUGGCCAUGACGCCGCGCGGAGAUGGUCCACGAGAGCGGCGCAGCCCACACCGGCCAAGGGGACACUCGUUUGGGACCGGGUGCCCAUUGGUGUCUGCGGUGCAACAGCAGCGAAGUCUUGAUCAAGGUUGCGACCACCGAUGUUUUGGCGGCGCUCACGCACCCUCUCCAAAGAGACCCGGGCAUCCUCUCCCGCAUGCCUGCGGUCGAGUUCUGCCCGGAGGUUGUUGGUCUGUGCGCCCCUUACUGAGGGCGAGCGCACAGACGCCAAUGCCUCGUGUUGGCGUCGGGAUGAUCGUGUCCUCGACCUAGUCGAGGUAGAAUGUGCCAUACCGAGUAGCCGGUCGACGUUGUCCCGCCAUUGCUUCUGUUGGGGGUAUGCUUCGUCGCCGAAGAUCCUAUAAGAAGAAACACCUUCGGCAGAUCUUAUCAAAAGCAAUGCCGAAGCUGUAACCCAUGAAGCUUCGGCAUAGCGGCAUAUCUCAAGACGAAGGAGUGAACCGACUUAAAGAUGAAAUGACCAAUCAACCCGUGGAAGCUUAUGUUAUGAUUGUAAGCAUUUGUAAAGGGCAUGAAUGUAAUUUCUCACAGGCUGCGUCCUGUGCCUAUAAAUAGAUGAACAGUACCCCCGUACUGUUCACGCAAUCUUGUAACCGCUUACACGCGACACUUGGAUUAUUGCCUUCUGCCAAGACGAAGGUAUAAAUGUGAUUAAAUGUUAUGUUUUAAUAUUUGAAUUUAUAUAAUGAAAUAUAUGAAUAAGUUUAUGUGUUUCGAUAUAUUAUUUCUUCAUGUCUUAUAUUUUAUUUCAUCUUUCAUUACUUCACAAUCACGAAGGUAUGACCUUCGUGAUUUUUGCUCAUGACCUUCGUCCGAAGUUCAUUAUAACCUCGGGGAGAUAAUGCUUUAAUGGACGAAGGUCAUUAACAUUUAAUAUUUUAUGUUGCCUUGUUCUUAAUUCGAAGCAUUUGAGAACAAGUCCCCAACAUUGGCGCCCACCUCCGGUGAACUCACUUCCACUUUUUGAGCUGAUGGCUUCGUUCAACAACCAAGCUGAAGCUGCUUCGGCUACGAAGCUGGUGCUCCCGAUAACAGGCGGUUCAUGCUCAGAGCCGGCCAACAAGAAGCAGAAGAAGGAGGCUCAGAGAAGGGUACAACAUGUCAGGGUGCAGGGACCCUUCAUCAAGUUGAAAUGGUCCCACAUCCCAAUUGCCUUCUCCCAGGAGGACCUUCAGCUCAAGGAUUACCCUCACAAUGAUGCUAUGGUCAUUUCUUGUGUCAUCAAGGGAUUUCUGGUCCACAAUGUUCUGGUUGAUACAGGCAGUGCAGCGGAUAUUAUAUUUGCCAAGGCCUUCAGACAGAUGCAAGAGCUAGAGGAUAAGAAUCAUGAUGCUACACACCCUCUUUGUGGCUUCGGAGGAAGGCAGAUUGUAGCACUCAGCAAGAUCAUGAUGCCAGUGACCUUCGGAUUCGUCAACAAUACAAGGACUGAGCAAGUUGUGUUUGAUAUUGUCGACAUGGAAUACCCCUACAAUGCAAUCAUUGGUCAUGGGACACUCAAUGCUUUUGAAGCAAUUCUUCAUCCAGCAUAUCUAUGCAUGAAGAUACCUUCGGAUCAAGGGCCUAUUGCUAUUCAUGGUAGUCAGGAAGCUGCCAGAAAGGCUAAAGGAAACUAGACAGAUUCAAAAGCAAUCCAUAAUAUAGAUGGAGCCAAAGCUUUUGAGCAGUAUAAGUACAGAAGGGAGAAGGCUGCUUCGGCCGAUCAGCCGAAGCCCAUGCUUCUAUGUGAAGAUAUAGCAGAAUAGAAGGUAUUGCUGGGAUCUCAAUUAUCUGAGGAGCAGGAGAAAACUUUAAUACGGUUUUUGUUCAACAACAAAGAUGUCUUUGCAUGGUCAGCCAACGAUCUCUGUGGUGUCAACAGGGACGUCAUUGAACAUUCGCUCAAUGUCGAUCCAAUCUUCAGACCUAGAAAGCAGAGGGUUCGGAAAAUGUCUGAUGACAAAGCCGAAGGUGCUCGGAAUGAAGUGAAAAGACUUCUUAGUGCCGGAGUCAUCAGAGAAGUAAAAUACCCAGAAUGGCUAGCCAACACUGUUAUGGUGAAGAAGGCCAAUGGUAAAUGAAGAAUGUGCAUUGAUUUUACUGAUCUCAAUAAGGCUUGUCCAAAGGAUGAGUUCCCAUUACCAAGAAUAGAUUCUCUAGUAGAUGCAGCAGCUUCGUCAGAGCUCAUGAGUCUACUAGAUUGCUAUUCAGGCUACCAUCAAAUCUGGAUGAAGAAGGAAGAUGAGCCAAAAACUAGCUUCAUAACCCCCAGUGGUACAUAUUGUUAUCUUCAGAUGCCUGAGGGGCUCAAGAAUGCUGGAGGAAGCUUUAGUAGAAUGACAGCCAAAGUCCUUCACUCUCAGAUAGGCAGAAAUGUGCUAACAUAUGUUGAUGAUAUCAUAGUAAAGAGCACGAAGCAGGAAAAUCACAUUGCUGAUCUGCAGGAAACAUUUGCUAAUUUUAGGCAAGCUGGUCUGAAAUUAAAUCCAGAAAAAUGUGUCUUCGGAGUAAAGAAGGGAAAAUUUCUUGGUUGUCUAGUUUCAACGAAAGGGAUCGAAGCUAAUCCGAACAAAAUCAAAGCUAUUCUUCGGAUGGAGCCGCCAAGCACAAAGAAGGGGGCUCAACGGCUGACAGGAAGACUGGCAUCUUUGAAUCGAUUCAUAUCUAGAUCAGCAGAGAGAAAUUUACCAUUCUUUGAAGUGCUGAAGUCGGCCGAAGUCUUUCAAUGGGGAUCAGCUCAGCAGAAAGCCUUCGAAGAGCUGAAGCAGUACCUGAUAGAUCUAACAAUGCUAACUCCACCCACGCCAGGGGCACCUCUGCUUUUGUAUAUGGCAGCUUCACACUCUGCAGUAAGUGCGACGCUUGUACAGGAGAAGCUUAAAGGACAAACUAAAAAGCAAGUCCUAGUAUAUUUUGUCUCCGAAGUAUUAAGCUUAUCAAAGAAAAAUUACAUAGAAUUGGAGAAAGUGUUGUAUGCUGUAUUAAUGGCCUCCAGGAAGCUUCGGCAUUCUUUUCAAGCUUACCAUAUAAUUGUUCCCUCGUCACAGCCUCUGAAGGAUAUUAUGAGGAACAGAGAAGCUACUGGAAGGGUUGGAAAGUGGGCCGCGGAGCUCAAUGAGUUCACCAUUGACUAAGUGCACAGAUCUUCAAUUCAAUCCCAGGCGCUAGCAGACUUCAUCGUUGACUGGACGCCAGGGGCUCACUGAAAGGGAAAUGUGCCCUUGGGCCAUUUCUAAGUAUUUUGGUGAUUGAGUGCCAACACAGGUGCUUAAAUGUGAAUCUAUACCCAUGGAUGGACAAAGUGCAAAUCAAGAGUAAAGGUAUGUUUCUAAGCCUUAGUACAUUGUUUUGAAGACUAAUGUAUUGUGUCUAAGUGCUUGAAUCAGGAGAAAUCAAGUCAGAGAAAAGUUGGCUGUGUACAGCCAAAAGGCUGUUCGGUCUGGAGCACCGGACUGUCCGGUGGUGCACCGGACAGUGUCCGGUGCGCCAGGCUGCCUCGAGCGAAGUGGUCGCUCUCGGGAAUUCACCGACGGCGUACGGCUAAAAUUCACCAGACUGUCCGGUGUGCACCGGACUGUCCGGUGAGCCAACUGUCGGCCGGGCCAACGGUCGGCCGCGGAAUCCGUGCGCGACACGUGGCCGAGCCAACGGUCGGAAGGGGGCACCGGACUGUCCGGUGUGCACCGGACUGUCCGGUGCGCCAACGGCUCCCAGAUCUGCAACGGUCGACUGCGCCGUCUAAGGAAAGAAAUCGGGCACCGGUCCGGUGUGCACCGGACUGUCCGGUGCGCCCGAUGACAGAAGGCAAGAUCAGCCUUCCAGAAUUGCUCUCAACGGCUCCUAGCUGCCUUGGGGCUAUAAAAGGGACCCCUAGGCGCAUGGAGGAGUACACGAAGCAACCUUAGAGCAUUCUUGAUCAUCCACACUCAGUCUUUGCGCAUUCGUUUGUCAUUCUCAGUGAUUCGAGCUCCGUUCUAGUGAGAACUUUGAGAUAGUCUCUUGAGCUUGAUUCUUGGCCGUGUGUGUGCGCAUUUUGCUGUGGAUUUGUGUGUGUUGCUUCCCUUCCUUACUCCGUGAUUCUUUGUGAACAUCAAAAGUGUAAGGGCGAGAGGCUCCAAGUUGUGGAGGUUCCUCGCGAACGGGAUAAGAAAAGAAAAGCAUAACACUGUGGUAUUCAAGUUGAUCAUUGGAUCACUUGAGAGGAGUUGAGUGCAACUCUCGUCCGUUGGGACGCCACAACGUGGAGUAGGCAAGUUUUGUACUUGGCCGAACCAUGGGAUAAAUCACUGUGUCUUCUCUGUGUUGAAUUCUUUGUGAUUAUCGUAUUGUGCAAGACCUUCUCUCUAGCCACUUGGCGAUUAUUGCGCUAACUAUAAGUUUAAGUUUCACAGGAUCACCUAUUCACCCCCCCUCUAGGUGCUCUCAAUUGGUAUCGGAGCCGUUCUCUUCAAGAAGGGACUAAUCGCCCGAAGAGAUGGAUCCUAAGGGGAAGGGAAUCGUGAUCAACGACAAGGAGAAGGAGUCCUUCGUCAACGAGCCAAGGGAUGACAAGUCCAAUGACUCGGGCUCGGGCCACAGACGCAAAGAUGGGAAGAAGAAGAAGACAAGACGCAUUAAGGAGAUCGUCUACUACGACAGCGAUGAGUCUACUUCCUCCCAAAAGGACGACGACCACAACGAAUACGAGAGAAAGAAACCGGUCAAUUCGAAUUUUUCUUUUGAUUACUCUCGUAUUCCCCAAAGUACUAAUGCUCAUUUAUUAUCUAUUCCACUUGGUAAACCUCCUCAUUUUGAUGGAGAGGACUACGGAUUUUGGAGUCACAAAAUGCGUAGUCACUUGUUCUCUCUCCAUCCUAGCAUAUGGGAGAUUGUAGAAAAUGGAAUGCACUUUGAUAGUACGGAUAGUCCCAUGUUUAUUAAUGAACAAAUUCAUAAAAAUGCACAAGCUACUACUGUGUUGCUAGCCUCUUUGUGCAGGGACGAGUACCAUAAGGUGAGCGGCUUGGACAAUGCCAAGCAGAUCUGGGACACCCUCAAGAUCUCUCAUGAGGGGAAUGAUGUCACCUUGCUCACCAAGAUGGAGUUGGUGGAGGGCGAGCUUGGACGAUUCGCAAUGAUAAGGGGCGAGGAGCCAACUCAAACAUACAACCGGCUCAAGACUCUUAUCAACAAAAUAAGGAGCUACGGGAGCACGCGAUGGACGGACCACGACGUCGUCCGCUUAAUGCUAAGGUCAUUUACCGUUCUAGAUCCUCAUUUGGUGAACAAUAUUCGUGAAAAUCCUAGGUACACCAAGAUGUCGCCCGAAGAAGUUCUAGGGAAGUUUGUAAGCGGGAGAAUGAUGAUCAAGGAGGCGAGAUACGUGGACGACGCGUUGAACGGUCCUACUCAUGAGCCUCAACCCAUCGCUCUCAAGGCAACGAGGAGUAAGGAGGCACUACCAAGCAAGGUGGCGCAAGUUGAGGCGGCCGGGCUCAAUAAUGAGGAGAUGGCCCUCAUCAUUAAGCGCUUCAAGACGGCGCUUAAAAGUCGCAAGGGACAGCCAAGCAAGACCAAGACAAAGGAGAAGCGCUCGUGCUUCAAAUGUGGUAAGAUUGGUCAUUUCAUUGCUAACUGUCCCGAUAAUGAAAGUGACCAGGAAAAGGGGAACAAAAGGGAGAAGAAGAAGCAUUACAAGAAGGCCAAGGGCGAGGCACAUAUAGGAAAGGAGUGGGAUUCGGGUUGCUCCUCCUCCGACUCCGACAAUGAAGGACUCGCCGCCACCGCCUUCAACAAGUCAUCCCUCUUCCCCAACGAGCGUCACACUUGCCUCAUGGCAAGGGAGAAGAAAGUAAGCACUCAUGAUACUAGUACUUAUGCUUCUUCAAGUGAGGAUGAGUCUAGUGAUGAUGAUGAGAUAGAUUACUCAUGCUUAUUCAAGGGAUUAGAUAGAUCUAAAAUUAAUAAGAUUAAUGAGUUGAUUGAUGCUUUGAAUGAUAAGAAUAGAUUACUAGAAAAACAAGAGGAUCUUUUAUAUGAGGAGCAUGAUAAAUUUGUUAGUGCACAAAAUUCUCUUGCUCUAGAAAUUAAAAGAAAUGAAGUGCUUUCUAGUGAAUUAUCUUCUUGUCAUGAAAUCAUUGCUACUUUAAAAGGUGUUAAUAAUGAUUUAAAUGCUAAACUAGAAGUGGCUAGUAAAUCUAACUCUUGUGUAGAACAUGUUAUGGUUUGCACUAGGUGUAAAGAUUUUAAUGUUGAUGCUUGUAGUGAACACCUAGUUUCAAUUUCUAAAUUGAAUGAUGAAGUGGCUAGUCUUAAUGCCCAACUUAAGACUAGCAAAAGCGAAUUUGAUAAAUUAAAAUUUGCAAGGGAUGCCUAUACGAUUGGUAGACAUCCCUCAAUUAAGGAUGGACUUGGCUACAAAAGGGAAGCCAAGAACUUGACAAGCCAUAAGGCUCCCAUCUCCGCCAAGGAGAAAGGGAAGGCCCCUAUGGCUAGUAGUGUGCAAAAGAACCAUGCCUUUAUGUACUAUGAUAGAAGACAACCUAGAAAUGCUUAUAGGAGUUGUAAUGCAUAUAAUGCCUUUGAUUCUCAUGUCAUGUUUGCUUCUAGCUCUUCUUAUGUGCAUGAUAGAAAUGUUGGUAGGAGAAAUGCUGUUCAUAAUAUGCCUAGGAGAAAUGUUGUUAAUGUUCCUAGGAAAGUAAAUGAACCUUCUACAAUAUAUCAUGCUUUGAAUGCUUCCUUUGCAAUUUGUAGAAAGGAUAGAAAGGUGAUUGCUAGGAAAUUAGGGGCAAAAUGCAAGGGUGAUAAAACUUGCAUUUGGGUCCCUAAGACAAUUGUGACUAACCUUGUAGGACCCAACAAGAGUUGGGUACCUAAGUCCCAAGCCUAAAUUUGCCUUGCAGGUUUAUGCAUCCGGGGGUUCAAGCUGGAUUAUCGACAGCGGAUGCACAAACCAUAUGACGGGGGAGAAGAAGAUGUUCACCUCCUACGUCAAGAAUAAGGAUUCCCAAGAUUCAAUUAUAUUCGGUGAUGGGAAUCAAGGCAAGGUAAAAGGGCUAGGUAAAAUUGCAAUCUCCAAUGAGCAUUCUAUCUCUAAUGUGUUUUUAGUGGAGAGUCUUGGAUAUAAUUUGCUAUCUGUUAGUCAAUUAUGCAAUAUGGGAUAUAACUAUCUAUUUACAAAUGUAGAUGUGUCUGUCUUUAGAAGAAGUGAUGGUUCACUAGCUUUUAAGGGUGUAUUAGACGGCAAACUUUAUUUAGUUGAUUUUGCAAAAGAAGAGGCCGGUCUAGAUGCAUGCUUAAUGGCUAAGACUUGCAUGGGCUGGUUGUGGCAUCGCUGCUUAGCACAUGUGGGGAUGAAGAACCUCCACAAGCUUCUAAAGGGAGAACACGUGAUAGGUCUAACCAAUGUUCAUUUCGAAAAAGAUAGACCUUGUGCAGCUUGUCAAGCAGGGAAACAGGUGGGAGGCUCUCAUCACACCAAAAAUGUGAUGACAACAUCAAGACCCCUGGAGCUGCUACAUAUGGACCUCUUCGGACCCGUCGCCUAUUUGAGCAUAGGAGGAAGUAAGUAUGGUUUAGUUAUUGUUGAUGACUUUCCCGCUUCACUUGGGUAUUCUUUUUACUAGAUAAGUCUGAAACCCAAGGGACCCUCAAGCGCUUCCUCAGGAGAGCUCAAAAUGAGUUUGAGCUCAAGGUGAAGAAGAUAAGGAGCGACAACGGGUCCGAGUUCAAGAACCUUCAAGUGGAGGAGUUCCUUGAGGAGGAAGGGAUCAAGCACGAGUUCUCCGCUCCCUACACACCACAGCAAAAUGGUGUGGUAGAGAGGAAGAACAAGACGCUAAUCGAUAUGGCGAGGACGAUGCUUGGAGAAUACAAGACCCCCGAGUGUUUCUGGUCGGAAGCCGUGAACACAGCUUGCCACGCCAUCAACAGGGUCUACCUUCAUCACCUCCUCAAGAAGACUUCGUAUGAGCUACUAACCGGUAACAAACCCAAUGUAUCUUACUUUCGUGUAUUUGGGAGCAAGUGCUACAUUCUAGUAAAGAAGGGUAGAAAUUCUAAGUUUGCUCCCAAAGCUGUAGAAGGGUUUUUGUUAGGUUAUGACUCAAAUACAAAGGCGUAUAGAGUCUUCAACAAAUCAUCGGGUUUGGUUGAAGUCUCUAGCGACGUUGUAUUUGAUGAGACUAAUGGCUCUCCAAGAGAGCAAGUUGUUGAUUGUGAUGAUGUGGAUGAAGAAGAUGUUCCAACGGCCGCUAUACGAACCAUGGCGAUUGGAGAAGUGCGGCCACAGGAACAAGAUGAACGAGAUCAACCUUCUUCCUCAACAACGGUGCAUCCCCCAACUCAAGACGAUGAACAGGUUCAUCAACAGGAGGCGUGUGAUCAAGGGGGAGCACAAGAUGAUCAUGUGAUGGAGGAAGAAGCGCAACCGGCACCUCCAACCCAAGUUCGAGCGAUGAUUCAAAGGAAUCAUCCCGUCGAUCAAAUUCUGGGUGAUAUUAGCAAGGGAGUAACUACUCGAUCUCGAUUAGUUAAUUUUUGUGAGCAUUACUCUUUUGUCUCUUCUAUUGAGCCUUUCAGGGUAGAGGAGGCCUUGCUAGAUCCGGAUUGGGUAUUGGCCAUGCAGGAGGAACUCAACAACUUCAAGCGCAAUGAAGUUUGGACACUGGUGCCUCGUCCCAAGCAAAAUGUUGUGGGAACCAAGUGGGUGUUCCGCAACAAACAGGACGAGCACGGGGUGGUGACGAGGAACAAGGCUCGACUUGUGGCAAAAGGUUAUGCCCAAGUCGCAGGUUUGGACUUUGAGGAGACGUUUGCUCCUGUGGCCAGGCUAGAAUCAAUUCGUAUCUUGCUAGCAUAUGCCGCUCACCAUUCUUUCAGGUUGUACCAAAUGGAUGUGAAGAGCGCUUUCCUCAAUGGGCCAAUCAAGGAGGAGGUGUACGUAGAGCAACCCCCUGGCUUCGAGGAUGAACGGUACCCCGACCACGUGUGUAAGCUCUCUAAGGCGCUCUAUGGACUUAAGCAAGCCCCAAGAGCAUGGUAUGAAUGCCUUAGAGACUUUUUACUUGCUAAUGCUUUCAAGGUUGGGAAAGCCGAUCCAACUCUGUUCACUAAGACAUGUGAUGGUGAUUUGUUUGUGUGCCAAAUUUAUGUCGAUGACAUAAUAUUUGGUUCUACUAACCAAAAGUCUUGUGAAGAGUUUAGCAGGGUAAUGACUCAGAAAUUCGAGAUGUCGAUGAUGGGCGAGUUGAACUACUUCCUUGGGUUCCAAGUGAAGCAACUCAAGGACGGCACCUUCAUCUCCCAAACAAAGUACACGCAAGACUUGCUGAAGCGGUUUGGGAUGAAGGACGCCAAGCCCGCAAAGACUCCGAUGGGGACCGACGGACACACCGACCUCAACAAAGGAGGUAAGUCCGUUGAUCAAAAAGCAUACCGGUCAAUGAUAGGUUCUUUGCUUUACUUAUGUGCUAGUAGACCGGAUAUUAUGCUUAGCGUAUGCAUGUGUGCUAGAUUUCAAUCCGAUCCUAAGGAGUGUCACUUAGUAGCGGUGAAGCGAAUUCUAAGAUAUUUGGUUGCUACGCCUUGCUUCGGGCUCUGGUAUCCAAAAGGGUCUACCUUUGACUUGGUUGGAUACUCAGAUUCCGACUAUGCUGGAUGUAAGGUCGAUAGGAAGAGUACAUCGGGGACGUGCCAAUUCUUAGGAAGGUCCCUGGUGUCAUGGAACUCUAAGAAACAAACCUCCGUUGCCCUGUCCACCGCUGAGGCCGAGUACGUUGCCGCAGGACAGUGUUGCGCGCAACUACUUUGGAUGAGGCAAACCCUCAGGGACUUUGGCUACAAUCUGAGCAAAGUCCCACUCCUAUGUGACAAUGAGAGUGCUAUCCGCAUGGCGGAAAAUCCUGUUGAACACAGCCGCACAAAGCACAUUGACAUCCGGCAUCACUUUUUGAGAGAUCACCAGCAAAAGGGAGAUAUCGAAGUAUUUCAUGUUAGCAUCGAGAACCAGCUAGCCGAUAUCUUUACCAAGCCUCUAGAUGAGAAGACCUUUUGCAGGUUGCGUAGUGAGCUAAAUGUCUUAGAUUCGCGGAACCUGGAUUGAUUUAUAGCAUACAUGUGUUUAUGCCUUUGAUCAUGUUCCUUUUUGCAUUUUGUUGUUUAUUGUGGUGCUCAAGUUGUACACACACUCCCUGGACCUCACAAGUCCGUUGCAAAGUGAUGCACAGUUUUAGGGGGAGACGUGUUGCAACUUGACCCUUUGAGACUAACCAUUUGUUUGAGUUUGAUUGUUUUAGUCUCAAAGAAGGUUUGAAAGGGAAAGGUGGACUUGGACCGUGAAAGACUUCCACUGCACUCCGAUGAAAAGAGUAAUUUCUCCAAGUUCAUCUUUUAACUCUUAUUGCCUAUUUGCUCUUAAUUGAAGAUUUUGGUGAGGCAAUGGGGUUCUAGGGCCAAGAUUGAUCCCGUUUUGGUGCUUGAUGCCAAAGGGGGAGAAAAUAAAGGCCAAAGCGAUAAAUGGAUCAGCUACCACUUGAGAAAUUUUGAAAAUAGAGUUUUUGAAAAUAGUAGAAUAGAGCUUUUUCAAAACUCUUUUGUUGUCUCUCUUGUCAAAAGUUGACUUCUUGUGGGGAGAAGUAUUGAUUAUGGGAAAUAGGGGGAGUUUUUGGAAUCUUGAAUCAAUUUUCUGUGGAAAACCUCUCUUGAUGUCUCUACAAGUGGAUUUGACUUAGAGAUAGGAUUUUGAGGUUGAUUUGCAAAAACAAACUAAGUGGUGGCAAAGGAAUGAUCCAUAUAUGCCAAAUUGAAUCAAAAUAAAUUUGAGUUUUUAUUUGAAGUGAUAUUGCACUUGUUCUAGUUGCUUUAUGUUGUGUUGGCAUAAAUCACCAAAAAGGGGGAGAUUGAAAGGGAAAUGUGCCCUUGGGCCAUUUCUAAGUAUUUUGGUGAUUGAGUGCCAACACAGGUGCUUAAAUGUGAAUCUAUACCCAUGGAUGGACAAAGUGCAAAUCAAGAGUAAAGGUAUGUUUCUAAGCCUUAGUACAUUGUUUUGAAGACUAAUGUAUUGUGUCUAAGUGCUUGAAUCAGGAGAAAUCAAGUCAGAGAAAAGUUGGCUGUGUACAGCCAAAAGGUUGUUCGGUCUGGAGCACCGGACUGUCCGGUGGUGCACCGGACAGUGUCCGGUGCGCCAGGCUGCCUCGAGCGAAGUGGUCGCUCUCGGGAAUUCACCGACGGCGUACGGCUAAAAUUCACCGGACUGUCCGGUGUGCACCGGACUGUCCGGUGAGCCAACUGUCGGCCGGGCCAACGGUCGGCCGCGGAAUCCGUGCGCGACACGUGGCCGAGCCAACGGUCGGAAGGGGGCACCGGACUGUCCGGUGUGCACCGGACUGUCCGGUGCGCCAACGGCUCCCAGAUCUGCAACGGUCGACUGCGUCGUCUAAGGAAAGAAAUAGGGCACCGGUCCGGUGUGCACCGGACUAUCCGGUGCGCCCGAUGACAGAAGGCAAGAUCAGCCUUCCAGAAUUGCUCUCAACGGCUCCUAGCUGCCUUGGGGCUAUAAAAGGGACCCCUAGGCGCAUGGAGGAGUACACGAAGCAACCUUAGAGCAUUCUUGAUCAUCCACACUCAGUCUUUGCGCAUUCGUUUGUCAUUCUCAGUGAUUCAAGCUCCGUUCUAGUGAGAACUUUGAGAUAGUCUCUUGAGCUUGAUUCUUGGCCGUGUGUGUGCGCAUUUUGCUGUGGAUUUGUGUGUGUUGCUUCCCUUCCUUACUCCGUGAUUCUUUGUGAACAUCAAAAGUGUAAGGGCGAGAGGCUCCAAGUUGUGGAGGUUCCUCGCGAACGGGAUAAGAAAAGAAAAGCAUAACACUGUGGUAUUCAAGUUGAUCAUUGGAUCACUUGAGAGGAGUUGAGUGCAACUCUCGUCCGUUGGGACGCCACAACGUGGAGUAGGCAAGUUUUGUACUUGGCCGAACCACGGGAUAAAUCACUGUGUCUUCUCUGUGUUGAAUUCUUUGUGAUUAUCGUAUUGUGCAAGACCUUCUCUCUAGCCACUUGGCGAUUAUUGCGCUAACACUUAACAAGUUUUUGUGGCUAUAAGUUUAAGUUUCACAGGAUCACCUAUUCACCCCCCCCCUCUAGGUGCUCUCACUCACGAAGAAGGGACAAGCAAGGAUACCGAAGCUUGGACGGUGUUCUGCGAUGGUUCUUGGGGAACCUUCGGUGCAGGAGCAGCUGCGGUUCUAGUGGCACCUUCAAGAGUCAAAACAUGUUUUGCAGUCAAACUGAAUUUCAGUUGCACAAAUAAUAUUGCUGAGUACGAAGCACUUCUAUUGGGGCUUCGGAAACUAAGGGCAAUGGGAAUAAGAAGGGCCAUCCUAAAGACUAACUCUCAAGUUAUUGCUGGCCAUGUGGAUAAGAGCAGCAAGGCACGAGAUCCGAAGCUUGAAAAAUAUUUGGAUGCAGUCCGAAAGUUGGAAGCUUCCUUCAAAGGUUUUUCCGUCAAGAAUAUUCUGAGAGGUGAAAAUGAGCAUGCAGAUUUGCUAGCCAAAACAGCGGCUCAGGGGCUUCCCCUUCCCUCCGAAGUAUUUUUUGAAGCAAUAAAAGCACCUUCGGUUGAGCUCAUGGAGAGAGCAGUGCUUACUAUUUCUCUAGUACACAGUGAAGACUGGAGAACUGAAAUAAUAUCUUUCCUCCAAGGCAAUUGUCUUUCAAGUGACAAAGCUUAUAACAAGAGAAUGGAGGCAAGAACAAGACCAUAUGUAAUAAUAGAAGGAGAAUUGUAUAAACAUGGAGUUUGCUCACCACUCCUUAAGUGUUUAUCAAGAACCGAAGGUAUGGAAUUAAUGAAAGAGAUACAUGCAAGUCUGUGUGGAUCUCACAUUGGAUCUAGGCCUUUGUUGGGAGAAGUCUUUCGACAAGGAUUUUAUUGGCCGAAGGCAGCUUCGGAUGCCGCAGAAUUAGUCCAAAAAUGCGAAGGCUGUCAAAAAUGUGCAAGAGAUCAAAAGCAACCUUCAUCUCUCACUCAAUUAAUACAACCCACUUGGCCGUUACAAAGGUGGGGCCUUGAUUUGCUAGGCCCACUUCCACCAGCACAAGGAAAUCUAAAAUAUGUUGUGGUGGCGAUAGAAUAUUUUUCCAAGUGGAUUGAGGCGAAGCCUUUAGCCACAAUAACUUCGGUUACUGUCCAAAAAAAUUUCUGGCAAAAUAUUGUUUGUCGCUUCGGAGUGCCGAAGGCUAUUACUGUGGACAACAGAACACAAUUCGAUGUUGAAGCUUUCAAAGAAUUCUGUGAACAAAUUAGCACAAAGAUUCAUUUUGCAUCAGUCAGACAUCCAGAGUCAAAUGGGCUUGUUGAAAGAGCUAAUGGCAUUAUAAUGACAGGAAUAAUGAAGUUAAUCUUCAAUCAGCCCAGAGGAAAGUGGCCAAAUGAAUUGAUCAAAGUGGUGUGGAGCCACAACACAACAAUAUCAAGGUCAACAGGUUUUACACCGUUCAAACUAUUGUUUGGUGACGAAGCAAUAACCCCAGAAGAAGCUAAGGCAGGAUCAAUAAGAACAGUGGCUUCGGCAGAAGACGAAGCUGAUUAUUCUGUGGCAAAAGAUGCUAUAGAAGGGAUCAGGCUUCAGGCCGUGGAGAACAUCAAUAAAUAUCAAGCCGAAACAAUAAAGUGGCGUGACAGAAAAGUUCGGCUAAAGAACAUUAAGCCAGGGCACUUGGUACUUCGGAGAGUAGCCAACCCAGAUACAAUAGGCAAGGUACAACUGAAGUGGGAAGGACCUUUUUUUGGUAGUAUCUUCGUCAAGACCCGGCUCUUACAGACUGAAGGAUAUGGACGACAACGACAUUCCUCGAUCUUGGAAUGCGGAUGAGCUUCGGCGAUAUUAUGUCUAGCUUGAUGUAAUCUUUUUUAUUUUUCCUAUGGCACCCUUUUCCUUUCUAAAGGGGGGAAAGGUUUUUAAUGGGGCCAUAGCAUGUAAUUUCCCUUUUUUCUUAUUCAACUCUACGCGAGCAAAAUCCCCCAAAAAUGUAAAUGUAAAAAACUAAGCAUGCACCAUCGAGUGCAGGCAAAAAGGAAAAAACAGGGAGAAGCUCGAAAGUCAUCCCUAAGGGGAUGCAGAGCACGACGAAGCUACAAAAAGUCGUUCCUAAGGGAGCGCAACAUAAGUUUUCUGCUCAAAAGUCGUUCCAAAGGGAAUGCAGAGCUUACAGCGAAAAGUCAAUGUUGAUUCCGCCGAAAUAUAAGGCGAAGCGCGAAAAGUCAACGAGAUACCGCCGAAAUAGAAGGCGAAGAAGUUCAAAAGACGUUCCUAAGGGGAUGCAGAACUUACAGCGAAAAGUCAGCGCUGAUACACCGAAAAAUAAGCAGUGAAGCCAAAAAAUAAACGGCAAAGAGACUUUGGUCAUUCCCAAGGGAAUGAAGGCUAUGGUUGUGGCUUCGUAUGCGUAUGUUUGGACAUUCAUUUGCACGACACAUUACAUCAUACAUCUGCAUUCAUAAACAUUCAUUUAGACAUACAUAGGAUCAUCAUCAUCAUAACAUAGGCGGAUGCUUCGGCUCUAAAUAUAAGGCUUCGGCAAAAGAAAAAAGAAGCAGUUUUAUGCUUCAUUGUGUACGAAAAGAAGGGAAGGUGUUUUUCGCCUUCGGCUCAAAAAAUGCUAAUUUCGUUCACAUUGAAGCACUUCAUACAUUGAUGGAAAGGUAAAAAUAUAUUACAAGGUAUGGACAAAAUUUACAGAGUAAGAUCUAAUUCGUAAAUUACAAUAUCCUUUACAAAGGUUAUUACAAAAGUUCUUAGAGUUUUUUCUAUAGCUAUCUAGUCAAGCUUCAUCAUUGUCUAUUAAGCUUCGGCCUUGUGCUCUUCAGCUUUGUCAACUUGUUCCUCAGCUUCGUCAUCCUAUACAUAUUAAAGUAUUGUAAGGAAAAUUCAAGUUUAAAGGAAAAGGUAAGCACAAGGUAUGAUUUUGUUACCGGCUUAAGAUGACUUCGAGCUUCAUCACAAGCUAUGCUUCGUCCAUCCUUCGUCCAUACUAGUUUUAUAAAUCUGUUUCCUAUGCUUCGGGCAAGACUGGGAAUAUCAACCAGAUCUGCUGGUGAUAAACUAAAGUUGGGUCUAUUGACAACCUUUCCAUGUGUGCAACCAGAUUUCAGGAAGGCGACAGUUGUGCCCCGAGAAGCUACAAGGGCACAGAAAUCACCAUGUCCGGCUAUAAUUUCAUCAAGGUCAUCAAUUUCACCCUCGAUAUGUUCGAAGGCCCCUGGCAAGUCUUCAGUCGAAGGACUAAAUUUUUCACAGUUGGCUCCAACCGAAUUGAAGAUCUGCUUCAACCGUUGUACACAUCGGUUACUGAACUCCAGACAUUUGUUUUGAAGCUCUGUCAAUGAUUUUUGCAGAUUCGAACUUUUCUCGACCUCAGUCUUAAAUUUGGCAUUUAACUUCUGCUUCUCCUAUUCGAAGCUUUCUGACUGCGAGAGAAGCUCCGUAUUUAACUUUGCAAUUUUAGCUUCAGCUUCUGCCAAUAAACCUUCUGUUGUCCGAAGCUCAAAAUCCUUCUUUUCCAGAGCAGCUUCUUGAUCUUUUAAUUUGCUUUCUAAACCCUCAAUUAUAACUUCAUGUUUUUUAUCUUCAAGAUCUUGUUGCAUUCUCAAAGCUUUACUCAACAACAUACUCUGUGCACAAGCAACCUUCGUUACAAAACACCUUCGUUGUUCAAAACAAUAAAAAGUCGAAGAAACGUUUUUACCUUGAAAUUAGAAUAGAAUAAACUACCGACAAGAUGCUGUCGUCGGUAGCGGCUUAUGUCAGUCUCAAGCUUCGGGAAACCAAUACUCUAUGAUAGAGUACCGAUAACCUUCGCUCCGAUUUGAUCUCGGACGCAACCUAACUUUUCAUCGUCAACACCACCAAAGAGUAGGGCCCCUUGUUGAUAUCCACAGGAUAUGGCAUAUUCUUUCAACUCUUCUUUCUCAGCCUUCGUCAACUCUUGUCCGACUAAGUUUUGAAAAUUGAAAAUUUCCUCUUCCGAAGCAUCUUCAGCUAUUUCCUUCUCUUUCUCAGGUACUGUAGCCAUGGCUUCUUCAGCGGCUGCGGCAGCUUCUUCUGUGGCCAUGUCCAGAAGUAUCUUAUCAAUGUAAGAAAGUGUGCUUUCUAAAUGUACAUCUUCGGCUGUGGCAGCUUCGGUAGCUGUUGCGCUCCCAACAGUUGGUGCCUUCGAAGCCAAAGCUGUUGGUGGUGUCCCUUCAAUAACUUCUGUCACUAUAACAAUUCUUCGUUUUUCGGCCCAGCUGCCUUCUUCGUUAUCGAGGGCUCCUUUUCCUUCUGAAAAAGCUUUGUCAGAUGCGGCCCUAGUGGACUUAGCUUGAUAGGCAAAGAUUCAGUCAUUACCUUUAAGAUUUCCUCCACUUCGGUGGCAGAAGGUGUUGCAGCAGUUUCUUCUUCUAUAUCAGUUGCCUUCUGCUUCGAGCCGCAGCCUUUCUUUUCUUCGAAGCAUCUGUCUUCGGCUCAGGCCUCAGUUUUCUCUUUUUUAGUUUUUCUUCAUCAUCUUUUACCAAUUUAGCAUCUUCUUUAUUCAGGACGCUGGCAACUCUCUUUCUCUUUUGUCCUUCGGCGCCUCGGCCCAGUCGCUCAUAGUCAGGAUACUCAAAGUUCAGAGCAUCCAUUACCCGGUUUAACCUUCGCUUCGGACGAGUGUCGAAGGUUGCAGUCAUUAGUUGAUCUUCUUUUUUAGAAUAAUUGCCAAGAAUGUCGUUGCACAUAACUUCAAUUGUGUCUAACCAUUCUUGGCAAGGUACUUUGAAAUGUUUCUUGAACUUAUAAUAGUAGGGCAAUCGAACAAGUUCCCCUUUUUUCUUUUCUCCCUUGAGCUUCGGCAUGUCCCACUCUUUCAAAGUUGGGAACACUCUAAAAGCCAAGAAUUCUUGCACCAGAUCCCUAGUGCCAAUAUGCUCCACAAUAACUCAAAAUUCGCCCAGUGCAAUUUGGCUUGGACUCUUCGGUGUCAUGUUGCACUGGGGCCUGGUUUCUCCGAAGAUUAAUUCUAGUGGACUUUGGACUAGCUUCUCCUUUUCUUCAUCAACUUUCACGUAAAACCAUUCAGUCUUCCAGCCAGCUGGCCACUUGGUACGAUAGCUAGUAACUGGAAACUUUGUAUUUUUGCGAUAGGCAAAAUUGUAGCAGCCGAAGUUUUCGUGCAGCCCAUCUUCUCUAGCUUUUGUUUGAUAAUGAAGCUCAUGUACUCGGCAGAAGCCUUUGGCAAAUGGUUCUACCCCCUGGCUUCGGAGGGCCCAGAUGUAGACACUAAGCCAAACGAUAGCGUUAGGAGUUAGUUGAUGAAGAUAAAUCCCAAACUUCUUCAAAACAUCAACAAUCAUCCCAUUCAAAGGAAAUCUUAAUCCUGCUUUAAAGAAGCUUUUGAACACUACCACCUCAUCCUUUUCCGGCUUCGGAGUAAUUUCCUCUCCGCCAAAACGAAUCAGCUCCUUUUUUGCUUCACUGAAAUAGCCCAACUUCAUCAGCUUAGACAUAUCACCUUCGGUAAUGGUGGAUUUCCCAAACUCCAGGUGGCUGGGUUUAGAUGGCACGACGCUGUAAUCAUCUUCAGAUUCAAUUUCCUCAGCAUCAACCUGCUCAGCUUCAGCGGCAGGUGCAUCCUCCGAUACUACCAGCCUAGACCGUUGCAUCACUUCAGAGAUUGGAGCGGUUUCGGCACCUUCGGCUUCCUCUCCAUCGCGAGUAACCCUAGCUAUUGAGCGUACUCUAGCCAUCUGACAGUUGAAUUUCUUGAUUUUUGACAAAGUUGAAAAUUUUUAAUUUUGCCAAAGCUCUUUCUUGUUACGAAGCUUGAGCAAAAUGAAUAGCUUCAGUUGAGGACGCAGUAAGCAAGCUUCGGCUAUGGUCAAUUUUUUGGCAGCAAAACAGUGCAAUAGCAAUGAAUGUUGUGGUAACUUCACACCUACCUGUCUAUUUAUAUAGUGCCGCAGGUGGGAAGGUAAAUCGUCAAGUCUUCCACACCGCACAAACAACCGCCCGCACCCACUGAACGGUGGGCCACAGAGCCCGAGAAGGUGAAUCGCCAGGACGCGCGUAACUACUGCAUGGUGGGGCCACCUCCCACUCGGAUUAUUUUAAUCGUUUCUCGGCAACGAGCUCAGGGAAGGUAUUUUCGGAUCUUCGGUAUCCCGAAGCCUAAGAGACUUUUUCACGGAUCAAGCUCGUUACGAAAAACGAUCUAGCACCGCGAAUGGGCUACUGUUGGGGGUAUGCUUCGUCGCCGAAGAUCCUGUAAGAAGAAACACCUUCGGUAGAUCUUCUCAAAAGCAGUGCCGAAGCUGUAACCCAUGAAGCUUCGGCAUAGCGGCAUAUCUCAAGACGAAGGAGUGAACCGACUUAAAGAUGAAAUGACCAAUCAACCCGUGGAAGCUUAUGUUAUGAUUGUAAGCAUUUGUAAAGGGCAUGAAUGUAAUUUCUCACAGGCUGUGUCCUGUGUCUAUAAAUAGAUGAACAAUACCCUCGUACUGUUCACGCAAUCUUGUAACCGCUUACACGCGACACUUGGAUUAUUGCCUUCUGCUAAGACGAAGGUAUAAAUGUGAUUAAAUGUUAUGUUUUAAUAUUUGAAUUUAUAUAAUGAAAUAUAUGAAUAAGUUUAUGUGUUUCAGUAUAUUAUUUCUUCAUGUCUUAUAUUUUAUUUCAUCUUUCAUUACUUCACAAUCACGAAGGUAUGACCUUCGUUAUUUUUGCUCAUGACCUUCGUCCGAAGUUCAUUAUAUCCUCGGGGAGAUAAUGCUUUAAUGGACGAAGGUCAUUAACAUUUAACAUUUUAUGUUGCCUUGUUCUUAAUUUGAAGCAUUUGAGAACAAGUCCCCAACAUCUUCAUGGCCCCUGGUGAGGCCAUGGAGCUUGGAGGGUGUCGCAACAACUCCCUGGCCGCUAACAAUGCUCCCGGGGUCGCCAUCGACGGAGUUCGGGACGUCUGUGCAGUCAUGUGCUGCCGUGCGAUGUGCAGAGCAGCAGUGCCUGGCACAGGGCAGUUGGGAACCUGCGGUGUGGAAGAAGCAGCUUCUCCCUCCACCGCGAAAUCUACCGAAGUCUCGGCACGGUGCUCUAUGAUUUGCACCAUCAUGCUUGAGCAAGGAGACAAGCAAAAACCUAAAGCCUAGCCCCCUACCUGGCGCCAAAUGUCGGAGAGGAAAUCUCCGGCUGGGUAACAAAGUGCACCCGCCCUUAAUCCUAAGAUGAGGAGGGGCCUAAGCGUUUUGCUUGUUAGUUGGAAAAUGGGAAGAACACAAGAACACACAAGGAUUUAGAGUGGUUCGGGCCGCCGGAGCGUAACACCCUACUCCACUGUGUGAUGUAUUGCUUGAGAGCUUGUAUGAACUAGUGAGUGUCUGAGUGAGCCUAAGAUCGGAUCCUCUGUAAUGUCGCAUGCCUCCCCUUUUAUAGCUAAAGGGGGGCAUGCACAAAAGGUACUGAGCCCUGACAUGUGGGCCCAGGGACAUAAUGAAUAUAGCACUUGGAGCUACAAAUGUUCGCUGCUGGGGCAAUCUUCUUGUGCCCUGACAUCCGAGAUCUACGUAUCCUCGGCGUGCAGGGGAAGCUUCUUGUAGAAGGGAUAACAAACAGUGCACCACACGGCAUGGGCGCACUGUUUGUUAACAGACCGGACAGGCGCGCCGUCUGCUGGACGAUCCUGACGCCGUCUGCCAGCGGAGUGGACAAGACACAUUAAAUGCUGAGAGGGCACGUCACCCGUCAGCGUGGUGGCAGGCGGCACGUCCUCUCCGUAAUAAAUGCAGAGGCUGCGCGGCUUUAGGGGCCUUACGCCAGGCUUGGUCCGUUGGCCUAUGUCAUGGGCCGCAAGCCAUGCGGUAGCAGCGGGUCUCCGCUUGAGCGGGGAGCGUAGGGCAAGGCCUGGGCACGUGCCAGCACCGGACCCUUACUCAUGCUGGGGUCCUCCCUGUCCCGGGACCUUGCUAAGGCCCAGACCUUACUCGGAGGGACCUGGGGCCCACCCGAGGGACCCGGCAUGCCUUCUUGGGAGCUCCGGACUUGUAUGUACAGGGGUCCGGUGUCCCUCUAUGGAGGUCCGGACCUAAUGAUGCAUCCUCGAAUGUAUUACCUUUCGUUGCCACGUGGUGCCCUUAGACCUACCCAUGUGGUGGGUCGGGUGCCGUUCUCCGUGUGGCCUGGGGACGUCGUACGUGUACAGUGUCUUCAUACUGUAGAAGAGGGUACCCCUGAUUCAGGGUACCGAUAGGGACCGAGGAGAACUUCCGCACUGAGAACGUCCAGUUCGACGUUGCGGAGGUUAACCUCCCUUUCAAUGCCAUCAUUGGCAGGCCAGCCCUAUACCGGUUCAUGGUCGUUUCCCAUUAUGGGUAUUUGGUCCUCAAGAUGUCAUCCCCUGCUAGGGUCCUCACCGUGCCAGACGACCGCCCCGCGGCGCAUGCAGUUGUCGAGAAGUUGCACGCUCUGGCGGUAGAAGCCGCUCGCCCGGAUGACGAGGGGAGGGACCCCUCGACUUCCUGUACCAAGACGCCUACUAAGGUGCCUAAGGUGCAACCAUAUGGGGCAGACGGCGUCCCCGUCAAGACCAUCUGACUCAGCGCGGAUUCCUCCUAGAGCACUCGCAUCACGGGUGAUCUAGAGGAGAAAUAGGAACUCGCGCCCAUCGCCUUCUGCCAGGCAAAUGCCGACGUAUUCACAUGGGAACCAUCGCAGAUGCCUGGGAUCCCUAGGGAGGUGAUCGAGCACCAUCUGAAGAUCCACCCUGAUGCCAAACCGGUGAGUCAGAAGCCUCAGAGACAGUCCAUCGAGCGGUAGGAUUCAUCCGUAAGGAGGUCUAGAAGCUGCUGGACGCUGGCUUCAUCGAAGAGGUCCAUCACCCAGUAUGGCUGGCCAAUCCAGUCUUCGUUCCCAAGGCAAACGAGAAGCUUCGGAUGUGCAUCGACUACACCAACCUCAAUAAGGCCUGUCCCAAGGACCCAUAUCCACUUCCACGAAUAGAUCAAAUCGUGGAUUCUACCUCUGGAUGCGACCUCUUAUCCUUCCUAGAUGCUUACUCUGGUUUUCAUCAGACCCAGAUGUCUAGACAAGAUAGGAAGCAUACCGCUUUUGUAAGCGUGGAUAGGCUAUACUGUUAUGUUGUAAUGCCUUACGGUCUGAAAAACGCCUUACCAACAUUUGUACGGGCGAUGAGUAAGACUUUUGGUUGAUUAGGGAUAGGGUAGAGGUAUACGUCGAUGACAUUGUGGUCAAGACUAAGAGAGGGUCGACCCUAGUGGAAGACUUAACCCUGGUCUUUGACAAGCUGCGCGCAACCCGCACAAAGCUGAACUCGGACAAGUGCGUCUUUGGUGUCUCCGCAGGAAAGUUGCUGGGAUUCCUGGUUUCACACCGGGGCAUCGAAGCAAACCCAGAGAAGAUCAAGGCAAUUGAGACAAUGAGGCCUCCGGCCAGCAUCAAGGACGUCCAGAAGCUUAUGGGGUCACUAGCCGCCCUUAGCCGCUUCAUCUCAAGACUGGCUGAGAGGGCGCUGCCCAUCUUCAGGCUAUUGCGGAAGUUCGGUCCAUUCUCUUGGACCGAAGAGGCAGAACGAGCCUUUCAAGAGUUGAAGCAGCACCUUGUAUCCCUGCCAAUACUGGUAGCUCCGGAGCCAGGGGAGCCGUUGUACUUAUACAUUGCAGCGGCUUCCGAGGCGAUGAGCAUGGUGCUAGUCGCCAAAAAGGCGGCACAACAUCCCCAGGGGAGUCAAAAAGUUCCCCUAGGAAAAGGUGGUGGUCUGACCACCACGAUGUUGACGAAAGGCCAGGAGUUUGAGGACUCGGGACCGACUGCAGGGGUUUGAACCAUCCAGAAGCCGGUAUACUACGUCAGCGAGGUCCUCCAUGAGGCAAAGGCCAGGUACCGUGAGACGCACAAGCUUAUCUAUGCUAUACUUGUUGCGUCCAGGAAGUUGCGCCACUAUUUUCAGGCACACAGAGUUGUGGUGGUGACCUCCUUCCCGUUAAAGGCCAUUCUCCACAACUCUAACGCCACGAGCAAUAUCGCCAAGUGGGCUGCGGAGCUUGCUGAGUUCCAACUGGACUUCCAGCCUCGCCAUGCUGUCAAGAGCCAGGUCUUGGCCGACUUCAUAAUGGAGUGGACCCAUCUCCGAGCACUCCUGGGGGUCCGGAUCCCGAUUCGGACCCCACACCUGCGGAGCCUAGGGUUCUGGUCUUCACCGAGCCCCACUGGACCCUCUUCUUCGACGGGUCCACCCGCUAGCAGGGUGGCGGUGCUGGAGUGGUCCUCAUCGACCCAAGCGGAGAUCAAGUGAAGUACAUGGUGCACCUUGAGUUCAAGGCCACCAACAACAUGGAAGAAUAUUAAGCAGUGAUCUUCGGCUUGUCUGUGGCCCUAUCCCUAGGGAUCCGCCAGCUCCUCAUGAAGGGGGACUCCCAGCUGAUUAUCAAGCAGGUCCGUGGAGAAUGUAGCUACAAUGAGCCCAAGCUCGCAGCUUACCUCCUCCACGUAAGGAAGCUGGAAAAGGACUUCAUUGCCUUGGAACUGCAACAUGUUCCUCGGGCUAACAACUCAGCGGCAGAUGAACUCUCCACGAGGGCAUCAACUUGGGCACCUGUGCCCGAGGGCGUCUUCGAAAGACAGCUACUGAGACCUACCGCCCAGCCUGCCGAACCGGGUGAAGGGGGCGAGACUAGCACCUCGAAGCUAGCGGUCCCGGUGGCGUUCCAUCCGUGGAACCCACCAAGGAUUGUGUGUGCUACAGAGGGUCCCGCCAACCUCUUAGCGCCACAGCCAGUGGCUCAGAGUGGUCCAGAUGCAUGGAUCUCUGAGAUCUGGGACUACCUGAAAGAAAAUAUCCUUCCUGAAGACCAUGUGACCACAGAGCGCAUAGUGCGGUUGGCUAAAUGAUACACGGUGGUAGAAGGGGAUCUAUACCGUCGUGGCGCCAACGACAUUUUCAUGCGGUGCAUCACCCAGGAGGAGGGUCGUGCGCUACUCGCGAAGAUCCAUGGAGGAGAGUGUGGAAGUCAUUCAUCAUCCCGCACACUAGUUGGUAAGGCCUUCCGGCAUGGCUUCUACUGGCCAACUGCUCUCCAGGAUGCAGCUGAGUUGGUAAAGUCCUGCGAAGCAUGUCAAUUCCAUGCAAAGCAGAUACACACACCGGCUCAGGCUCUACAAAUGAUUCCACCCUCCUGGCCAUUCGCUGUAUGGGAGGUGGAUAUCCUGGGGCCAUUCCCCAGGGCUGUCGGCGGGUACCGUUUCCUCUUUGUCGCCAUCGACAAGUUCACAAAGUGGCCAGAGGCUACCCCUGUGAUUAGUAUCACCCAAGGUGCUGCUGUUUCUUUCCUCAAGUCAAUUGUCUGCAGAUUUGGGGUCCCAAGCCGUAUAAUUACGGACAAUGGGACCCAGUUCAAAAGUUGGCUCUUCCAAGAGUAUUGCGAGGGCAUCGGCACCCAGCUCUGCUUUGCGUCUGUGGCUCAUCCCAGGAGCAACGGCCAAGCUGAGAGGGCAAACGCAGAAAUCCUCAAGGGACUCAAGACACGCACCUAUGACUGCUUAAAAAAGCAUGGUGCAAAUUGGGUCAAUGAGCUUCCAUCCGUACUAUGGGGAACCGGACCACACCCAGCCGAGCUACCAGGGAGACCCCGUUCUUCCUGGUCUACGGGGCCGAAGCCUGCCUUCCCCCGGAAAUCAUUAUGGGCUCCCCAUGAGUCCAGUCUUUCGAUGAGUCUAUGCAGGAACAGCUACGGCGUGAGGACGUGGACUUCAUCGAUGAACGCAGAUGGCAAGCGGCGAUCCAAAAUGCAUGGUACAACCAAGCGCUCAAGCACUACCACCAGCGGUUUGUGCAUAGUAGGGAGCUCAAGGUCGAGGACCUGGUCCUAAGGCGAGUACUGAACCGAGAAGGGCUCCAUAAACUCUCCCCCAGUUGGGAAGGACCCUUCAAGGUGAUGGAAAUAUGCCGACCCGGGUGUGUCCGUCUUGCCACAAUAGAAGGAGUACCUCUUCCCAAUCCCUGGAAUAUAGAGCAUCUCCGUAAGUUCUACCCAUAAAAGCAAAACUGGGAGGGUUGAGUUUUCUUCCUUUGUAACUAGGUUGCACAUAUGUGUAUGUCAAUCCGGUGAGGUCCGCCCUCGUAAGCCCGGUCUAUUGGUCUACACCCAUGUAUAUCAAGUUAUAAGGAAAUGAUUUACCCCCUAGAUGUGCUUUUGUGAUGGUUUUAUUCUACUUCAGUUUACAAGCAUUACUUUUUAUCUAACCCACCCAUACAGUUUCCCACCCUUGUUGGUAUGAUGACAUCCAAAUUGAGUAGCCAGGCUUGCAGUUCAAGACCCCUUUACUACUACAGGGGGUCCGGCAACCUGCGGAGCAGUUCUAGAGAAUGGGCGCUCGCCUCCUGGAGGGGUCCGGAGUUGUGUAGCCACUUAGCAUGGUUUCGUACCCUAAGCCUGCACGCUCCACCACUCUGCAACGGGCACCCUAGUAUUUGGAACUGUGUUCCUGUGGGUCCGGGCAUAUGGCUUGUUUUCCCAGGCUAAAUCAUGCAGGUCCUGUUGCAUGAAUCAAAGGAUGGCAGAUACCAGACGAUGGGUCCUAUUGGUGUGCUCCUAACACUUCAAAGUCGAAGCUGUGUGCAGGUCCAGGUCCCAGUCCAGUAGUAGGUAGUCUAAAACUAUAGAGACUACCUCCUAGGGGCCGGACCACCAAUUUUAUCUUUGGUAUACUGGUAUCCAGCCUCGACACGUCGAGCCUACCUCCCAGGGGGGUCAAGUACCAAGGGGGAGUUGAUGACGCUACACACAGCAAGGAAAAAUAACAUACAGAUAAGUUUAAGUUCCAAUGCUAUCUCAUUAGCGGUUCUUAGAAUAUCUUACAAAAUCAAAAGUUAUUACAGCCGCUUCCCAGCGGAACCCUUGCUUUGUCUCUACAGGUCGUCAACAGGAUCGCGCUGGAAGCACUCGGCCACCAGCUCCACGGCAUCUUGUACACUCUCCCGGGUGGCGUCUUCUGUGGCGGCUACCGGACCAGCGAUCAUCGGCGCCAAGGAUAUGGCGGGGUCGUGACUCCGGAAGCACUUCAGGACGUAUUCAACCACCGCCCGGCAGAGCUUGCCUCCCUCUGCCUCCAAGCGGGCCCCGAGGAUCUGGUCUAGGCGGCGGAGGCGAUCGGCGGCGGAGUCCAGCACCGGGAGCGCAUCAGAGAUCAACGUUAGCAGCUCCGACACUGGGAUGGGGCUCAUUCCUAGCGGCACCAGUGUCGUGCUUGCCUCGUCGGCCCACACAGCAAUAUGCUGGACCCCGGCGCGGUGCUCCGCUUGGAGAUCUUCAAGGGCCUUCCUAGUGGCCUCCAUCGCCUAGGGACCCGGUGCCGCCUGCGCUGCGUUGAACUGGCGGAUCUACUCCUCCAACUUCCUCUCUUUCUCCUCUGCCUCGAGCUCAUGCUCGGCCAGCAACUCGCCCCGCCGGGUGAGCAUUUCUUCCCUGAAGACGAGAUCUGUCUCUCGCCUGGCGAGGUCCGUCUCCCGCCUGUCCAAGGACUGCUCCUUCGCCUUAAGGUUCUCCUCGGCGAGGGCGGUGUCGCUGGCCUUGCCCUCGAGCUCUUGCUCCCACUUUUGCAGCCUCUCCACAGCCUUGACCUGGUGGGCCCGCUGGGAUUCCAGAGUCUGGUCCAGGACGCUCAGCUUGGCCUGAUACUCUAUCGUGAGGGCCUCCCGCUGAGUCACGGCCUCCUCCCUCCGGGAUGCCUUCAGCUCCCUGGCGCACACCUUCUGGAGGUCCCUCUUGUACUCCUUGUGGUCCCGCUUGAGUUGGGACCGCUCGGAGAUGAACUGGCGCGACGCCGUCUUGGAGCGCUCCUCCAGUUGGGUGUGCCAGUCACUAAGGUGCUAGUGCUCAACCUCAAGCGCCUCCCACUCCUGCAAGAUUGCUGCCCUAGUGUAACUAAGGACCUGGUGGGCAUGGGACAGCAUACAGGGGAGGGGGACUGGGGCAGCUUCUUGCUCGGCACCAGACCGGAGUCAUCGCCCGAACACCACCUCCAUCUCCUCCGGAGCAGGUGUGAGGUUAGAGCUAGACGUGCCUCCUGCGUCACCCCCAGUGUCGGGAGUGGGCACGGAUCCCCCAGCUGGGACCUCCUCCGCCACUGCGACGCCGCCUGACGCUGGCGCCGCUGUCGCCGGACUCCCGACUAGGGCAUGGAAAGCUACUGGCGCUGUCUUGGCAGCAGCCGGGGGCGGAUCGCCAGCACCACCCUCAGCAGAUUCUUGCUGUUGAGAGCCAGACCUGUCGGUGGGCCUGGUAUCUGGCGGAGGAGGCAUGACCUUGGAAGCAGAGGGGGAGGAAGCCCUGGAAAACAGACGAUGGGUUAAGACCUGUUGGCAUGAUGAUCGCCGCUCCUGCUGCCGCUGCUGUUGUGGCUGCUGCUGCUGUUGCGGCUGUUGCUGCUGUGCUGGUGGUGGUGUUCCUGGGGGUGAUCACCCCUAGAUGGUGGUGGCGGCGGCGGGACCGGAGGACUGACGCGCCUCUGCGCGCCGUGGGCCUAGGAGCUGGCCUCCUCGGCCCCACCAGUAGUCCUCUGGCGCUUCUGGGGGGGCUCCAAAAUGAGCGACCCGUCAGCGUGAUGCAGCCUGCGUCGCCUCUCCUCCUCUGACCCCCCGGAGCUACCUGGGGCGGGAGCACCGGCGGAGGCACCGCUUGCAGCCCCUUUGCCCUUGUCCAAGGGGCUGGGGGCCACAACGGGAGUGGCGCUGCGAGCCACACCGGCGGGCUGGGGACAUCCAGCCGGCGCAUUGGAGAUCCGGAUCCCGCGGUGGGGGUCCCGGCCGCCGGUCUGGCGAACCACCAUGCCACUCUCGUCGAGGGUCGGUAGCGUGGCCAAGAUCGUCGUCCUCAGGCCUGGGUCAUCGUAGAGCGCAGGGAUGUUCCGGGGGAGUAUCAGGGACUCAAGGACGAAAGUUUCCCCAGUAAUCCCUCCCACCAGAACUGCCAACUCAUCCCAGGAUAGAUCGGUGUCCGGCCCACGCUGGACCGUGCCGAUGUCGUUCGGGCCAGUGAACCAGCAGCACAGGCGCGGCCUCCUCUGCAGCGGCGCGAUCCAGCGCUUCAGGAGGUCACCGACCACGUGCAUCGAUGUCGAGCCGCCCGUAGCCAAACCCUUGAUCAUGUCCAAUACGGGCAGGAACUCUGGCGAAAGGGACGACUUGGUCCUCCACUGCUUGCGGUCGAGCGUUGUCCCAUCGUUCGGCAGGACAAGGCGGUCGUUGGCCUCGGCGCUGGCAAUCACCCAGUCACUGCACCAGUUCUCCCACCUCGCGCCGCCAAAGGUGGGGAUGUAGACGACAACUGGAUCUGGCCUCGUCUGGAAGUAGUAGGCAUCGAUGUGGUCCCUAGUCUUCCCGGACUUGACCAGCACGAAGAAGUAGCGGAAGAGGGAAGUACAGGGGGCCACACCUACGAACAUCUCGCAGAGGUGGACGAAGAUGGCGGCCUGGAGGGCGGAGUGGGGCGUGAGGUGUUGAAGCUGAAGCCCGAACUCCUCCAGCAGCAGCAAGAAGAAGGGCGAGAUCAGCAGCGCCAACCCGCAGGAGAUGUAGGAGGUGAACAGCAUGAACUCCCCGGCGGCGAGAUCGCCAAGGGGGACGGCGCCGACGCGGAUUCUUCCGGUGAGCCCUGGCGCGCUCCACCCAAGCAGGCCGCGCACCAGGUUGAGCGUCUCCUCAGACUGAAAGCGGUCAGGAUGACCAAGCAAAGCCAUGGCAUGUGCGGCGGCGCGGGCGUGGAACAGAAGAGCACGAAGGCAAAGGGGCGCAGACGAUUGGGAGAGAAUACGAAAAGGUAACUGCUGCACGCGGGGUGAAUCCUUUUUCAAGGAAACCUGAGUCCUUGUUCAGGGAAACCCUUCCACGCGUCCCUGAAUCGCCGCAAGAAAUCCCGCCUAACGCGCACCUAGGACCCAGACAGCCCACUCUAUGACACGGGGGGCUUGGGUCCACAAGUCAUACAGGUUGCGUGUCGGAUUUCGGGUGCGGAAAGAGCGAACCGCCGCGUGAACCACUGCGCGCGAUAGCGCACCUCCUCAGGGCCGCUGCAGAAGACAAAAGGUUAUGCAGCGGCAACGAGGCGUCCAGCGCGUGGCUCGAUGAAACCACCAGGCGUGGGGUCGUGGGUCAGUCAGUCGUGGAGAUAGAUAUGGCAGUUGACAUGACUGAAGGCAGAUUGACAGCGGGCGCGUGAGCAGAUGCGCUAAAACGGCGCGCUAAUCACCGAUCAGGUCAUGUUGAAGCAAAGUACAAAGCUUUGGCCCCACCUGCAGGCUCACAUCCUCCCCUGAGGUGAGCCCGGGGGCCACUGUCGGUACCCUGAAACUAGGGUACCCCUUACUGCUGUGUGAAGACGCAGUACCCACGUGGCUAUCUUUAGUCGCGUGGUAAAGGAGCUGUAUGUGGGACCAGGCCAUGACUCGCCCCAGCCUCGGGCGACUACUCUGGCCAGCAACAACACCUGACCCCACCACGUGGGCAGCUCCGGGGCCGCCACGUGUCCAGAGAAAGUGAUAUAUCCAAGGCAUCAACAGUGAGUCCGGACCCCCAUGGGAAGUGUCGGACCUGGUCUGGUGUGAUCCGUACCUAUCCGCAUACACUCCUGCUCCCCGCUCAGGCGGAGACCCGACGCUGCCAUGUGGCAUACUGCGCGCGUCAUAAGCCAACGGGCGGAACCUAGCAUGACGCCUCUGGGCUACGCGCGCCUUCGCAUUCAUUACGGAUAAGACGUGCGCCUGUCCAUUCCACUGACAGGCGGCGUGCUCAGUCCACGAUACGUGGGUCGUGCAGUUACUCACCAUUACUCCUGCGUUACCAAGGGUUACUACCUAUCAAUGCUGCAUGGACUGCAGUCAUCAUGACUCCCGCUGAUUACUCAUGUGUUACUCUGUCAGCAUUAGUUAUUCACAUAAUGUAUUUCUUCCAUUAUGCUCCUGGGCCCACAUGUCAAGGCUUAGCAUCCUUGUAUGUGCCUCCCUUAAACUAUAAAAGGGAAGGCACACAACGCUACAAGAGACGGACUCAAUUACACGCUCACACAUACUCAAUACAACUUACACACAGUGGAGGUAGGGUAUUACGCUCCGGUGGCCUGAACCACUAUAAUCCCUCGUGUCCUCUCGUGUUCAUCCCGAAUUCACCAGACAGGCAACCGCUUAGGCCCCCUCCUCAUCUUAGGAUUAGGGCGGGUGCGUUCCGCCACCCAGCCGGUGGAUUUCCCCACCGACAAUGUUAUUAAUCUCAUUUAAACAAUGAGUGUAUGCCCUAAAUUCUUUGUUCAACCUCUUUGAUAAGUUUGAUAAUACAUGCUAGUCAUUGAUGGUUACAAAAACUAAAGCUAGUAGGUCAAAUUCUUUAUGUUUGUGCUCAUCGCAUGUACGCAUUCCUUUAUACAUAACUAUAAAAGUUCUUUAGCCAAUGGUUUUAGGUACACAUCGAUGUUAUUGUCAAGUUCCUUUGGGACUUCUAUAAGCUCUAACAUCACAAUAAACUUCUACUUCAAGCAUAGCUAUGAAGGUAGUUGUACAAACAUAGAGUCAUGUGGCUACCGUGUUCUUGCCCCCACUUUGAUUUCCAAUUGUGAUUUUGCUCCUACUUUUCAGACUUUUCGAUUUUAUCCCCAGUUUUUAGAUGAAGUCACUGAGUUAGAGGUGCUUAAUGGUGUUCAAAAUGUUGUAAAAAGGCAACAAUACCACUUAUUGAAUAUUGUGGUUUUACCCCCUUUUUACAACAAGGCAAUUUAGAUCAAAUUCAGAAUUUGAGCAUCAUUUUGGCACCAUUUUCCCACCAUUUUGGCUGCACAUAUAUGGCAUAAAUCACAACACAGAGAACACAAAUGUAGUAUACAACAUCUACACUAAUUAAUUUGAGAAGAAUUCCAUCAUUAUUUCAGUAGAACAGUGGCACACAAAAACAUUUUAGCACCAUCACACUACCAUUUCAUCACCAUCACUAAGUCUAGAAAGCAGGGGAAAAUCACAAAUGGAAAUUAAGGAGGGGGCAAGAACACAACAACCCCUAGGGUCAUAGACCAUAUGCUAUGACUACUGACCAUUUCGCUUAAAGGAUUCAUGACAUCUGUGAUUAAACUAGACCUUAUGUUCCUCACACAAAUUAAUAUCGGUUGGUGACUCUGACCGGUACUAAAGCCAAGAUAUUAGUAUCGGUUGGAGCCACCAACCGGUACUAGUGCUCGCGCUAGGGUGAGACAAUUAGAAAUAAUACUUAUACUUGUGUUACGAGUUGUAAGUUAACCCAUACUAACUGCUAGGGAUCCAAAUCCCAUUUCUAUAGUAGUGUAUUUGUAUCUAUUGAUGAUGUGGACAAACUUCUAUAGACACUAGAUAAGAAUAUUAGGGUUUUCUAUAUGCAGAAGAUUUGUUUUGUAUCAGUCUAUAUAGUUUAAAGUACGUAGCUAUGUCAAUUAUAUGGGCAGUUCGUCUAGCGGUGUAAAGUACAUUUCCAUAUGCAGGGAUGGAGGCAGCGGUGGGGCGGUUGGGGCGGCUCGAGCCCCCUACCUUUGCCGAGCCUAUGGAGUCCCACUAGAGCCUCUCCUAAAAUUUUUAGUGUACGCAUACAAUGUAGAAGGGGCUCCUAUACUACAGUGAUUUAAUUCAGCCCCUCCUAUUUUUUGGUUCCGUCCAUGUCCAUAUAUACACAAUGCAAUGUCAACUGAAACAUCUUUAAACCGACAGUGGAAAUGUUAGUCUGAUGAUGGAUAGCUAGCCAAGCAAAGUUAAUUCUUACUGAUAUAUUGAAGUAAAGUCAUGGUGCAAUAUAUUUGAACCACUUAAUACUCCCUCCAUCCCAAAAUAUAAGUCAUUCCAAGAUUCUUGGACAGAAUAAAUAUAGUGUGAAAAUAUAUUUAAUGGAGAAUCUAAUGGUAUACAUUCGAUUUUGUAAACAUUAUUACUUCAUUGUAUAAAUUUGAAAAAACUUUGACUCUGCAAAAUCUUGUAAUAACUUAUAUUUUAGAACGAAGGGAGUACAUUUGUUAGCCUUCCACUCAAAUAAACAUUGAUUCAUAUUGCAUGACGUUUAUUAUAAUACAUGAUCCUGAGUCACAUGUGUGUGUUAUACAUACACUCCAUCUGAGUCCUUGUUCGGUUAUUUUAAUUACAUGUGGAUUGAAGUGUAUUAGAAUGGAUCUUGAUUUGCUAUGGAUUUAAACCGACUUAGGCCUUGUUCGUUUGUUCAGGAAUGGACUAGGAAUCAUUCCAGGUGAUCAAAACUUAUAUAAAUUAUAGAAACAAACCGGCUAGGAAUUGUUCCAUGCCUCCAUUCUGGAAGAAACGAACGGCCCCUUAAUACCAUCCAAUCUAUAUGGAUUAUUGUUCAAACGAUUCUAUAUCAACUUGCUGUUGUAAAACAUGACUAUGUGGUGCAUGUAUGCUGCAGUGGGCUCAUCUCCCAAUCUCCCUCGGCUCCAUUUCGGCCACAGCGUCGCUGACGGCGGCGGUGGCAACUAGGGAAGACGAUGAUUACGGAUCGAGCUCUUCGCCUUACACAUAUAUAUGCAGUGUGCUACGUCGUGCUUGGAUUUUGUGAGCCUUAUUAAGUUUUUCGAUAACCUGUGUUUUCAGACCUGUGGGUACUUGCAUGCAUGAAUCCAGCCUUGCGUGUAGUAACAACGUGUUUGGUUGGGUGGCUGAGUGGAGAAGCUGCAGCCGCGGAUCCUUAAAGCACACUUAGUUUGGUUGACAUCUCUACUGAGCCGGGUUACACAGAUGCAAGUAGGGGGCCUGAGCCAGGCCGGCUGGCGAAGCCCAGCCUAAGCUUCUGCGGGCGGUGAGGACGAUGGGGUGCAGCGGCACAUUUUACUAAAAGAUUGUUUAGUUUGUUUUUUAAUUAUAUUUUCUAAUUAAAAGAUUUAAUCACUGAACCGAUUUCAUAUUUGUAUUUUUGAUAUUUUUUCGGACAAAACUAGAUCAUAUAUGUUACAUAAAAUUUGAAGAUUUAUUUGUGAAUUCUUCUCCGGUACAUGUUUUGAUACAAGCAACCAAACAAUGUCUCAUAGUAGCCAGGCUGAAUUAAACCAAGUAACCAAACAUUGAACUGUUGCAUAGAUUAAACCAGGCCACCUAUAGCCUGGCUGACUAGUGUGAGCCAGGAUCGACAGGGAAGGGAAUCAAUCACAUGGUAACUAACAUGCUUGAUGCUUCACAGGGGGAUAUAUAUGAUAUAUGCAUCCAUGGUGUAUGACAUUACUAAAUAAAUGGAAAAUAUUUGUUCAUAAAGAGCUUCUAAUCACUGAUAGAAUGUGUGUGAUCUUCUGAUUCUGUUACUGUGCAUCUGAUUGCGUUGCAAGCAACAAGCUCUUCAGCUGCAACUUCGGGAACAAAUGAGAAUUGAGAAGUACUAGUGCAUGAUGAAACGUCAACUAGUACGCCAACCUGAAAAGUACGGGUGCCCGAAAGAAAAUACUCGGCAAAUUAUUUAGCACUCGGCAAAGAGUCGAAUUUCGAUAGUGCAUAAUAUGCUCUAAAUUUUAUAUUAUAAAAUUUAAGAAUUAGAUCGGAUUAGUAUUUGGCCCUAUAUCAAUUUAUUUUUGAAAUAAAAUUAAUUAAGGACUCAAAUAAAUGGUGAAGAAAUAUUUAGAUCAUCAUCCAUUACCAUCCAAUCCUCGACACACAGUUUUGGAAUACACUACUAUAUAAAAACGCAUGCCUGCACUGGCGAUAAUGGUAUUUAUCGCUGUUAUUGUAACGGAAAGAGUGUCAUUGCUGAUUUUAUAACUCCACGGACUCAGUAAGCUCAUUAUCGCUUCGAAAUUUAGCUUCUCGGCUCCGUGAGCUGCUAAGGUGGCCACAAUACCGAACAUUAUUUAGCUAUUGGUAUCAGAGCAGUGGCAGAUUCAGGAUUUAAAGCUAGGAAAAGGUAAAAAAAAUUAACACAUAAUACUAUAAUUUAUUUUGUACUACCUAUAUAAUUUCCAUCAAUUUAGCCAAGAUGUCUCAUAAUGUAUUUAAUUCAACAAAUUAAUAGGUAGCAAGAUGUAUAGAUUUGUUUCUUUUGAUCUAAAUGCUGAGAACAAAUUUAAUUUUAGACCAAAUUCUAGGAUAGUCGGGCGCCUACCUAGGCUACCCACUAGGUCCGCCCCCGUUUCAGAGUUAGAUGGAUUGGUUUACCACCCCUGCCUACGGCACACACAGUUUUGGAAUACACUACUAAAAACGCCUGCCUGCACUAGCGAUAGUGGUAAUUUAUCAUUGUUAUUGUUCCGGGAAAGAACAUCACUACUGAUUUUAUAACUCCACUAGCGCAGUAAGCCCAUUAUCGCUUCGAAAUUUAGCUUCUUGGCCCCAUGAGCUGCUAAGGUGUCCACGGUACCGAACAUAGCUAGUGUUUCGUUUCAGAGUAUGAUGCAUUGGUUUACCAUCCUUGCCUACAACACAUAGUUUUGGAAUAGACUACUAGAAACACCUGCCUGCACUGGCGAUAAUGGUAAUUUAUCACUGUUAUUAUAACGGGAAAGAGUGUUAUUGCUGAUUUUAUAACUCCACUUGCUCAAUAAGCUCAUUAUCGCUUCGAAAUUUAGCUUCUCGGCUUUGUGAGCUACUAAGGUGGUCACUGUAUCGAGCCGAUUUUAUAUUUGUGUUUCUAAGAUUUUUGUGGUCAAAACUAGACCACACAUGCUAUAUAUAUUUUCAAUUUUUUAUUACUCAGUUAUUCUCAUGAAUGACUGAGCCUAAAAGGAUGAAAUGAAUGAGUAUUUAUAGAAUGACUAAGUUUGUUCACUUUAUUUCACCUAAUAAUGCAUGUUUUUAGAAUGAUUGACUCACUAAAUAACUGCUAUCUCAGCAAUUCUCUCUAAUGACUAAGGCUAAAACAUGGAAUAACUGAGUUUGUUCACUUUAUUUCAUGUAAUAAUUGUUUUUUUAAAUGACUAACUCAUUAAAUGACUUCUAUCUUAGUUAUUCUCAUGAAUGACUAAGGCUUAAAAGAUGGAAUGCCCGAGUCUUCAUAGAAUGACUGAGUUUAUUCGCUCCAUUUACUGUAAUGCUUGUUUUUUAGAACGACUGAGUCACUAAAUGACUAAUAUCUAAAUUAUUCUCAUAAAUAACUAAGGCCAAAAAGAUGAAAUCCGAGUAUUCGUAGAAUGACUGAGUUUGUCUUUUCAUGUAAUAUCUUUUUUAAAAUGACUGACCCCACUAAAUGACUGUUAUAUCAGUAAUUCUCAUGAAUAACUGAUGCUAAAAAUGGAAUGGUUGACCCUGGUAUAUCAAGUGAGAUAUAGUUUUGAAGCUUUUAUCUUGACGGACACAAUGGUAAAAUCGGUUUCAAUUUACCACUCAGAUUAGUAGAUAUCAAUUUUUUAAUGAAACAUUGAAACUACAUGCACACGUCCUUUUUUGGGAGAUUAAGAGCAUCUCCAACUGCUCUUAAUAUUUGUGCUCCUAAUAUUAUUGUAUUGGGCUCUCCCCAAAAAUCUAAAGUCCCAAAAAACAUGCUUAACUCCAACACCUCCUUAUUUUAUCCUAAAAUAGACUGCUUUCACAAUAUUUGUGCGUAUCACUCAGAUUAAUCCUUCUUUCCCUCCCGACCAUAUGAAAAUUUAAACUUCAUUGUUUCACAAAGAAAAAAAAAUAUGUCGCAUUAAUAAGUCGCAUCACAAAGGACAAACACACUGCAAUAAACACCCGUCAGCGCCGCAACAAACACCUGCUAGUGCCAUUUACCGAGCUGCAACAGGCACAAGUAGCCAUAGGCCAUGCACGAAGAAUUCCAUCAGCGCACGAAACAAAAACAAAAAAGAAUAUGGAUUCAGCACCGUGGCGGAUAUAGCCUUGCUUUUGGGAGCACAGAAUAAGUUGGGAGCACAUGUUGGGAGCUGUUGGACAUUUUUUUUAUUUUUCCAAGAUAUGGUAUUGGGAGUCCUGUUCAGGAGUUAUUGGAGAUGCUCUAACGACGAGGUGCUCAGCGUCAAUAGAUUUGAUGCUAGACGCGUGUGAAUUUUGGAUUUUAGAAAGACCGACCGGAGAAAUAUAAAUGCUAUUUGACACUCUAGGUGACAAAUAGCUAUUUGGCACCCAACAGCCCUAACAAGCCCAGCAUUUCUUCGGUCGGUCUCCCCAAAAUCCACACGCGUCCAUCACCAAAUUUAUAGACUUCACAUACUGGUAACCAUAUCGAUAGACUUCAUCUAGAUAAAAUUAUUUCGCUCUUCAUAAUUAACUAGGUGUAUGCUCGUGCGUUGCCACGGAGUCAACAUGUAAUGAUAAGAUACAUUGAGAUCCAGAAGGACUAUGAUAAAAUACAUUGGUAUGCAAAAAACAAUGAUUGUUAUUCCACAUUUUUGUUAGCAUCAAGUGGAUGUUUACAUAAAAAAAUAUAGUACAAUACACGUGUGUUGCAACCGUAUAUAUAUUAUUCAACAAAAUUUUAGUGCACAACAAUUACAUAAAAGCGAACAACACAAAAUAUUAUCGACCUCACUAUCUUACAGAUUCCAUGUGUGGCUCUCACUGCAUGUCCGGUGGUGGCACCCCAUGCCAUGUCACUGGCGUGAAGGAGUUAAGAUCUGUGGAUGUGGCCCCAUGCACGACUGUAUGGAGGCCAGCUAAGGGAUGGCAGACACAUCCGAGUUUCUGCUUGGGUAUGUUAAGGACAUGCUUAGUAGCUCCAAAAAAGUUGUCUGACAUAAGAAUUAGAAAAUUAAAAUAGUUACCAAAGAUGACAGAUAUAAAUGAGGAAGGGCCACAUCCUUCAGCCACAAUUGAUGGUAAAAAAGUUGUCUCUCAUCAACCUUGAGCAAGUAAUAGUAAAGCUUAUUUGUUCCAAUUGAAUAGAUGUCACAUGCCAGUGAUUGGUUCAUAGUAACCUUGUCACUUAUGUCUUUCCUUUUAUCUAAUCCAUAAUUCUUUUAUUUAAAUUUCCAUUACUUUGAAGUCGCUAGGUCUGUGCUCUCAGAUACAACUAAACAUUCACACAUGGCUUUACCUUUCUUGAUCUACACAGAUAAAAUAAAUUAAAAAUAAGGCAAAAAGACAACACUUUCUAUAGGCUGCCAAUCAGGUGAAAAAAACAGGUACCAACUCAAUUUGGCGGGUUGUGAAUCUAAAUGUAAGGUGAACGAGCAUCACCAUAGCAGUUGAAGUCAACUACAAUGCGCUACCUCUGAGACUAAUAUUACCUCAAAUAAAAAGUCAUAAUCUACAAGAUCGUAGUUUUUUUUUUUGCUAUCCGACUUUAAAGAUUUCAUAUAUAUACAUUUUAUCAUCAUAUGAGUUCAUCUAUAAAAGUUAUAGAUUUUCAAGAUAAGUUGAUAGAGAAAAUAAAAUUCUGGCAAUUCAUCGACAGUAAGUAUUUCCCGUUGGUUCAUCUAGCGGCAGUUGUAUAAUUUUGUAUUUUCUUUAUUUGGACAAAUACUUUUGCAAAAAAUGUUUUUAUAAAGAUUAAAAAAACUCAUACGUACACGGUAGUCUGGCCCAUUAAAGGGUAUGGGCCCAUAUGUUCUAAGUUCUAACCCUAAAGUAGCACCCACCAGGCCGCAGCCCUCGCUCAGUUGGCCGGCCUCGCCUUCGCAUCCGUCCGGCCGCAGUCAACCUCCGGUUCGGAGUUCCCAUUCCCCACCAACCACCGUCUCCAUCGCACCGUCGCACUGUCGCCUCGCCGGCCGCACCUACGCCGUUGAAGUCGCUGUCGCAGCUGCAGGUGCGGGCAACACGUGACCUCUCUCAAGGUUAUCCUAUCUUUGUCAGUCCGUAUUGUAUUCGUUUGUUUCCCCCACUUCUUUUUGUCCGGUUCUAUUCAAUGAUGCUUCUGGGCCAUAGGCUGGUGCCACUAGAUUUUUGGAGUCUUCUUGCUAAAUCAGGGAUAAGACCGCCUUGUUGUUUUUGUGCCUCGCUAGAUCGUUCCGUAAGGGCACCCAUCGUCAUAGAUACGAUUCAUAGCUUCUGCCACUACUUGUGCGCGAAGAGCCAAGAAAUGCGUCAGGGGUUGUGAAGGGAAGGAGUGCCGAUGGCCGGUGGCCACCCGGCGCCGCUGCGGCCGGUGGUGGUUGCGAUGAAAGGCCACCCAGGGUCUGGCAAGUCCACGGCGGCGCGCGCCAUCGCGACCGCGCUUUGCUGUCCGCUCCUGGACAAGGACGAUGUGAGGGACUGCAUGUUGCCCCUAGAGGGCUUGGCUGCUGCUGGGAUGCUCAACGACCUCUCCUACGCCGUGCUGUGGCGGAUGGCUGAGCGCCAGGUAAGGCUCGGACUGUCUGUCGUCAUCGAUUCACCGCUGUCACGCCGCUCUCACCUCGACAUGCUGACACGCCUAGCCGGUGUGCUUGUGGUCGUCGUGGAGUGUCGCCCUGGUGAUAACGAGGAAUGGCGCCGGAGGCUGGAGAGCCGUGGGUCGGCUGUUGCCAAUGGUGGCGGUGGUGAUGGAUGGCAUAAGCCAAAGACAUGGGCUGAGCUGGAGAGGCUUCUGGAAGGGUACCAAGGUUGCACAGACUAUGAAAUUGGGGAUGUACCGAGGAUUGUAGUGGAUACAACUGAUCCGACAGUUGAUGCACAGGUGGCAGCUGAAAAGGUUGUGGUUUUCAUUAGAUCCCAUCUUGCUUGUAGCCAACCAUCUUGUGGGAGACAGGAUUCACCUGUUUGCCAUUAGAAACCAAAAUGUACACUAGCUUAAGCAUUAGGUAAAGUUUCGUUGCAAAAGGUUGAUCUGUUGUACUGCAAUGCUCAAAGUUCUUUUUUUUAUGGGUGUAACCUAAAGGUUCUGUUACUGUUGGGACUUCAAAGGGAUUUUGUUGUUGUUGUUGUGUGAUCUAGAGGUUUCGUAAAAAGAUGUUCUUUUUUCUGGGGUUGUUCCUCAAUCUCCUAUCUCCAUUACAUCUUUCACAUUCCAAUGAAAUGGAAUAUGACUUUUCAGCAUCCAUGUUUAGGACGGAAAGGGCUUCAACAAGUGUGCUACCAACUGUCCAACUACCAAGAUAAGCAUGCAUUGCUGUUUUUUCUGUAGUGAUAGAUGCUUUUAUGCCACCAUUUGGUUCAUUUUCACAUGUUUUCUUUAGCAGAAUCAGUAUGGAAAUACUGCUCUUUUUUUGCUGUCUUUGUUCCAUUUUCUGUACUAUCUUCUCCUUUUCAUGAUCUUUGUUUUGGAAAUUGCGACAUCAAAUCCCAGUCAAUCUAAACUUUGUAUGCUUGCUUGGUUUAUCUAGUCAUGUAUUAAUACUCAUCACAUUUCAGUGUCUGCUUUGCAAACCAAAUUGAUGGUUAAGUGCUUGCCUAUUUGUUCUGCCUGAUUUCAUCGCAGCUCAGUUGUAUGAUUGCUGGGUUUCCUACUUUUCAGCUUUUGUUUUCCGUUUCAUGUUGUAGUGUUGCUGUGUUUCAUGUUUUGAUGAGUUUUGUUCAUUUAUUUGUAGAACAACACUCUGUGUUGGUGUCAAGAUCUAUAGAGCAGGCAUUUCUAGUAAGUAUAGGCUUGAGAUGUGAUGUUUACCUUCUUUAUCUAAAUAACAUUAUUGUAAUGAGCUGUCAAUGUUACAAGACUACAGAACAAAUGCACUGCAUUCUAUUUUAGCUAAUAGGUUUAUUCUUUGGAAAAGAAAAUGAUGUGCUAAUUAGCUUAGUUCUGGGGACUUCAGGGGUUCCAUGCCGGCCUAACCUAUUGGAACGACUUGUUAGUUGUUAUUCCAUUGCAUCCAAAGUCCACAUGUUAUUUUGUUAAGCUCCAUAAUGCUGUGGCAUCGUGUUGCGAAAACAUUAAUUGGGAGAACAUUAGUACAUGAAUACUUGAUCUUCAUAGUUCAGUUUUCGUGCAUGUGCACUUGUUAGUUGCGAAAAUGAACUAAUUUCCCUUGGGGAAAUAGGUAUCCCUUGGAAAAAUGGGUUUGCCAAACUAGCCCUUAGAGGAACUAAUUCCUGGCAUAUGGUGCUCAGUGGGCAGUGCAUCAGGACUCGAAGGAAGCAUAGCAUCAUCGGUUUUUGUGUUUCAUUAAUUCUCAUUUCAAGAUGGCAUCUGCUGGCCUAAAGCCAGGGGUGCCUGUUAUUCUACGGGAGCUGGAGCCAUCCUCAGAGAUGUUCAAGCAAGGAGCGUCCCUUCGAGUCACAGGAAGGUAAGAAGCGUCCUUUUACCUCUACCUGUGAACAACCUAUGUUACAGCCAUGUUUUUUUUUUUUUGAAAGGAGUUUUACUCUGCUUUUAAGAAAGCAAAUAUUCAAGGGUACAGGCAAAGCUGGGACACCAUCUCACAAGCAAGUCAAAGGCCUCUAACAACAGCAACGACAAGCUAGAUUUCUAUUACAUCAGACAACAUGGUGUCACUCGCUUGGUAGUUCUGUAGCCAUGCAGCAAUUCUCUUCUCCAUGUCUUGCACUUCAGCUUUGUCCUUCUAUAGCAGCACGCACCACUUCUGCACGAAGGAGAUAGCAAUGUAUAUGACAUCAGUAGGUCUGUUCAGGAACCACUUCUCUAUUGCCAUCUUAUUUGUAUAGGUCAGAUCAUCCAAGUUAGCCCUGCAAACAUAAACAUACCUAGCCACUUAAAGGCACCAAGUUUUGUUUCCACCCAGUUCUCAACAAAAUCAGCCAAAGAAGAUGGGAACCCCACCCAACCAAAGGCAUCUAUGAUAAUGCACCAUGCAAGAUGAGCUUUUGUGAAAAUUAAUCUUCAGAUCAGUCAUCCAUUCGAAGCAAUAUAGACUAAGCUUAGGUUGAAAAUAUAUUGGACAGACCCACUAUCACGAUAGCUGUAUCAUCGGCAUAUUGUAUAUGUGUGUCACACCCGGGUUUUAGGGGUCCAAAGCCCGGGCGCGAACAUAAUCACCAGGUGUGCUGGGACCAAGCCUCACACAUAUGAUGAUUCAUGGCACAGGAUCGAAUGUCGCAUCUUUACUAUAUAAUAGGAGUUCUAUACAAAAUAAAUAAAUAAUUACAUUAUAAGGAGACAACGGUCCAGCAACCCAAAGUUGACUGGGAGACGACGACCUAGACCUCUCACGAACACAUCACAGCAUCCUCCACGCGCAGCGCCUCAUCCUGUGGUACCUGUUCUUGACCUGUGGGGGGGGGGUGUGAGACAGCAAGAGUGAGCUCACAUACGUUCAUCGCUCAACAAGUUGUGGGGAAUAAUGUGCAUGAACUCGCCAAAGGUGGGAGCUCACGUGAAGUGUAAGGCUUACCAAAGAGAAUGGUUAGAGCUGAGCAUUGCUUUUAAAGUUGGUCAAAAUUUUAUUAGCAAUUACUAAGUAUAAGUAAAUACCAACCCAAUUAAGUAGUAGAACAAAAGUAACAACAUCACCUGCGAUGCAAUGCAUAUGACAAAUUGAAUUUAGUUCCAUAAAUUAAUCAUGUGAGGGUCCGAGCUGCUCAUGACCGUGAGCACGGCUAGUAUACCAGUUUUACACUCUGCAGAGGUGGCGCAUCUUUACCCACAAGUCAUGUUACCCAUCUGCCAAGGGAUCGCGACUUCCCAUACACCUCUACCGAGGAGGCGAGGCAGGGUAACACUACGAGGCCUUUACAAAGUUCCACUAGCUUCAGAAAACCCGCUACAGUUUAUAGGAAGCUCCAAUGCAGGAAUCCCUUGCAGGACCGCCAUCGCAGCAAAAUCCUCCCGAGGGCCUCCCUACACUGACCACUCCCCUACUGCCCUUGCCCCUUUCGGGUAAGGUAGUCUUCCACUAGCUUUCCUAAUUAAUCAGCCAAGGGCGUCCCAUUAAACCCUUGUGGUAGCACUGUUUUCCCGGGUGGUCGCUCCAUGUUCCAAUUAACAUAAUGAUCUUAUCAUGAACAAUAAUAAUAAACAGAUAAUAAAAAUGUGAUCAUGAAUAAUGUAUCUUCAUACCCAAAACCACAUAAAGCACUAGCAAGUACUACCCAAAAAGUUCAGUGGUAAACAAGGUAUAAAGAUAGACAAACUAGGGUAACCUAUUGGGUCCCAUCAAAAUUAACCUAUGCAGAUCAUUAUGAUUAAUCAGAACAUGGCUGGGUAAAAAGAAGUGAUCAAGGGCACAACUUGCCUGGGACUUGAGAUUCCAGGUACCAGGAUGAUCUCCAGAUGACUCGCGACCUUACGCUAGUCGUAGUAAUACAAACAGGCAAUGUAUAGGCAAUAUUAACAUCACACCAAACAUGCAAAAAAAAUACAUAAUAAUAAUCUACACAUUAAAAUAAGAUUAUAGGAACAGGAAUCAUUAAUUUUGGAGUUAUAGAUUUUAAGUUAUGGAUUUUCAAAGGUUUUAUGUGUUUAAAAUAGGAUUAAGUGUGGGAUUAAUUUUAUUAUUGUGGUUAUGAUAAAACAGAUACACUAAGUGCUAGAGAAUAAAAUUACAAAAUUUUAGGAACUGGAAUGAAGUAAUUUAGAGUUCAUAUGCAUUUUCUAUGAAUUAUUGAAGUUCCAGCAAUUAUUUUCCUAUUAAAAAUCUAUUUUCUAUUUCAUUUAUUCAAUUUAAACGAUUUCUGGACUAGGCCUCAAAUUUGUAAAAGGGCAGGGACUCUGGCGCAAAAUAACCCAGACACAGAGAACAUGGUUCCUGGAUGGCGGGUUUAUUCAUGCAAAGGGCGAGGUUUCUUUAGCAAAAAUGCCUGGCCGAAGGGGUAUCCGCAAACCUCGGCCGUUGGAUCACCAGCCGAGGGCUCGGAUUAGAUCCCAACCCACCAAUACACCCGAGCCACGGAUCGCGAGAUCAACGGCCAGAAUCAAUCGCGCGAAGGGGUUAUGUGUCAUUUAAUCCUGGCUGUCUACGCGGAGAUCAACGGCCAGCACCAGUCGAUCACCAACUUCUAAUCGCAGCUGUUCAAAUCAGAUCCUACGGUCAGCAAGACUCAUCCCCAACCUCCAGCCGAGCUGGACGACGGCGCCCACGCGAGACCACGGCGGAGCCACGCCGGUGAAGUAUUGCCCCGACAACCCAACGCCCCAGACAAAAAUCCAGGGAGUGCAACGCGGUGUGCAUGGCAUGGAGAUUACAAUGGAUGUCUACAUACCGUGAUUCGGGCAGCGCAGAGCUCACGCAUCGGUACACGGCGGCAUGGCUGAUCUCCGUUGAGAAAUUCGCCGGUUGCUGGUUACUCCCCCAGCCUUAAUUCUGCCCGGACACGAUCCCCGUAUCAAGGCGGAUUCCCCAAGCCACCCACUGAGGAUGGAUUACCGCCCGAGACGCAGGUCAACGACGGUGGAUCCUACCUGCGCCCGCAUGGCGACAGCGCCCGAGCUUCAAUGGAGCAGCGCGCAGGGAAGGGUCACGGCGAGCCAGCUUUUAUCUACGGUCAAGGCCUCCCGAGGAUUCCGCGGUGGUGGUUGAGCUCGCGUCCACGGAGUCCGCGGCAUCCGCGGCCAUCAACGGAAGGAAAACAGCUCCCUGACCCUAGGUAAACCGGACCCACAUGGCAGCGGGGACAGGGAGACAAGUCCGCACGCUGGAGCAGUCUCGCCCAAGCGCUUAGGGUCACAUGGCCAGGGGGCCCACACGUCAGUGCCGCGGUGGAAAAAGAAAAAGGGAAAGGGAAUAGAGUGGGCCGCGCGAGGGAUUCCUUCAGGUGGGCCGAAUUCAACGUCAAGGCCCAGUCAUGCUUCCUAUUCGUUUUUCUUUUUAUUUUUCUUUUAUAUUUUCAUUUUUCCUUUCCCUCUUUUCCAAAUUCAAAUUUAAAUUCUAGUUUCAAUUCAAACUUGUGACAAUUUUAUCCUUAGAUUAUAUUGUGCCAUGAAAAUUCCCAUUUGGAGAUAUAUUUAUAUAUUAUUUAUAUUUCUAUAUCACAUAAUAUUUAUUUGCUUCUCUUUUCUAAAUUUUAGAAUCUCUUUUAAGUUUUGAAUUCCACUUUGGACCCUUUUUUUACUAUAUUCCUUAUCACAAAAUGCACACACAAAAACAAUAUCCAGCAUGAUGCAUAAUUUAGUAGUAUAUAUUUUUAUUACUUGUUUUUAAAGAUGGUGUUCACAUGUGAUGAUGCAUAAAAGUCAAACUCACAUAUCGAUGAAGUGAAAUUGUGUCCCCUUUUUCAUUAUCUCAUAACAAUUACAAUCUGGGUAUUACAAAUCCUACCCCCCUUAAAAAGAAUCUCGUCCCGAGAUUUGUAAGGAAAGGAAUACAAAAGGAUUGGCUUGUAAUUCAACUUUUAGUUUAUAAUUGUUUCAAAUAUCCAGAGUAUUUUAUAGUCAAUAGUGGGUGAUUAGGAGAGCAUAGGUAUCCAGCCACUUAUUAGGUAUGAUAUAAGAGAUGGAUAGGUUAGGGUCAUAUUAGCCUGGGGUAAAAACAAAGUUUAUAGUGAGAAAGAACUUUUGUUGGGUAGUAAUGCAUCUGAAGAUUGAGUUUGACUUCCCUCCUUCCUUGACGAGGUUGAUCUUUUCUUCUCCGGCCUUGGUCUCAUUGCUUCGGGGUUAGUGUAUAUCAUCGUAGUUGGGGGAAUAUGGUUAAGAUAGAUAUGGUAAGAUAGACUACAUGAUAUAGGUCAAAAGUUUGUUUGAUGUUAGGUGGGGAUAAACAUAUUAUGCAAUCUAUCAUGACUCUAUUGGCUGGGUUGGUCUGUCAUUCUUUAUUUAGUGCAGAGUGAACUAAGUUAAAACAUGUGGAUAGGGUCUAAUCUAUUUCACAAGUAUUAACUUAUCCAUUAAGUAACUCACUUUAGAUUGGACCAUAUUAGAUUAGAUGGGAUCUAGAUUAGAUCGGUAUAACUAGGUUAGACUAGAUAAUAUCUAAUUACUUUGGAUUAGAUCAUGGUUGUUACACUAGUGCGGGAUAAAUAUGCUUAUUGGGGCAAGAUGUAUCCAUAAGGAUAAGGUAGAAUCUUUUGAGGUCAGUUAGAUCUACUAGGGCGACAUCAGAUCUUUUCAAGAUGAGUAUCUUUUUUUAAGAUAAGAUGGAUCUAUGAGUGUAGGAUAGAAUCUUUCAAGAUGAGAUGGAUAUUGUUAUGCUAGAUACUUUAUUGAGGGAUAAUCUAGUUUGUCUAGUUAGUUUUAUAAGCAUUAUGUAUAUGCAGAUGUAAUUGUGGACAUUACUCCACAACCCAUCACACUCAAUCAAAGAUCCAAAUCAAACAAGUAUCAUAAGAACAAACACUCAAGUGUAUGGAUACCAAAAAAAAUAGUUUUGUUUUUGUUCCUAAGAUUAGGUCUCCUAUUCCUAAAAGUCACUUUAGGUACGGGAUUUCAAAGUGUGAAAUCCAUAUUUGUCUUUAGAAUGAAAAGGUAAGAAUAUUCAGAGUAAAGCGGAAAUAGAUGAGAAAAGAUUAAGAAAAGUUUAGAAAAGAAUCAGAGUAGCAAAGGUAAGUAGAUAAUGGUUAUCUAGUUCUAUCUAGGUUUCAUCCUACAGUCAACAUUCCUCUGAUACCACUUCUGUCACACCCGGGUUUUAGGGGUCCAAAGCCCGGGCGCGAACAUAAUCACCAGGUGUGCUGGGACCAAGCCUCACACAUAUGAUGAUUCAUGGCACAGGAUCGAAUGUCGCAUCUUUACUAUAUAAUAGGAGUUCUAUACAAAAUAAAUAAAUAAUUACAUUAUAAGGAGACAACGGUCCAGCAACCCAAAGUUGACUGGGAGACGACGACCUAGACCUCUCACGAACACAUCACAGCAUCCUCCACGCGCAGCGCCUCAUCCUGUGGUACCUGUUCUUGACCUGUGGGGGGGGGGGGUGUGAGACAGCAAGAGUGAGCUCACAUACGUUCAUCGCUCAACAAGUUGUGGGGAAUAAUGUGCAUGAACUCGCCAAAGGUGGGAGCUCACGUGAAGUGUAAGGCUUACCAAAGAGAAUGGUUAGAGCUGAGCAUUGCUUUUAAAGUUGGUCAAAAUUUUAUUAGCAAUUACUAAGUAUAAGUAAAUACCAACCCAAUUAAGUAGUAGAACAAAAGUAACAACAUCACCUGCGAUGCAAUGCAUAUGACAAAUUGAAUUUAGUUCCAUAAAUUAAUCAUGUGAGGGUCCGAGCUGCUCAUGACCGUGAGCACGGCUAGUAUACCAGUUUUACACUCUGCAGAGGUGGCGCAUCUUUACCCACAAGUCAUGUUACCCAUCUGCCAAGGGAUCGCGACUUCCCAUACACCUCUACCGAGGAGGCGAGGCAGGGUAACACUACGAGGCCUUUACAAAGUUCCACUAGCUUCAGAAAACCCGCUGCAGUUUAUAGGAAGCUCCAAUGCAGGAAUCCCUUGCAGGACCGCCAUCGCAGCAAAAUCCUCCCGAGGGCCUCCCUACACUGACCACUCCCCUACUGCCCUUGCCCCUUUCGGGUAAGGUAGUCUUCCACUAGCUUUCCUAAUUAAUCAGCCAAGGGCGUCCCAUUAAACCCUUGUGGUAGCACUGUUUUCCCGGGUGGUCGCUCCAUGUUCCAAUUAACAUAAUGAUCUUAUCAUGAACAAUAAUAAUAAACAGAUAAUAAAAAUGUGAUCAUGAAUAAUGUAUCUUCAUACCCAAAACCACAUAAAGCACUAGCAAGUACUACCCAAAAAGUUCAGUGGUAAACAAGGUAUAAAGAUAGACAAACUAGGGUAACCUAUUGGGUCCCAUCAAAAUUAACCUAUGCAGAUCAUUAUGAUUAAUCAGAACAUGGCUGGGUAAAAAGAAGUGAUCAAGGGCACAACUUGCCUGGGACUUGAGAUUCCAGGUACCAGGAUGAUCUCCAGAUGACUCGCGACCUUACGCUAGUCGUAGUAAUACAAACAGGCAAUGUAUAGGCAAUAUUAACAUCACACCAAACAUGCAAACAAAAUACAUAAUAAUAAUCUACACAUUAAAAUAAGAUUAUAGGAACAGGAAUCAUUAAUUUUGGAGUUAUAGAUUUUAAGUUAUGGAUUUUCAAAGGUUUUAUGUGUUUAAAAUAGGAUUAAGUGUGGGAUUAAUUUUAUUACUGUGGUUAUGAUAAAACAGAUACACUAAGUGCUAGAGAAUAAAAUUACAAAAUUUUAGGAACUGGAAUGAAGUAAUUUAGAGUUCAUAUGCAUUUUCUAUGAAUUAUUGAAGUUCCAGCAAUUAUUUUCCUAUUAAAAAUCUAUUUUCUAUUUCAUUUAUUCAAUUUAAACGAUUUCUGGACUAGGCUUCAAAUUUGUAAAAGGGCAGGGACUCUGGCGCAAAAUAACCCAGACACAGAGAACAUGGUUCCUGGAUGGCGGGUUUAUUCAUGCAAAGGGCGAGGUUUCUUUAGCAAAAAUGCCUGGCCGAAGGGGUAUCCGCAAACCUCGGCCGUUGGAUCACCAGCCGAGGGCUCGGAUUAGAUCCCAACCCACCAAUACACCCGAGCCACGGAUCACGAGAUCAACGGCCAGAAUCAAUCGCGCGAAGGGGUUAUGUGUCAUUUAAUCCUGGCUGUCUACGCGGAGAUCAACGGCCAGCACCAGUCGAUCACCAACUUCUAAUCGCAGCUGUUCAAAUCAGAUCCUACGGUCAGCAAGACUCAUCCCCAACCUCCAGCCGAGCUGGACGACGGCGCCCACGCGAGACCACGGCGGAGCCACGCCGGUGAAGUAUUGCCCCGACAACCCAACGCCCCAGACAAAAAUCCAGGGAGUGCAACGCGGUGUGCAUGGCAUGGAGAUUACAAUGGAUGUCUACAUACCGUGAUUCGGGCAGCGCAGAGCUCACGCAUCGGUACACGGCGGCAUGGCUGAUCUCCGUUGAGAAAUUCGCCGGUUGCUGGUUACUCCCCCAGCCUUAAUUCUGCCCGGACACGAUCCCCGUAUCAAGGCGGAUUCCCCAAGCCACCCACUGAGGAUGGAUUACCGCCCGAGACGCAGGUCAACGACGGUGGAUCCUACCUGCGCCCGCAUGGCGACAGCGCCCGAGCUUCAAUGGAGCAGCGCGCAGGGAAGGGUCACGGCGAGCCAGCUUUUAUCUACGGUCAAGGCCUCCCGAGGAUUCCGCGGUGGUGGUUGAGCUCGCGUCCACGGAGUCCGCGGCAUCCGCGGCCAUCAACGGAAGGAAAACAGCUCCCUGACCCUAGGUAAACCGGACCCACAUGGCAGCGGGGACAGGGAGACAAGUCCGCACGCUGGAGCAGUCUCGCCCAAGCGCUUAGGGUCACAUGGCCAGGGGGCCCACACGUCAGUGCCGCGGUGGAAAAAGAAAAAGGGAAAGGGAAUAGAGUGGGCCGCGCGAGGGAUUCCUUCAGGUGGGCCGAAUUCAACGUCAAGGCCCAGUCAUGCUUCCUAUUCGUUUUUCUUUUUAUUUUUCUUUUAUAUUUUCAUUUUUCCUUUCCCUCUUUUCCAAAUUCAAAUUUAAAUUCUAGUUUCAAUUCAAACUUGUGACAAUUUUAUCCUUAGAUUAUAUUGUGCCAUGAAAAUUCCCAUUUGGAGAUAUAUUUAUAUAUUAUUUAUAUUUCUAUAUCACAUAAUAUUUAUUUGCUUCUCUUUUCUAAAUUUUAGAAUCUCUUUUAAGUUUUGAAUUCCACUUUGGACCCUUUUUUUACUAUAUUCCUUAUCACAAAAUGCACACACAAAAACAAUAUCCAGCAUGAUGCAUAAUUUAGUAGUAUAUAUUUUUAUUACUUGUUUUUAAAGAUGGUGUUCACAUGUGAUGAUGCAUAAAAGUCAAACUCACAUAUCGAUGAAGUGAAAUUGUGUCCCCUUUUUCAUUAUCUCAUAACAAUUACAAUUUGGGUAUUACAAUGUGAGACCCAUCCUGGUUGUAAGUCACCAAGUACUCCCCUAAUGUGUUCUUUCUGGACCCCGUUGUCAGAAAUACACCGAGAGAAUCUGCUGCCAAGUUGAAGAGGUGAUAAUGGAUCAAGCCCUCCUAAAUGUUCCAAAAUAUGAUCCCUUUGCCCAUUCAGAGAUGCAUACUUUGCCUCCUUUGAUUGUUUGCAUCACCCAAUUAAUCCAAAUGGAAAACCAUAUGGCGCCCAGGGGGGCUGGUGCCCUUGUUCUAAAAUAUCAUGUUGCAAAGUUUCAAAAAUCAUAUAUAUGUAAUACAACUAAAGUUAAGUGUAGACGCAACAAUUCAGUUUGAAAUUCAUCUUUGAUGCUGAUAUUCAAAAGAACAGGUGUCACUGUCAGCACUACGUUGUUUUUUGGCGUCUAGGAUGGAUUUUAAACUGAAUUGUUUUGGCUAUACUUUUUUUUCAAACUAAUUUUCUCAGCUCUGCAUUUCUACCUCUAUUCCUGAACCAGCCAUGUUUAUAUGCCUCUUGUUUUUCUUUCAGUCUCCAGUCAUUCGAUGUGGAGUCCGCGACUGCCACCAUUCAAGACGGCAGCGUAAGUCUGAAGGUUGACACCCAGCAUCUGAGGGAUGUCAGUUUCCGCACGAACUCGGUGUACCAAUUCAUUGGUGAACUUCAGAUCCGUGAAGUUGAUGAUGUACAUGAUCCUCCUUCCUCAAGGUUCUUUAUUUUUUGGUUGCAGCCUGUUUGAUGCUAGCGAGAAGUAACAAUGCUCCACCGAUCGUUGAUGGCUUGCAGGCGAUUCUACUCGCGCGCAUCGGAAGGAACGUCGAUGGCCUCGACAUGAACCUUUACCAGCAGGCUCUACUCAUCCGACGGCAGCACGAAGCAAAGCUGCUGAGCUCCAGGAGAGCAUGAUCUGCUUGCUAUCUUGGAGCAGGAGGCGCAUGGUGGUUGUAGUUAUUAGGUUUCUUUGUUUCUCAACAGUGCAAUUGCAUAUGUAAACGUGAAGAGAACUGGACCAAGAACUGGUUAAUUGAGAGGGUCUGCUGCAUAUGAUUUGCGAUCUCUCUUGCCCUCCAAAGGGCUGCCAUGGCAUGUGUAGAUGUGACUGCCAAUUUGUGAUCAUCUUACUUGCAGCAGAAUGCUGGUUUUAUUUUAUUGACAUGAGAACAGCCUUGUGGAUCAUGUUUACUGGGAUGCUUUGUUGUGUUAAAAGUUGGGUCAUGUUCUUUUGUUGUAAAGGUAUAAAUAAUGGAGGAGGUCAUGGUGUGAAGAAACAGAGUACAAAGCAGUAAUCCAUGGGCUAAUUUAUGAUUUCAAAUUCAUCUAUUAAAAAGAAUAUCUCUACUAAUUAUAAAGCGGGAAUCCCUUCAUGUGCGCAGCGAGCGUCACUAGAUUCCUACGAGCUUAGCAAAAUAUCAUGAACUAUUAAAAAAAGGCACGUCCACUAGAAUAAAGAGAGCAAAUCAUGUCUCUAACCACUGUAACCCAUGUUGAUUUGUGAUAAAAAAACCAUAUAUGAUAUUUGUGUAAUAAAAAACUAUAUAUGAUAUAUAGAAAUUAUAGCGAUACAGGGAUGACUAAUUAGUAUGUACAUAAUCGACUAAAAAAAUGAAAAAAAAGAGACGGGCUGGAUAUCCCACAUCCCAGCAACUAGCCAGCCAAACUGUGUCCAGCUCUCCAUUUUCUUCUAAUUGACUGACGGACCAAAAAUUUCACCGUCAUUUUCUUCUAAUUACCAUGGCCAAUCACGAGGUGGAAGGAGGCCCGGCCGAGGCGACGUCCGUCCUCGAGGCGAGCUAGGUGCAAGGACAGAGGACGAGUUCUGCUGCACCAUCGUCGUCACGUAGUUGUUCGUCAUCAGCUGGUUUCUUGCGAGCUCUGUCGUGUCCAACAACUUCUGCAUGUCCGGGUGGCCAUGCCCAAUGGUGAUGUCAGUCUCAGCAUACUGCGGGGCGGGGUCUUGCUGCGGCCACGCAGCGGCCGCCAUCUGCUGCAUCAUCACCAUCACCUCCUGCUCUGUCGGCGCCGCGCCCUCCUCCGCGGCAUCGCACUGCCCCAUCAACAACUCCUGCAGCUGCAGGAUCUUCUCGGACGAUAGCCCGUCCGGGUGGCCAUGCCCGUGUCCAAGGGUGUUGUCACGCAUCUCAACAUACUGCGGCUGCGGGGCAAGGUGGUCUUGCUGCUGCCAACCAGACGCAGCGGCCGCCAUCUGCUGCAUCAUCGCCAUCACGUCCUGCUCUGCCGGCGCCGUGCCCUCCACCGCCGCGUCGCACUGCUCCAUCGACAACUCCUGCGGCUGCAGGAUCUCCUCGGACGAUAGCCCGUCCGGGUGGCCAUGCCCGUGUCCAAGGGUGUUGUCACGCAUCUCAGCAUACUGCGGCUGCGGGGCGGGGUGGUCUUGCUGCUGCCAACCAGACGCAGCGGCCGCCAUCUGCUGCAUCAUCGCCGUCACGUCCUGCUCCGUCGCCGGCGCCGCGCCGCACUGCCCCAUCAACAACAACUGCAGCUGCAGGAUGUCCUGGGAUAUCCCGUACGGGUCGCCGUGCCCAAGGGCGACGCAGUGCUCGUUCUGGGCGUGUUGCGCCACGUGGUGCUGAUCCUGCUCGCCCGUGGCGCCGGCAUGCUGCACCUCCUGCAUGGCGCGGAUGACCGAGGUGCUGCUGUCAUGUCCCGGUCCCGCCGGUAUGUCCGGGGCAGCAGCAUCUCCUGCAUGGUGCGGAUGCCCUGUCCCAGUGUGCUGUCCCGCAGAUGCAUCUGCCGCGGAAGCCUGCUGCUGCGCCUCCGGCUCCGACAUCUGGUGGUGCAGCUGCCGGCCAUGUCCGUGCCCCUCCGGGGCAUCCGGCGGCGCUGUCCGCUCGGCCUCCGCCACCGCUACCGCCACCUGCUGCCGCGAGUGGUCGUCAGGGAAUCCCGGCGGCCCGGGGUUGCGCGGCUUUGCGGCCUGUGGAACAACCUGCAUUGUCUGCUCGCUCAAGGAGGGCUCGUGGCGGCGGCGCUUGACGUCGACUUCCUUCCCUUUCAUGGCGCGCUUCCCCUUCCCCUUCCCCUUAACGGCCGCCUGUUGCUGUUGCAGCUCCCGCCACAAUAUGACGUCGUUGCCCUUCCGGACGUCCAGCAUCCUGGCGUCCAGCUCCCUGGCAUCCUUGAGCGCGGCGUCGACCUGCGCCCGCGCCUCCAGCCUGACCGCCGGUCCCGCGGCCGCGAGGUCGACCGGCUCGGCGGCCGCCGCGGCGCCGAACUCCCUGGCGAUCUCCUCCCGCGCCUCGUCCACCUGCUUCCUGGCGUUGUAGUUGAACUCCUGGAGGAUGCGGAUGUAGGAGACGCAGCCGAAGACGGGGUCCCGCUCCCGCGCCCUGGCCUCCGCGACGAGCGUGGCCGCGGCGACCCGCCGCUGCUCGCUGGGCGUGACGCAACGGAUCAUAUUGGCCACGUUGCCGGAGCCGUAGACGCGAUUCACGGCGGCGAACUCCUCCGCCGAGAAGUUGGGCGCGAAGAUGCAGUUCAGCGGGCAGGAGCGCCGGAGCUUCUUGCACACUUCGCACUGCGCCCUCCGUCCCGUCCCCUGGUUCUUCUCCAUCUCCCCGGCCGGGGCACAACGCAGGGUGAAGCCGAUCGACCUGCUCUGCUAGGCGGUGUACGUACGUGGGCAAGAGGAGGGAGGGACAGCCGGGCAGGACAGCUAGAUUAUAUAGUCGUGUCCGAAGUCCACGUAGUUAGUUACGAGGGAAGGGUAUGCUAUAGAUAUCAUAGAUUAGAUUAGAUCAAACUGAAUAACUGAUGACCGUAGAUCCGCAUGCAUGCAAGCGAGUGAAAGCGACGUCCAAACCCCCACCCCACAAGGGCCGGUCCUAGCAUUUUAAAGUCCCCUCUCGUAUCUGUAUCUAUAUAUAUAUAUAUGUGCGUUGCAACGGAAAUAUAUAAUAUUAUGAUAACUUAUGAACAAAUGUGUGUUAUACUGUUAUGUGAAAAUGUUUCGUAAUUAAUUUAUGAUCCUAGCCAUAUAUAAAUUUUGUUAUUUCAAUCCAGCUAUUUUAUCACUGCAUUGCAACCAGCAGUACCAUGCAAACUUCUAUACAUGAUUUUAAAAAUGUCAUGUCAGCUGCAUCAUUUAAAUGCUAAGAUUAUCACAAUAAAUUACAAACUCAUACAAACAUUCAAAAACUACCACAAGGUCUUAUAAUUCAAACGGAUACACCUGAUGUGUUCUUUUCUUCUUUAUAGCUUGCUUGUUGACAUAAACCCCAAACAUGUCAUUAAUAUCAAUAAAAUAUGCCCGCCAGCACAAGUAAUGGUGUGGUUGGAUGGGAGGGAGCAAGCAUCGAGCUUGAUGAAACGAACUCAUAAAGCACACAUAUGCUGCAAAUCCAUAGAGCAUGAGAAGUAAACAAACUUGUAAAUCUGAAGGACUAUCAUCACAAAACUUGCAUAUCCAACCACCUAUUAAUGAAAACCACUUAAGAAGGCAUUAAAACCACUCAUGGACCAAAUUUAAAAUAAAAUCUAUUGAUUCUCAAAGUCAUCAAAUUAUCAUAACCUUAGUUGCGGACGUAUUCCCCCCCUAAAUUGAGAUUCAGUAACAAACAAAAUAGUUCUUUUACAAGAAAAAAGUAAGGUAACUCUGGCAAUCUGCUACAAUAAGCAACAUAAUUUGAAAAAAUAGUAAGGCGCUUCCUUUGCUCUGUUGAUAACCCAGUAGAACCCUGCUUCCCUACUAAUGCAUAUCUCAGCUGAUCAAGCUUUACCAGAGCCAUAACCUCCUCGAUAAAUUCCUGCAAAAUAGCUCAAAGUUUGCAUUAUCUAAAAUAACCACUUGCCCCUAGAUUAAAAAGAGUUAGUACAAGUGAUACUUGUCUUGUUUUUGUACUUAUAUCUUUCGAAAGUCGUAAGAUCGAUAAAAAUAAUUUAACUCUUCAAUCAAGUAAACUACUUUAUCUUCAUGUUGACAAGAAAAUUUUAGCUUAGCAAAAAAAUACAUGCUGUAAUUAAUGAAGGUAGACAAAUCAAUAGAUGAUAUAAACACAAUUAUUAGAAUUAAUUUACUCUUGAAUAAUUACUAUCUACCACUCAAAGUAUAAGUAGCAACCAUGAACUGCUUCUUGUCAUUGAGUUGCUUGUUGGCAUCAUGUAGCAACCAUGGGAUGAAGUGAUAGUAAUAAUUAAUCAGAUAGGCCAAAUGGUUCCAAAGAACCAUGCAUUUACAUGAUAAUAAAAAGUACUUCUCUAUGCAGCCAGUGAAGCUUCACUGGCCUCUUUAGGCAAGUCUAACUGUGUUACUUCAUUAAAUACAUUAGAUAAUUAACACUUAAUAGUUAGAAAUAACAUUAGAUAAUUAACACUUAACAGUUAGAAAUAUUGUUGUGCUGCUAAAAUGCCAACUAUUGUCUGCCAUGCAUGGAUAACAGAUCCGUAAAGAAGCAUGCCAAGACAUAACCGGUAAUGCAGUUUUGAAGUACCGUUACAUAAACAAGCAGAUCAAUAGAUUUAGCUCACACAUGUAUUUAUCACCUGAAAUGUUAAACAUUUCUUCAUUACCAAUUACAGUAUUGGAGCAAGCUUUCAAUUCACAUGCAAGCUUACCAAUAUAGCCAAAGUAAGAACAAACAAUUAAUUUCAUUUGGACAGCGGAUGUCAGGUCAUGUGCAACUUUAAACAAUUGGAACUGAGCUCUGUUUUUUUAAGAUAAUCAAUAAAGAAAGAAAUGCUUAUAUGGUGAGUUUGUGUUCAGCUUUAGCCAGAAAACACUCAGUCAACACAACAAAACCAGGAUGUCUUUCAAUUAGUUCAAAGUAUUAUUGCAUUCCAAAAGGUGGUUGCUAAUUAUGUAUGAGCAUGAUAAACUGGAAAGCGAAUAUGAACCUGAUUUGAUUAGGUAUUAAGGCUGCUAGCGAACACUAAAAUAACCAAGAUGGAGUCCAUCUAUUACUUUGAACAUACAUAAUGAUCGCAACCAAAAGAUCUCAUUGAAGUACAGAGCGUACGACUUAUCAGUAGAACUUUAAGUACAAUAGCAAUCAUUUAAGACAAAUGGUAAAAUAAUUUAACAUGAGGUACUCACAGGUAAGGACACAAAUCGCCAGAAAGCAGGAGCACCCGUGAGGCCAUCACCUACAUGGGAGCAUGAACAAUCCUCCUGCUGAGGCUGACCAGACGAGGGUGGGAACGUCGCGCACUUCUGGAGGCCUUUCUUCACCUCCAAGCUGAUCAACUUAGAGAAACCCGUACAUAUCUGAGCAUUCAAGGGAGCACUGUCGUCCCCUGUGGCUUCACAGGUUUCAUCAACUGAAUUGCAGAGAAAUGGAAUAUCGGCACGGGUCGGAGGGUCAUCAGCAGAAGUCACUACUGGCACUCCUUCAGGACCAUUACUGCUCGCCAUGGCUCCACAAGCUUCAUCGGCGUAGUGCUUCUCUGGCAGAAGCUGAAUACCAGCGCUGGUAGUAGAUGUCACUACCGACGCUCCCUCGAGACCACAGGAACCACCGUCCAUAAAGUGACUGGUUUAGCACUUGCAGAGACGCAGAGUGAUACAGCAACACAGCAAACGUACAACCACGCUGCGCCACUGAUGCUACAGAAACAUGGACAAGAACAAAUGUAGCUGUUAUUCCUCCUCAAUCCUCAUAGACAUACCACAUACAUAUAGAUUUAGAUGCUAAUGCUAAGUGCCAGAGAUGCAAUUGUGAAGGUGAACGAACUCCAGGCAUAGCCGCAUAGCAAAGGUCGAUCCUGAGUGGCACGAAUUAAGCUUGUGGUAGACUAAUACAGUACUACGGUAGUAUAUUCGCUAUACAUACAUUAACCAUAACAAGAUAAGGGGUAUCCAGGAUGCUACCUGACCCGCAACAGCAUAGAUCCGAUCUCGGAAGCGAUCCAGACAAAUCCGAUCCAACAGAAGACGACAGCGAAAACGACAAACAAGUCGGCGUGCAGCACGAAAUCACAGGCACGAGCAACGAUUGAAGGCGAAUACUCUUGUGGCAGCAGGAGCAGAGCAGCAACGGGGAGAAGUAGAAAUGGAAGAGGUAAGGGUAGAGACAGGUAGAUCAGGGUGGGGAGCGGGCGGGGACAAGCGUUAGGAGGACGAGGUGGGGGAUUGGGCACGCCAAGACCAAGGCUUGAGGCGGUGCGCGCAGGCGGAGGGGGACGAGAGCGCGUCGUCGCGAGGGAGAAGGCACAAGGACGAGCAGCAGCAGCCCUGCACGCAUGCGCCACCUCAUCCUCGUCGUCGCCGAAAACCGAAGCGGCGGCGUGGGACGGCGAGCGUGCCGAGGCGAGGUGGAACUUACAAGCGCGGGAGGGGAGAAGGGGAGGAAGAGGUGGCAUCUGGGUUGGCGAUAGCGCAUGGCGGGAGGCGGUCGGGAGUGGGAGGAGGAGCAGGCGGGGGGCGAUGCAGUGCAUGGCGGGAGGUGUGGUGCUUCGGGGUGGAAGAGCUGGGGAGGGGGAUCGCGGGGAGAUGAGCACGAGAUCUGGGAGUUGAUUGCGGGGGAUGCCGCAGCGACGCCAUCGAUGGAAAGGAGUGCUGUGGGCGGGCGGGCGCUCAGGGCAGAACCGUGCACCACAGCCAAUGUGGACGUCUACAAUAGAGACUUAUGUAGUAGUAGAGACUAGCCAGCUGUCCGUAUUUUGCUACGGUUUUUAUAUAUCAUAUCUCUUCUCUAUCUCUAAUAUCUAUUAAGUCAAUAGUGUAGACCACGGCACUACCAUGACUCCACCCUCCCCAUCCCGCGCACUCGCCCCUCGCCCAAGCAUUGAGCCAACAGCCCCUUCCGCGCAAGGCACACACAUGCUGCAUAUCACGCAUAGGCGCAUAGCGGGCCUGCACCCCCUCCUCACAUUCCUCUUCGUCUUCACCUGCGUGUUCGCACACAUGACCGUCGGUACGUACAACCAGUCCAGUGCAAACAACGACAGCUUUGCCUCCGCCUCCAUGCGAGCCAAGCGCCCCGCCCCGCUCCCGUAGCGCAAAACCAUAGCCAUCAAGGCGGGCCUCCUCGUCAGCAUCUACCUCUGCAACAACCUCCUCGCUUAUAUGCCAGCGUGGGCGUGAGUCGUGGUUGCUUCCACGUGGUGUGACACCUGUUCGACGACAUACCGUACGCGCGGUGGAACACGUUCACUUGGAACUCGCUGCUAUCGAUGUGCGCGAAGUCCGGCCGCCUCCCUGACGCCCGUGUCGUGUUCGCCAAAAUGCUCAAUCGGGACGCCAUGUCCUGGACCAUCAUGGUUGUCGGGCUCGGCUCAACUGCUCCGGUCGGUUCUAGGAUGCUGUGAAGACAUUCCUGUACAUGGUCGGUGAAGGGUUUGCGCCGUCGCAGUUCACGCUCAUGAACGUGCUUUCAUCACGCGCUUCGUCGUCAAGCUGGGGCUAAGCAGCUGCGUGCCUCGUGGCUCAUGGCCAACUUCGUGCUCUACAUGUAUGGCAAGUGUGGGGAUGCUGAGACAGCGAGGGCUGUGUUUGAGAGGAUGCAGAUGCGGAGUGUGUCACGCUGGAAUGUCAUGGUGUCGUUGUACAUCCACCAAGGGAGGAUGGACCUUGUUGUGUCCAUGUUCGAGAACAUGGUAGAGCAAACCAUUGUCACUUGGAAAACCAUCAUAGCAGGGUAUAACCAGAAUGGGCUUGAUGGCAUGGCAUUGAAUUUCUUCUCACGAACGCUGAGUGCUUCUUCCAUGGAGCCAGAUGCAUUCACAGUGGUUAGUGUCCUAUCAGCUUACACUAACCUUCGCAUGCUGAAGAUUGGAAAACAGAUGCACUCUUAUAUCUUGAGAACUGGAAUGUCGUGCAGGAGUCAGAUCAUGAAUGCUCUCAUCUCAACUUAUACAAAAUCCAGAAGUAUUAAGACUGCAAGGAGGAUCAUGGACCAGGCAGUGGUUGCUGAUCUGAAUGUUAUCUCCUUCACGGCUCUCCUAGAAGGCUAUGCCAAGCUUGGAGACACAAAGCAGGCAAGGGAACUCUUCGACGUUAUGAAUAAUCGAGAUGUCAUUGCCUGGACUCCUAUGAUUGUUGGCUAUUAGCAGAAUGGUCAAAAUGAUGAGGCCAUGGAACUCUUCAUGUUAAUGAUCAAAAGUGGCCCAAAAUCAAACAGUCAUACGCUUUCUGUUGUUCUCAGCCUGUGCAAGCUUGACAUAUCUUGAUUAUGGGAAGCAGACCCACUGCAAGGCUAUGAGGUCCUUACAGGAGCAAUCUGUCUCGUCAACAAUGCCAUUAUCACAGUGUACGCAAGGUCAGGCAGCGUGCCACUGGCUAGAAGGGUGUUUUAUUAGAUUUGCUGGGGCAAGGAAAUGAUUACAUGGACUUCAAUGAUCGUGGCUAUGGCUUAACAUGCUUUGGGAGAACAAGUCGUUGCCAUUUUGAAGAAAUGAUCCGUGUCGAUAUGAAACCAGACCGUAUAACAUACGUCGACUUGCAUUCCAGCCUACGUGCAUGCUGGUUUUGUAGACAAAGGGAAGAGGUACUAUGAGUAGAUGUAGAAUGAGCAUGGCAUUGUAUCAGAGAUGAGCCAUUACAAAUUUAAUGUCUUUUUAAGAGUCAAACAGUUGGGCUCUAGUAUUUGCAGUUGUCGGAGAGCAAAUCUCCGGCCGGGUAGCGGAGAGUCAAACAGUUGAGACAGCGAGGGCUGUGUUUGAGAGGAUGCAGAUGCGGAGUGUGUCACGCUGGAAUGUCAUGGUGUCGUUGUACAUCCACCAAGGGAGGAUGGACCUUAUUGUGUCCAUGUUCGAGAACAUGGUAGAUCAAACCAUUGUCACUUGGAAAACCAUCAUAGCAGGGUAUAACCAGAAUGGGCUUGAUGGCAUGGCAUUGAAUUUCUUCUCACGAACGCUGAGUGCUUCUUCCAUGGAGCCAGAUGCAUUCACAGUAAUUAGUGUCCUAUCAGCUUACACUAACCUUCGCAUGCUGAAGAUUGGAAAACAGAUGCACUCUUAGGUAGCGUUUGGUUCUAGAGCCUAGUUGAAUGGAACGGUUCUAUUCAAAAUUCUGAGGAUAGAACGGUUCUGUUCUAUGUUUGGUAGUUAGAACAGAGCCGCUCUAUUUUUUGUUUGGUUCUAGAGCGAAGUAGAAUGGAGUGGCUCCGACGUGUGUUUGGUUACAAUGUAGCAGAUCUCAAUGGUAUGAAUUAUACAAGCUGAGAAACAUCCUAAUGCUAUUUUACUAUAUUAAUUGUAUGUACGAACAUACAUAUGCUAUACGAAUUAAUUAAAUUUCUACCUCAUAAUGGUAUAUACGAACAUACUAUAUAUAAUAUAUAAUAUAUAUAUAUAGAGAGAGAAUAUGAAUAUAUGAAUUCUUUCAAGCGGCAGCAUACAAAUCAGUCAACGAAUUCUUUCAAGCGGCUGCAUAUAUAUUUUGGCUGGAAUUCUUUCAAGCGGCUGCAUACGACGAAGGAAGAAGAUAGACGAGCGUGGGCGUAUGCGAGCGCACGAGUCCGGUUGUUUUCUGGGAGCGGACACAUGCAGGAUAUCGAGGGAAUAUUCCUAUACUAGAACAGCUCCGUUCCAUUUUGAUUCAAACCAAACAUCCAUAUUACUAGAACAGAGCGGCUCUAUCCUACCUAACUUUAGAACCAAACACUACCUUAUAUCUUGAGAACUGGAAUGUCGUGAAGCAAUCAGAUCAUGAAUGCUCUCAUCUCAACUUAUACAAAAUCCAGAAGUAUUAAGACUACAAGGAGGAUCAUGGACCAAGCAGUGGUUGCUGAACUGAAUGUUAUCUCCUUCACGGCUCUCCUGGAAGGCUAUGCCAAGCUUGGGGACACAAAGCAGGCAAAGGAAAUCUUCGACGUUAUGAACAAUCGAGAUGUCAUUGCCUGGACUGCUAUGAUUGUUGGCUAUCAACAGAAUGGUCAAAAUGAUGAGGCCAUGGAACUCUUCAUGUUAAUGAUCAAAAGUGGCCCAAAACCAAACAGUCAUACGCUUGCUGUUGUUCUCAGCCUAUGCAAGCUUGACAUAUCUUGAUUAUGGGAAGCAGACCCACUGCAAGGCUAUCAGGUCCUUGCAGGAGCAAUCUGUCUCGUCAACAAUGCCAUUAUCACAGUGUACAUAAGGUCAGGCAGUGUGCCACUGGCCAGAAGGGUGUUUUAUUAGAUUUGUUGGGGGCAAGGAAACAAUUAAAUGGACUUCAAUGAUCGUGGCUAUGGCACAACAUGCUUUGGGAGAACAAGUCGUUGCCAUUUUGAAAAAAUGGUUCGUGUCGAUAUGAAACCAGACCGCAUAACAUACGUCGACUUGCAUUUAGCCUACGCGCAUGCUGGUUUUAUAGACAAAGGGAGGUACUAUGAGUAGAUGUAGAAUGAGCAUGAUAUUGUACUAGAGAUGAGCCAUUACAAAUUUAUUGUCUUUUUAAGAGUCAAACAGUUGGGCUCCAGUAUUUGCAGUUCAUAAAAUAAAAAGGAUGUCAUCUUGUCAUGUUCAGUGUAUCUAUGAAUUCACAUCUCCUUCAGUGCACUUAGGUUGCACUAGCUUUGUAUGUUUAUCUUACCUGGAUUUAGUUAUGUAGAUUUAUUGAGGUUUGAGCCUCAAUAAGUUAAUGCACUUAGUUGGAGUUGGGCUUUGGUACUUGACAUUUUCUUUGUACUAACAAUCGAUAUCUAUAUAACAAAAAAGCAAGGAUUUUCAAAUUUAAAUAUAGAUGCUAGAAUCAUGUGUAUUUUGGUAUGUACAUGUCUCUUUGUAGCCACACCUUGUAUAGUAUGCAAUCAGCUUGAUUAGUGUGUACAUGUGUUCCUUCUUAGAGUUCUCAUGUUUCCAAUUAAAACACUAAUUUCAUGUAGACGAUGCUUUGCACUUGAACAUAACAGUAAGGAAGGAAGUUUUGGUUCCCUAGAUGGUUUGGGGGCUUAAUUACAAUGAACAACAACAACCUGACAAAUGAAGGGAUAGAAUGCCUUGUGGCAUUCUGGUGGGAUACCAACAUGGUAUUCUCAUUAAAACCUAGAGAGCGACAAGACACAAUAGUUUGCUUGCGACGAGAGACAGCAACUAUGAUCUUGCAUAGUUCAUCUUCAUCAAGCACCAAAUCAACAUUAAAAGUUGUAAGAAGCUGCAGAAAAGCCUGUGCCUGUUUGGAUGUUAGCUUUGAAAGACAACAUUGUUUGAAAACUGCAACAAUAUUUGUGGUAUUAAGAAAAUUGUAGUAUACUACUCAUGUUUGUAUAAAUUGAGAACACUUUGUUGUUGCUUGCAAAUAGAUCAGUUCGUCACUUUGUGUGCUGCCUUAAGUUACCCAAGGGCAUUGAACUAUUGUUCUUAUUUUGGCAUUGAUAUGCUUACUUGUGUUUAUCUCACUUUCGGUGAUAUGGAAUAGCAGUUGUUGUUAUAUGACUUGUAUAGAAAUCAUUUCCAAGUUAUUAUGUUGAAGUGCUGCUUAUAAAUGUGACAAUUUGCAGGUACUAUUAAUGAGUGGCAUGAGCAAAGGUGCCUUUGCUGAAAUAACUUUAUUGAGAAGCACCGAGGAACAAGUUGUGCACUUGAAGAAGGAUCAUUCUGUUUUUGCAAUUGGAGGCCCUUGGAAUGCAUCAAUAGAUGGUCGUGAUCCAUCAACUGAUUGUUCUUUCUUAUCCCGCUAGAUUUGUUGUCUUUCAACCUUGGAAAUCAAAGGAACGAGCAUUUGAGCAAUAGAAAGGAUAUAGGACGAGGCCGAAUCUGAUGUGGGGAAGAGGGGGAGGGAAAGAUUGAGAUGGACAUAUCACAACACAAAUGGGGGGAGGGGAAUGGGGGAUAGGAUAUGAAAAGGGAAAUGAGGUAUGACAAUUACGGGAGGAAUUAGGAAUAAUGCUGGACUCCCAAAACUAAGGAUACGUUUGAUUUGAGGUCAAAGUAGGAUGAGGCGGGGGCGACACGGUACCCUUGAUUUUUUGGGAUCACGCCGCCACCAAAAAUUGCUCCCGUAUUCACCUUGCCCCCGCAUGACUCUCAUACAAUUACUAUAGAAAAUGUGGCCGCCCCCUUCCAUCCCUCCUUGUACCUCCAACCAAACACACAGAAAGGAGGGGACACAUGAUUAAGAAUGAGAUGUGCAUCAGUAUUUGCCAUUUAGAACAUUAUUUUAAUGUCCAUCUUUGCAUCUCACUUUCGGAUUAAACUUCCAUUCAGAUAGGAGGUGACACAUGAUUAAGAAUGACAUUGAUAUGCUUACUUGUGCUUAUCUCACUUCCAGAUUAAACUUCGUAUUAAUCUCUACUCCUGUUAAGGGGCUAAGGGAGGCGUCCAUAGGGGCGAGGUCGUGCCCCCACCCCCGUCCUUGGCGCCUCUUCCACCACCCCGUCCGAGACACCGCUGGUGCCACGUGAUGCCCGCCCCUGCCACGCGUUGCCAGACUCGACACCUCCCCCUGUGCCAGACAGACACCACACGAUGCCUGCCCGAGACUAUGCCCCCCACGCCCACCACUCUCGUUCGUAUCAAUGUUUUAUAUUAAUUUUUAAUUUCUGUAGCAACGCACAGACACAUACCUAGUAAAUAGUAUUAAGAUAUUUAUUCAAAUAUAAUUAUUUUUUUAUUUCUAGAUACUAAGCUACAUGUAGUCUAGUGGUUAGCCCCAAAUUUUUGGAACAGUGGGGUGUGGGUUUGAGUGCUAGUAGCGCGGACGGCGUCGGGUGCUAGGCAGCCACAGUAGGUAGCUGUGCGGGCGCUGGGCAUGGGGCCCAUAGGGCACGACUCCCGAGGAGGGCACGUGGGGGCGCUAGGGUCCGCUGCACGGGCGCUGGGCAUGGGCCCAUAGGGCACAACUCCCGAGCAGGGCGCGUGGGGCGGACCUAGAGGGUCAGCGUGGAGGGUGAAGCCGUGGUAGCACCAGGUGCCCACAUUAGGUUCUUAAUAGAUUACUAACCAGUUGCCCGUGAUUUGCUACAAUUUUUAUAUAUCAUAUAAAUAGGUAUUAGGAUAUUUAUUCAAAUAUAAUUAUUGUUUCUUUUUAAACACAAAGGUAUGUGUGAUCUAGUGGUGUAAGGCCCAAAACUUAUAUAAAAAAAACUAUAAUAAAAAUAAUGAAUAAAUAUAUAUAUAUAUAUGAUAAUGCUUUGGGAUUAUGAAACCUAAGGCGAUUAAUUGAUCCCUUUUAGUUUAACAAGUUCAAGUAAUAGGAUUAUAUUAGUCGAAUAACAAAAUAAAUAAAGACAAAAAAUGGGCACCUCAUAAUGAAAUUCUUAUAUUUGUAUUCAAAUUUGUGAAACAAGUUUGAGUUUAAAAAAAAUUAUAAUUUGAAAAUAAAAAGGGAACAAAAAAAGGAUGGGAAUUUAAAGGAAAUAAUUUAUUUCCCCCUAAAUAAAUGACAAGGAAAACAAUAAAUAAAAUAUUGGAAAUAAUAGAUGCUAUAUUUUCUUAAAGGGUGUGUUUGAUAACUUGGGAGUUCAUAACAUGAGUUGAAUUGAAUUUAAAGGGAGGGAUUAUAAAUGGGAGAAGAAUAUAGAAAGGAAAAAGAGAAAAUAGAGAAAUCCCGGCUGGGCCGUUUUCCUCUUCGGCCGGCCCAACUCAGCUUCUCUCCCCGCUCAGCCCAUGGCGCUCACUGCCGUACAUGUAUGUGGCUUACUAGUGGGGCCGCCCUGUCAUCACCUAUUCCUUGCUCCGUGCGCAUCUCAACAGAACCCGCCAUGCUCGCAUGGUCAGCACUCCCUCGCCGCGAUGUUCGCCGUUCGGUUCCCUCCGCUCGGACUUCACCGUGGUGCAUAAAAGCCGAAGCUCCGCGACCCCCUUCCCUCCAUCCACCAAAUCGAGGCUGCAUCGAGUCGUUGGGAGCCUCGCCUGGCAUGGAGAGGAGAUCGGAGCAUGAACACAGAGAGAGAUUGGGAUGGGCCGCCACCGUCGCUAGCCGAGCACCAAAUCGACUGAUGACUUGUGUGCGGUUUGGGGGGAUUGGAGUUCAGUGUCGUGGUGGUGCUUGUCAACUCCAACCCGGUCACCGUCUUGGCCGACUCGGGCCUCACCCACCACACCUGCAUCGAGCCCAUGGCGCCUCCGCUGCGCGAGCACAUCAUCGACGCCGAGCGCCCCGACGCGAUGCUCCCCACCAUGGGCGGCCAGACCGUGCUCAACCUAGCGGUCUCGCUCGCCGGUUCGGGCACUGCUCGUCAGGAUGGAUCGCCGAGCGCCGCCACCUGGGUGCUCACGCCGCCACGGUGGAUUCUCUGGUCGUCGUGCUUGAGGGUCGGGGGAAGGAAGAUGCCUUGGGCACCGUUUGAUCUCCGGCCGACGGUGGGGAUUUGACCCCAAGGUACCUCUUCGUCAAAUGAAUACGGACCGUUGAUCGCCGAUCGGUGGGUGGCGAGCGGUUUUGUGCUCAUAAAAUCCUGAUGGUCGGAUUUUGAUCUGAUGGCCGCGUUCCCAUACCGAUUCGGGGUCUGAUCCGGGCCGUUGGAUCUAAUCCGAGCGGCUGGAAUUCACCAUACCCCUUCGGCCAGGCUUUUUACGUAAGAGACCCUUACAUUUUUAGUUACUAACCCGCGAUCCGUGGUUGCUGUGCGCUGAGUCUCGGGAUUCUUACAUGGUAGCCCCCUGGCUUUUGGUUUAUUUAUGCGCGCAGUCUUGUAACAGAGGUAAUUGAGAAAAACCAUAUGGAAAUUGAUUUUUAUUACAAAAACAAUUCUAGCAACUUGUAAAAUUCAUAUAAAAUUCAUUUUAACUCCUUUUUAUCCCAUUCCAGUUCCUAUAAUUUUGUAAUAAUAUUGCUUAUCACAUAGUGUCUCUGGUUUGACAUGAAAACUGUAUUAAAAUUAAUCUCUUAAUUAAUAUUGUAUCAAAUACAUAAAACCUUUAGAAAUACAUAAUGUCCCCAUUUUAACUCUGAAUUGACCCGUUCUAGUUGUGUUAGUUUCGUAAUAAAAUUAUUUACACUUUGGUAACCUUAUUUUAUCAUGAGACAUGUUUUAAAUAAUUAAUUUGUUUAUCCUAUGUUAAUUGGAUUAAUCUAUGUCUAUUGGAUGAACUUCUUUAAUAUUAAUAUAGCAUUCUGAUCUUACGGUUAUAAUUUGACUAGAUGAUCUUUAAUCAAAUAAUGACUUAGAUUAAAGUUGAGAUAAUUAGUUAUAAAAUAAUCUCUCAUAUGAUUUACACUAACCAAUUUAUAAUAUAACUUAAUAUUUUAAUCACAUAGAUCUUCUAUAAAUCAUAACUCCUUAACCAUAACUCCGAUCUUAGUAGUUCUUGUUUCCUACGAUCUCGUAGCUUCGUGUAGAUUAUUAUUACGCAGUUUAUUCUUUUGUUUGGUGUAAUGUUAAUUUUGCCUAUACACUAUUUGUUUGUAUUUCUACGACUAGCAGUGAGGUCACGAGAAUAUGAAGAGCAAGUUGGUACCUGGAAUCUCAAGUCCCAGGCAAGUUGUGCCCUUGAUCACUUCUUUUUACCCAGCCAUGUUCUAAUUAAUCAUAAUGAACUGCAUAGGUUAAUUUUGAUGGGACCCAAUAGGUUACCCUAGUUUGAUUAUCUUUAUACCUUGUUACCACUGAACUUUUUGGGUAGUACUUGCUAGUGCUUUAUGUGGUUUUGGGUAUGAAGAUACAUUACUCAUGAUUAUACUUUUGUUAUCCGUUGUUAUUUAUCGUUCAUGAUAAGAUCAUUAUGUUAAUUGGAACAUGGAGCGACCACCCGGGAAAACAGUGCUACCACAAGGGUAUAAUGGGACGCCCUUGGCUGAUUAAUUAGGAAAGCUAGUGGAGGACUACCUUACCCGAAAGGGGCAAGGGCAGUAGGGGAGUGGUCAGUGUAGGGAGGCCCUCGGGAGGAUUUUGCUGCGAUGGCGGUCCUGCAAGGGAAUUCCUGCAUUGGAGGUUCCUAUAAACUGUAGCGGGUUUUCUGAAGCUAGUGGAACUUUGUAAAGGCCUCGUAGUGUUACCCUGCCUCGCCUCCUCGGUAGAGGUGUAUGGGAAGUCGCGAUCCCUUGGCAGAUGGGUAACAUGACUUGUGGGUAAAGAUGCGCCACCUCUGCAGAGUGUAAAACUGGUAUACUAGCCGUGCUCACGGUCAUGAGCAGCUCGGACCCUCACAUGAUUAAUUUAUGGAACUUAAAUUCAAUUUGUCAUAUGCAUUGCAUCGCAGGUGAUGUUGUUACUUCUGUUCUACUAUUUAAUUGGGUUGGUAUUUACUUAUACUUAGUAAUUGCUAAUAAAAUUUUGACCAACUUUAAAAGCAAUGCUCAGCUCUAACCAUCCUCUUUGGUAAGCCUUACACUUCACGUGAGCUCCCACCUUUGGCGAGAUCAUGCACAUUAUUCCCCACAACUUGUUGAGCGAUGAACGUAUGUGAGCUCACUCUUGCUGUCUCACACCCCCCACAGGUCAAGAGCAGGUACCACAGGAUGAGGAGCUUGGUGGAUGCUGUGAUGAGUUCGUGAGUGGUCUAGGUCGUCGUCUCCCAGUCAACUUUGGGUUGCUGGACCGUUGUCUCCUUAUAAUGUAAUUAUUUACUUAUUUUGUAUAGAACUCCUGUUAUGUAGUAAAGAUGUGACAUUCGAUCCUGUGCCAUGAUUCAUCAUAUGUGUGAGACUUGGUCCCAGCACACCUGGUGAUUAUGUUUACGCCCGGGCUUUAGACCCCUAAAACCCGGGUGUUACAGAAGUGGUAUCAGAGGAAUGUUGACUGUAGGACGAAACCUAGAUAGAACUGGACAACCAAUACUUACUUACAUUUGCUACUCUGAUUCUUUUCUAAACUUAUCUUAUUCUUUUCUCAUCUAUUUCCGCUUUACUUUGAUUAUUCUUACCUUUUCAUUCUAAAGACAUAUGUGGAUUUCGCACUUUGAAAUCCUGUACCUAAAGUGACUUUAGGAAUAGGAGACCUACUCUUAGGAACAAAAACAAAACUAUUUUUUUCUAUAUGCUUGAAUGCUUGUUCUUAUGAUACUUGUCUGAUUUGGAUCUUUGAUUGAGUGCGAUGAGUUGUGGAGUAAUGUCCACAAUUACAUCUAUAUAUACAUAUAGUAAAGAAAAAAAUGUUGAUACAAUAACUAGCCAACUUAGAUUAUCCCCCACUAAAACAUAGUAAGCUUAAUAGAUCCAUCUCAUCUCAAAAGAUCCUAAUUUAUCAUAAUUAAAAUCUAUCUAGCUUAAUAGAUCAAUCUUAUCUUAAAAUAUACUCUAUUACCUUAGAGGAUUCAUCUUAUCUUGAAAAGAUUUUAUGUCAUUCUAAUAGAUCUAACCCAACCAAUAGAGUCUUGAUGGAUUGCAUAAUCUAUCAAACCCCACCUGACAUCAAACCAAAUUUUGGCCUACAUCAUGCAGUCUAUCUCAUCCAUAUCCAUCUUAACCAUAUUCCCCUAACUCCGAGAAUAUACACUGAUCUCGACUCAAUGAGACCAAGAUCAGAAAAGGACAAGAUAAACCUCGUCAAGGAAGGAGAGAAGUCAAACUCGAUCUUCAGAUGCAUUACCACCCAACACGGAGUUCUUCCUCACCAUAAAAUUUCUUACCCCUGGCUAUUCUUGCCCUAACCUAGCUUUCAUCCUACAUAACAAGGUGACCAUACCUAUAUAUAUACCUAUUCUUUCAUAACCCCUUUCUCAAUAACAUGACACUUCUUAGAAGUUAAAGGCUAAACUAUAAAUAAAGCUUUUUACAUCCCUGUCCUUACAAAUCUCGAGGACGAGAUUAUUUUUAAGGGGGGUAGAAUUUGUAAGGCCCAAAACUUAUAUAAAAAAAACUAUAAUAAAAAUAAUGAAUAAAUAUAUAUAUAUAUAUGAUAAUGCUUUGGGAUUAUGAAACCUAAGGCGAUUAAUUGAUCCCUUUUAGUUUAACAAGUUCAAGUAAUAGGAUUAUAUUAGUCGAAUAACAAAAUAAAUAAAGACAAAAAAUGGGCACCUCAUAAUGAAAUUCUUAUAUUUGUAUUCAAAUUUGUGAAACAAGUUUGAGUUUAAAAAAAUUAUAAUUUGAAAAUAAAAAGGGAACAAAAAAAGGAUGGGAAUUUAAAGGAAAUAAUUUAUUUCCCCCUAAAUAAAUGACAAGGAAAACAAUAAAUAAAAUAUUGGAAAUAAUAGAUGCUAUAUUUUCUUAAAGGGUGUGUUUGAUAACUUGGGAGUUCAUAACAUGAGUUGAAUUGAAUUUAAAGGGAGGGAUUAUAAAUGGGAGAAGAAUAUAGAAAGGAAAAAGAGAAAAUAGAGAAAUCCCGGCUGGGCCGUUUUCCUCUUCGGCCGGCCCAACUCAGCUUCUCUCCCCGCUCAGCCCAUGGCGCUCACUGCCGUACAUGUAUGUGGCUUACUAGUGGGGCCGCCCUGUCAUCACCUAUUCCUUGCUCCGUGCGCAUCUCAACAGAACCCGCCAUGCUCGCAUGGUCAGCACUCCCUCGCCGCGAUGUUCGCCGUUCGGUUCCCUCCGCUCGGACUUCACCGUGGUGCAUAAAAGCCGAAGCUCCGCGACCCCCUUCCCUCCAUCCACCAAAUCGAGGCUGCAUCGAGUCGUUGGGAGCCUCGCCUGGCAUGGAGAGGAGAUCGGAGCAUGAACACAGAGAGAGAUUGGGAUGGGCCGCCACCGUCGCUAGCCGAGCACCAAAUCGACUGAUGACUUGUGUGCGGUUUGGGGGGAUUGGAGUUCAGUGUCGUGGUGGUGCUUGUCAACUCCAACCCGGUCACCGUCUUGGCCGACUCGGGCCUCACCCACCACACCUGCAUCGAGCCCAUGGCGCCUCCGCUGCGCGAGCACAUCAUCGACGCCGAGCGCCCCGACGCGAUGCUCCCCACCAUGGGCGGCCAGACCGUGCUCAACCUAGCGGUCUCGCUCGCCGGUUCGGGCACUGCUCGUCAGGAUGGAUCGCCGAGCGCCGCCACCUGGGUGCUCACGCCGCCACGGUGGAUUCUCUGGUCGUCGUGCUUGAGGGUCGGGGGAAGGAAGAUGCCUUGGGCACCGUUUGAUCUCCGGCCGACGGUGGGGAUUUGACCCCAAGGUACCUCUUCGUCAAAUGAAUACGGACCGUUGAUCGCCGAUCGGUGGGUGGCGAGCGGUUUUGUGCUCAUAAAAUCCUGAUGGUCGGAUUUUGAUCUGAUGGCCGCGUUCCCAUACCGAUUCGGGGUCUGAUCCGGGCCGUUGGAUCUAAUCCGAGCGGCUGGAAUUCACCAUACCCCUUCGGCCAGGCUUUUUACGUAAGAGACCCUUACAUUUUUAGUUACUAACCCGCGAUCCGUGGUUGCUGUGCGCUGAGUCUCGGGAUUCUUACAUGGUAGCCCCCUGGCUUUUGGUUUAUUUAUGCGCGCAGUCUUGUAACAGAGGUAAUUGAGAAAAACCAUAUGGAAAUUGAUUUUUAUUACAAAAACAAUUCUAGCAACUUGUAAAAUUCAUAUAAAAUUCAUUUUAACUCCUUUUUAUCCCAUUCCAGUUCCUAUAAUUUUGUAAUAAUAUUGCUUAUCACAUAGUGUCUCUGGUUUGACAUGAAAACUGUAUUAAAAUUAAUCUCUUAAUUAAUAUUGUAUCAAAUACAUAAAACCUUUAGAAAUACAUAAUGUCCCCAUUUUAACUCUGAAUUGACCCGUUCUAGUUGUGUUAGUUUCGUAAUAAAAUUAUUUACACUUUGGUAACCUUAUUUUAUCAUGAGACAUGUUUUAAAUAAUUAAUUUGUUUAUCCUAUGUUAAUUGGAUUAAUCUAUGUCUAUUGGAUGAACUUCUUUAAUAUUAAUAUAGCAUUCUGAUCUUACGGUUAUAAUUUGACUAGAUGAUCUUUAAUCAAAUAAUGACUUAGAUUAAAGUUGAGAUAAUUAGUUAUAAAAUAAUCUCUCAUAUGAUUUACACUAACCAAUUUAUAAUAUAACUUAAUAUUUUAAUCACAUAGAUCUUCUAUAAAUCAUAACUCCUUAACCAUAACUCCGAUCUUAGUAGUUCUUGUUUCCUACGAUCUCGUAGCUUCGUGUAGAUUAUUAUUACGCAGUUUAUUCUUUUGUUUGGUGUAAUGUUAAUUUUGCCUAUACACUAUUUGUUUGUAUUUCUACGACUAGCAGUGAGGUCACGAGAAUAUGAAGAGCAAGUUGGUACCUGGAAUCUCAAGUCCCAGGCAAGUUGUGCCCUUGAUCACUUCUUUUUACCCAGCCAUGUUCUAAUUAAUCAUAAUGAACUGCAUAGGUUAAUUUUGAUGGGACCCAAUAGGUUACCCUAGUUUGAUUAUCUUUAUACCUUGUUACCACUGAACUUUUUGGGUAGUACUUGCUAGUGCUUUAUGUGGUUUUGGGUAUGAAGAUACAUUACUCAUGAUUAUACUUUUGUUAUCCGUUGUUAUUUAUCGUUCAUGAUAAGAUCAUUAUGUUAAUUGGAACAUGGAGCGACCACCCGGGAAAACAGUGCUACCACAAGGGUAUAAUGGGACGCCCUUGGCUGAUUAAUUAGGAAAGCUAGUGGAGGACUACCUUACCCGAAAGGGGCAAGGGCAGUAGGGGAGUGGUCAGUGUAGGGAGGCCCUCGGGAGGAUUUUGCUGCGAUGGCGGUCCUGCAAGGGAAUUCCUGCAUUGGAGCUUCCUAUAAACUGUAGCGGGUUUUCUGAAGCUAGUGGAACUUUGUAAAGGCCUCGUAGUGUUACCCUGCCUCGCCUCCUCGGUAGAGGUGUAUGGGAAGUCGCGAUCCCUUGGCAGAUGGGUAACAUGACUUGUGGGUAAAGAUGCGCCACCUCUGCAGAGUGUAAAACUGGUAUACUAGCCGUGCUCACGGUCAUGAGCAGCUCGGACCCUCACAUGAUUAAUUUAUGGAACUUAAAUUCAAUUUGUCAUAUGCAUUGCAUCACAGGUGAUGUUGUUACUUCUGUUCUACUAUUUAAUUGGGUUGGUAUUUACUUAUACUUAGUAAUUGCUAAUAAAAUUUUGACCAACUUUAAAAGCAAUGCUCAGCUCUAACCAUCCUCUUUGGUAAGCCUUACACUUCACGUGAGCUCCCACCUUUGGCGAGAUCAUGCACAUUAUUCCCCACAACUUGUUGAGCGAUGAACGUAUGUGAGCUCACUCUUGCUGUCUCACACCCCCCCACAGGUCAAGAGCAGGUACCACAGGAUGAGGAGCUUGGUGGAUGCUGUGAUGAGUUCGUGAGUGGUCUAGGUCGUCGUCUCCCAGUCAACUUUGGGUUGCUGGACCGUUGUCUCCUUAUAAUGUAAUUAUUUACUUAUUUUGUAUAGAACUCCUGUUAUGUAGUAAAGAUGUGACAUUCGAUCCUGUGCCAUGAUUCAUCAUAUGUGUGAGACUUGGUCCCAGCACACCUGGUGAUUAUGUUUACGCCCGGGCUUUAGACCCCUAAAACCCGGGUGUUACAAGUGGUUAGCUCCAAAUUUCUAGAGCAGGGGGCGUAGAUUCAAGUGCUCGUUGUACACUAUUUUUUGAUAUAAUUAUUGUUUAUUUCUAAAUAUUAAGGUACAUGUGGUCUGGUGUUAGCUACGUGAGCGGGGGUCGGGUGCUGGGCAGGCGCAGUAGCUGGCUGCGCGGGCGGGCGUGGGGCCCACAGGCACGACCUCCGAGGCGAGGUGCUUGGGGCGGGCCCAGAGUGUCAGCACGGAGGGUGAAGACGUGGUAUCACCAGUGCCCACAUUAAGUUCUUAGUAGAAUAGUAUAGAUAUAAAUUAGUAUAGAUAUUUAUAUAAAGUUUUUUAAAAACAUAAUUGUUGAUUACAAAUAGUUUUCAAUAAUUUUAGUUUUAAAAAGUUUUUCGAUAAAUGAAACAGUCACUGAGAUUCAAUAUGCAAUAGAGAUUCAGAUAACAAUCCACCUCUAUGAUAUUCUCAAAACUUCAUGUAGCACACAAUACUCCAUAGAAAAUCUUUUAUCUUGGCAUUUUAUUCACUUGGUGCCAAAAAAAAUAAGAGGUUGAGAUAAAAAUUUUGACUUUUGUUGUGCGCACUCUUGGGCAGGCGAACGAUCUGACCUAUCGGCCGGACGGUCCGCUCGUGCGCAGAAUCAAUUAGGGUUCUGAGUUUCUUGCGGGAUUUGUUAGCUAAAUCAGCGGAAUUAACUCGGGAACCGACUUGUAACGGAUCCUAACCCCCUUUAUAUAGAUGAAGGGCUACGACCGAUUGAACUCCAACAAUCGAUCAAAUCAAAUCUACUUAUCGUUUUUACCUUAUGCAUUAGGAGUAGCUCUAGUUUAGCCCUACUUUAGCCUCCCUCUACCUCAAAUCUUCACCUUUCUUCGGUUCUACGUCGACUAGAGGUGUCUUGGGUGGCCUGCCGACGCCAAGACACACCCUAGGAUCUCUCCUCCCCCGGCGAGGUCCCUCCCGGGAGGCAAGAUCUAGGUCUGCUGCGAAGAAGAAGACCCUCUGCGCCAUCGCGAACCGUCCGAGCCCCAGACGUGGACCAUCCGGACGUAUGCAGAGGAGGAGCCGCUCCUGCGCCAAGUUGCGGUCCAUCCGCCCUAUGUCGCGGACCGUCCACGCCUCCGCAGAGAGCCCCGCCAGGUGGUCCAUCUCCAGUGUUUGGCGUCCAGAUCGGUGCCAACACACUUUUGGCGACUCCGCUGGAGAACUGAUGUCUAGAUCUAUUAAAAAUCAGGCCCUCAAAUGUUGGUUCUAAAGAUCACACCGAUAUUUCCCAGAAAAAUAUCCUAAAGCCGACUGUUGAAAGUUUGACGGCUUAGGGGCAACAACAAUACGAAGACUACAUGUGUCAAGCGAAGGAGAAAUUCUUGUCAUAAUACACGAUGGAUUGCCACCAAAAGGUUGUCAAACAUGGAGAGACCGACGUCGCGUCUCUUCUAUCUUCGCUUCAAGUCCCCAACGUAAGUAAACCCGACGACAUCUAAUCUAUUAAACAUUAUGUAGAUCAGCAACAUGAUCAAAUGAAACAACAUAAUGUAGGGUUAGAAGAAUCAAUUAGAAAAUUAACACGUGCGUUGGAGAAGUCUGUUGCUCCUAGUUUUCCAUCAUAUGAAACUAGGGGUGAAAACAGAAACGAUAAUUUCCGGAUACCAGGAAUCCUUUUCAAAAUUUUACCGAAAUUUAGGUCUAAACAGAAACGAAAAUGGUUACUAAAAAUACAGAAACUAAAUCCUUAGAAAAAAAUCGGAAUCAGAAACAGUUUGGGCCUCUUCCGACCGUUUCCGGAAAUUACCAUUUUUAUUCAAUAUUUUACCUUUGGUAAUAAAUUCGGUAUUUUUUCAGGAAAAAUAUUAAAUCUGAACUGACCUUUAUAAAUUCAUAAUAAAUUCUUCUUAGCUUAGAAAAAUAUGAAACUAAUUUUGUUAUGUUCCUAAAAUCAAGAUCUAUCUAAUGGUAUAUAGUUUAGAAUCGUUUGAAACUUUUAUAAAUCUUGUUUAUGUUUUCUUACCUGUUAUUACUCUUGAACAUAUAUUCAUAAUUUUCUUACCUGUUAUUACAUAUAUCAUUAUACACAUUUUGAUUCUCCUUUAUUGAAAUACAUAAUAACGAUUUUAUUACUAUUGUAUACUUCUUGCCUUAUAUAUAGAGAAGGCUCCAACUCCUAUCUCUCACUCUUAUCUUUGUGAUUAUAUGUUGACAUGUGAUCAAGGCAAGCUAGUUGUAAAAUAUGUUGGUGCCUACACUAACAGGAAAAUCAUAAAAAAGAGUGUGUGGGUACCAAAGGCUAUUACUAACACUCAAGGAUCCAAUUCAAUUUGGGUUCCUAAAAGCAUAGCCUAAAUUUGUGGUUGCAGGUCUACUCCUCUAGUGGAUCAAGCUGGGUGUUUAAUAGUGGAUGUGCAAAUCACAUGACCGAGGAGAAGGACAUGUUUCAAACCUUACAUCUAACCCAAGAGUCACAAGAGAUUGUGUUUGGAGAUAGUGGGAACGGAGAGGUGAUUGGUAUUGGUAACAUUCCUAUCUCAAACUAUCAAUCACUCUCUAAUGUUCUAUUAGUUGAUUCCUUGAGUUAAUCUGCUAUUUGUUUCACAAAUGUGUGGAAUGGGUUUUGGUUGUUUAUUUACAAAUAUGUGUGUGAAAAUCCUUACAAGGGAGGAUUCCUCUAUUGCCUUUACGGGUUGGUUGAUAGGAAAGCUCUAUCUUGUUGACUUUAGAACAAUUGGAGUGUCAUCCGAUACUUGUUUAGUGGCAAAAUCCGACAAGGGUUGGACUGACCAAUGUUGUUUUUGAGAAAGACAGGGUUUGUUGACAGGCAAGCUCUAUCUUGGCAGAGGAACUUGGCCAAACUUCAAAAGGAUGGACACAUUGUUGGACUCACUAAUGUUGUUUUUGAGAAAGACAGGGUUUGUGGAGCAUGCCAAGCAGAAAAGCAACAUGGCGCUCCACAUCAUCCAAAAGAAUGUAGUCACUACCAAGAGACCAUUGAAGCUUCUGUACAUGGAUCUCUUCGGGCCUGUGGCCUACAUAAGCAUUGGCGGUAACAAACACGGUCUAGUAAUUGUUGAUGAUUUUUCUCGCUUCACUUGGGUUUUAUUUUUGAGUGACAAAGGUGAAACUCAAGAGAUACUUAAGAAGUGCAGCAAGCGAGCUCAAAAUGAGUUUUAUCUGAAGAUCAAGAAGGUGAGAAGUGACAACAGGACCGAGUUCAAGAACACUGGUGUGGAAGAGUUCUUGGUUGAAGACGGGAUCAAGCAUGAGUUUUCUGUUCUCUACACUCCACAACAAAAUGGUGUUGCGGAGAUAAAGAACCAAACUCUCAUUGAGGCUGCAAGGAUCAUGUUGGAUGAGUACAAGACACUAGACAACUUUUGGGCCGAAGCGGUCAAUAUGGCGUGUCAUGCAAUCAACUGCAUCUACCUUCACAAGAUCUACAAGAUGACUGCUUAUGAAUUACUCACUGGUAACAAACCCAAAGUUGAUUAGUUUAGAGUUUUUGGUUAUAGAUGUUUCAUUCUUAACAAGAAAACUAAGAGCUCAAAGUUUGCUCCUAAAGUAGACGAGGGAUUCUUGCUUGGUUAUGCAUCAAACGCUCAUGGAUACCAUGUUUUAAACAAUUCCACGGGUCUUGUUGAAAUAGCGUAGAUGUGAGAUUUGAUGAAUCUAAUGGCUCGCAAGGGCAUGUCUCUAGUGAUGUUGCAGGAAAUGAAAAACCACCUUGUGAGGCCAUCAAGGAGCUUGCAAUAGGUGAAGUCAAGCCCCAAGAGAAGGACGAUGACGAAAGAAGAAUUUGGAUGACAAAUGAGGUCAUUGAUGGAAUUAUAAAGGUGACGGGUAAUGGACCUUCCACCCAAGUAAAUCCAUCAACCUCAAGUCACCCAAUUCUUGAAGAAUCCAUCCAACCACAAGACAUGCCAAGUGUUGAUGAGCAUGAAGAUGUGGAAGACUGUGAAGUCCCUCUUGAACAAGAGGAUGAUGGACCAAUUCAACAUUGACUUUGGGGAAACCUAUGCACUAGUAGCAAGGUUAGAGUCCAUAAGAAUAUUAAUUGCCUAUGCUACUAACCAUUAUUUUAAAUUGUAUCAAAUGAACGUCAAGAGUGCAUUCCUAAAUGGCCCACUGCAAGAGUUGGUCUAUGUGGAGCAACCGCCGGGCUUUGAAGAUCUAAAGAAGCCAAACCAUGUUUUCCUCCUCCACAAAGCACUCUAUAGGCUCAAACAAGCCCUUAGAGCUUAGUAUGAGUGUCUUAAAGAUUUCUUACUUAAGAAUAGUUUUGAAAUAGGAAAAGCGAACUCUACUUUAUUUACUCGCAAAGUAGAUAAUGAAUUAUUUGUGUGCCAAAUAUAUGUCGAUGACAUUAUAUUUGGUAGUACUAAUGAGAAGUUUUGUGAGUAAUUUAGUAGGGUCAUGACAGAUAGGUUCGAGAUGUCUAUGAUGGGUGAGCUCAAGUUCUUCCUGGGGUUCCAAGUGAAACAGUUAAGGGAAGGAACUUUUAUGUGCCAGACCAAGUACACACAAGACAUGUUGAAGAAGUUUGGCAUAGAAAAGGCGAAGCCCACCAAUACACCAAUGGCUUCAAAUGGGCAUCUCGACCUAAAUGAAGAAGGUAAACAUGUCGAUCAAAAGCUCUAUAGAUCUAGGAUAGGUUUACUGCUUUACUUAUGUGCAUCUAGACCUGACAUAAUGUUAAGUGUGUGCAUGUAUGCUUGUUUUCAAGCUAACCCAAAAGAGUGUCAUUUAGUGGCCGUUAAGAGAAUCUUAAGAUAUCUAGUUCACACCCAAAACUUAGGGCUUUGGUAUCCCAAAGGCUCCUUUUUCGAUUUACUUGGCUAUUCUGACUCAGAUUAUGCUGGUUGCAAAGUGGAUCGAAAAGGCACCAUGGGGACUUUCUAAUUCCUUGGGCAGUCUUUGGUGUCAUGGAGUUCUAAGAAACAAAAUUAUGUUGCACUUUCCACUGCAGAAGCUGAGUACAUAGCAGCCGAUGCAUGUUGUGCCUAGUUGCUAAGGAUGAAGCAAACCUUGAGGGACUUUGGUUGUGAGUUUAAUAGAAUUCUGCUACUUUGUGAUAAUGAGAGUUCCAUUAAACUUGCAAAGAAUCCCAUGCAACACUCUAGAACUAAACACAUUGAUAUUAGACAUCAUUUCUUGAGAGGCCAUGAAGCCAAAGGAGAUAUCGAAUUACGUCACGUAAACACCAAAAAUCAACUAGCCGAUGUCUUCACCAAACCUCUUGAUGAGACUAGGUUUUGCUUUCUUAGGAGUGAACUAAAUAUUUUGGAUUCUCGUAACGUCUCUUGAGGGCCUGCACACAAAAUUGUUUGAGAUAGAUUCUAUGUUUUGUUAAAUUUUAAAACUGUAUAAAAACAUAUAUUUCUAUCUAUAAAUCCCUAAAUUUGGUUGAGAAUGGCAAUAAUAAUAGCCAUAUAAAAAUCUCAAUCUUCUUGAAGUUCACUGGUGAAAACCAAUUGAACUUCAGUUCAAUCCGGUCCCUCGUCAAAGUCAACUGACAUCUUUUAUGACCUGUCUGCUUUGCUCCUGUUAGUCUGCUCUGCUAUCAGUCUGACAGUCAGGCACCUCUGACAGAGUGACAGGUGGCGAUUGAACCGGACCUACCCCCCGGUUCAACUGGUUUUCACCAGCGGCGCCCAGGGUUUAAACCCUCUCCCCAAUUUGACUCAGUUUUCUCCAACCUAGUCGCCUCUAGCUCGAGUCUUCUCUCUCUAUUUCCUCUCCAAUCCCUUAAAUCCACCCACUCAAAUCACUUGAAACUUGGAGGGAUUACUCCUAGGGAGAUGCUCCUCCAUUUCCACCUCUUCGGUUGUAGUUUCAUCAACCGAAUUCUUAGAUCCAGGUAGCUCUCCAUUUUCACUCUUUUGCCUCGAUCUAUAUUUCUAGGAAUCUUUUUCUGAAUCCGUUUGAGGAGAAGGCUAGUUGGUUCAUAUGGAACACUUGCUUAAAGAAGUUUAGCCUUGUUGUACACAUUUGUUAAGGUAGAUUGUGUGUUGUGUUCAUGUACAGUUGAACUAUUCAUAUGAACGGUUGAACUGCACAUGUCACUCAAACCUUCUCCUUUGCAUAUGUUAUUUCUUACAUUUAACAAAUCCACCUCAUACCUUGUUUAUUCAUCUAAUUCAAGAUGGUUCGUCAUCGGAAUCCAUUAGUCAUUGAUUUCAGCAGAAGCAACAGUGAUGAACAGGAGAUUCAGGAGGAAUCUCUGGUUCCCUCUCCUCCUCCUCGUCGAUCCCUCUCCAAAAGGGGUCAAGAGUGUGGCAAGAUUGAGGGGGAGGGACCCUCUUGACCUUCCCAACCUUCUCAGGGGAGGCAAAAGGUGUCCGCCUCUCGCUCUCGACGAGGGGCAUCUUCUGCUGGGGGGGUCUUCCUAUUCAAGAGAAAGAUGACUCUCUAGAUGACUUCGUCAAUCUUCCACCUCUAGAUGCUCCUAUUGUUGAAGGUCUCAGUCCGCAUUAAGCCAAUGUGUCUCAGGGCCCUCAUGAUGACCUGACCGACUUUAGUGCAAGGGCAGUCGAUGUUCUCUAGGAGCUGAGGUUCACCAACCCCACUCUUGCUCCCAAGCACCACCCAGGGUUCAUGAUCCAAGGUUCUGGAAUCUCUUUCAAGAUAACUUCUAUAAUUAUGUUAUUCUUACCAAGAAGCACCCAAUCAUUAGGCAUAGAGUGAUUGAUUGGGAAGGUUGUGAAAAUAUAAAUGAUGCUGAUAUGAUUCGGGUUCUAAGAGCAUGCGAGCAGAAGGGGAUGAAGGAUAUCUUGACUAUGGAACAUCCAUGGAAUGAUGAGGUUAUUACUCAGUUCUAUGCAACUCUUUGGAUAAAGAAGGUUGAUGAGGAAGCGGAUGCGUACGAUCACCCAGUCAUGUACUUCUACCUCUAGGGAGUUUGACACAAAGUAUGUUAUCAUCGUUUUGAUCAUAUCAUGGGUUUCUCUGACGAGAACAUCAAAGGGAGGAACCUUCGGGUUCAUGAUAUUCGUCAACCCAGGUGUGAAGAGCAGGAAGUGGUGCAUAUCUCAAAUGAGAGGGUACUAGAUUACUUCUAACAUGUACAGGUACUAUCAGUACCUCAACUCAUUAUCCAGGAUGACAAUCCUUCUUAAGCAAGGCAACCAGAUGAAUGUCCUUGGGGAGAGUCAUGUCUUUAUCAUGCUUAUGACUCCUACCUGCACCGGCAAGAUCAAUGUUUUUGAUACGAUCUAGGAAGAGAUUAUUCGAGCAUCUUGGUCACCACUGAAGGCUUGCCUUCAUGCACCCUUCAUCAUGAAGAUGAUCGAAGUAGUCACCUAGGUUCGCUAUGAGAAGCCAGUCAAGCAUUUCCAUUAUGUUCCUUAUUGGGUUGAUUCCAACAAUCCAGCGGCAAGGUCGAAGUGGGCUCCAGCUAGUUCAAGUGGUCAUGCGUCUUUUGAUGAGCCACCACCUCAGCAUCCUCUCGUGCUAUUGCCGCUUCUCAUUUGAUGGAUCGUGGCAGUCGAGGAAGAGGCCAGGGCAGGGGUCGGGGAUGAGGUUUGUUUAUGUGUCUGGCCAAGGGCAUCGCCAAGGUUUUUGCCAUGUGUCGCAAUCGUGGUGUUGAUGAGGCUAUGCACCGACGUGAGACUCGGGCCCUUCAUGAUGACAUGUGAAGCUUUGUAGCUUCCAUUGGACAUCCCAUGCCACAACAACCUCCUCCUAUUCCAAUUCCUGUAUACCCAGAAAAUCUCAAUGAAUGGCACCAACAAGAAAAAUGGCAUGUCAUUUAUCACUCAGGAAGAUGAGGAAGAGAAUUAUGAUGAUUCAUCUUACUUCCAGUCUACUCCUGCUGCCGCUCUAGGACCCAUUCCAGGUGAUCCCAGACCAUCUGGCUCUACUCAUCCUCCUCCUCUGUCACCUUUUUAGGGUCCUCUCUCUUCUGCCUAUCCUCCUUCUAACGACCCUCCUUGGGACUCAUCGUAUGAAGAGGAGAUGGUCCAUGCCUUCUUCGCGGCUUAUCCUCCCUAUCCUCCUCCACUUGGUCCCUAUGGUGGUAGUGACCCUAGUGGCUGAUGAGUUUAUGUGCCUCUCUCUUCUUUGGUACUUGUUGACAAAAAGGGGGAGAACUUCUAGAGGAUAUUAAGACAAAGAUUGAAGCCCGUAGCAGGAUGGUCGUCAGUGUGGCCUUGACCUUCUAUUUUUUAUGUAAUUUACAGUUAUGUAUUGAACUCUUGGUUUGUAAUGAGUACUUUAUGUUGAGUUAUGAUGGUCAUUGGGCCAUAGAUAUCAUUUUUAUAAUCUCAUCUAUUGUAAUAGCUAGAUGAACAUCUGUGAUGCUUGAUUCUACUAUUUGCUACUGUUAAUUUCUCCUUUAUGAUAUGUGAUGAGAUUUGUAAAAUUGUUGUCAUGUGCAUCAAAAAUUUUAUAUGGCACUAUUUGCACACCUCGGAUAAUUGUAUAUAGUGUGGACUUGUCCACUUACUCCAAAUGUGUCGCAAGCUUGACAUGUUAAGUCAUCAUUGUAAUUCAAAGCGAACGCACACAUUUAGGGGAAGCCACAUAUGUACAAUUAUCCAAAAGCAUUUAAUUUCUUCAAAUAUUAAUCUUUUUUGACCUUAUGUGUUUUGGCAUCAAUCACCAUAAAGGGGAGAUUGUAAGUGCAAUCAACCUUAAUUGAGGGUUUUGGUGAUUAAAUGACAAAACAAAUAAGGUUUUUAACAAGUUUUCUCCUAGUGUAUAUUUAGUUUCAGUAACUAUAAAAUAAGUAGCAACUUUAAUUGAUAAAUGAAAAAGGAAGUAUCAAGGACAAAGGAAAUACAUCAAGUGAUGCCUUGAAAAGAUUCCAUGCGACGAUCAUGUAAAACUUUCUAAAUUUCUUGAGUCGCAGGAUUUUUUCCCUUGGUAGUUUUCACACAAAUAAUGGUGUUUGGUAUUGUUCAAGCCUCUAAAUUCAAAAGCUAUUUUGAAAACCAAAUUCUUUGGACACUAUGUGAGUUCGACUGAUGUUAGGUUUGAGAGACGGAGAGUCUUCCUAUUGAGAAGCAGCUAAACUUUCUUUCAGAAAAGUUCAACUUGACUUCAGAUGAGUUGAUCUUGUCUCCAGAACAUUUGAAAUUGACUUCAACUGAGUUGAGCUUUUCUUUAGAACAGUUGAACUUGACUUCAUUUGAGUUGAGCUUUUCUCUAGAACAACUCCACUUGACUUCAACUGAGAAACUCUCUAGUCAAAACCAGUUGAACCUGCCUCAGGGCCAUUGAACUUGGGUUUUCUCUCCAAACCUCUCUUGUCGAUACAAGUUGAACUGGCCCCAGGGGUGGUUAAACCGGUGUCAGGGUCAGCUGACCAGUCUGACUUCCUCUCUGCCAGUCUGACUGGCAUUCUCACUAUCAAUCUGACCUCUAGGCGAUUGAACCGGCCCUAGGGACGGUUCAACCAGUCUUAGACCAUUUGACCAUAGUCAAACUACCCAUUUUGAACUAGGUCAAAACCAGUUCAACUAGGAAUUAGGGGCAGUUCAACCAGCCUUGCACAAAAAAGUUCAGCCCAACAGCUCUUUUUGAGGUGACUCUAUAAAUACCCCUACAUACCUCUCUCUCCUCAUUGACUUAGGUCACUUCUCAUACUUAUUGCUCACCUAACUUGAGACAAAGCACUCUCCCUCUCUCUCUCUCUCACUCGAUCUAGCUCUUAAAUCAAUCGGUUGAAGGAGCCCCUUUGGUGUGUGGUUUGUGCUUGUGACCUUCAGAUUUGGUUUUCCUCUCCCUUCUCUUUCACAUCUCUUGAGAUUGUUGCAAACACCUCUUGUGCGAACUUGUUGUUCUAGGAACCUUCGAGUUCCUUGAUGGAUUGAGGUUGCUUGGGAGUCUCCAAAGUUGUGAACGACCCCAAGAAGUUUGUAUCACCCGCUCUUGUGAGCAGAUUUGAGAAAAGAUUUUGAAGCGUCCCGAUCCUCUGGGACUCAAAUGUGAUACAAUUACUAGUCCCAGGAGGCUAGUAAACACAUUUAUACAUCAGAUGAUUUCAGAUCUGCUUAAACGAGACAAACCUAUAAAGGUGACGAUCAACUUUAAGAGUUGGUCCACAACUCGGGACAUAUCAUCAGAGUGGGGCUGAAGCAGCCUGAUAUACGCAGCGAAGCAAAUCAGCGGUCCAACAGCCACAGGCAAGGUUGGGAACAGUCGUAACUCUUACCCGAUCUCCUUUUUCUGAAAAACAACAAAUAAGCAAGGGUGAGUACAAACGUACUCAGCAGCCCACCUUCACCCGCGGAAUGGGAAAUCAGAUAUAAUGCAUGGAAUAUGUGGAGCUAAGGAUAUUUGCAGAAACAUCAAUAUUUUAUGCAGGGUUGUUUUUGAAAAACAUUUUGUAUUUUGCAAAGCGCAUCCUCUCCAAAAGGAGCAGGAAGUUUUUCAGUAUUAUAACAAAAUCCCCUGGACUGAACCAUCCAGGUAUCUCAGCAGUUCCCACUGGUUUUCAUUUUCAAAAACAACUACUGGACUUCCCGUCCACCAUAGCUCACGGUUCAACAGCCAGACCUUUUAAAAACCACUUUUCAAAAGCAUCUUUUUUUAAAACAAAACAUUAAUUGCCAUACUGAUAGUCGCCUAGAGGGGGGUGAAUAGGGCGAAACUGAAAUUCUCAAAAAUAAUCACAACUACAAGCCGGGUUAGCGUUAGAGAUAUAAUCAAGUCCGCGAGAGAGGGUGCAAAACAAAUCGCAAGCGAAUAAAGAGUGUGACACACGGAUUUGUUUUACCGAGGUUCGGUUCUCGCAAACCUACUCCCCGUUGAGGUGGUCACAAAGACCGGGUCUCUUUCAACCCUUUCCCUCUCUCAAACGGUCCCUCGGACCGAGUGAGCUUUCUCUUCUCAAUCACUUGGAACACAAAGUUCCUACAAGGACCACCACAAUAUUGGUGUCUCUUGCCUCAAUUACAAGUGAGUUUGAUUGCAAGAAAGAAUCAAGAAAGAAGAAAGCAAUCCAAGCGCAAGAGCUCGAAAGAACACAAGCAAAUCUCUCUCACUAGUCACUAAAGCUUUGUGUGGAAUUUGGGAGAGGAUUUGAUCUCUUGAGUGUGUCUAGAAUUGAAUGCCUAACUCUUGUAAGUGGUUGGAAGUGUGAAAACUUGGAUGCAAUGAAUGGUGGGUGGUUGGGGGUAUUUAUAGCCCCAACCACCAAACUAGCCGUUUGGUGGGGCUGACUGUCGUAUGGUGCACCGGACAGUCCGGUGCACACCGGACAUGUCCGGUGCGCCAGCCAUGUUACCAAAGCCGUUGGGAUUCGACCGUUGGAGCACUGUCUUCUGGGCCCGCCUGGAUGUCCGGUGGCGCACCGGACAUGUACUGUAGAGUGUCCGGUGCGCCAGCAUGGGCGUGCCUGACUUCUGCGCGCGCUGGCGCGCAUUCAAUGCGCUGCAGGUAGCCAUUAGCGCCGAAAUAUCCGUUGCUUCGUUGUCACACCGGACAGUCCGGUGAAUUAUAGCGGACUAGCCGUUGCGAAUUUCCGAAGCUGGCGAGUUCCGGAGGCCGCUCUUCCUUGGAGCACCGGACAGUCCGGUGAAUUAUAGCGAAGCGCCUCUGGAUUUUCCCGAAGGUGACGAGUUUGACUUGGAGUCCUCUGGUGCACCGGACAUUGUCCGGUGGUGCACCGGACAGUCCGGUGCGCCAGACCAGAGGUGCCUUCGGUUGUCCCUUUGCUCUUUUGUUGAACCCAAUACUUGGUCUUUUUAUUGGCUAAGUGUGAACCUUUGGCACCUGUAUAACUUGUACACUAGAGCAAACUAGUUAGUCCAAUUAUUUGUGUUGGACAAUUCAACCACCAAAAUCAAUUAGGAAAUAGGUGUGACCCUAAUUCCCUUUCAAUCUCCCCCUUUUUGGUGAUUGAUGCCAACACAAACCAAAGCAAGUAUAGAAAUGCAUAAUUGAACUAGUUUGCAUAAUGUAAGUGCAAAGAUUGCUUGGAAUUGAGCCAAUAUAAAUACUUACAAGAUAUGCAUGGAUUGUUUCUUUCAUUCUUAAUAUUUUGGACCACGCUUGCACCACAUGUUUUGUUUUUGCAAUUUCUUUUGUAAAUCCUUUUCAAAAUUCUUUUGCAAAUAGUCAAAGGUAAAUGAAUAAGAUUUUUCGAAGCAUUGUCAGGAUUUGAAAUUUUCUCCCCCUGUUUCAAAUGCUUUUCCUUUGACUAAACAAAACUCCCCCUUAAUGAAAUCCUCCUCUUAGUGUUUAAGAGGGUUUUGAUAUAUCAAUUUUGAAAUGCUACUUUCUCCCCCUUUAGAACACAAUAAGAUACCAAUUUUAAAUUUAUCAAUUGAAAAUCAUUUGUAAAAUUAGGGUGGUGGUGCGGUCCUUUUGCUUUGGGCUCAUACUUUCUCCACCUUUGGCAUGAAUCGCCAAAAACGGAUACUUUGAGUGAGAUAUAAGCCCUUAGAAUUACUCUCUCCCUCUUUGGUCAUAAAUAAAUGAGUGAAGAUUAUACCAAAGAUGGAGUCCUUUUCUCCCCCAAAGAUGGAGAGUUGCUCGGAGUGAUGGCGAAGGAUGAGUUACGGAGUGGAAGCCUUUGUCUUCGCCGAAGACUCCAAUUCCCUUUCAAUACACCUAUGACUUGGUUUGAAAUAGACUUGAAAACACAUUAGUCAUAGCAUAUGAAAGAGAUAUGAUCAAAGGUAUAUAAAAAGAGCUAUGUGUGCAAAUUAGCAAAAGAAGUUCCUAGAAUCAAGAAUAUUUAGCUCAUGCCUAAGUUUGUUAAAAGUUUGUUCAUCAAGAGGCUUGGUAAAGAUAUCGGCUAAUUGAUCUUUAGUAUCAAUGUAUGAAAUCUCGAUAUCUCCCUUUUGUUGGUGAUCCCUUAAAAAGUGAUACUGAAUGGCUAUGUGUUUAGUGCGGCUAUGCUCAAUGGGAUUAUCUGCCAUGCGGAUUGCACUCUCAUUAUCACAUAGAAGAGGAACUUUGGUUAAUUUGUAACCAUAGUCCCUAAGGGGUUUGCCUCAUCCAAAGUAGUUGCGCGCAACAAUGGCCUGCGGCAAUGUACUCGGCUUCGGCGGUAGAAAGAGCGACCGAAUUUUGCUUCUUUGAAGCCCAAGACACCAAGGAUCUUCCCAAGAACUGGCAAGUCCCCGAUGUGCUCUUUCUAUUAAUUUUACACCCUGCCCAAUCGGUAUCCGAAUAACCAAUUAAAUCAAAUGUGGAUCCCCUAGGAUACCAAAGCCCAAACUUAGGAGUAUAAACCAAAUAUCUCAAGAUUCGUUUUACGGCCGUAAGGUGAGCUUCCUUAGGGUCGGCUUGGAAUCUUGCACACAUGGAUACAGAAAGCAUAAUAUUCGGUCGAGAUGCACAUAAAUAUAGCAAAGAUCCUAUCAUCGACCGGUAUACCUUUUGAUCGACGGAUUUACCUUCCGUGUCGAGGUCGAGAUGCCCAUUGGUUCCCAUGGGUGUCUUGAUAGGUUUGGCAUCUUUCAUUCCAAACUUGCUUAGAAUAUCUUGAGUAUACUUCGUUUGGCUUAGGAAGGUGCCUUCUUGGAGUUGCUUCACUUGAAAUCCUAAGAAGUACUUCAACUCCCCCAUCAUAGACAUCUCGAUUUUUUGUGUCAUGAUCCUACUAAAUUCUUCACAUGUAGACUCGUUAGUAGACCCAAAUAUAAUAUCAUCAACAUAAAUUUGGCAUACAAACAAGUCAUUCUCAAGAGUUUUAGUAAAUAAAGUAGGAUCAGCCUUUCCGACUUUGAAGCCAUUAUCUAAAAGAAAAUCCCUAAGGCAUUCAUACCAUGCUCUUGGGGCUUGCUUGAGCCCAUAAAGCGCCUUAGAGAGUUUAUAAACAUGGUUAGGGUACUCACUAUCUUCAAAGCCGGGAGGUUGCUCAACAUAGACCUCUUCCUUGAUUGGUCCAUUGAGGAAGGCACUUUUCACGUCCAUUUGAUAAAGCUUAAAGCCAUGGUAAGUAGCAUAGGCCAAUAAUAUGCGAAUUGACUCAAGCCUAGCUACAGGUGCAUAGGUUUCACCGAAAUCCAAACCUUCGACUUGGGAGUAUCCUUUGGCCACAAGUCGAGCUUUGUUCCUUGUCACCAAACCAUGCUCAUCUUGCUUGUUACGGAAAACCCACUUGGUUCCUACAACAUUUUGGUUAGGACGUGGAACUAAAUGCCAUACCUCAUUCCUAGUGAAGUUGUUGAGCUCCUCUUGCAUCGCCAUCACCCAAUCCGAAUCUUGGAGUGCUUCCUCUACCCUGUGUGGCUCAAUAGAGGAAACAAAAGAGUAAUGCUCACAAAAAUGUGCAACACGAGAUCGAGUAGUUACCCCCUUAUGAAUGUCACCUAGUAUGGUGUCGACGGGGUGAUCUCGUUGGAUUGCUUGGUGGACUCUUGGGUGUGGCGGCCUUUGUUCUUCAUCCUCUUUGUCUUGGUCAUUUGCAUCUCCCCCUUGAUCAUUGCUGUUAUCUUGAGGUGGCUCGUUUGCUUGAUCUUCUCCUUCAUCAAUUUGAGCCUCAUCCUCAUUUUGAGUUGGUGGGGAUGCUUGCGUGGAGGAGGAUGGUUGAUCCUGUGCAUUUGGAGACUCUUCGGAUUCCUUAGGACACACAUCCCCAAUGGACAUGUUCCUUAGCGCGAUGCACGGAGCCUCUUCAUCACCUAUCUCAUCAAGAUCAACUUGCUCUACUUGAGAGCCGUUAGUUUCAUCAAACACAACGUCACAAGAAACUUCAACUAGUCCGGAGGACUUGUUGAAGACUCUAUAUGCCCUUGUGUUUGAAUCAUAUCCUAGUAAAAAGCCUUCUACUGCCUUAGGAGCAAAUUUAGAUUUUCUACCUCUUUUAACAAGAAUAAAGCAUUUGCUACCAAAGACUCUAAAAUAUGAAAUGUUAGGCUUUUUACCGGUUAGGAGUUCAUAGGAUGUCUUCUCGAGGAUUCGGUGUAGAUACAACCGGUUGAUGGCGUAGCAAGCGGUGUUGACCGCCUCGGCCCAAAACCGAUCCGAAGUCUUGUACUCAUCAAGCAUGGUUCUUGCCAUGUCCAAUAGAGUUCUAUUCUUCCUCUCUACAACGCCAUUUUGUUGUGGCGUGUAGGGAGAGGAGAACUCAUGCUUGAUGCCCUCCUCCUCAAGGAAGCCUUCAAUUCGAGAGUUCUUGAACUCCGUCCCGUUGUCGCUUCUAAUUUUCUUGAUCCUUAAGCCGAACUCAUUUUGAGCCCGUCUCAAGAAUCCUUUUAAGGUCUCUUGGGUUUGAGAUUUUUCCUGCAAAAAGAAUACCCAAGUGAAGCGAGAGUAAUCAUCCACUAUUACAAGACAGUACUUACUCCCGCCGAUGCUUAUGUAAGCAAUCGGGCCGAAUAGAUCCAUGUGGAGUAGCUCAAGCGGCCUGUCGGUCGUCAUGAUGUUCUUGUGUGGAUGAUGGGCACCAACUUGCUUUCCUGCUUGGCAUGCGCUACAAACCCUGUCUUUCUCAAAAUGAACAUUGGUUAGUCCUAAAAUGUGUUCUCCCUUUAGAAGCUUAUGAAGAUUCUUCAUCCCAACAUGGGCUAGUCGGCGGUGCCAGAGCCAACCCAUGUUAGUCUUAGCAAUUAAGCAAGUGUCGAGUUCAGCUCUAUCAAAAUCUACCAAGUAUAGCUGACCCUCCAACACUCCCUUAAAUGCUAUUGAAUCAUCACUUCUUCUAAAGACAGUGACACCUACAUCAGUGAAAAGACAGUUGUAACCCAUUUUGCAUAAUUGAGAUACAGAAAGCAAAUUGUAAUCUAAUGAAUCUACAAGAAAAACAUUGGAAAUAGAGUGGUUAGGAGAUAUAGCAAUUUUACCCAAUCCUUUGACCAAACCAUGGUUUCCAUCCCCGAUUGUGAUCGCUCGUUGGGGAUCUUUGUUUUUCUCGUAGGAGGAGAACAUCUUCUUCUCCCCUGUCAUGUGGUUUGUGCACCCGCUGUCGAGUAUCCAACUUGAUCCCCUGGAUGCAUAAACCUACAAAACAAGUUUAGUUCUUGACUUUAGGUACCCAAACGGUUUUGGGUCCUUUGGCAUUAGAAACAAGAACUUUGGGUACCCAAACACAAGUCUUGGAGCCCUUGUGUUUGCCCCCAACAAACUUGGCAACUACUUUGCCGGAUUUGUUAGUUAAAACAUAUGAUGCAUCAAAAGUUUUGAAUGAAAUGUCAUGAUCAUUUGAUGCAUUAGGAGUUCUCUUCUUAGGCAACUUAGCACGGGUUGGUUGCCUAGAACUGGAUGUCUCACCCUUAUACAUAAAAGCAUGGUUUGGGCCAGAGUGAGACUUCCUAGAGUGAAUUCUCCUAAUCUUGCUCUCGGGAUAACCGGCAGGGUACAAAAUGUAACCCUCGUUAUCCUGAGGCAUGGGAGCCUUGCCCUUAACAAAAUUAGACAAUCUUUUAGGAGGGGCAUUAAGUUUGACAUUGUCUCCCCUUUGGAAGCCAAUGUCAUCCUUGAUGCCAGGGCGUCUCCCAUUAUAAAGCAUACUACGAGCAAAUUUAAAUUUUUCAUUCUCUAAGUUAUGCUCGGCAAUUUUAGCAUCUAAUUUUGCUAUAUGAUCAUUUUGUUGUUUAAUUAAAGACAUGUGAUCAUCAAUAGCAUUAAUGUCAACAUCUCUACAUCUAGUACAAAUAGAUACAUGCUCAACGACAGAUGUAGAGGGUUUGCAAGAUUUUAAUUCUACAACCUUAGCAUGUAAUAUAUCAUUCUCACUUCUAAGGUUAGAAAUAGUAAUAUUGCAAACAUCAAAAUUUUUAGCCUUAGCAAGCAAUUUUUCAUUUUCAAUCCUAAGGCUAGAAAUAGAAACAUUUAACUCAUCAAUCCUAGCAAGUAAAUCAACAUUAUCAUCUCUAGGAUUGGAAGUUGAAACAUUACAAACAUGAGAAUCGACCUUAGCUAACAGAUUAGCAUUUUCAUUUCUAAGGUUGUCAAUAGUUUCAUGGCAAGAACUUAGCUCACUAGAAAGUUUUUCACAUUUUUCUACUUCUAGAGCGUAAGCAUUUUUUAUCUUAACAUGUUUCUUAUUUUCUUUAAUAAGGAAGUCCUCUUGGGUGUCCAAGAGAUCAUCCUUCUCAUGAAUAGCACUAACCAAUUCAUUAAGUUUCUCUUUUUGUUGCAUGUUGAGGUUGGCAAAAAGAGUGCGUAAGUUAUCUUCCUCAUCACUAGCAUUUUCAUCACUAGAAGACUCAUAUCUAGUGGAGGAUUUAGAUUUAACCUUCUUCUUUUUGCCGUCCUUUGCCAUGAGGCACUUGUGGCCGACGUUGGGGAAGAGAAGGCCUUUGGUGACGGCGAUGUUGGCGGCGUCCUCGUCGUCGGAGGAGUCGCUAGAGCUUUCGUCGGAGUCCCACUCCCGACAAACAUGGGCAUCGCCGCCCUUCUUCUUGUAGUACCUCUUCUUUUCUCUCCUCUUGCCCUUCUUGUCGUCGCCCCUGUCACUGUCACUAGAUAUUGGACAUUUUGCAAUAAAAUGACCGGGCUUACCACAUUUGUAGCACACUUUCUUGGAGCGGGGUUUGUAGUCCUUCCCCUCCUUUGUUUGAGGAUUUGACGGAAGCUCUUGAUGAUGAGCGCCAUCUCCUCAUUGUCGAGCUUGGAAGCGUCGAUGGGUUGUCUACUCGAUGUAGACUCCUCUUUCUUCUCCUCCGUCGCCUUGAAUGCGACCGGUUGUGCUUCGGGUGUGGAGGAGGUGCCUUGCUCGAUGAUUUUCUUGGAGCCCUUAAUCAUUAGCUCAAAGCUCACAAAUUUUCCUAUAACUUCCUCGGGAGACAUUAGCUUAUAUCUAGGAUCACCUCGAAUUAAUUGAACUUGUGUAGGGUUAAGAAAUACGAGGGAUCUAAGAAUAACCUUGACCAUCUCAUGGUCAUCCCAUUUUUUGCUCCCGAGGUUGCGCACUUGGUUCACCAAGGUCUUCAAGCGGUUGUACAUAGCUUGUGGAUCCUCCCCUUGGUGAAGCAUGAAGCGACCGAGCUCCCCCUCGAUCGUUUCCCACUUGGUGAUAUUUGUCACCUCGUCUCCUUCGUGCGCGGUCUUGAGUACGUCCCAAAUUUCCUUCGCACUUUUUAACCCUUGCACCUUAUUAUACUCCUUUCGACUUAGAGAGGCGAGGAGUAUAGUAGUGGCUUGGGAGUUAAAGUGGUGAAUUUGGGCCGCCUCGUCCAAGUCGUAGUCUUCAUCCCCUAUGGAUGGUACCUGUACACCAAACUCAACAACAUUCCAUAUGCUUGUGUGGAGUGAGGUUAGAUGAUGCCUCAUUUUGUCACUCCACAUAUUAUAAUCUUCACCGUCAAAAACCGGUGGUUUGCCUAAUGGAACAGAGAGUAAAGGAGUACGCUUUGAAACAUGGGGAUAGCGUAGAGGAAUCUUACUAUACUUCUUGCGCUCUUGGCGCUUAGAAGUAACGGACGGUUCAUCGGAGUCGGAGGUCGAUGGUGAUGAAGAGUCGGUCUCGUAGUAUACCACUUUCCUCAUCCUCUUGUGUUUGUCGCCUCUCCGAUCCGACUUGUGGGAAGAGGAUUUCCUCUCCUUCCCCUUCCCUUUGUUGGAGGAGCUUUUCUUCUCCUUCCUCUUGUUGCGGGACUCUUCCGAUGAAGUUGACCCAUCGCUUGUAGCGGGCUUGUCGCCGGUCUCCAUCUCCCUCUUGGCGAGUUCUCCCGACAUCACUUCGAGCGGUUAGGAUCUAAUGAAGCACCGGGCUCUGAUACCAAUUGAUAGUCGCCUAGAGGGGGGGUGAAUAGGGCGAAACUGAAAUUCUCAAAAAUAAUCACAACUACAAGCUGGGUUAGCGUUAGAGAUAUAAUCAAGUCCGCGAGAGAGGGUGCAAAACAAAUCGCAAGUGAAUAAAGAGUGUGACACACGGAUUUGUUUUACUGAGGUUUGGUUCUCGCAAACCUACUCCCCGUUGAGGUGGUCACAAAGACCGGGUCUCUUUCAACCCUUUCCCUCUCUCAAACGGUCUCUCGGACCGAGUGAGCUUUCUCUUCUCAAUCACUUGGAACACAAAGUUCCUACAAGGACCACCACAAGAUUGGUGUCUCUUGCCUCAAUUACAAGUGAGUUUGAUUGCAAGAAAGAAUCAAGAAAGAAGAAAGCAAUCCAAGCGCAAGAGCUCGAAAGAACACAAGCAAAUCUCUCUCACUAGUCACUAAAGCUUUGUGUGGAAUUUGGGAGAGGAUUUGAUCUCUUGAGUGUGUCUAGAAUUGAAUGCCUAGCUCUUGUAAGUGGUUGGAAGUGUGAAAACUUGGAUGCAAUGAAUGGUGGGUGGUUGGGGGUAUUUAUAGCCCCAACCACCAAACUAGCCGUUUGGUGGGGCUGACUGUCGUAUGGUGCACCGGACAGUCCGGUGCACACCGGACAUGUCCGGUGCGCCAGCCACGUCACCAAAGCCGUUGGGAUUCGACCGUUGGAGCACUAUCUUCUGGGCCCGCCUGGAUGUCCGGUGGCGCACCGGACAUGUACUGUAGAGUGUCCGGUGCGCCAGCAUGGGCGUGCCUGACUUCUGCGCGCGCUGGCGCGCAUUCAAUGCGCUGCAGGUAGCCGUUGGCGCCGAAAUAUCUGUUGCUUCGUUGUCACACCGGACAUGUCCGGUGAAUUAUAGCGGACUAGCCGUUGCGAAUUCCCGAAGCUGGCGAGUUCCGGAGGCCGCUCUUCCUUGGAGCACCGGACAUUGUCCGGUGUGCACCGGACAGUCCGGUGAAUUAUAGCGGAGCGCCUCUGGAUUUUCCCAAAGGUGACGAGUUUGACUUGGAGUCCUCUGGUGCACCGGACACUGUCCGGUGGCACACCGGACAGUCCGGUGCGCCAGACCAGAGGUGCCUUCGGUUGUCCCUUUGCUCUUUUGUUGAACCCAAUACUUGGUCUUUUUAUUGGCUAAGUGUGAACCUUUGGCACCUGUAUAACUUGUACACUAGAGCAAACUAGUUAGUCCAAUUAUUUGUGUUGGGCAAUUCAACCACCAAAAUCAAUUAGGAAAUAGGUGUGACCCUAAUUCCCUUUCACAUACCAUACCAGACUCGUCCAUUCCUGUGGACACAGACUAUUCGAAUAGGUUUUCAAACUCUGCGCAGAGGUGUACACUUUACCCACUAGUCCGGCUCUGCGAUCUCAUAGCUAGUGAGAUCCGAAUCCGAAUCUCUUUCUUUCCUCGCACGUCCUAACCUUAACGGUUAUACCGGAAGGAGUCAGGUCACCGCCAUGUCCAAACCGGACAAAACAUUCCCCCUCCUUAUCCUCACGGUGCUCCCCAGCCUUCAUAACCCUGGGGUUGGACCGUACGAGUUCAGAUUGAGUGACUGCCCACACAGUCUCGAGUGGUUGUACUUAUCAUGAGUACAGGUAGUGAAAGAUGACAAACCGGUCCUUAUACGAUGGGACAAUCCUUCUGCUCACGCCUAAACCAGCUGAGCCAUCACCUUAGGCCCUCCCCUAAACCAGGGAGUCCCUGAUUAUCCCACUCACAAGGAGAUAAGGGUGAAAACCCUUCAUCAUACACAUGUUGAAAAGCAUUUUCUUUUGAAAACUCACACCUUUUCUCAAAUCAUUUGUAACAAAUAUAUCAGGGAUUGAUUGCGGCAAGCGGCUUGGGUGUCCAUAAUAACUUGUCUCAAAAUCAUAUCAUGCAUAAAAUAACAGGCUGAGGGUUGUGGUUGAAAAAUCAUAGGUAAUUUAUGCAUCAAAGGGAUCCAGUGAGCUUGCCGUGCUUAUUCGGCGAAGGGGGAAGGGGAGCUCGCGGAACUGGCUUCUGGCUCCACCGCCUGGCGUAGACUUGCAGAUCUGGCCUCCACGAGACGGCACGAACGCUCCGAUAACUAUGCAACAUGAACAAGCAAACAUACAAACCAACAAGUAUAGCAACAAAUAUUUAGUAUAGUGGUCAAAAUAGCGAUACAUGGAUGGGUAGAGUCUUGAGUAGAAUAUGUGUCAUGUGGUGUUGAGAUACUACUAGUGGUGGAGCGGAGGUGCUUACCAGGAGGGUGGACUGGAGGCGAAGCGACACUAUGCGUGUAGCCGGCAGAGUAGAGUAACUGAGUGGGUGGGGUGUUUGCCUUGGCUGAGGGUGUUGAGUGUGUGGGGAGAGGGAGAGGGUAGCUGGGUCUAUUUAUAGUUGGGUGUAUGUGGUGUAGCACAGUGAAGUUCACUGUUGGUGAGAAUAGUGACGAAUGAAUCGUCUGACUUAGUCUGAACAGGAGAGUUAUAGGCAGAAUAUGGGACAAGAGUAUUUUGGGAGUUUUCUGGAAUAUGGACCAUGCUUAAGGGAUGACAUGGUUGGAUAGGGAAUAGUUUGAUAAGAAUUUAGAAACGAGAAUUAUUGGAAUCUGAGUUUGGGAGCCUGGUUCGAAGGAAUCUCAAAGUUAAGCGUGCUCAACUUGGAGAAACCUGGGAUGGGUGACCAGAUGGGAAGUUCCCUACUAGAAGGAAAAUCACAGUCACCGGAGUUCGUAUGACUGGAAUAUGGGUCUGGCUGGUCUUGGGUGGACUGGACAGCAUGAUGGAUGAGUAGUUGAAAUUUUGGGUGAUCGGCUAAUCGAUGAAUAGUAACAAUGAAUAGUAACGAUGAAUAGUGAUGACGAAAAAGUUACCAUAGAUAUCAUCGUUGAGUAGUAACGAUGAUGAAUAGUAACGAUGGUGAAUAGUGUCGGUGAAUAGUAACGAUGAAUAGUAACGAUGAAUAAUCGUAUGAACGAACGAUGAACGAUGAAUAGGAACUAUGAACGAACGAUGAACGAUCGAAUGAUCGAACGAACGAACGAUUGGAAUUUCGGCAGCAUAACGACAGGAAAAAGAUUAUUUGGAUGAACGAACGGACGAACGAUCGAAUGAUCGGACGAACGAACGAUCGAAAUUUCGGCUGCAUAACGGCAGGACAAAGAUUAUCUAGGAGAACGAUGAAUAGGGACUAUGAACGAACGAUGAACGAUGAAUAGGAACUAUGAACGAACGAUGAACGAUCGAAUGAUCGAACGAACGAACAAUCGGAAUUUCGGCAGCAUAACGGUAGGAAAAAGAUUAUUUGGACGAACGAACGAUCGAACGAUCGGACGAACGAACCAUGAACGAUCGGACGAACGAUCGAACGAUCGGACGAACGAACGAACAAACUAAGAACAGGGGACGAACGAUCGAACGAUCCUUGUGCUAGUGUGUGCUUGUGUGGAACAUGGAGUGGGUGUGUGUGGGGGGGAAGAGAGUUGCCAUGAAAUGGCUUGGGGUGGGAUGAGAGGAGGCCCUUGCCCCUCUAUUUAUAGCCAUGGUGGGGGGAUUAGGGGGAGGGAUGAGAGGAUUAGUGGGAGGAUGAGAGGAUUAGUUGGAGAUUAGCAUGUAUUUGUCUUGUAUAAGUGAGAUUAGCUUGUAGAGCUCACCGUAUGACACUGGAGGCAUACGCAUACGUAUGAGCAUGAGAAAAGUUAUGAAGAAAUUAUUUGUAUGGACUUGAAAAAUGAUUCUGAAGGUAUUUCUUAGGAAGAAAAUACUUGGAGAUAUAUCGGUGGAAAAUAUUUGGAUAGUAUUUCUAGAAAGAACUUGAAGGGGAUCACUCGGGAAAUAUCUGGGCGGUAUUUCUGGAAGAAUUUGAGGGGGGUCACUGGAGAAAUAUCUGGGCAGUAUUUCUGAAAAGAAAUUGAGGGUGAUCACUGGGGAAAUAUUUGUAGGAUAUUUUGAGGAGGAUUUUUGGAUAAAAUAUAGACCACUAUAAUUUAUUUGUUGAUAUCAACUUGCAAAUAAACAUUUUGAAACGAAAUUUGAAAUUCAUUUUGAAUUUAGAGCGAGUUUGAGAAAAUUCCAAGAUUUGAAUUUUUGGGAUGCUACAGAUUUCCCUUGACCUUUGUGGUCGGGUUGUGAUGGAUUAGGGUUGGAAAAGUCCUGGCCCUUUGUGGGCUCCUCAAUGGGAAGUAGUACACCUUUGUGGUGUGGCCGAACCUCGGGAUAAAAUCUUGUGUCUUGUGCUCUUGCUUGGAUCUGUGGUUGUGUUUUCUAGUUGGCAAGAUAGGCAUAUAGAGUAGUUCUUCGUGUGGAUCUCAUGGUGGAUUCACUAUUGUAUUUCUCACCAUCCACACUUAGCUUAUCCCUUGUGUUCCCCUUUUAAAGGAAUCUCUCAUUGUAUUUCCACGUAGUUCGAAGCCUAGAUUUACUCUAGUAGUUGGACGAGUUCAGAGUGGUUCAACUCACCUCUAUAGCAGUUGAACCAACCUGCACCAGUUGAAUAGUUGAUUUGACAUUAUCUCAAAGUUUGUGGUGACAAUUUUCAGGUUUAGCCUAUUCACCCCCUCUAGGCUACUUUGAACUAUUUUGAUUCUCCAUUUUAGACAGAUAUUUAGAUAUUGUAUUGACUUUUACUUUUAUCUGGUGUAUCUGAUCUUCUUGAUUGCAUUAAUCCUAACAAACUUCAUUUAGACGUCUUACAUUUAGGUGCCAGGUUCAUUUCACGAUAAGGGUUAUUUUUCAAGGUAUGUUAUUUUAUUCUUAUAGAUUAUAUAUAUCUCUAGACAAAACGAACACCGAACAUCAUCCGACCGCAUUAGUUUCGAAGCGGGGAAAACUAGGGGAGUGCCCCACAACAUUCACCUCUGCAGAGCAAUUCAUAUGAGGCCCCUGGCGAUAGACUAUCAACAAUCAACAAGGGCGGCAAUCUCGUUCACUCUGGAAUCAGAGGCAUACCUUUCCUCUUCCCGUCUUUCGCCGUAGAGAGCAAGGGAGUUAUUCCGAAUCUAGAAAAAGGAGAUGAUCAAGCAUAAAGGUCGGUGUUCUGCCUUAAUAAUCUGAAAUAAGGCGAAAGACAAGAAGAGAUCGGCAGCAUCGCGAGGAGUGGAGAAUUGAAACGGAGACGGAUAGGACGAAGCAGAAGCACCCACUUUCAUCGCACUAGAUCUAGUGUGGGCCUUUGGCAAAGCAUCAUAGUCGUCACCACCUCCGUCCUCGUCCUCCUCGGUGGCGCAUUCCUGCCCCUUCCGGCGCAUGUAAACCCCAACAGCAUUGUCACGGGCCCCUUUGACCUCCCAACUCGCCACCACAUCACCGUCCUCGAUGGGCUGGGACCCAUGUUCCGUGAUUAGCACGGGGACGGACAGGAUCGCCGCCAUGGAUCUCGGCAAUGGGGCACACCGGGUGAAGAUGCAAAGUUUGGUCAGAUUGGAACGAAAUUCGAGGGGCGGUUGUUUUUUUACGAAGGUGGUGCACGGGGCAGUUUCGGUAAGCUAUAUGCUCGGUUUGGUCGAACUAGACUUACUUGGUUGGCUAGGGCUUCAUUUAGUUAUUAGAAGACUAGAGCUCUUAAUACAUAAACUAUAUAUAUAUAUAUAUAUAUAUAUAUAUAUAUAUAUAUAUAUAUAUAUAUAUAUAUAUAUAUAUAUAUAUAUAUAUAUAUAUAUAUAUAUAUAUAUAUAUAUACCCACGAGAAAAAAACUCGUCAGGUUGAGAAUCAAACCCACACCCUAUCGGGUUUUUACCGGUGGGCACGCGGGAAAAUUUUGCUUGUUGCCAUCCCUAUUCUCCAAUACCACAGUAUUAUCUUGGGACUAGAAAAAUAUUGUAUUACCAAACAACCCUUAAUGGCUAAUAAUUAGCCUUUGCAAUCUAAAUAGGCUUUAAGAGCAAUUUGGACAUUGUGGCUACUGUUAGGAGAUAAUUGAGAUUACACAAGUGUAACACCUAAAUUCUCGUGCACUUCUAAAUCCUCCUUUAUUGAAAAAACAUCUUCACGGAAUAUAAUUGUCAGACACUUUCCUUUAUUUGAUAGAUGCUUUUGUGAUUUAGGGUUGUACUCAAUGGUAACCAAAGCAUGGAGCUUUUGAAAUUGUUUAGCCCAAAUCAAAUAGAUAGCAGAAUCUAGGGUUGGAUAAAAUACUCGUGAGCUCCUCGACUCGUGGUCAGCUCGGCUCGACUCGACUCGGCUCGUUUCAAUUUUAUCACGAGCUGAGCUAACAUCCCAGCUCGGUUCGUUAACGAGCCAGCUCGACACAAGCUCGAGCCAACUCGUUAGCUCGAAUGAGCUAGCAUUUAUCUGUAGAACAAAGCCUAUACUUGUAUUUGAUGAAUUAAUAAGUGAUGAACUAUGUUAAUUUAGGGUUUAAAUGAUGUGAUAUAUAAAAUUAUGAUUAUUGUUUGUCUUUUCUAGUGUUAAAUUAGUAUGAAAUUAACUAGCAAUUGAUUAUAUUGUUGUAUAUAUACAUGUAUACUAUUUUUUGUUGUGGCUCGCGAGCUAAACGAGCCAGCUCAAGCUCGCAAACGAGCCGAGCCGAGCUAGUUCUUUGGCUCGGUUGUUUAACGAGUCAAGCCGAGCCAACUCGUUUCCUUAACGAGCCAGCUCGAGCUCGGUCGAGCCGAGCCGAGCAGGCUCGAUAUCCACCCCUAGCAGAAUCGACCACUACUACAUAUAUCUAAAUAUACAUGAAGUAAGUAACCAAAUCCAAUAUUUAGUGUAAGAGAUAGGUUAUGGAAUAAAGGAUUAAUUGGCUAUCCAUGACUUGAAUAAGGACACAAUAAGUAAAGUAAACCCUUCCCAUGAAAUUGUGAGGGUAAAUCUUUGCCCAAAAACUAGAGCUAACCUAAAAAUUUUAAAAAAAUACUUCUUGUGUCGCAUGUGUUGUACCUUUGUUAGUAACUUAUAGAUACCAAUUCAAAUCAGGAUACAGUAAAAAAUCUUCUUUUCGACCCAUGAGUAACACCUAAAAUUCUAAUUUGAAAUUUAAAUAAAAAGAUCUCCUAUGAUUUAUUUGAAUUUGAGAACUUUUAUAUGGAUUAUACAUUUAAAAGGAUAUUUUUUUUGAAAAUAAAUAUUUUGUUUGUGCACUACAUGUUGGAGCAUUAUUUUUGCCUGUGUGAAUUCAAAUUGCAUCUCAAAAUUUGAAUUUACAUUUAAACUCUUUUCUAGAAAAUCCAAAAGGAUUUUCCUCCUAUUUUUAUCUGGUUUCGCGGGUUGAUUCCCUGACCUCGGCCCAUCUCGUAUCGGUUGCCCGCGCCGGCCCAGGAUACGUCAAUGGUGUAAAUUAUCGAGUUCGAUCGAGACUAUUUCUUAUCUACGCGAGCACUAUGUCCUAGCGAGAAUAGCACACCCAUAGCCCUCUUGCUGCCCUAUAUGUAUUGACCACGAUGUACCAUCGGUUCAUCCAAGCCACGGGCAUGGACUCUCAAUCACGUUGACUGACACGUAGAGCCCACUCAUCGAAGUAUCUCCUACCUAGAAUCUCUGAACUCAGUCAUCAUGAGUAAUGAGAGGUUUAAUAUGCGGACUCUUCAUCUCCUUGGCAUGUAUUUGAAGUGAUGUCCUCGUCAACAAGUGUGAUGUUCAAUAUUUAGUAACCAACAAUUAGUGUUUGAUAAGGAUUGCUAAAACUGAACCGUGGUGUAGUGGGCAGCUAGAUAUGGCUGGUGAGAUCGAUGGAGUGAGAGGUUGUGUAUAUAGGUUGUUAGGAUUUGGAGCUAGCUGUUGAAUGUGCCUCAGAGACCUUUUAAUGGAGAUGGACCUCUUACAGCUCCAACUCCUAAUGUCAUGUUUGGUUGUAAGGUAUUAGACCUCCUACGUAAAUUAGUUUUAGGAGGCAUUCGUUUUGUUUGACCUCCUUCCUAAAACGAUUUUAGGAGACGAAAAACUUCAAAUGUCUCCAUAAAUGAAAUGUUUGCCUCUAUAAAUGUAUUUUGCAAGCCAGUCAACUAUGACUGUCUUCAUAAAUAAAAUGUCCGUCUCUAAGUAUUUUAGAAGACAAUUGAAUUUUAUGAUGAUUUUCGCUGAUUUUUAGAUAAUGUAUCGUGAAGUCAUCAUACUAGACUACUAGACAAUGUAGAUUGAGAUAAUAACAUGAAUGUUAAAUGAUACUAUCUAUUGUUUCCAAAAUGAUAUGAAUACCAAAAAACUUUUUGGCUACCUAAAGAAGAGCUAGAUAGAGAAAAUAAGUGGACUGGCUGAGGACGAGGCAUUGGGGCAGAGCAGCUGCAUCGACGCGUCGUUGUGGCGAGUCAUCGAAUUUGACGUGAGAUGGCGUCGAUGAGACGAUGACAGAUGGGAGGAUCGAGUGCAGGAGGCGAGGUAGCGAUAGAUAACGGUGACGGCAAGCAACAACCGUUGUCGUGUUGCGACGGCGCGGUGUUGCCUGCGGACUAGGAGGGAAAGUAUCAUCGUUGCAGGAUCUCGACGAGGUGACGAGCUGAUGAGUGAUGAGGAGGCAAGGUGGCGCUGCAGCGGGCGGGUUAGAUCAUCAACUUACUGGUCAGUUGAUAACCGAAGAAGCGAGUGAGCCACGAGUGGGCUUGCGCUAGGGAAGAGAAUCGAAUGGCUCAGGUGGAGUGUGGACUAAGCAGUGAAGCAUCGAGAGAAAAAUACAUUAAAACCUAGUUUUCAUUAGAUUUAUCCACGCUUACUAUACAAAAGUGUGUUUAUUUCCUUGUGUACCUGUUGGGGACUUGUUCUCAAAUGCUAUGAGUUAAGAACAAGGCAACACAAAAUGUUAAUGAUUAAGGACCUUCGUCCUUCGAAGCAUUAACUCCCUUAGGAUAUAAUGAUCUUCAGACGAAGGUUGUGAAGGACGUACCUUCAUUAUCUCAGUAUAUAACAAUGAAAGUAGAAGCAUAUGAAACAUGAAAAAUAACAUGAAUAGUCAUAUGACAUCCUUAUGAUAUUUUUAUUAUAUCAUCAUGAAUAAACAUGGACAAUAUGAAAUUACAUUUAUACCUUCGGCUUGACAGAAGAUGAAAAUCCAGGUGUAACGUACGAGCGCAUACCAGUCAGCGUGAACAGCACGGUGUUACUGUUCAUCUAUUUAUAGGCAUAAGACGCGGCCUGUGUUGAAUUACAUCCAUGCCCUUUAUGUUUACUAUUGACUUAGGGACAAUCUAUCGAGGACUAGGUAGCCUUUUCCUCUUUAAGUCGGUUUCAUUUUCCGUCGCUAAGCCGAAGCUUCUCUACGCGCAGCUUCGGAACCGGUUCAACCUUCUCCCAGACCAUGCUUUUCAUAUCGUGUACAGCUUCAUUCCGAGGCCGAAGGUCCCUGUGAAUGUAUUAUACAUGGAAAACAUGUUAGUUGUGUUUUUGAGGACCUUCGGAAGCCGAAGGCCCCCAACAGUAGCCCCUCGCAGUAUUAAUUUGUUAUAGCAAUAAAUUCAGACUACGACGUGAACGAAGGCCUUAAGCCGAAGGUCCGAAAGAACACUUUCCCUUCGCUAGAAUAGCGAAAGUCAAUGACAAACGGGACCCACCAAGUUGCAAAGCGCUAGGCGUAUAAAUAGGAACACACAACGACAUCAUUUGAUGCGACAUUUCUGCUGUUUGCGUUAUUUUCUCAAUUUUUUAACCCUUGCUUAUCAGCUCUUGCUUGGUUUUUGAGCUUCGGUUUAAAGACGUGUUUGCUCCAAAUCUAAGGAGAAGAAGAUGAGUGAGGAGGAGAAGAUGACUGAAGAGGAGAAGCUGUAUGAAGAGAAGAAAGUUGUGGGUCCUUUUAUUGCUGGGUUUUAUGAGUCUAUGGCAAAAACGAACACAGAGAAAAUUACUAAGGAGAUAAUGGAGGGUUUGUCUGAAGAUUCUGAUGACAGUGAUAGUUAUGAUGUGGAAAGUGGAGAUGAAGAUUCUGAGGACCGGCCCUAGCGGCCAAGCCAUACCAUCUUCGGGAAAUCGACCAUCAAACAAAGUCAUAUUGACGCCAUGAGAGGGAGAUAUUUUCGUGACAUGUCUAUUGUUAGAGUUGGAGGAGACAACACUGCCCCUGUGCCUGAGGAAAAUGAAGUUGUUAUUUACCGAAGCUUCUUGAAGGCAGACCUUCGGUUUCUGUUGAGCAAAUUUGUGGUUGAAGUGUUAAAGAUAUUCCAAAUCUUUCUUCAUCGGAUUACCCUCGAAGCUAUAAUUAGGAUGGGGAUGUAUGUUUGGGCUGUAAGGAGCCAGGGGCUGGAGCCGAGCGCGAAGUGCUUCUGCAAUAUGCACGAGCUAUUAUACGAGACGAAGGCUACCGGCAAAGAACAAUACCACAACAACUUCGGUUGUUAUGGGUUUAUUGCCCGCUCUAAUGCAAGCUACCCGGUGCCAACAUACCGGAAAAGAUGGUCCAGGGCCUGGAUGGAGGAAUGGUUUUAUGUUAAAAAUGAUUUGAUUGAAAGAAAGGAUAUCAAGGAAAUCAUCCAACGCCCCAUCUGGUCUUGCUUUGGCCUCCGAAGGCCAAAGGUAGCUAUUGAAGGUGACGUCGAAGCAUGCUAGAGGGCCUUUAGCAAUGUUUGUGCCUUCAUUGGCACAAGAGAUAUAGUCGAAGAGCACAUAGCCUAUAGGGUGUGGUCACUUGUGGAGCGCUGGGAUAUGCCGAAGGAGACUACUGCCGAAUCCAGUGAAGGUGGCCUAGUGCGAUUAAAAUAUACCUUUAGAUUUAGAGAAGUUUGACGAACCAAAUGAUGACUGGUUGAAAUGCAUUGAAGCUACCGGCGACGAGCUACUUGGGACAUAUUCCAAGGCCGAAGAUGAUGCGGGUCUGCAGCCUUCGGGGGGCGGGGGAAGAAAAGAUUGAACAUGGUGUUUGAUGCAAUUGCCUUCGUAUACCCUGACUAUCACUACCCACUGCGAAGGCAAGGAAAGAAGAGAAAAACUGCCGCUUUGGCCACCACUGUUGUGCCGAAGGGCAAGAAAAUAAAGGUUCUGACCCACCGGCCGCGAUAUAUUGAACCGGCCAUAGUGCCUGAAUUUGGCAAAGGGACUUCUUCAACUGUCGAAGCAAAACAAGUUGCUCCCGUCGUGCAGAGCGCUGAAGAAUCGAUUGUAGUGCCUACAGUCGGGCCAGCCGAAGCCAAGGAUGAUACGGCUGAAGAGCCAAAAGUGGAAAAAACAGUGAAAAUGCCAGAAAUUCUGAGCCCACCAACAGAGGCAGAAUUGCCGAAAGUGCAAAAAGCUCCUGCCGCAACUCCCAAGAGAAGGAGGAUGGCUAGCGUGCUAGACACUGUCAUGGAGACCACAAAAGCCUUGACCCCUGCUCCUAUCAAGAAAGUUGCCGAGGCUGUCAAAGUCCAGGCCGAAGCCGAAGCUGGGCCUUCAGUGGCCAUUGAGACGAAGCCUGCCGCGCCUGAGGAUAAAACCGAGCAACAGACUUCGGAUACCGGCAAAGCAGCAGGGCAGAUCGUAAUAGAAAAAGUUGAAGCUCCUGCUCCCGAAGCUCCGUCUGAAGAUAUUAAUUACAUUAUUCGACAUGCUUCGGGAAAGAGAAUAUCCAAAGAAGAAGUCUUGGAAGCCAAACAUUACGCCCGGAAACUGAAAUAUCCAGAGGGGGCCUUGGUGUUUAAUGGCACAGACGAAGACGAUUUCCUGUACUGUCUCCCGGAUAACAAAGAAAUAUCCGUUUGCCGGGAGAUAGCCAAAAGUAUGGGAUUUCCGAAACUUGAGGAAGGCCUUUUGGCCAUGUCGAAGGAUCAUCUUGCUGACAGCCUUGCAUACAACAGUAUAAAGGUACAGAAGCUGUUAACUUUAAAGUUGGAAAUGAAGUAUUUCAUUGUCAUGCUUAAUUCUUUCUUUUCCUUGCAGGGCCUAAUUCUUAGUAAUGCCUUGUGGGCACAAAAGAACGUCGAAGACGAAAGUUGCACAAUAGCUCUCAUCAACCUUCGCUCAGAGGUAAUUGAGCUGAGACAUGAAGGUUUGGAGAAAGACAAGAUUUUGAUUUCAUUGGUGAGUAAAAUGAAAGAAGAUGAAGCUAAAUACAAUGCUCAGGUCGAAGCCCAAAAAGGCAAGGUCGAAGAACUUCGAAAAAAACUCACCGAGGCUAAUGAAAACUAUGCAGUUGCAAAAGCUAGCAAAGAGAUCAGUGAAUGGACACAAGCUAGGCUAGAGAAAAAUAUUGAAGAGCUCCGCGAAUCCAAGGAAAGAUGCUUCGAUAAAUCCUUGGAUUGCGUGAAAAAUUUGAAAAACAGCUUUGCAAAGGUAGGUGCCUACUCCUCUGAGAACUUCAUUCGAGGCGACUCCGAAGGUGUCAUUGAGUGGAUAAGCGGGGAAGUCAAAGCUUUUGAGGAAAAUUUGAAUAACUGCGGCGAUAUUUGUGCUUUCUCCGACACCCAGGGAGUCGCAGCUAUUCUGGAGAAGGCUGGAUGCGAACACGUGAAAGCUGUAGCUCAAGCCGAAGCCGCCUUCUCCUUAAACGAUACGAAGGACCCUUCAGCCGAAGCAACUUUAAUGGGCAGAAAGUUUUACUCUGAUGUCUGGGUAAACGGUGGCCGAGAAUUAGCCCACGAAAUUAUAAAAAAGAAUGAAAAAGACACCCAUGACGCCCGAGAAGAAGCUAGGCGAACUGAAGAGGCUGUUGAGCGCGAAAGGUGCAUAGGUAUUGUUUUUUGAAUUUUAACUUCGGUACUUGCUUUAUGUCUUCGAACUAAUAGUUUAUCUAUCACAGCUGAGCUAUCACCGUAGCCGGAGCCGUAUAAUCCCCUGGCUGAUCCGGAGAUGAAAGAAGCACUGGACAUUAUGAGCCUUGCAAAUUUUAUUAUCGACGAAGUUGUCGACAAAUUAUUAAUCGAAGCUGCAGAAAAGAUCCUUAGAGAAGAGUAGACUUUGAUGUAAUAAUACUUUGUAACCUUAUUGUAAAAAUACUUUGUGACAUUUGGUGUAUGAAACAAUUGAUGAGACAUGUAAAUUAAUGUAAUAUAUUUCUUUAUGAUGCGUGAAAUUUACACACAUACCGUUUUUGAGCCUUCGGCGAAAAAACACCUUCCCUUCUUUUCAUGCUUCGUAAAGAAAGAGAUCCCUUCUAUAACAAGUCUAAUAAAAUUGUAUUUCCCGAAGCAUACUUCGUGCCUCAGCAAAUUUUCAUUUUGACGAAGCAUUUGCCGAAGGUUUGCUUCAUAUUCAAUUUUUGUACCGUUAAUGCAAUAUGAUGUAUGAUGUAAUGUUAUGCGAAAUGAUGUGAUGAUAUGAUGCGAAAUGAUGUGGAUGCCGAAGACACACACCCACGCGUAUACUGGAAUACACAAUACUCCGCAUCCCCUUAGGAACAUCUUUUGAGUCUUUAAGCUCUGCAUCCCCUUAGGAACGACUUUUGAGCUUCUUCAUCUUCUAUUUCGGUGGCAUUUAAGCUCUGCAUUCCCGUAGGAACGACUUUUGAGCUUCUUCACCUUAUAUUUCGGUGGUAUUUGGCUCUGCAUCCCCUUAGGAACGACUUUUGAGUAGAAAACUUACGCUGCGCUCCCUUAGGAACGACUUUUGAAGCUUCAGAUUGUAAUUUUUGGCUCUGCAUCCCCUUAGGAACGACUUUUGAGCAGAAAGCUUACGCUGCGCUCCCUUAGGAACGACUUUUGAAGCUUCAGAUUGUGAUUUUUGGCUCUACAUUCCCAUAGGAACGACUUUUGAGCUUCAAAAUUUACUUUCAUUUCCUUAGAGACGUCUUUCGAGCUUCGUAAAUCCAUGAGGAAGAUAUAUUUCACUUUGUUGUAGGCACAACUAUUACAAGAAAUUUGAAAUUAAGUUUUUCAUUACUUGUUUCUCACACAGAAAAUAAAAUGACAUGAAAGAUAAAAGUACAUCAAUAGUAGGAUAUUCCUCAGUAUAUAUGCUUUGACUCUGGUACAAUGUUGUUGACUGUACGAGCUUCAGACUCCUCUCUGAAGUCGCGCUGCUGUUGGGCAUGCUGGUGCCUUCUGGCUGUUGGCUUCGGGUAUGAGUAGGUGGCAAAGGUGGUGGCAGUGGGAGAUGAGGCCAGGACGCUUGUGAAUGACUUGCCGAAGCAACAGAAGCUGCAGGUUGAUUGCCCACAUAUUCUGGUAUGUAGGGAGAGUAGCACGAAGCAGUAUGUAAAACUUGCUUCGGCUGAUUCUGCCACGCUUCUGCUUCGGCAAUCUCUUUUUGCUUUUGAAUGGUGACCUGGCAUGUUCUUGUGGUGUGGCCCUUGUCUUCACCACAGAAUAAGCAGUAGAGUUUCCUGGGUUGAUCCCAUAUCUUCCUUCGAAGCCCCUGCCGCCUCUGCCCCUUGGGGCUAGUGGCCUGAAGGAGCUCUGCUGCUGCCCUAAAGACUGUGAGCUGUGUUGUGGUCUCUGAAACUGGCUUCCUCUGUCGUCACUCUGACUGGAGCUAUGAAUUGAUCUGACAUGCCUAGGGUGGAUUCUUCCUCCGAAGCCCUUAGUCAUCUUAGAAAACCUAUAAGCUUCUUCCCUUCUUUGGCGAAAAUCAUUAUCGGCUCAGAUGUACUCAUCCAUCUUCUGAAGCAACUUCUCCAGGGUCUGAGGGGGUUUCCUGAUGAAGUAUUGGGUCGUAGGUCCUGGCCGAAGCCCUUUGAUCAUGGCCUCAAUGACGAUUUCAUUGGGCACUGUUGGCGCUUGUGCCCUCAUACGCAAGAACCUUCGGACAUACGCCUGGAGGUAUUCUUCGUGGUCUUGCGUGCACUGGAACAAAGCUUGAGCAGUAACCGGCUUCGUCUGAAACCCUUGGAAACUGGUGAUCAGCAUGUCCUUCAGCUUCUGCCAUGAUGUGAUUGUUCCUGGCCGAAGAGAGGAGUACCAGGUUUGCGCAACAUUCUUGACUGCCAUGACGAAAGAUUUUGCCAUGACUGCGGUAUUGCCCCCAUAUGAAGAUAUGGUUGCUUCGUAGCUCAUCAGAAACUGCUUCGGAUCUGAGUGCCCAUCAUACAUGGGGAGCUGGGGUGGCUUGUAUGAUGGGGGCCAUGGGGUAGCCUGCAGUUCUGCUGACAGAGGAGAAGCAUCAUCAAAAGCAAAAUUUCCAUGAUGGAAAUCAUCAUAGCACUCAUCAUCAUCGUAGGAAUUGUCCUGACGAAGCUCUCUGCAUUGAGGUCGUCGGUCCUGGUCAUAUUGAGUGAGAUGACGCAUUUUCUUAGCAGCUUCGUCGAUCUUCUUCUGUAAAUCGGAGAGGCGAAGCAUCUUCUCCUUCUUCCUCUGGACCUGUUGAUGGAUGGCUUCGAGGUCCCUUAUUUCUUGGUCCAGCUCCUCCUCCUGAGGCAUUGGACUUGUAGCCUUCCUUUUUUGAGUUCUGGCUUCACGCAGUGUUUCCUGGUUGACGUCCAGUGGCUGCAGUGCAGCCCCUAGCCCUCAAGCUUCCUUCGGCGGCAUGACGAAGGUCACAGUUUGCCGAAGGUGGUCGAAUGAGUUCACCGGAGGUGGGCGCCAAUGUUGGGGACUUGUUCUCAAAUGCUAUGAGUUAAGAACAAGACAACACAAAAUGUUAAUGAUUAAGGACCUUCGUCCUUCGAAGCAUUAUCUCCCUUAGGAUAUAAUGAUCUUCAGACAAAGGUUGUGAAGGACGUACCUUCAUCAUCUCAGUAUAUAAUAAUGAAAGUAGAAGCAUAUGAAACAUGAAAAAUAACAUGAAUAGUCAUAUGACAUUCUUAUGAUAUUUUUAUUAUAUCAUCAUGAAUAAACAUGGACAAUAUGAAAUUACAUUUAUACCUUCGGCUUGACAGAAGGUGAAAAUCCAGGUGUAACGUACGAGCGAAUACCAGUCAGCGUGUUACUGUUCAUCUAUUUAUAGGCACAUGACGUAGCCUGUGUUGAAUUACAUCCAUGCCUUUUAUGUUUACUAUUGACUUAGGGACAAUCUAUCGAGGACUAGAUAGUCUUUUUCCUCUUUAAGUCAGUUUCAUUUUCCGCCGCUAAGCUGAAGCUUCUCUACGCGCAGCUUCGGAACCGGUUCAACCUUCUCCCAGACCAUGCUUUUUAUAUCGUGUACAGCUUCAUUCCGAGGCCGAAGGUCCCUGUGAAUGUAUUAUACUUGGAAAACAUGUUAGUUUAGGACCUUCGGAAGACGAAGGCCCCCAACAGUACCUAAACCUAGGUAUAAGGGGUUAAAAAAUUGAGGUGGGGCCAUGGCCCACCUUGCCCACCCCUUGGAUCCAUCCCUGGCAGUAGAUCUAUCGAAUCCAGAUUUCUACCUAGGAUCCUUUUGUUAGGGCUUCUCGCUAGUGGCUUCCGUUGUGGCUUCACGUCUUUUUUUAAACCGUACCAAACAUGAUUAUAACAUAUCGGUUCUACUGAAAGAUAUUAUAUCUGGUGCUCAAACAGGUACCGUGCUCAUAUACACAUAUUAAAUCUGAGACAUCCAUCGUACAUCCAACUACAACCAUCAGUUUUACGAAAAAAACUCCUCCCAACUCUCUCCUCAGACAAUGAUUUUUUUUGCAGCAAGCCCCCUAGGCGUAAAACUCCACUAUCUCCUGCCAGGAGUCUGCCCGACGACUGCUACACACGACACUCAACCUUCCCUUUUCGCCAAGAGUACAGACCACUUCCAAGUUUUUCAUAUAUUGUUUUGACAGGUCUGAGCUCAUUAUUAGUUCUUGCUCCUGAAUGGAGGUAGUAGUCUAUAUGCAAGACAACUGUGUUGCUUUGGUAUUGAAUUGAACUUAACUUUUAGUGAACUGAACUGAAUUUCUAGUAAAUUGAAACAAACUAAAUUUUCAGUUAACUAAAUUUUUCUGGACUGAAUUUUCAAUAAACAGAAUUGAACUGUAUUUUUCAGAAAUGGUCAGAAAAUAUUUCAGUGAACAGAAUUGAAUUGUAAUUUCAGUUAAGUGAACUGUAUCUGUAUGUUCAGAACAUGAACUAUAUUUUUAGUUAACUGAGCUGUAUUUUCGGAACAUGAACUAUAUUUACAGUAAAAACUGAACUGUAUUUCCAAGCAUUAGAACGUAAGCACCAAAACUAUAGCAUAAUCCACAAACUUAAAGAUUCGUUACAAACUUAAAGGGAAAACACACAAAAGCAUUAUCUAUUCUGAUGGUGACUGUUGAUUGGAAGUUUUCGACUUUCUUGGCUUCGACAAGAGGUACACAUCUAUCAAAAAUAUGUUGGAAUCCAUGACUCAUGAAUUUCAUACCUAUUAGCCAUACACUCAUUAUUCUCGAGACCAUACUUAGUUAUGAAAGCAUUCCAACACAUCUCAAAUUCUUCUCCGGUCUCUCUGAACCCCACACACAAGCAUUCAACAUGGGCAAAAAAUCCUUGUCAUUACAUUUUGCAUGCCCAACUUUUUCAGGAAUUUUUUCCAAUAUAUGCCACAUGCAGUACAUCUAUACUGUAUCAGAAAAAUAGAGAUAAUUGCUGAUGGUCACGCUUCGUGCACCCAAUGUUGUUGGACCCACCAUCAUUGACUGGUAGAAUUCUAUAUGCCUCGUAGGUACCCACGCUCGCCUUGUGGCAAGUAAACAUGUAUUCUUCUCUCUCUAGCUGACUGAACAAUUUGAUCGGAGAAGAUGAGUUUUAUCAGGCGAGAUAAGUGUAUGAUUAUGCUGCUCAACCAUUGAAAAGAUAUAAUACUUAUUAUCUACACCAAGCUUACCAUAUAUAUAUAUAUGUGUUGGGGAUAUGAUCCCCGGUCCCUUGGGUCCAUCGGUCAGCGAGUGCCACACCCGGUUUUAGAAGGCAAACCGAAUACGAACUAUGUACGUGUCAGGAUCAACAAUUCACGUACACAACAGUUACAUAACUGGACAUCAUCACACAGUGCUCAAAUAAUGACAAUAAAGAGGGUAUAAUAGUCGAUUACAUCAUGAUGUCCGAGACAUCCACAUAGUCUUUAACAAUAAUCAAAGUGCGGGAAAGAAACGUAGAUACACACGGCCUACACAGGCAGCUGACUGGGGGUUUACCGCUAACCCAUGCCUAGAACUCAUCGUACUCUUGGAACUCCUGGAAGUCCUCCUCCACGGCUUCAUCUUCACCUGAGCAGUGGUAGCAACGCGGACAACCUGGGGGGUUGGUGUGUAAAGCAAGGGUGAGUACACAUCAACAUACUCAGCAAAAUGUCCCGUUUGGCUGUAGUGGACUAGCUUUAUGUGGAGUUAAGUCAAACAGUUGUUUUUAGUUGGUCGGUUAUUAUUUACUAGUAGAAAAGCCAGGUUUUAGCAUUAACCCAAGCUAUUAACCCGAUGUACCCUUUUCAAACGGAAAGAAUACCACUUACCAGUACCAUAGUCAUAACCAAAACCAUCAUCCUCGUCACCACCUGUAAACCAUACAUCUCUGAUCAAGUAUCUAUAAUCAAUGGAGCUCCCUUGGCCGCUCAUAACCGCGAGCACGGCUGAUAUAUCAAUUUCAUAACACUCUGCAGAGGUUGCACACUUUACCCACAAGCCGUGAUUCCCUUUUGCUUCGGGUCCAUCAAACCCUUAAACACUACCAAGGUGAAUAGGCAGGGUCUCACUACGUAGCCUUUACAAAGAUUCUCUGGGGUUGUAGCCGCCCGUUAGGUUUCCUAAAUGCACCGCACUCCUCCCCAAGGGGCGAACCAACCUUGGCAGAGCAAGCCGCAUACACCGAGCCCCAUUAACGGCACGACGGCGAAGCGAACUACACCCCAGUUCCUCUAAUUACUCAGCUAAGGGCGUCCCACUCCACCCUCAUGGUUGCACUGUUUUCUCGGGCGGUCAUCCAACGAACAGGUCCUUACGGAGAGGCACUCGAGAAACAGCUCGAGUCCCCUUUAGGGCCACAAGUACCAUCAUCAUAAUCAAAAGGGAAAACAACGUAUCAUAGAUAAUCUCAUCAUGUUCAUUGAUUAAUGUGAAGCACUAGCAUAACGCUAAACCGUAAUAACCCAACCAGAAUAGGUAAAUAAGGACAAGAUAGACAAAAGCUAGUCAAUCCUUAGGUAUAAACUGUGUAAAUGCGGGGAAUGAAUUAUAAGAAUGAGUAGGACAUAGAUGGGUCAAGGGACACUUGCCUUCACCAACCAGCUGCUCCUCAGGGUCUUCACCUGCAAUUCCUUCGGACUCCGCCAACUGACUGUUAUCUAUACGAGUUUCAAACAUACAUUCCACAAGUUUUAAUACAGAAGAACAGUACACCAAACAAUAGAAUGCAAUAAAUAAACAGACGUUCGAUGCAGGGUUCACACCUACGACUAAGCGAGAAAGAGAAAGUAACGGUCGAGGCUACGGUCGAGAAGCGAUCACGUUACACGAUUAUAAAUUAAAAUACUCGUCUAAACAGAAUGAUAUUAAUUUAGCCAUCGCGUUUAACAUAGGGUAAAGUCAUGUUCCAUGUUUAAUCAUUAUAAGCAGAUAAAGGUAAAUUAAAAGGAUUGUCGCGCGACAAGACGCGACACAACACUUCAAUUGAAUUAAGAAAUAAACGACUCGUCGCGCGACGGGGCACGCAACGAGACACUUGCAUUAAUUAUAAAGAGACGUUAAGCGUCGCGCGACGAAACGCACGACGGCAUACGUCAACUGAACUGAAUUUAAAACGAAACGUCGCGCGAUGAAGCGCGAGACAUAGCUCAUUAAUAAAGAUGAAUUUAAAAUGAAUCAUCGCGCGACGCAGCAUGUCGACUAAACUAAAAUUAAAAAUGGAUUAAACUGAAAGUCGAACACCGCGCAACUAUAGUCGCGCGCGCGAACACGCUGCGCGCGCCGGGGGCACGUGAGGCCACGCCGGGCCACGAGGGCGCGGGGUCGCGGGGCGCGCAGGCGUGCGGGGUGCGAGGCCGCCGGGGUGCCGAGGCCGCGCCGCGGGGGGGGGGGGGGGCAGGGGGCCGCGUCGCGGGAGGGGCAAGGGUCGCACCGCCGGGAGGGCAGGGGCCGCGCAGGGGGAGGGCGCCGAGACCGCGCCGCGCGGGAGCAGGGGUGUGCCGCGGGGGUAGCCGGGGCCGCGCCACCGGGGGAGGGCAGGGGCGUUCCGCGGGGGAGCAGGGGGCCGCGCCUUGGGAGGGGCAGGGGCCACCGCGGGGGAGCAGGGGGCCGCGCCACCGGGGGAGCAGGGGGCCACGCCACCGGGGGGAGCAGGGGCCGCCACUAGGGGGCAGGGGUCGCGCCGCCGGGGGGAGCAGGGGGCCGCCGUGGGGGAGGGCAGGGGGGCGCGCCACCGGGGAGCAGGGGGUGCGCCACGGGGGAGGGCAGGGGCCGCGCCGCCGGGGGCUGAGGCCGCGCAAGGUGCACGCGCAGGGGGAAACAGGGGGUGCGCAUGGAAGAAGAAAGGGGAGGGGUGUAAGACCCCAGGUGUUUAUAUUCCGCUCGACAACGAGUAUGGAUUUAAGCACGUAAUAUCAGUGGGUAAACGGACGCUAAAUUUUAAUCAUCUUCACCUAUCGCGAUUUUAAUAUCGCGUCGGUUUCGUCUGUCGCGAGUGCGACAUCAUUUUUAUUUUUAUCUAUCCGGGCUCUUCCAAAAUUUUCGUAUUGUUCGGACCAUAGUCGUUCCGAAAAUCGGUGCAUUCGGUGGUUAUUUAAAAUACAUCGCUCGCGCGAAUACGAAUUUGGAGCCUCGAUCGACUCUUGAGAUUUUUAUCCCGGGCAAAUUAAUUGGAACUCGUCGACUAAGGUUUUUGGCGCAAAUAAUUCUGUUCCCACUCGUCAACCGAGAAAAUCGCGUCUGAGAAUUUAUAAUUAAGAUUUGAUUCUCCACGUAAAUUAUCUGUUGUCGUGGAAUCGGGUGUCGACUGUGGAUGAAAUUAUUUUAUUCCAAAUCAAAUAGGUUACAGUCUGAAGUACUGUUGUUAACACCGUUCGGAUUUGUUCCGACGACGUCUCGCCCCGAUCCAAAACUUUGGAUAUAAAUAACGGAUGCAAAUUCAUCUAAUUCCGAAGUACUCGCUAAAUAAAAUCAUGUCCCAUUUAUUUCUAUCAAUCUCAUUUGACUCGACUCAUUUUUCGCUAAAAUCUGGAGUUAGAAAUAUCUACGAAUUUUAUAAUAAUAAUAAAAAAAAAACAAACUACCAGCUGUCUUCCUCCUUAUCCUCGCCGCCCCCUACCCCUGAUAAUCUCUACCGCCGCCCUCUCCUUCAGAUUUUUCUGCCGCCACCGUGGGGAUCGAGUUUAUCCUGCGCGGUGUGCUCAUCUCCAUCGUCUCCCAUCGCUAUCCCUCUCCUUGGAUAUUUCUCGCGAUGCUUAUCUCCUCCCCGCGCGCAGCUUUUUCCAGCUCAGUUCCUUGCCGCGCCGCCGCCAAGUUCCCUGCCCGCUCCUCCUUCAGCUCCCAGCCGUCGAAGCUCUCUGCGCGCAGGGGCUUCCCAGCCAUGGCAGCGCCCGCCUCCCUGCUCCCAACGUCGUGCCCAGCUGCCUCUCUCUCUCCCUCAGCGCGCCUCCCCUGCAUCGCGCGCUCCCUGCUCCAAGCUUGCCGUCAAAGCUCCCCUGUCGCGCCCUUGGCUCGGCUCUGCGCGCCGCGCGCUGCUUUCCGAGCUCGCCCAAAUCAGACAGUGCCUUCUCUGCUCCUCCCCGUCUCCUUCCUCUACCUCCAGCUGCUUUCCCAUGGCCGGCGUAUGGCUUCGCGGUCGCCCAAUCUCCCUACUCGGUUCCUGCCGGUGCUCAGCUCCUGUUUGACCCGCUGCGCGGUUCUUCCCCACGACAUCGUUUUCCCUGCGUUCGCUCGGCCCUGAAGUUCCCUGGCGCUCGCCCAGCUCAGAUUUCGUUGCGCACUCCUUAGUUCGACACCUGAUGCUUCUCCAUGGAUGGCCGAUGCUGCUCCAUCGGUUCGCGCUCGUCGCGCACAUGGCCGGAGCUCUUCCCUGCGUCGUGUGCGUUCCGUCAUCCUUGCUGUGACUUCGCGUCGUGAAGUUUCCCUGCACGCGUCGAGCUCCCGCGCCGAAUCCAGCCCCAUGUUGAUGCGUCUCUAUUCCAACUUGUCAGCCACGGCCUCGCCUUGGUCUAUGCUGCAGCCCACCGUCAAAAUCGUCGGAGUCGCUCAACUCGCCAAUCGCAUCUUGGCCGGUCGUCGAUUUCUUUUUCGCCAUAGUACAACACCGUUGUUGUUAGAUCCGGUCUCCAACCCGCCAUGGCGCUUGCCGGACUUUGCCGGUGAAGUUUGUCGUCGUCCUCUGGUCCCAGCCCGACCCAUCCGUGCACUCGCUCCUCAUCCAUCGAGCUUCGCGCGUGCUCUUGUUUGUGGUCGAGCUGCUGAACUCGUCCUUCCUUGUUCCUGACUUCAUCGUCGCCAGAGUCCUCACUGGAUUUGUGUCCUCGUCAGCUAGCUCCAAGCCCGAUCUCGUCGUCGUUCUGUACGUCAUCAAGAAAUCCCAAGAAUCAGGUGAAGACGAAGCUAGCCGGGUGAUAUUCACCAAGUGCUCGACAAAAGCUCGAACAAGUCGUCGAUCACCAUCCUCAUCUACGUCAAGCCCCAAGCCGUGAAGACACUCUUAUGCUGGCCACGCGUCACCAGCUCGAUAAAAAGGAAUCCCAUGGGUAUCUGGUCAAGAAUAGAAACUGUGUGCCUCGCUCAUCAGACGUGUGUGAUCAAUGACGUCAACCGGAAACCGUCAUCGUGCUUCCGACUAUCGCGUCGAAUUAGUCAGGGUAAGCAAAUUUGUUAUUCGUGCUAGUGGAUUGAUGAAUGGUUUGACUAGGUAUAAUAUUUAUUAGAUUGUCUGAGUCGCUUUGGUAAUUUGAUCGAUGUCGUAGGAUGAAAGAGGUCGCAAUAGGUCCUAGUGCUUGCGGGAUUGCAGGUGUUAAAAAUGUGAUGUUUUAUUAAUAUAUAUGUGAUACACAGGUUAACCGGGAAAUUAGUAGCGAGAAGAAUUAAAUCGGUGCUUUGUAUCUGAUGCGUGGUCGAAGUAACGUUACGGAAAGUAGGUCUUGUGUUUGUGUUUCUAGUGUCUAGUCAAAGUAUAGCAUAUGGCGGGUUUCGUCUAAAUUGUAUGGAGUCGAUGCCCUGCUGUGAUAUCCAUGAUGCUUAAUGCUUGGUUUUAAGUGUUUCAUCCUUUUUAGUGUAGAUUAUCUAUCUUAUACUCUUUAAACUCGUGCUCAUACAUGUGCAUCGUGUAUCUCAUGAGGUACGAUAAAUAAUCGUGUGGUGCGGAAGACGAGCCAAGUCGACCCCAAGCGCGGGCUAAUCCGCAGGAUGAUGCUGAUGGACAAACCGGAAGAUGGAUAAUCUAAACGAGUGCUAAGUCAAAGGAUACUCGCCAAUACGUCGUCUAACAACACUAACCUACUGUUAUUCAGGCAAGCCCCGGUGCAUUUGCCACCUCCUUGAUGUUUUAAAAAUCUUUAUCACCUUGUUUGAUGCAUUAGGUGAUAGGAGUUGUGUGCUAAACCGUUGAUGCAUUUCCUUCCUUGAACAAUUGAUUACCCUUCCUUGAUACCCUUUUUGAAAAGAAUUUUAUGAUGCUUAGCCUUGCUUUAGCAAAAAAAAAUGUUUUGUUUUAAAACAAAGGUGAUGCUUCAGUGGGUGGGAAGUUUUCGAAAAUAAAACUUGAUGGUGGAUCCAUCACAGCCGUGAUGGGUUCAACAUCGGAAAAGAUGUACCUCUGCCAGGUACCAGACUUUGGGUUGAAAAUAAUAAAGCUGAGACCGGGCGGUUGACUUGCACGAGAAGGGAGUCUCGGUGUAGUGUCUCCGUCUGAGUCGAUUAAGGACCUUUUCGAUGUAGGCCUGCUCACCGUGGACCCUUUAACUGGUCACAUGCCUCAUCAUGGGUAAGCUUUGCCUCGGGCAUACUAAUACCAGAAUAAGAUAACACGCAAUGGGAGUGGAGAGAUGGCGAGAGUAGCGUGUACCCUCCGUGGCAAGAGGCUGGACGGUGGUGUAUCUGUGCUCUCGGUUGGCGUGAACCUGAUCUGGUCUUAAGAACCUCGGUGGCGAGUUGACAUAUGCAAGGGUUUAAGUGCUACAUAUGUCGUGUGAUUGGAGAUCCUCAGCUGAGUAUAAUCGAUUCGGAUCGCUGUAACUUCGUGGACAUGAAGACUUGGUCACUGACUUACACGUAGCAUUCCAGUGAACUUAAAGGGUUGAUAAAAGACGGCUAGUGCAGGUCAAGUGAUUGAACUAGGGUAGAAAGAACUCUAGAUGCAGGUAAUUUUACUUAACCUGACAAGUAAAAAUGGAUUUUUAAGGAUCCACUCAUAGUAAGCUUUUCUACAAAAUAGAGUCUUUGAUUCUUGAUAAGCCAUACCUUGAAUCACUCUAGCUAGCAUACCCUUGAGAGUCUUUUCUUUAGUCGGGUAAGUCUUGCUGAGUAAUUCCGUACUCAGGGUUUUAUUCCCUGUUGUUUUUUAGGUUAUAGUUUUGUGCUGCUGAUGAUGGUUUUAAGUGCCGGUGGGCUUGGCCUUCUUAUAAGCUUAAGUAACUCUUCUAUACUUCUUAUUGAGGAUGGUCACUUGAGCUAGCAUAUAUUUCAAACUUAUACUUUUGUAAUCACUCCGAUAAAAUAAUGUAAUUUUUUGUAACUUGUAAAAUUUGGUAAUAAGAUUUCCGCUGCAAAAAUAUUGGUGUGUGUGAUUUGUGUUACUUAAUCUUGCGAUCCUGGUUAAAAGUGGUUUAUCCGGGGUCCUUGGGACACUCGGACGAAUCAUGUUAAGUUAUCUGGUGCACAUGCAUAGCCGUCUGAGGUCUUUGAGACAAGGACAAGUGCAUGUGGGUCCAAUAACUUGGGAGGUUCUGCCACAGCUGGUAUCGGAGCAGGAUUAAGUAUAAUACGGUCACAUACGUAUUUUAAAAAUAAAGUUUUGGUUUUAGAAAACCUAUUUUCAACUAAACACAUUGUUUGGCUUUGAAAAACAGCUUUAAAAAAACUAUAAUGCUAGCGACAUCCUUUGUUAAGCCCUAUGUUAAGGACUAUCAGGUGGCUUAGUUCAAAACCACUAACCCACAACCGGGGGUAUUGCAUACAUGUGUAUUGUUAUUUUUGAGGCCAUUCAGUUUUGAAUGGAUCGACGCUCAGGUAAGGUGAGAUGUGAGAGCAUGACCGAACAAACGUCGGUUUAGGGGAGUGCUUAAUUGUGGCGCUUGCUUAUAUACAUGUUACACAUAUGUAUAUAUGAAGGCUGUGAUGUGGAGUAUUUACUUUUCCGGGAAUUCAGUACCCCAUGGAUGUGUAUGGGUAUACAGACAUGGGAAUACUGAGAAGUGUAAUGUACUUGUAACGACGCACCUACGCUCAGGUAAGAAGGUGAGUUACCAUAAUGAGUUGCCUUAUGGUUAAAGUGUGGCAACGACGCCUAUGCGUGGCUCGGCGCUUAAUGAUGAGCUGGCCUCCAUAUAGCAAUAUAUGGAGUAUAAACUGUGAUAAACUGUCAUGUGUGAACUGCAUCAUGGGAAAUUGGGCUGUGAUGGAUUUUUCUGCAGGUACGCUAACCUCGAAAAUGUAUGUGCAGCUGACGACUAGCAAAAUACCGAGAGAAAACGUAUGCCACCGAUAUAGAACGCUAUUGCCAUGUUAGAUUGGCAAAAAUUUGUGAGGACGCAUAGGACAAGCAUGCAUCCUGAUUGUUGCAUCAUGUUUGUCACCUAUAUAUCCAAAAUGCUUCUCUCGCCUUUAUUCCAGUAGCCGAUGAUUGUAAAUAAUAUGGUGUAAUGUUGUGUUAAGAACCCCCAAAGAAAUAGAUGUCCUCCAUUCUUUAGAUAAUAUAUUUAGGUGUUAUAUGUGUUUGCUCUGGUACUCGAUGUGCCGAUAGAAGGUUAGUGACUUGUUUGCCUAAACACAAAAUUAGGCCAUAUUCGUAUUUAGUGAACCAUGACCCGACCCAAAGUUGAAUUUUCUGUUAUCACUCCAUGACCAAACACAUACAAAUAAAUGCCUAGAUAAUUUCUUUGUUGGACAUAAAAGUGUACCCGAGCUUAAAACAAGAAUCUCGAGUCAUGUUUCUUCUAAAACCAUUUCCUUGUUUGAUUUGUGCAAGCUGAUGUCUCUAUUCCAGUUUGCCUAUUCUUGAAGACCAACCUAAUUUAGGAAAGCAUGUCCGACCAUUUUCAUGAAUUUGAUGCCUUUGGUUUCCCCAUAUCUAUCGAAGGCAUACCAACUUAAUAUUAUGAUUGUUUUCCCUCCGUAUCUAAUCAGAUACUAAUCCUUAACCUUGUAAUCUCUGUGAUGGGCAUAGAAAUAUGCUUGGGGCUAAAUUAUCAGUCUCCCAUCAUACUUCUUUCAUCAAGUUUAGGUUAUGGCCAUGCCUUGUUCAUUUCAUUGGGCCAUGAUCUAUUUGACUCUCUACUUGUAACUGUUUUGAUAGCCUUGGGGCUUUUUAGUGUUGGAAAACAACUGAUUAGCUCUCAAAAUGGAGAUUUGUUUCCCAGCUGCUGAGAUGCAGGAGUUUGUUCAUUCGCUCUCUUAUUUAAUCCAUGCAUUCUUGAAACAAGCCAGUUCCUCUCGCAUGGAAGAAACAGAUGAACGAUCUGACCAAAUGGAUUUCUACCCAAAUGCAUGACCUUUUGCUAGUAAAUGUGAACUCUCAACCCUUGGCUUACCGAUGGUACUGAGAGGACCUACUCAAUGUCAAAAGUAGUUCAAUAAGUUGGUUUUACUAACUUGUAACUGCCCAGUGAACGAAGGUUGAGUUUAGAGAUCGUUUCAUCGAGUUGUCUAAACUCACUUUGGUUCAACCCAUCCUAAGGAAGUAUUUAUAAGAAUUGAGAUUAAGUCGGCCAUUAACCACCUAAUCAUCGCUCUAGUCGUGCCUUGAUCGCCUCACGUGUGCUUUUCCAGUAUGUGUGAUCAGGUCGAGUCAUGCUUAGUGCUCAAAAAAGUGGAUUGAUUGUAAAGCCAACAUUUUUUGAUAAUCUUCACUGAUGUUUCCUCGAGUCUCCAUUAGCAUCAUUGAACUUGGAUUUUCGGGCUAGCCACGGGUCAACUGUGAUGUUAUUCGACCUUCACACCCGUCUCGUGUGUUAUGAACUUACUGUGACCACUUGUUGGUAAACCUCUUUCUAUGUGUUUUACCCAAGAGGUUGCAUCUGGUUUUGUUCGGGUAAAGUCGUAUAUCUACCGCUCGCUCAACAGACUCAAGUAGUACAGUGUCAUCAGAAAAAGCAUACUGCACACAUGGAACCCUAUGUGUUCCUCUGGCAGACAUUGCCUCUAUUGUUGGACAUCUCUAAAUUGGCCUAAGGCAAUAUAUGUUAUGUCCACUAGAGAAACAACAUCCUGAGACACUCGCCUUUAAUUGGAAAUGUCUCACGAUUAUCGUUGAUAUGAACAUGGGUUACAUACUUCUCUACCCUUAGAAGUCUUUCGCUCUGAAUCUCGGGACGAGAUUCUUUUAAGGGGGGAGGGCUGUAACACCCCAGGUGUUUAUAUUCCGCUCGACAACGAGCAUGGAUUUAAGCACGUAAUAUCAGUGGGUAAAUGGACGCUAAAUUUUAAUCAUCUUCGCCUAUCGCGAUUUUAAUAUCGCGUCGGUUUCGUCUAUCGCGAGUGCGACAUCAUUUUUAUUUUUAUUUAUCCGGGCUCUUCCAAAAUUUUCGUAUUGUUCGGAACAUAGUCGUUUCGAAUAUCGGUGCGUUCGGUGAUUAUUUAAAAUUCAUCGCUCGCGCGAAUACGAAUUUGGAGCCUCGAUCGACUCUUGAGAUUUUUAUCCCGGGCAAAUUAAUUGGAACUCGUCGACUAAGGUUUUCGGCGCAAAUAAUUCUGUCCCCACUCAUCAACCGAGAAAAUCGCGUCUGAGAAUUUAUAAUUAAGAUUUGGUUCUCCACGUAAAUUAUCUGUUGUCGUGGAAUCGGGUGUCGACUGUGGAUGAAAUUAUUUUAUUCCAAAUCAAAUAGGUUACAGUCUGAAGUACUGUUGUUAACACCGUUCGAAUUUGUUCCGACGACGUCUCGCCCCGAUCCAAAACUUUGGAUAUAAAUAACGGAUGCAAAUUCAUCUAAUUCUGAAGUACUCGCUAAAUAAAAUCAUGUCCCAUUUAUUUCUAUCAAUCUCAUUUGACUCGGCUCAUUUUUCGCUAAAAUCUAGAGUUAGAAAUAUCUGCGAAUUUUAUAAUAAUAAUAAAAAAACAAACUACCAGUCGUCUUCCUCCUUAUCCCCGCCGCCCCCUACCCCUGAUAAUCUCUACCGCCGCCCUCGCCUUCAGAUUUUUCCGCCGCCGCCGUGGGGAUCGAGUUUAUCCUGCGCGGUGUGCUCAUCUCCAUCGUCUCCUGUCGCUAUCCCUCUCCCUGGAUACUUCUCGCGAUGCUUAUCUCCUCCCCGCGCGCAGCUUUUUCCUGGUCAGUUCCUUGCCGCGCCGCCGCCGAGUUCCCUGCCCGCUCCUCCUUCAGCUCCCAGCCGUCGAAGCUCUCUACGUGCAGGGGCUUCCCAGCCAUGGCAGCGCCCGCCUCCCUGCUCCCAGCGUCGUGCCCAGCUGCCUCUCUCUCUCUCCCUCAGCGCGCCUCCCCAGCAUCGCGCACUCCCUGCUCCAAGCUCGCCGUCGAAGCUCCCCUAUCGCGCCCCUAGCUCGGCUCUGCGCGCCGCGCGCGCUGCCCCCCGAGCUCGCCCAAAUCAGACAGUGCCUUCUCUGCUCCUCCCUGUCUCCUUCCUCUACCUCCAGCUGAUUUCCCAUGGCAGGCAUACAGCUUCGCGGUCGCCCAAUCUCCCUACUCGGUUCCUGUCGGUGCUCAGCUCCUGUUUGACCCGCUGCGCGGUUCUUCCCCACGGCGUCGUUUUCCCUGCGUUCGCUCGGCCCUGAAGUUCCCUGGCGCUCGCCCAGCUCGGAUUUCAUCGCGCACUCCUUAGUUCGACACUCGGUGCUUCUCCAUGGAUGGCCGAUGCUACUCCAUCGGUUCGCGCUCGCCGCGCACAUGGCCGGAGCUUUUCCCUGCGUCGUGUGUGUUCCGUCAUCCUUGCUGUGACUUUGCGUCGUGAAGUUUCCCUGCACGCGUCGAGCUCCCACACCGAAUCCAUCCCCAUGUUGAUGCAUCUCUGUUCCAACUUGUCGGCCGCGGCCUCGCCUUGGUCUAUGCUACAGCCCGCCGUCAAAAUUGUUGGAGUCGCUCAACUCGCCAAUCGCAUCUUGGCCGGUCGUUGAUUUCCUAUUCGCUAUAGUACAACACCGCUGUUAGAUCUGGUCUCCAACCCGCCAUGGCGCUUGCCGGACUUUACCGGUGAAGUUCAUCGUCGUCCUCUGGUCCCAGCCCGACCCAUCCGUGCGCUCGCUCCUCAUCCAUCGAGCUUCGCGCAUGCUCUCGUUUGUGGUCGAGAUGCUGAACUCGUCCUUCCUUGUUCGUGACUUCGUCGUCGCCAGAGCCCUCACUAGAUUUGUGUCCUCGCCAGCUCGCUCCAAACCCGAUCUCGUCGUCGUUCCGUACGUCAUCAAGAAAUCCCAAGAAUCAGGUGAAGAUGAAGCUAGCCAUGUGAUAUUCACCAAGUGCUCAACAAAAGCUCGAACAAGUCAUCGAUCGCCAUCCUCAUCUACGUCAAGCCCCAAGCCAUGAAGACACUCUUAUGCUGGCCACACAUCACCAGCUCGACAAAAAGGAAUCCCAUGGGUAUCUGGUCAAGAAUAGAAACUGUGUGCCUCGCUCACCAGACGUGUGUGAUCAAUGACGUCAACCGGAAAUCGUCAUCGUGCUUCCGACUAUCGCGUCGAAUUAGUUAGGGUAAGCAAAUUUGUUAUUCGUGCUAGUGGAUUGAUGAAUGGUUUGACUAGGUAUAAUAUUUAUUAGAUUGCCUGAGUCGCUUUGGUAAUUUGAUCAAUGUCGUAGGAUGAAAGAGGUCGCAAUAGGUCCUAGUGCUUGCGGGAUUGCAGGUGUUAAAAAUGUGAUGUUUUAUUAAUAUAUAUGUGAUACACAGGUUAACCGGGAAAUUAGUAGCAAGAAGAAUUAAAUCGGUACUUCGUAUCUGAUGUGUGGUCGAAGUAACGUUACGGAAAGUAGGUCUUGUGUUUGUGUUUCUAGUGUCUAGUCAAAGUAUAGCAUAUGGCGGGUUUCGUCUAAAUUGUAUGGAGUCGAUGCCCUGCUGUGAUAUCCAUGAUGCUUAAUGCUUGGUUUUAAGUGUUUCAUCCUUUUUAGUGUAGAUUAUCUAUCUUAUACUCUUUAUACUCGUGCUCAUACAUGUGCAUCGUGCAUCUCAUGAGGUACGAUAAAUAAUCGCGUGGUGCGGAAGACGAGCCAUGUCGACCCCAAGCGCGGGCUAAUCCGCAGGAUGAUGCUGAUGGACAAACCGGAAGAUGGAUAAUCUGAACGAGUGCCAAGUCAAAGGAUACUCGCCAAGACGUCGUCUAACAACACUAACCUAGUGUUAUUCAGGCAAGCCUCGGUGCAUUUGCCACCUCCUUGAUGUUUUAAAAAUCUUUAUCACCUUGUUUGAUGCAUUAGGUGAUAGGAGUUGUGUGCUAAACCGUUGAUGCAUUUCCUUCCUUGAACAAUUGAUUAACCUUCCUUGAUACCCUUUUUGAAAAGAAUUUUAUGAUGCUUAGCCUUGCUUUAGCAAACAAAAAUGUUUUGUUUUAAAACAAAGGUGAUGCUUCAGUGGGUGGGAAGUUUUUAAAAUAAAACUUGAUGGUGGAUCCAUCACGACCGUGAGGGGUUCAACAUCGGAAAAAUGUACCUCUGCCAGGUACCAGACUUUGGGUUGAAAAUAAUAAAGCUGAGACAGGGCGGUUGACUUGCACGAGAAGGGAGUCUCGGUGUAGUGUCUCCGUCUAAGUCAAUUAAGGACCUUCUCGAUGUAGGCCUGCUGACCGAGGACCCUUUAACUGGUCACAUGCCUCAUCAUGGGUAAGCUUUGCCUCGGGCAGACUAAUACCAGAAUAAGAUAACACACAAUGGGAGUGGAGAGAUGGUGAGAGUAGCGUGUACCCUCCGUGGCAAGAGGCUGGACGGUGGUGUAUCUGUGCUCUCGGUUGGCGUGAACCUGAUCUGGUCUUAAGAACCCUGGUGGCGAGUUGACAUAUGCAAGGGUUAAGUGCUACAUAUGUCGUGUGAUUGGAGAUCCUCAACUGAGUAUAAUCGAUUCGGAUCGCCGUAACUUCGCGGACAUGAAGACUUGGUCACUGACUUACACGUAGCAUUCCAGUGAACUUAAAGGGUUGAUAAAAGAUGGCUAGUGCAGGUCAAGUGAUUGCACUUGGGUAGAAAGAACUCUAGAUGCAGGUAAUUUUACUUAACCUGACAAGUAAAAAUGGAUUUUUAAGGAUCCACUCAUAGUAAGCUUUUCUGCAAAACAUGGUCUUUGAUUCUUGAUAAGCCAUACCUUGAAUCCCUCUAGCCAGCAUACCCUUAAGAGUCUUUUCUUUAGUCGGGUAAGUCUUGCUGAGUAAUUCUGUACUCAGGGUUUUAUUCCCUGUUGUUUUCAGGUUAUAUUUUUGUGCUGCUGAUGAUGGUGUUAAGUGUCGGUGGGCUCGGCCUUCUUAUAAGUCUAAGGAACUCUUCUAUACUUCUUAUUGAGGAUGGUCACUUGAGCUAGCAUAUAUGUGACGAAACCUCCCAAGUAAUUAGGCCCACCUACAGUUGUCCUUGUCCAACGGACCUCAGACAACCCUGUGGGUGCCCCUGAAUCACUUGACAAGUUCGGUAUCUGCUUUUCUUACCUUUCCCAAGAGUGUUUCACCCGUCACGCAGACAUUACAAGCAUCGGAGUUACGAGAAUGCGGAAGCAAUUACAUGAACUUACCUUUAUUUAAAAGUAAGAUAGAGUUGAAUAUUUACAGACCAGAAUAUAUCCUAUGAGUGCAGAGUAAUAUUAUUACACAUACCAAGGGAGGCAAAAACUCCUCCCAUAAAGUUUUUAAACAAAAGUUCUUAUGGAGGAUCCUUUCCUCCCGCAACUUCAUUCCUGGUGUUCUUCCUUCGGUACCACCUUAGAACAGAAGCAACAAAAGUUUGUCGCUUCCUCACCUAAAAACAACGGGGAAUAAAACCCUGAGUAUGGAAUUACUCAGCAAGUCUUACUCGACUAAAGAAAAGACUCUCAAGGGUAUGCUGGCUUAAGGGAGUCAAGGUAAGGUUUCUCAAUGAUCAAAGACUCUGUUUAGCAGAAAUGCUUACUAAAAGUGGAUCCUUAAAAAUCCAGUUUUAUUGUCAGGUUAGGUAAAAUUACCUGCAUUUAGAGUUCUUUCUACCCUAGUUCAAGCACUUGACCUGCACUAGCCAAUUUCUUAACAAACCAUCAUCUUUACUGGAGUUCUACGUAUAGGGCAGUGACCAAGUCUUCAUAAUCGCGAAGGUACGGCGAUCCGAAUCGAUUAUACUCAGCUGAGGAUCUCCAAUCACACGACAUAUGUAGCACUUAACCCUUGCAUAUGUCAACCCGCCACCGGGGUUCUUAAGACCAGAUCAGGUUCACGUCAACUGAGAGCACAGAUACACCACCGUCCAGCCUCUUGCCACGGAGGGUACACGCUACUCUCGCCACCGCUCCACGACCAUUGCGUGUUAUCUUAUUAUGGCCUUAGUCUGCCUGAGGCAAAGCUUACCCAUGACGAGGCAUGUGACCAGUUAAAGGGUCCUCGGUCAUCAAGCCUACAUCAAGACGGUCCUUAAUCGACUCAGACGGAGACACUACACUGAGACUCCUUUCUCGUGCAAGUCACCUGCCCGGUCUCAGCUUAAUCAUUUCAAACCCAAAGUUUGGUACCUGGCAGAGGUACAUCUUUUCCGAUGUUGAACCCAUCACGUCCAUGAUGGAUCCACCAUCAAGUUUUAUUUUUGAAAACAUCCCACCCACUUUUGCCACAUCAUCUUUUUGUAAAAACAAAACAUUUUGUUUUUCUAAAGCAAGGCUAAGCAUAAAAAAUCUUUUGUAAAAUGGGUGAUCAAGGAAGGUAAUCAAAUCCAAGGAAGGUAAUGUAGGAAUUGUUUUAGCAAUCAACUCCUAUCACCUAAUGCAUCAAGCAAGUGAGAAAGAUUUUAAAAGCAUCAAGGAGGUGGCAAAUGAACUGGGGCUUGCCUUCGUUUAUAGGUGAGUCAGGCUCGGAUCCGCAUAUGUCAAAGUAAAAACAAUUUCCUGUCUGAUGUUCCGCAGGUGGUGGUGGUGCAGUCUUCUCUUCUUCUAUCUCAAUCUCUUCCUCAUUUUCUAAAUAUAACCAUAUAGGUAUAUAUAUAAGAAUGAAUGCCAUGUAAUGCUCAUGAGAGUGCAAAGAUAAUAAUAGUUUAUUAUCUAAAGUCUUGAAUACAACUUUCCUUCACGGAACUCCAAGAACCUAGGGUUUCCGGAGUCAAUAGUGAAGUUCAAAGAGCAAGGGGGUAGGAUUUUGGGUUCUAGUAUCAAACAAGGUCCAAAUCAAACCAAAUUCUACCCAAGGCUUCUAAAUAAUGUUUAGGGUUCAAAUAAAAAGUUUGGGCAUUUUUGGAAUUAUUAUCUAUUUUCUAAAAAUCCAGAAGCCAUGCUUUAGGCUAUUUUAAAUAACCCAAAAUUCCCUAUUUGUCCUAAAAAAUCAUAAAACUAUUUUUAUUAAAUUCUAUGGAAAAUUAGGAAUCUAGGAAAAUUAGUUUGACAUUUUUACCAUUUUUCUGCAUUUUUCUACAAAUUUCUAAAUUUGGACAGAAAAAGAAAAAGGAAAGCCAUGAAUAGUGCUGGGCUGAUUCUAGCCCAGGCGGCCCAAACCCAGGCAGAAACGCGCGCGCGCCCGCAUCCGCGGAGGCAGGUUUGCACAGAGGCCCUCGCAGCUUUGGUAUCCGUUAAGAACCCCUGGCUACUGUUCAACGUUUUACUGACAUCUACAAAAACAACCCCGCGCUUCUAUCCUUUCUCCGUUCGAAGUCCACGGCGGCGAACCGCGCAGGGACGUACUCCGGCGAGCACCUGGACCAGCCGGAGGGAGCCAAGACUGGUGGCCCCGAGUGGCGAACACCGAAUUGGAUCUCCCCCGAACAAUUCCCCUAACUUAAUUUCAUGGUUGGUAAACUAUCAAGCUCUGUCCACGCGGACCGCGGACGAUGAGGACAAUUGCACGCGUUCCCGGCGACUAGUGGGCUCCUAGUUCAAUUCGGUGGUUAGGCAAGCAUCAUAGGGUUAUGAGAAUACUCAAACGAGGGAGCAGAAGGUGUGGGCUGACCUGAAUCGCGCUAGCCGCGGUGAGCUGUUCUUCGCGGUGUAUUCGAACCGGUUUGGGGAGAAUCUGAAAUUAGUGCUCUCUAGUGGGGGGGGGGUUUGGGAUGCAGGUGUGUGCAGUAGCUGCUGGAAUACAUGGCGAAGCCGAAGGGGCUCAAUUUAUAGAUCCCAUCGACGGUGGUGUCCAAUUUCGCAAGGUCGUGCUGGCGGCCGGAGGGAAACAGGGAUACUGGAGCAGGGGAUGGGUGGCUUUCACCGUGGCGCUUUCUCCGGUGAUCACCGGUUGAGGAGCUACGACAGUUACCGGUGAGCUGGUGCGGCUAGGGACGACGUGGUGGAAGGCUUGGAGCGUGGCACAGCCGCAGUAAUGCACGGCAACUCCGGUGACGGCCAUGAGGCCACGUCGCCGGUGAGAAGGGGCAGGGGACAGCGAGGCCACAUUAGCUCAUGCACAUCCGCGACGAGAUCUUUACCCGGUGAACGAAAUCCAUACGCCCGUGGCACGAAUCUCGGCGAAGAGGUCGCUGGCGGUGAGCAUUUUGCGCUGGCGUGCUGAUCCUUAUCAGGUCACUGUACCAUGGCGAAAUCCGAUUCAGUGUACCUGACAGUCGAAGUUCAGGGCCAAAUUUCUCCCAAAUUUUGAUGGCAACUCACUUAAGGUUCUGCAGCAAAGUUGUAGACCAAGGAUUCAGCUACAAUUUUUCCACAACAUCUAUAGCCAAAAUCCUACUAAAUCAUGUUUGAAUUGGUGCCCAAAGUUCCUGCAGUGCACUGUCAGUCUGAAAAUUCAGACUUAAAUUGACCUGACAGCCCAACUUUGGGUCUGCUUAUCUCCAAUUUCUUCAUAACAACUAGGCUUACCUUCUUAAGCAAAGUUGUUCUCCUUUGAUAGGUUUACACAUCUAAUGUGGUGACCUAGGGUAAAUUCUCAAUAAUUUGGAAGAUACAAGGGCUCAAAGUUGAGUCAACCACACUGAAAUUCAGACUUAACCAAAAGGGUCAAGUGUGGCGCUUUUGCACUUAAGUCCAAAUCUCAAGUUUUGGAUUGCAAAUCCACCUUCUUGUGAACCAUAAUACUUAAGAUGCUUUAUUAACAUGGUUUUUGCACCUUUGCCCAAAAGUGGACUAAUUUUGCACUUAACCCCCUAGGGUUUGGAUUUAGGGUUUUCUAGGGUUUCAAUUAGGGUUUCUGGUAUCUCAAGGGUGUAAAUGUAACUUAAAACCAUCCUUAGUAAUAUUUUAUGACUAUUUUACUUAGUCUUUGGGGUUUUCUCUAUUUGGCUCUUGUUUUACCCUUCAGGAUCCCCUUUAGGGUUAAGUGUCCUACACUAGGGUCUUAUUUGCAAAAUGCUAUAGCAAUACAACUUGUUCGAAAUUUUUACCUAGUGAAUGCAUCCUAGGUGUAUCAAACAUAUGAAAUGUUGAUGCUCAUGAUGUUAUGCUCAAGUUUUAGUAACAGUAACACCAGGGGUGUUACAUCCUUCCCCCCAUAAAAUAAUCUCGUCCCGAGAUUAAAAGUCCUAGGGUAAGUAAUGGAAAAGGAAACGCGACAUACUUUUAUUUCCUUAUUUUUGGUACAAGGCAGGGGUGGUUUGGGACUCACUCCUUUAUUGCAACCACUUUAUACACUUUACAAAUUACAUGAGGCUAAAACGCCUGGGAAAUUCUUAUCUAAGAAGUCUUGAGUUUCCCAAGUAGCCUCAUCUUCGGAAUGUUGGUUCCACUAUAUCUUGUAAAACUUGAGAGUUUUCCUUCGGGUAAUCCUGUCCUUUUGAUCCAAGACUCGAAUGGGAUGCUCAGAAUAUGUCAAGUCUGGCUCUAGGACAACAUCUGUCACUUCAACGGUUCGAUCGAGAAGCCGAAGACACUUCUUCAGUUGUGACACAUGGAACACAUUAUGUACUGCAGACAAGGUUUCGGGUAACUGAAGUCGAUACGCCACUGGUCCAUAUCUUUCAAGAAUAAGAAAGGGACCAAUGUAUCAAGGUGCGAGCUUCCCUUUUACCCCGAAACGUGUUACACCCUUCAUUGGUGAAACUUUUAGGUAGACAUAAUCUCCAACCAUAAAGUAUAAGGGCAUCCGUCGUUUGUCUGCAUAGCUUGAGCUUUCUUCAAAUUAUGAAUUAUUCUUUGAACUUUUUCUUCGGUCUCUUUCACCAUAUCAGGCCUAAAAAAGUACCUUUCACCUGGUUCAGACCAAUUUAGCGGAGUACGUCAUCCAUAUAAAGCUUCGAAGGGUGCCAUCUUAAUGCUUUCUUGAUAGCUAUUAUUAUAUGAGAAUUCCGCUAACGGCAAACAUUCGUCCCAUUUCUGUGGAAACUCCAGAACACAUGCUCGCAACAUAUCUUCAAGUACCUGAUUGACACUCUCAGUCUGCCCACUGGUUUGAGGAUGAUAGGCCGAACUGUGGAGCAAUUUAGUACCCAAGGAUUUAUGAAGUUCUUCCCAGAAUUUGGAUAUGAAUUGAGGUCCACGAUCCGACACUAUAGUCUUCGGAAUACCAUGCAGGCUGAGAAUACGAGCAAUGUACAGUUCCGCAUAGGUGAUGACGAGAUAUUUUACUUUGACUGGAAGGAAGUGGGCGAUCUUUGUAAGUCGAUCAAUGAUAGCCCAAAUGGAGUCAAAGCCUUUUGUUGUUCUGGGUAAUCCCACAAUGAAGUCCAUACUAAUAUCUUCCCAUUUCCAUGUUGGUAUUGGUAAAGAUUGUAAUGGACCGGCAGCUUUCAGGUGUAUGGCCUUGACACGUUUACAAGUGUCACAUCUAGCCACAUAGCGUGCGAUUUCAAUUUUCAUCUUCAUCCACCAAUAAUGUUGUUUUAGAUCAUGAUACAUCUUAGUGCUUCCGGGAUGAAUAGAAUAGCGACUAAUAUGUGAUUCAUCCAAAAUUUGCUGGCGGAGCUCUUCAUUCUUUGGCACAACUAUGCGAUUGUUGAACCAUACAACACCUUGAUCGUCUUUUUUGAAACAUUUGGCUUUUCCAGCCCUUAUCUUCUCACGUAUAUGUUUCAUACCCUCAUCAUUUUUCUGUGCGUCAAUUAUCCUUUGUAAAAGGACUGACUCAAGCUUUAGUUGACUUAAGGCUCCUUGUUGGAUCAUUCUCAGGUUUAACUUCUCCAUCUCCUGGCAUAGUGUAUUGUCAGAGGUCUUCACCGUAAGACAGUGACAGGAAACCUUACGGCUAAGUGCAUCUGCCACUACAUUGGCCUUGCCUGGGUGAUAAUGAAUCUCCAAUUCAUAGUCCUUAAUAAGCUCGAGCCACCGCCUUUGUCUCAUGUUCAACUCUGACUAGGUGAAGAUAUACUUCAAGCUUUUAUGAUCUGUAUAAAUGUGACAGAUAUUACCCAGCAGAUAAUGACGCCAGAUCUUCAGGGCAUGAACCACUGCAGCUAGCUCCAGAUCAUGAGUGGGAUAAUGCUCCUCAUGUCGGCGCAACUGCCUUGAAGCAUAUGCGAUUACUCGGCCUUCCUACAUUAAUACGCAGCCGAGACCACUGCCUGAUGCGUCACAAUACACAUCAAAGGGCUUAUUAAUAUCCGGUUGAGCCAAUACCGGAGCAGUGGUUAAUAAUACCUUCAAUUGCUCAAAAGCUUCAUUACAUUUUGAAGACCAAUUGAAUUUAGUAUCAUUCUUCAAUAGACUUGUGAUUGGCUUCACAAGCUUGGAAAAAUCUGGUAUAAAUCGGCGGUAAUAACCAGCCAGUCCAAGGAAACUUCGGACUUGAUGAACAGUGGUUGGGGGUUUCCACUCCAAGAUGUCCUUGACUUUGCUGGGAUCCACCGCAAUCCCCUUGGCAGACAGUUUAUGUCCCAGAAAUUGAAUUUCUUCCAGCCAAAACGUGCACUUACUGAACUUGGCAUAUAAUUGAUGUUCUCUCAAGCGCGUUAACACGAUCCGUAAGUGUUGGGCAUGCUCCUCUUCAUUCUUGGAAUAUAUUAAAAUAUCAUCUAUGAAGACCACCACGAAUUUGUCCAACUCGGGCAUAAAUACCGAGUUCAUCAAAUAAGUGAAGUGGGCAGGAGCAUUUGUCAGUCCGAAAGAUAUUACCAGGUAUUCAAAUAAUCCAUACUGCGUAGUGAAUGCGGUUUUUGGUAUAUCCUCGGGCCUGAUACGGAUCUGAUGAUAGCCCGAUCUGAGAUCAAUCUUGGAGAAUACCCUCGCUCCGGUCAGUUGAUAAAAUAAAAUGUCAAUCCGCGGAAGAGGGUACUUGUUCUUGAUAGUGACCUCAUUCAGGGGUCGAUAAUCCACACACAUCCGUAAAGUUUGAUCCUUCUUCUUGACGAAUAUGGCUGGACAACCCCAUGGUGAUGAGCUUGGCCGGAUGAAUCCUUUCUCUAGUAGAUCUUGUAAUUGAAUCUUCAGUUCUGCCAGCUCAUUUGGAGGCAUUCGGUACGAUCUUCUAGAAAUGGGAGCCGUACCGGGAUUCAACUCAAUUACAAACUCUACAUCCCUUUCAGGUGGCAAUCCAGGCAAAUCCUCUGGAAAGACAUCUGGGAACUCGCUUACUACCGGAAUAUCCUUGAUCUCCGGUAUAAUGGCUUCAUAAGCUCUGCCAGUAGUUUUGGUUGAAAUGGGGAUAGACAAAAGAAUUUCCUCUUGAUUAUGACUCAACCUGAUGGUUCUCUGAUCAGUGUUGAGGGUUGCUUUAUGUCGGGCCAACCAAUUCAUGCCCAAAAUCACAUCUAUGUCUUGGCCUUUCAGAACAAUCAUAUUAGUAGGAAAGUCCCGUCCGGCCAAUGUUACGGGCACUUGAUAGGCCACUUCUCUAGUAAAUAUUUGUCCCCCAUGUGAGUGAAUUUUAAACCCUUCCUUUGAUUCAUGGUAUGAAAUGCAAUAUUGCUCCACAAAUUUCUUGCUGAUGAAUGUAUGAGAAGCACCAGAAUCAAAGAGAAUAACUGCGGGAUGAUUGGCCACAAGGAACGUACCCAUCAUUACCGGCUCACCGUCCGGUGUAGUGGCCACUUGCGUAUAAUAAAUUUGUCAUGUCUUCUUUAUGUUCUUGCCCGCAUUUCCCUUAGCUUGAGAAGAAUUCCCAGUACCUUGUUGAUCGUUUGAGUGAUUCUGUUUCGGGUAAGGGCAAUCCUUAAUAAAAUGCCCAGAUUUUCCGCAAUUGAAGCAUCCCGUUGACGAAUUGGGAAGGGCAGGGAAUCGAGUGCCUGGGGCACCCGGCUGACUUGUUGCAGUGGGGGCAGCAUUGGGACAGAUGAACACUGGUUGCUUAAAAGGGAAGGAGGGUGGACGAGAGAAAGAGCGAUUUUGGUUAAAAGGCCGGAUAACAAACCGUUGCCUUUUCAUAGGGCCCUGACUAGGCCUGUCACCUCCAAAACCCUUGGAUUUUCCGGCGCCUGCAUACUUUGCUUCAACUGCUAAUGCUGUACUGACAGCUCUUCCAUAAGUAAGGUCGAUGCAGGUUGCCAUCUUUCUUUGCAGUCGAUCAUUUAAACCUCUCAUAAAACAAUUCUUCUUCUUCAAAUCUGUGUUAACUUGAUCGAUUGCGUACUAGGAUAAGUGAUUAAAUUUAUUGAGAUACUGAUUAACAGUAUCCCCUCCUUGCUUCAGCUUCAUAAAUUCCUCCUGUUUCAGGUGGAGGACUCCCUCAGGCACAUAAUGCUCUCUGAAGGCUAACUUGAAUUCAUCCCAGGUUACUUGAUGACCAGUCGGUUGCACGGCAACAAAGUUCCCCCACCAGGUGCUGGCAGGGCCACGCAAUUGCUGAGCCGCGAACAGGGGCUUCUGAGUUUCGGAACACCGAAGAUGUCCGAAAUUCUGCUCAAUAACGCGGAUCCAUUCGUCUGCUUCUAAAGGGUCUUCCGCCUUAACGAACAACGGUGGGCGUGUUUCGGAGAAAUCCAAAUAAGAGGUUUCACGGGGGCCCUGCUGAUAACCCCGCCCGCCUUGUUGUUGGAGCUAUUGACCCGCCAUCUCUCGUAGAAAACGGGUAUUAUCCGCUGUCACGUUUACCAAGGCGGCGAUAGCCUCGGCAAGUGUGGGAGGGACUGGAGGUGGGUUUGGUGUUGCCUCCCUCCCACGGGAGGUACUAGCUCCGUCCUGAGCACGAGUCCGGGAAGGCAUCUGUGGCAACAAACAUUUGAAAGCAAUAUAAUAUGCCAAAGAAAACCAUCCAUUUUACAUUACUAAAAAGAGUAAUGUUACAGACUCAAAUUUUACAACAGGAUUUCACUACUUAUUAUACAAUAACACUACCUAUUAUACAAUAACACUACUUCUAUUUCUACUAUCACACCACCACUCCUGCUUCCUGUUGCUCCUGGCAGCCUCAUCGUCGGGUGUGGGAGACCACUCAUCGACCAACCUCACAGAGGGAGGGGGCCUGAAAAGGUCCAAUUCACCACCAAAAGCUUCUCCCGCUACGUGGGAGAGUCCGGCUUCCGUCCCGACAGGAUCCGCAGGUUCAUUCGGGUGCAAUUGCGAAUACAGUACAUGAACUUCUUCAUGUAGGGUAUUGCAAUAAGCCUGCAGGUCAUCAAUGGCCGAGUACCCGAGCUUGAGCUUUUUCCUCCUUGGCCCAGGCAAGCGAACGAGAUUGAACUACCCAAUCGAGCGCUAAAUCUCGGUCCGCGAGCUGAUCUCGCAGGCGACGGACGUCACUUCUCAAUUCAUUAAUUCUGUCGCCAUCUACGACCCAUACGUCAGUCCUGCGGCGGAGUUUCGCUUGGAGCCGAUUCACUUGCGCUUCAAGAUCCCCUAUCGGAUCAUUACUCCCACUACUGCUAUCCUCGUGUCUUGGGGCCAGUUGAUGACAUGGCACACCAAUUGGUCCAGUAUGCUUGUGCGCAGUUCUCCUCGUGCGCGGCGGCAUUUUGCUAAGGAGAAAAAUUUUAUUAGCAUAGUUCUUAGCAUGAUGCAUGUGUAAUUACAGAAUCAACCUUAGUUGAUUCACACCUUCUAUAUGUUGCACUCUUACUAUCUGGUCUUUAAGAUAAACUCUUCAGAAAUAGUUAGGUGAGAAGGGAAGAGAUUUUCUAGAUAAGUCUUUAGAAAAUUCUUUUGAAGAUGCCUCAUAAUAUCUGCAGAGAAGGGCUUCGCUCCGAUACCAGCUGUGAUGGAACCUCCCAAGUAAUUAGGCCCACCUACAGUUGUCCUUGUCCAACGGACCUCAAACAACCCUGUAGGUGCCCCUGAAUCACUUGACAAGUUCGGUAUCUGCUUUUCUUACCUUUCCUAAGAGCGUUUCACCCGUCACGCAGACAUUACAAGCAUCGAAGUUACGAGAAUGCGGAAGCAAUUACAUGAACUUACCUUUAUUUAAAAGUAAGAUAGAGUUGAAUAUUUACAGACCAGAAUAUAUCCUAUGAGUGCAGAGUAAUAUUAUUACACAUACCAAGGGAGGCAAAAAUUCCUCCCAUAAAGUUUUUAAACAAAAGUUCUUAUGGAGGAUCCUUUCCUCCCGCAACUUCAUUCCUGGUGUUCUUCCUUCGGUACCACCUUAGAACAGAAGCAACAAAAGUUUGUCGCUUCCUCACCUAAAAACAACAGGGAAUAAAACCCUGAGUAUGGAAUUACUCAGCAAGUCUUACCCGACUAAAGAAAAGACUCAAGGGUAUGCUGGCUUAAGGGCGUAAAGGUAAGGUUUCUCAAUGAUCAAAGACUCUGUUUUGCAGAAAUGCUUACUAAAAGUGGAUCCUUAAAAAUCCAGUUUUAUUGUCAGGUUAGGUAAAAUUACCUGCAUCUAGAGUUCUUUCUACCCUAGUUCAAGCACUUGACCUGCACUAGCCAAUUUCUUAACAAACCAUCAUCUUUACUGGAGUUCUACGUAUAGGGCAGUAACCAAGUCUUCAUAACCGCGAAGGUACGGCGAUCCGAAUCGAUUAUACUUAGCUGAGGAUCUCCAAUCACACGACAUAUGUAGCACUUAACCCUUGCAUAUGUCAACCCGCCACCGGGGUUCUUAAGACCAGAUCAGGUUCACGUCAACCGAGAGCACAGAUACACCACCGUCCAGCCUCUUGCCACGGAGGGUACACGCUACUCUCGCCACCGCUCCACGCCCAUUGCGUGUUAUCUUAAUCUAGCCUUAGUCUGCCCGAGGCAAAGCUUACCCAUGAAGAGGCAUGUGACCAGUUAAAGGGUCCUCGGUCAUCAAGCCUACAUCGAGACGGUCCUUAAUCGACUCAGAUGGAGACACUACACCGAGACUCCUUUCUCGUGCAAGUCACCCGCCCGGUGUUGGGGGUAUGCUUCGAAGCCGAAGAUCCUAAAGAAAGAAACACCUUCGGUAAGUUCACUUCAAAGCAGCGCCGAAGCUAUUGCCUAUAAAGCUUCGGCAUAGUGACAUGUCUCAAGACGAAGGGAUGAACCGACUUAAAGAUGAAAUGACUUAAAGACCCAUGAUAUUCUGUGUCAUUAUUAUAGUUUGUUGUAAAGGGCAUAAAUGUAAUUAUACACAGGCUGCAUCCUGUGCCUAUAAAUAGGUGAACAGUACCCCUAUACUGUUCACGGAAUUCUGUAAUCACGCAUUGGGCAUUUGCUUCUGUAUUACACUGGUAUUUCAGCUUUCCUUCAAGCCAAAGGUACAUUUAUAAUUUGUCAUCAUUUCCAUAAUGAUAGAAUAAAAACGAGUUAAUAAUAAUAAUAAUCAAUUGCUUAUAUUAUUUCUUCAUAUUUUAUGUAAAUCCUUCUUCACUGUUCAUUGUGCUUAUGAAGGUAUGUCAUUCAUAACCUUCGUCCGGAAUUCAUUAUAUCCUAAGGGAGAUAAUGUUUCGAAGGACGAAGGACCAUAAUAUUUAACCAUUUUUGUGUUGCCUUGUUCUUGAUUUCGAAGAAGUUAAGAACAAGUCCCCAACACCCGGUCUCAGCUUAAUCAUUUCAAACCCAAAGUUUGGUACCUGACAGAGGUACAUCUUUUCCGAUGUUGAACCCAUCACGGCCAUGAUGGAUCCACCAUCAAGUUUUAUUUUCGAAAACAUCCCACCCACUUUUGCCACAUCAUCUUUUUGUAAAAACAACAUAUUUUGUUUUUCUAAAGCAAGGCUAAGCAUCAAAAAUCUUUUGUAAAACGGGUGAUCAAGGAAGGUAAUCAAAUCGAAGGAAGGUAAUGCAAGAAUUAUUUUAGCAAUCAACUCCUAUCACCUAAUGCAUCAAGCAAGUGAGAAAGAUUUUAAAAGCAUCAAGGAGGUGGCAAAUGCACCGGGGCUUGCCUUUGUUUAUAGGUGAGUCAGGCUCGGAUCUGCAGAUGUCAAAGUAGAAACAAUUUCCUGCCUGAUGUUCCGCAGGUGGUGGUGGUGCAGUCUUCUCUUCUUCUAUCUCAACCUCUUCCUCGUUUUCUAAAUAUAACCAUAUAGAUAUAUAUAUAAGAAUGAAUGCCAUGUAAUGCUCAUGAGAGUGCAAAGAUAAUAAUAGUUUAUUAUCUAAAGUCUUGAUACAACUUUCCUUCAUGGAACUCCGAGAACCUAGGGUUUCCGGAGUCAAUAGUGAAGUUCAAAGAGCAGGGGGUAGGGUUUUGGGUUCUAGUAUCAAACAAGGUCCAAAUCAAACCAAAUUCUACCCAAGGCUUCUAAAUAAUGUUUAAGGUUCAAAUAAAAAGUUUGGGCAUUUUUGGAAUUAUUAUCUAUUUUCUAAAAAUCUAGAAGCCAUGCUUUAGGAUAUUUUAAAUAACCCAAAAUUCCCUAUUUGUCCUAAAAAUCAUAAAACUAUUUUUAUUAAAUUCUAUUGAAAAUUAAGAAUCUAGGAAAAUUAGUUUGAAGUUUUUGCCAUUUUUCUGCAAUUUUCUACAAAUUUCUAAAUGUGGACAGAAAAAGAAAAAGGAAAGCUAUGAAUAGUGUUGGGCUGAUUCUAGCCCAGGCGGCCCAAACCUAGGCAGAAACGCGCGCGCGGCCGCGCCCGAGGAGGCAGGUUUGCACAGAGGCCCUCGCAGCUUUGGAUAUCCGUUAAGAACCCCUGGCUACUGUUCAACGUUUCACUGACAUCUACAAAAACAACCCCGCGCUUCUAUCCUUUCUCCGUUCGAAAUCCAUGGCGGCGAACCGCGUAGGGACGUACUCCGGCGAGCACCUGGACCGGUCGGAGGGAGCCAAGACUGGCGGCCCCGAGUGGUGAACACCGAAUUGGAUCUCCCCCGAACAAUUCCCCUAGCUUAAUUUCAUGGUUGGUAAACUAUCAAGCUCUGUCCACGCGGACUGCGGACGAUGAGGACUAUUGCACGCGUUCCCCGCGACUAGUGGGCUCCUAGUUCAAUUCGGUGGUUUGGCAAGCAUCACGGGGUUAUGAGAAUACUCAAACAAGGGAGCAGAAGGUGUGGGCUGACCUGAAUCGCGCUAGCCGCGGCGAGCUGUUCUUCGCGGUGUAUUCGAACCGGUUUGGGGAGAAUCUGAAAUUAGCGCUCUCUGGUGGGGGGUUUGGGAUGCAGGUGGGUGCAGUAGCUGCUGGAAUAUAUGGCAAAGCCGAGGGGGCUCAAUUUAUAGAUCCCAUCGACGGUGGUGUCCAAUUUUGCAAGGUCGUGCUGGCGGCCGGAGGGAAACAGGGAUACUAGAGCAGGGGAUGGGUGGCUUUCACCGUGGCGCUUUCUCCCGUGAUCACCGGUUGAGGAGCUACGGCGGUUACCGGUGAGCUGGUGCGGCUAGGGAUGACGUGGUGGAAGGCUUGGAGCGUGGCACAGCCGCAGUAAAGCACGACAACUCUGGUGACGGCCAUGAGGCCACGUCGCCGGUGAAAAGGGGCAGGGGACAGCGAGGCCACAUUAGCUCAUGCACAUCCGCGACGAGAUCUUUACCCGGUGAACGAAAUCCAUACGCCCGUGGCACGAAUCCCGGCGAAGAGGUCGCCGGCGGUGAGCAUUUUGCGCUGGCGUGCUGAUCCUUAUCAGGUCACUGUACCAUGGCGAAAUCCGAUUCAGUGUACCUGACAGUCGAAGUUCAGGGCCAAAUUUCUCCCAAAUUUUGAUGGCAACUCACUUAAGGUUCUGCAGCAAAGUUGUAGACCAAGGAUUCAGCUACAAUUUUGCCACAGCAUCUAUAGCCAAAAUCCUACUAAAUCAUGUUUGAAUUGGUGCCCAAAGUUCCUGCAGUGCACUAUCAGUCUGAAAAUUCAGACUUAAAUUGACCUGACAGCCCAACUUUGGGUCUGCUUAUCUCCAAUUUCUUCAUAACAACUAGGCUUACCUUCUUAAGCAAAGUUGUUCUCCUUUGAUAGGUUUACACAUCUAAUGUGGUGACCUAGGGUAAAUUCUCAAUAAUUUGGAAGAUACAAGGGCUCAAAGUUGAGUCAACCACACUGAAAUUCAGACUUAACCAAAAGGGUCAAGUGUGGCUCUUUUGCACUUAAGUCCAAAUCUCAAGUUUUGGAUUACAAAUCCACCUUAUUGUGAACCAUAAUACUUAAGAUGCUUUAUUAACAUGGUUUUUGCACCUUAGCCCAAAAGUGGACUAAUUUUGCACUUAACCCCCUAGGGUUUGGAUUUAGGGUUUUCUAGGGUUUCAAUUAGGGUUUCUGGUAUCUCAAUGGUGUAAAUGUAACUUAAACACAUCCUUAGUAAUAUUUUAUGACUAUUUUACUUAGUCUUUGGGGUUUUCUCUAUUUGGCUCUUGUUUUACCCUUCAGGAUCCCCUUUAGGGUUAAGUGUCCUACACUAGGGUCUUAUUUGCAAAAUGCUAUAGCAAUACAACUUGUUCGAAAUUUUUACCUAGUGAAUGCAUCCUAGGUGUAUCAAACAUAUGAAAUGCUGAUGCUCAUGAUGUUAUGCUCAAGUUUUAGUAACAGUAACACCAGGGGUGUUACAAUAUAUUUCAAACUUAUUGAAAGGGAAAUGUGCCCAUGGGUCAUUUCUAAAGUGUUUUGGUGAUUAAGUGCCCAACACAUAUUCUCUAAGUGGUAAUUUGUGCCAAAGAUUGAAGAAGUGCAAAUCAUGUGACAAGGUACGUUUCUAGACUUAGUACAUUGAUUUGGGUACUAAUGUAUUGUGUCUAAGUGCUAGAAACAGGAGAAAAUAGAUUGGAAAAGAGUUAGCUGUGUGCAGCCAACUACUGCUCGGUCUGGGUGCACCGGACUGUGUCCGGUGCGCCAGACGAGUCCAAGGAGAACCGGCCGCUCUCGAGACUCGAUCGCGGCGUACGGCUAUAAUUCAUCGAACUGUCCGGUGGUGCACCGGACUGUCCGGUGAGUCGUCCGCGGCGAAGUCAUUGCUCUCGGGAAAAGUUCAACAGCGUACGACUAAAAUUCACCGGACUGUCCGAUGGUGCACCGGACUGUCCGGUGAGCCAACGGUCGACUGCGCAACGGUCGGCAGUGAAAUCGGUGGGCAACACGUGGCCCGCGCCAACGGUCGGAAGGGGGCACCGGACUGUCUGGUGUGCAUCGGACAGUGUCCGGUGCGCCAACCGACGCCGAGGUGCAACGGUCAUCUGCGCCAGAAAAGGAAGGAGAUCCGCACCGGACCGUCUACAGUGACUGUCUGGUGGCACACUGGACUGUCCGGUGCGCCACCCGACAAAGGCAAGAUUAGCCUUCCAAGAUUGUCUCCAACGGCUCCUAGCUACCUUGGGGCUAUAAAAGGGACCCCUAGGCGCAUGGAGGAGUCACCAAGCUUACAAGAAAGAUCCAAAGACUCCAAGACUCCAUUCUCACGCAUUCGAUUCUUUAAGAUAGUGACUUGAGCUCUAUUUGAGUUGAGAACUCCUUGCGUUGUAUUUUGAGCUCGAGUUGUGACUUGUGUGCGUGAUUGUGCUCUCGUUUUGAGUCUUGUGUGUGUUGCUCUUCCCUCUCUUACUUCCGUGCUUCUUUGUGAUCAUCAUUUGUAAGGGCGAGAGGCUCCAAGUUGUGGAGAUUCCUCGCAAACGGGAGAAAGUCUAAGAAAGAAGAACAUCGUGGUAUUCAAGUUGAUCAUUGGAUCACUUGAAAGGGGUUGAGUGCAACCCUCGUCCAUUGGGACGCCACAACAUGGAAGUAGGCAAGUGUUACUUGGCUGAACCACGGGAUAAAAUUGCGUGUCUCUUGUGUUGAUCUUUUUGUGAUUGUCUUGCCCACAAGAACUCGCUUCGCAACUACUUAGUCGCACUAACAUUUCUAUAACCGAGUUUUGUGGCUAUUAGUUGUUGAAUUUUUACAGGAUCACCUAUUCACCCCCCCUCUAAGUGCUCUCAAUUGGUAUCGGAGCCGUUCUCUUCACUUAAGGGACUAAUCGGCCGAAGAGAUGGAUCCUAAGGGAAAGGGGAUGGUGGUCAAUGAUAAGGAGAAGGAGUCCAUCUUCAACGAGCCAAGGGACGACAAGCCCACUGACUCUGGCUCGAGUCACAAGAAGAAGGACAGGAAGAAGAAGAGGCGCAUCAAGAAGAUCGUCUACUACGACAACGACGAAUCUUCUUCACCAAGAGACGACGACGACGAGAAAAAGAAACCGAUUAAUUCAAAAUUUUCAUUUGAUUAUUCUCGUAUUCCUUUUAAUUUCAAUGCUCAUCUGCUUUCAAUUCCUCUUGGUAAACCUCCACACUUUGAUGGAGAGGACUACUCCUUUUGGAUUCACAAAAUGCGUAGUCACCUAUUUUCUCUCCAUCCUAGUAUAUGGGAGAUAGUUGAAAAUGGAAUGCAAUUUGAUAGUACGGAUAACCUUGUGUUUAUUAACGAGCAAAUUCAUAAAAAUGCACAAGCUACCACUGUUCUGCUAGCAUCUUUGUGCAGGGAUGAGUACAACAAGGUGAGCGGCUUGGACAACGCCAAGCAAAUCUGGGACACCCUCAAAAUAUCACAUGAGGGAAACGACACCACCAUGAUCACCAAAAUGGAGUUGGUGGAAGGCAAGCUAGGAAGGUUCGCUAUGAUCAGGGGAGAGGAGCCAACACAGACGUACAACAGGCUCAAGACCCUGGUCAACAAGAUUAGGAGCUAUGGGAGCACGAGAUGGACGGACCACGAUGUCGUCCAACUUAUGCUCAGGUCCUUUACUGUUAUUGACCCUCAUCUUGUGAACCUCAUCCGUGAAAAUCCCAGGUACACAAAGAUGACGCCCGAGGAGAUACUCGGAAAAUUUGUGAGUGGGCGCAUGAUGGUCAAGGAGGCAAGGUAUGUUGAUGAUGCAUUAAACGGCCCCAUGCCCAUCUACGAGCCACGGCCUGUUGCGCUCAAGGCAACAAGCAGCAAGGAGGCGCUACCAAGCAAGGUAGCACAAGUAGAGGCUGUCGGACUCAACGAGAGUGAAAUGGCGCUUAUCAUCAAGCGUUUCAAGACCGCUCUUAAAGGACGCAAGGAGUACCCCAACAAGAACAAAACAAGGGGAAAGCGCUCCUGCUUCAAAUGCGGUAAGACUGUUCACUUUAUUGCAAACUGUCUCGAUAAUGAUAGUGACCAGGGACAAGAAAAGAGCGGGAAGAGGGAGAAGAAGAAGGCCUACAAGAAGGCGAAGGGCGAGGCGCAUCUUGGCAAAGAAUGGGAUUCGGACUGCUCUUCCUCCGACUCUGACGACGAAGGACUUGCUGCCUCAGCCUUCAACAAGUCCUCUCUCUUCCCCAACGAACGCCAUACCUGCCUCAUCGCAAAGGAGAAAAAGGUAAGCAUUCGAGAAACCCCUAAGUAUACUACUUCAAGCGAUGAUGAUUCUGGUGAUGAUGAAGUAGAUUAUACCGAGUUAUUUAAGGAUUUAGAUAGAGCAAAAGUAGAUAAAAUUAAUGAGUUAAUUGAUGCUUUAAAUGAAAAGGAUAGACUUUUAGAAAAGCAAGAGGAUAUUUUGUAUGAAGAACAUGAAAAGUUUGUUAGUGUGCAAAAAUCUCUUGCUUUAGAGGUUAAAAGGAAUGAAAUGCUAUCUUCUAAAUUAUCUGCUUGUCAUGAAACUGUGUCUAGCUUAAAGAGUGUUAAUGAUGAUUUAAAUGCUAAGUUAGAAGAAGCUAAUAAAUCUAGUUCAUGUGUGGAACAUGUUGUAAUUUGCAAUAGAUGCAAGGAUUUUGAUAUUAAUGCUUGUAAUGAACAGCUUGCAACCAUUACUAAAUUAAAUGAAGUGGCAAGUCUUAAUGCUCAACUUAAGACUUGCAAGAUAGAUUUUGAUAAAUUAAAGUUUGCUAGGGAUGCCUACACAAUUGGUAGACACCCCUCGAUUAAGGAUGGACUUGGCUUUCGAAAGGAAGCCAAGAACUUAACAAGCCAAAGGGCUCCCAUUCCCAACAAGGAGAAAGGGAAGGGCCCUAUGGCUAGUAGCAAUCAAAAGAAUCAUGCUUUCAUUUAUGAUAGGAAAUUUUCUAGAAAUGAUCAUUUUAAUAGGAGUUAUGUUGAUGACUCUCAUGCUAUGUUUGCUUCAAGUUCUAAUUUUAAUGGUAGGCCUAGGAGAAAUUUUGUGUCUCAUGCUCCUAAGAAAUGUGGAAUAAACCUACCACUGUCUUUCAUGCUUGCAACACUACGUUUGUACUUUCAUGUAAAAAUGAAAAAGUGGUUGCUAGAAAAUUGGGAUCCAAAUGCAAGGGAGAUAAGACUUGUAUUUGGGUUCCAAAGGCUAUUGUGACUAACCUUGUAGGACCCAACAAGAGUUGGGUACCUAAAACCCAAGUGUAAAUUGCCUUGCAGGUUUAUGCAUCCGGGGGCUCAAGCUGGAUUAUCGACAGCGGAUGCACAAACCACAUGACGGGGGAGAAGAAGAUGUUCACCUCCUACGUCAAGAACAAAGAUUCCCAGGACACGAUUAUUUUUGGAGAUGGGAACCAAGGCAAGGUUAAAGGCUUGGGAAAGAUAGCCAUCACAAGCAAGCAUUCCAUAUCCAAUGUAUUCUUAGUAGAGUCAUUAGGAUAUAAUCUCCUGUCUAUAAGUCAAUUGUGCCACAUGGGCUACAAUUGCUUGUUUACAAAUGUUGAUGUUUCUAUCUUUAGAAGGAGUGAUAGUUCAUUAGCGUUUAAGGGUGUAUUAGACGACAAACUCUACUUAGUUGAUUUUUUGAAAGAGGAGGCCGAUCUAGAUGCAUGCUUAAUAGCUAAGACUAGCAUGGGCUGGUUGUGGCAUCACCGUCUAGCACAUGUUGGGAUAAAGAACCUUCAUAAACUUCUAAAGGGAGAACAUGUGUUAGGACUAACCAAUGUCUGCUUCGAAAAAGAUAGACCUUGUGUAGCUUGUCAAGCAGGGAAACAGGUGGGAAGCACUCAUCACAACAAGAAUGUGAUGACUACAUCAAGACCACUGGAGCUUCUCCAUAUGGACCUCUUCGGACCCAUCGCCUACCUUAGCAUCGGGGGAAGUAAGUAUGGUUUAGUAAUUGUUGAUGAUUUUUCCCGCUUCACUUGGGUAUUCUUUUUGUAGGAUAAAUCAGAAACCCAAAGGACCCUAAAGCGCUUUCUAAGGAGGGCUCAAAACGAGUUUGAGCUCAAGGUGAAAAAGAUAAGAAGCGACAACGGGUCUGAGUUCAAGAAUCUGCAAGUGGAGGAGUACCUUGAGGAGGAAGGCAUCAAGCACGAGUUCUCCGCUGCCUACACACCACAGCAAAAUGGUGUGGUAGAGAGGAAGAACAGGACGCUUAUCGACAUGGCGAGGACGAUGCUUGGAGAGUUCAAGACGCCUGAGCGGUUCUGGUCGGAAGCUGUGAACACAGCUUGCCACACCAUAAACCAGCUCUACCUUCAUCGCCUCCUCAAGAAGACCUCGUAUGAACUUCUUACCAGUAACAAACCCAACGUCUCAUACUUUCGUGUAUUUGGGAGCAAAUGUUACAUUCUAGUGAAGAAAGGUAGAAAUUCUAAAUUUGCUCCCAAAGUUGUAGAAGGGUUUUUACUAGGGUAUGACUCAAAUACAAGGGCGUAUAGAGUCUUCAACAAAUCAUCGGGUUUGGUUGAAGUCUCUAGCGACGUUGUAUUUGAUGAGACUAAUGGCUCUCCAAGAGAGCAAGUUGAUCUUGAUGAUGUAGAUGAAGAUGAUGUUCCAACGGCCACGAUACGUACCAUGGCGAUUGGAAAUGUGCGACCACAGGAACAACAAGAGCAAGAUCAACCUUCUUCCUCAACGAUGGUGCAUCCCCCUACUCAAGAUGAUGAACAGGUUCCUCAAGAAGAGGCGUGUGAUCAAGGGGGAGCACAAGAAGAACCAGCUAUGGAGGAAGAAGCACCACGGGCCCCUCCAACUCAAGUCCGAGCGACGAUUCAAAUGAAUCACCCCGUUGACCAGAUUCUGGGUGACAUAAGCAAGGGAGUAACUACUCACUCAAGAUAGCUAAUUUUUGUGAGCAUUACUCGUUUGUCUCUUCUAUUGAGCCUUUCAGGGUAGAAGAGGCCUUGCAAGAUUCGGACUGGGUGUUGGCCAUGCAGGAAGAGCUCAACAACUUCAAGCGAAAUGAAGUCUGGAGCCUAGUGCCUCGUCCAAAGCAAAACGUUGUGGGAACCAAGUGGGUGUUCCGCAACAAGCAAGACAAGCACGGGGUGGUGACAAGAAACAAGGCUCGACUUGUGGCAAAAGGUUAUGCCCAAGUCGUAGGUUUGGAUUUUGAGGAGACUUUUGCUCCUGUGGCUAGGCUAGAGUCUAUUCACAUUCGGUUAGCCUAUGUCGCUCACCAUUCUUUUAGGUUGUUUCAAAUGGACGUGAAGAGCGCUUUCCUCAAUGGGCCAAUCAAGGAGGAGGUGUAUGUGGAACAACCCCCUGGCUUUGAGGAUGACAGGUAUCCCGACCACGUUUUUAAGCUCUCUAAGGUGCUCUAUGAACUUAAGCAAGCCCCAAGAGCAUGGUAUGAAUGCCUUAGAGAUUUCUUAAUUGCUAAUGCUUUUAAGGUUGGGAAAGUUGAUCCCACUCUUUUCACUAAGACUUGUGACGGUGAUCUUUUUGUGUGCCAAAUUUAUGUCGAUGACAUAAUAUUUGGUUCUACUAAUCAAAAGUCUUGUGAGGAGUUUAGCAGGGUGAUGACACAGAAAUUUGAGAUGUCGAUGAUGGGCGAGUUGACAUACUUUCUUGGGUUCCAAGUGAGACAACUCAAGGACGACACCUUCCUCUCCCAAACGAAGUACACUCAAGAUCUUCUCAAGAGGUUUGGGGUGAAGGACGCCAAGCCCGCAAAGCCGUCGAUGGGAACCGACGGACAUGUCGACCUCAAUAAAGGAGGUAAGUCCGUUGAUCAAAAGGCAUAACGGUCUAUGAUAGGGUCAUUACUUUAUUUAUGUGCUAGUAGACCGGAUAUUAUGCUUAGCGUAUGCAUGUGUGCUAGAUUUCAAUCUGAUCCAAGGGAAUGUCACCUAGUGGCCGUUAAGCAGAUUCUUAGAUAUUUAGUUGCUACGCCUUGCUUCGGGAUCUGGUAUCCAAAGGGGUCUACCUUUGACUUGAUUGGAUAUUCAGACUCCGAUUAUGCUGGAUGCAAGGUUGAUAGGAAGAGUACAUCAGGGACGUGCCAAUUCCUAGGAAGGUCCCUGGUGUCUUGGAGUUCUAAGAAACAAACCUCCGUUGCCCUAUCCACCGCUGAGGUCGAGUAUGUUGCCGCAGGACAGUGUUGCGCACAACUACUUAGGAUGAGGCAAACCCUCCGGGACUUUGGCUACAAUCUGAGCAAAGUCCCACUCCUAUGUGACAAUGAGAGUGCAAUCCGCUUGGCGGACAAUCCUGUUGAACACAGCCGCACUAAGCACAUAGACAUCCGGCACCACUUUUUGAGAGACCACUAGCAAAAGGGAGAUAUUGAAGUGUUCUAUAUUAGCACCGAGAACCAGCUAGCCGAUAUCUUUACCAAACCUUUAGAUGAGAAAACCUUUUGCAGGCUGCGUAGUGAGCUAAAUGUCUUAGAUUCGCGUAACUUGGAUUGAUCUCUAGCAUACAUGUUUUUUAUGCUUUGAUCAUGUUACUUUAUGCAUUUAUGAGAUUUGUUGUUUAUUUAUGGUGCUCAAGUUGUGCAAGGGAUCCCCGGACCUCACCAGUCCAUGUGUGAGUGAUGCACAUAUUUAGGGGGAGAAGUGCUACAACUUGACCCUUUGAAGACUAACCUUUGUGUUUGAGUUUACUUAAUGUAGUUUCAAAGGUGAAUUGAAAGGGAAAGGUGAACUUGGACCAUGCAAAGACUUCCACUGCACUCCGGUAUUAGUGUACUCACCUCCAAGUUCAUUCUUAUACUCGUAUUGCCUUUUUACUCUUAACUGACAUUCUUGGUGAGGCAAUGGGGUUAAAGGGCCAAUAAUAAUCCCGUUUUGGUGCUUAAUGCCAAAGGGGGAGAAAUUAAGGCCAAAGCAAAUGGAUCAGCUACCACUUGUGAAAUUUCGAAAAGAGUAGAGUUAGAACUUUUUGAUUUAUCCAAAACACUCUUAUUGCAAAAUUUUGGUCUCUUGUGGGGAGAAUUUAUGACUAUGGGAAAAGGGGGAGUUUUUGGCUCUUAAUCAAUUUUACUCUUGGACUAUCUCUCUUUGUGCCCAAACAAUUGAGUUUGUUGUAGAGAUAGGAAAAUGAAUUUGAUUCGCAAAAACAAACCAAGUGGUGGCAAAGUAUGAUCCAAAUAUGCCAAAUUAGAGUCAAAAACAAUUUGGUUCUUUUUGCAUUGAUAUUGCACUUCUUUUUGUUGCUUUUGGAUGUGUUGGCAUAAAUCACCAAAAAGGGGGAGAUUGAAAGGGAAAUGUGCCCAUGGGUCAUUUCUAAAGUGUUUUGGUGAUUAAGUGCCCAACACAUAUUCUCUAAGUGGUAAUUUGUGCCAAAGAUUGAAGAAGUGCAAAUCAUGUGACAAGGUACAUUUCUAGACUUAGUACAUUGAUUUGGGUACUAAUGUAUUGUGUCUAAGUGCUAGAAACAGGAGAAAAUAGAUUGGAAAAGAGUUAGCUGUGUACAGCCAACUGCUGCUCGGUCUGGGUGCACCGGAUAGUGUCCGGUGGUGCACCGGAUUGUGUCCAGUGCGCCAGACGAGUCCAAGGUGAACCGGCCGCUCUCGGGACUCGACGGCGGCGUACGGCUAUAAUUCACCGGACUGUCUGGUGGUGCACUGGACUGUCUAGUGAGUCGUCCGCGGCGAAGUCGUCGCUCUCGGGAAAAGUUCAAUGGCGUACGACUAAAAUUCGCCGGACUGUCCGGUGGUGCACCGGACUGUCCGGUGAGCCAAUGGUCGACUGCGCAAUGGUCGGCAGCGAAAUCGGUGGGCGACACGUGGCCCGCACCAACGGUCGGAAGGGGGCACCGGACUGUCCGGUGCGCCAAUAGACGCCAAGGUGCAACGGUCGUCUGCGCCAGAAAAGGAAGGAGAUCCGCACCGGACCGUCUACAGUGACUAUCCAGUGGCGCACCGGACUGUCCGGUGCGCCACCCGACAGAAGGCAAGAUUAGCCUUCCAAGAUUGUCUCCAACGGCUCCUAGCUGCCUUGGGGUUAUAAAAGGGACCCCUAGGCGCAUGGAGGAGUCACCCAAGCUUACAAGAAAGAUCCUAAGACUCCAAGACUUCAUUCUCACGCAUUCGAUUCUUUAAGAUAGUGACUUGAGCUCCAUUUGAGUUGAGAACUCCUUGCGUUGUAUUUUGAGCUCGAGUUGUGACUUGUGUGCAUGAUUGUGCUCUCGUUUUGAGUCUUGUGUAUGUUGCUCUCCCCUCCCUUACUUCCGUGCUUCUUUGUGAUCAUCAAUUGUAAGGACGAGAGGCUCCAAGUUGUGGAGAUUCCUCGCAAACGGGAGAAAGUCUAAGAAAGAAGAACACCAUGGUAUUCAAGUUGAUCAUUGGAUCACUUGAAAGGGGUUGAGUGCAACCCUCGUCCAUUGGGACGCCACAACGUGGAAGUAGGCAAGUGUUACUUGGCCGAACCACGGGAUAAAAUCGCGUGUCUCUUGUGUUGAUCUUUUUGUGAUUGUCUUGCCCACAAGAACUCGCUUCGCAACUACUUGGUCGCACUAAUAUUUCUAUAACCGACUUUUGUGGCUAUUAGUUGUUGAAUUUUUACAGGAUCACCUAUUCACUCCCCCUCUAGGUGCUCUCACUUAUACUUUUGUAAUCACUCCGAUAAAAUAAUGUAAAAUUUUUGUAACUUGUAAAAUUUGGUAAUAAGAUUUCCGCUGCAAAAAUAUUGGUGUGUGUGAUUUGUGUUACUUAAUCUUGCGGUCCUGGUUAAAAGUGGUUUAUCCGAGGUCCUUGGGACACUCAAACGGAUCCGGUUAAGUUAUCUGGUGCACAUGCAUAGCCGUCUGAGGUCUUUGAGACAAGGACAGGUGCAUGUGUGUCCAAUAACUUGGGAGGUUCUUCCAUAGGGGAGGGGAAGAGAGAGGGGAGAGGGAGAGGGGAGGGGAGCUCACCUCGGGGUCCAAAUCCGGCGAUCAUCGUCUCCAAAACCUAGGGCACCACAGGGGAGAGAGAGAGGUGGGAGAGAGAGGAAGUUGUUGCGCGGGAGAAUUGAAUGAGAGGAAAAGACCAGGGGAGGGGGAGGGGCAAAGGCGCUAGGGGCACGCGGGCCAGGGCCAGGCCAAGCUGGGCCGGGUCGGGCUGGGCUGGGCCGCACCGCGGGUCAAAAUCCCGUGGCACGCACAACCACAGAUCGGAAUCCAAUUCGCGAAGCAAAAUCCGAAACGAGACUAAGCAACGCACACGAUUAAGCACGAAAUCAGACAAAAGAAAUAUGAUUCGGCAUGAUGCAACACCCAUGUCAACUUAGGUUUUUGUUUACACAUGACACGAGCACCAGUCGCUAUACUGCUUUGAAAUUGGGAAAAGGAGCAAAACGGGAAGAGAAAAGAGAGUAACGCCUGAAUUUGGUGAGUAAAAAGAAGAAAAAAUUCUACCCCAAAAUUCAGGGCGUUACAAACCUAUCCCCCUUAAAAGAAUCUCGCCCUCGAGAUUCAAGGUUGGCCAGCAAAGAGUUCAGGAUACUUGGCCAUCAGAUCAUCUUCAUGCUCCCAGGUUGCUUCUUUCUCAGAGUGGUGACUCCAUCUGACUUUGCACAUUCUGAUAGUUUUCCUCCGGGUGACUCUGUCUACAGUCUCAAGAAUCUGCGUUGACUUCUCUAUGUAGGUCAGGUCCUCCUGGACCUCCAGACCUUCCACUGGCAACUGCUCUUCUGGCACACGCAGACACUUCUUCAAUUGAGACACGUGGAAGACAUCAUGCACUACGGACAAGCCUUCUAGUAGACUGAGCUGAUAGGCCACUUCUCCACGCUUUGCGAGAAUCUGAUACGGACCAACAUAGCGGGGUGCUAGCUUGCCUUUGACUCCGAAUCUUCUGACUCCUCUGAUCGGUGAUACUUUCAGGUAGACAAAAUCUCCGACUUUGAAACUCAGCUCUCUCCUUCUUGUGUCUACAUAACUUUGCUGCCUUGAUUGCGCUAUCUUUAGAUUCUCCCGAACCAUCUUGAUGUUCUCUUCAGCUUCGAGCAAAAUGUCUGGCCCGAACACUUGCUUUUCUCCAGGCUGAUCCCAUUGCAACGGAGUUCUACAACUCCUUCCAUAGAGUGCCUGAAAUGGUGACGUCUUCAAGCUGGCCUGGUAACUGUUGUUAUAGGAGAAUUCUGCGUAAGGUAAUCUCUUGUCCCAUCCGGACUGAUCUUGCAACACACAAGCUCUCAACAUAUCUUCGAGGAUUUGAUUAGUUCUUUCGGUCUGACCAUCUGUCUGCGGAUGAUAAGCUAAACUGAAAUUUAAAUGUGUACCCAAAGCUUCAUGCAACUGCUGCCAGAAAUGAGAGGUGAACUGCGUUUCUCUGUCUGACACUAUCUUCUUUAGCACACCAUGAAGACAAACGAUCCGGGACAUGUACAACUCUGCCAAUACUGCACUGCUGUAGUUGGUCUUGACGGGCAUGAAGUGGGCUGACUUGGUUAAACGGUCCACUACUACCCAAAUGGAAUCGUAGCCGGCUCGAGUGCGAGGCAAUCCGACUAUGAAGUCCAUUCCGAUUUCAUCCCAUUUCCACUGAGGAAUUCGCAACGGUUGCAACAAUCCAGUUGGCCUCUGAUGCUCUGCCUUGAUCCUUUGACAACUGUCACAUAUAGCCACAUGCUUUGCGAUCUCCCUUUUCAUUCCGUACCACCAAAAUUUCUUCUUCAGAUCCUGAUACAUCUUCUCACUUCCAGGGUGUAUAGAAUAAGCUGACUCAUGAGCUUCCUUGAGGAUCAACUCCCGAAUGGACUGGACAUUAGGAACACACAAGCGGUCCUUGAACCAUAUCACACCUUCUGCAUCUUCUCGAAAAUCUUUGCCUCUUCCUUCCAAAAUCAGCUGCCGGAUUUCACUGAUCUUCUCAUCAUUCUUCUGUGCUUCUUUGAUUUCCCGCUCUAAAGUGGGCUCUAACUCAACAGUUACUCCUCGCAUAUUGUUCAGAAAUCCGAGGCUCAACCUGUCAAACUCCUUGGCUAGCUCAUAAGGCAUCUGAUAAGCGACCAUCAUGUUGACUUGACUCUUCCUGCUCAAUGCAUCUGCCACUAUGUUCGCUUUGCCUGGAUGGUAAUGGAUCUCCAAUUCAUAGUCUUUGAUCAACUCUAACCAUCUUCAUUGCCUCAUAUUCAGCUCCGACUGAGUGAAUAUGUAUUUCAGACUCUUGUGGUCUAUGUAAACAUCGCAUUUCUGCCCAUACAGAUAGUGCCUCCAUGUCUUCAGUGCAUGAACCACUGCUGCCAACUCUAGGUCAUGGAUUGGAUAAUUCUUCUCAUGAACCUUCAGCUGUCGGGAUGAGUAAGCCAGAACUCUUCCCACUUGCAUCAACACGCAUCCCAAACUAGUGUAACAAGCAUUGCAAUACACCGAGAAGGGCUUGUGCACAUCAGGUAAGACUAAAACAAGCGAUGUAGUCAACUUCUCUUUCGGUGCUUCGAAGGCUUCUUGGCAUUUCUGGGUCCACUUGAACUCAACCUUGUUGCCUAGCAAAGCUGCCGGGAAAUCCCAACAGAGCCACCAGAAUCCCGGAUUCUGUUACCCGCUCACCACAGCGUCGAUGGCAAGAGAGUGAAUGAGCUGGGUGACUAGGCCCACUUGUCGGCCAGUCCAAGGUGCACGCUCACACAGAGGUGCGAAGCUAACGAUCAGGCCCGCGAUGUCGGCGUCAGGUCACCAGCGAUGGAGCGUGCGGGCAUGCGAUGUGUGGUCGGCCAAUGGGCCCCACAUGUCGGCGCCGAAUCACUGACUAGGCCACGCGAUAUGGAGAACUGGGCUGAGGGAAACAAUUUGGGACAUGUCUGUUUUCUUUUUUCUAUUCUUUCUUUUUUCAUUUUCUUUUCUCCAUUUAAAUCCAUUCUUAGAUUUCUUUUUUGAAUUCAAAUUCUAGUUUGGAUUCAUAGUUCAAUUUCAAAAUGCACAACCAAAAUAUCAGCAUGAAUGCAACUUCUUUUCUUUUUAUUUAUAUAUAUAUAUAUAUACACUUUUAUUUAGUAACAUCUCUCAAUGCUAGAACACCAUUCCUAAUAAAUUUAUAGUAUAAACCCUCAAAUAAUAAAGGCACUAACUAACUCCCUUAAUAUCAUAUUUAGGGUUUACAACGGACACCUUCGCGCUUCGGAAGAGGCGACCAUCACCCUAAGGGCAAACCAAGAAUUAACUAGAAGAGGGACAAGUGGAAACCCAUAGAUAAGGGCGGGUUGGUCGUACCAUUUCCUUGAACAAUCCCCCAAGGAAGUAUGCUCUGAUCCAUGAGCAAAAGGAGACACCUACUAAUAAGGAGAUCCAUGCACAAGGUCACUCGCACUCCCCCUCUCUUACUUUUAAAGCGGGAGGGUACUUGGAAAAGCUCACACAGAAAGGGAGAGGAGGCAAAGACUCAAGGGCCCUACAACACGAAAAACCAGGGAACGAGGUUUUCUUUAUUAAUUUGGGGAGGCAGCACUGAGGCGAAGUACAUCACGAUCAGUGUGCGUCACGCACGAUGUCGUGAACCAACACGGCUAGCCAGCUCAUCGUAAGCUUCUAGCGUGUCUUCUAGCUUCUCAUUCGAAAGGGACGAAGGAGGGUCGAUGAUGUCCAAGAGGUGUCAAUCGGAGAAGAUCUCACCCAUGAGCAGCGCCACCACGGCUCCUCGGUGAACGCCAAAGUCGGCAAUGUCCUAGAUAUGGCAUCGGGUGUUAUCUAGGUGCUCGAUCACGGAGAUGACGUGAGCCCCAACGUAGUCUAGAAACUAGCCUAGGCGAUGGCGCAACUUCUCUUGCUUGGCUCCCAAGGCUUCCAGGACAAACAAGGUAAGAAAAGGGGCAAGGAAGCCAAAAAAGGUCGGAGGGCAAUUGUCUUACCAACAACACGACUGUCGGCUUCGGCAAGCUGUGUGCGAAGUAGCUCGGCCUCGGCGGCCUCUUAUGCCGCGUGGGAGGCAUCGCAACUCCCUGGAGACACCAGCUUAAGAGGGAGAGGCCCGAUGGAUGGAGACGCCAGCUUAAAAACAAUGUCAAGCCUGAGAAGGGAGUCAAGGGAAACCCGAAGGAAGAAACCAACCUUGGCUCGUGGCCCAUGGAGCGUGACACCUCGGCAACCCAAGAUCCGUUAGCCGACCCGGUAGGAGGCAUGCUCAAGGAAGAGACCAAAGGGAGGCAAAGGGUGAGCAGCAAGCGAACAACCGCCCAGGGGUUUAUAAAGGGAUGGAGGAGCACCUGACUCCACCCCGAGAGACGACAAGUCGCCAUGAAAGCAGCCCGAGUCCCAACGAAGAAUAAGCACCACGAUCACUCAAAAGGCGAAAGGAGGAAGUGUCGUCGACCCUUCAUCAACCCCUAAAGGGAGACACCCUCCUCUCAGGGGCUUGGGGGCUAUUGUCGGGGAAAUGAUCCCCAGACCCUGAGGCCCAUUGUUCAGCGAGCGCACUGGGCAAAUACCUCUGGCAACUGGGGCCUAUUAGUUAGUUGGAGGAGAUAGGUAACACCCACCUUAGAGGCACUCUCUUCCGGAUGAACCCCGCAGCACCAAGCCCGAGGCCGGGCAUGGCAGAACCUGACAAGGGGGUUAGGCGUGCCGAAGGGAAACCACUCGAGUGGAUCCUGCGCAUGGUCCCAAACUGACAUGUGAUAAAUGACCGCCCACAUUAGCUACACCUAGCGUCGAGCCGCAGCAGAGGCGUCAGUCCGCCUCCCAGUCAUGACCUACGAACCCCUCAGGCUACAAAGCACUCAUGACCUAUGAACCCCUCAGAUUGUGGCAUAUUUAUGGCCCACGCGCGUCCUGGCCUGCAGCGCACUCAUGACCUAUCAGGACUAGGUUUGAGUGUGUAGACCAUUAGCAGGGCACAACACGACGAGCCGCGCCAAGCCUGAGGCUACAAAGGCUAGGGGUCGGCAUAGCCUGAAUGAUGGCACCUGAGACCCACGCUACCCGUGCCGACCACCAUAAAUAAUAUGAGACAGACAUACAACCCCGAGGCCCAUGAGCAUGCGUGGCUUUACCUCAGGUAUAAUGCUUGGUUUUACCCUUUGCCUGGUGGCUCUAUCUUGGGGAAGCCACCACUAGCUGACCCUCCCUCGACCUAUAAAAGGAAGGGGUUGGUCUUUAGAUGAACAGAUACACACACAAGGAUGGACCCCAGACGAGAAGCCAUCCAAACGGACUGACGAAUAAGAGGACGCUCCGACGAAGACCCAGAGGCUAGAGCCCCGCGGUCAAGCCAAGAGUUAUCUAGGACUCCACUCUAUAACCCUUAGCUCCACUUCCACCUCGAUAAGAGACUUGGGAGCCUCUCCUCCUCUCUCUCGCUUGUAACCCCUACUACGAGUUUUGAUCAUCAAUGGUGCCGGUAGCGUAAGCCACCAAUGACUGGAAGUAGGGACGUUUGCCCAAACCAGUAUAAAUCUUAUACCCACUGCACACACCCUCUAGAACCCAGAUUGUGCAAAACAAAUUUACUUGGAGGAGCGAGAUUCAAAACACCAACAAUAUGUGCAUCACACCUGCAUCUUGACUCGGCAUGGUUUUUUGUUUCUUAGUGGGAACAUAUGAUGUGUUCUUUGUCUUAAAACCAUUUCUUGAACACAAAUACCACUUGUUCACAAUUUGACCAUCAAGAGGCAAAUUUUGGGAACCAACGCAAACUGAAAACCCGCCUUCUCUUACAUAUGCUUUGUAGAACUCUUCCACGUCAUAUAGAAUCAAAUGACAUUCCAACAACAUGCUUCAUUUCGUCCACACAUAUUGGUUUGAAUGAUGAACACUACAACGUAAGGUGAGGGUUGGUCAUUGUCAUAAAUAUAUUGUAUUAUUAUGCAUGGAAAAAUAAUCAACAGAAGUGUUCUCAGCUAAUCGUUAGGGAAAUGUAUGAAGUCUUUGUUGGUGUACUCAAACUGUGAGAAGAUGACCCAACUGAUGCAACAUGUGGUUCAUCCAACCAAGUGUCAAAUGAGAGGUGAUGAGCUGCCAAACUGUUCAACUCCUCCAAAAUUUGCCUACCUCUAAAGUUGUUGUGCCACUGCACAAGGGCGUCAUCACCAUUGAAAUUCACAGCAACUUAACCGCCAUUACAAUCAGCUUCCAUCGCGGAAUUGCCUCCCUACACAUGAACGGACAAAAGGAGAGGUCAACAUGUUUGUUCACGUAACGAUUAUGUUGUCGUAGUAUGGGAGAGGUGAAGAUAGUGCCAUACCAAUUCAUGAUAUUCUUGGAGAGGAGGCAAGGUUGUGUAGCGGCGCUAGGUAGGUAACGACGAGCUAUGCCCGGUCGUCGGCAUUGGUGAUAUGCGCACAGUUGGUGGCUGCCACCUGCAUCCAGCCGGUGGAAACGACUUGCGCUCGACCGGCAAUGGCAGUGACCUACACCAUGAUAGUGACAACGAGGUUGUCUAGUGGCGUGCCCAUGUCGUGAUCGCCUUGUCUUCCCUUCCUGUUUUAUUGAAGGACCUACACCGGAUGCCAGGGAGCUUCCUGAAAAAAAUUCAGCGUCGGAAGAGAGAGGUGGGAGGACUUCUGUUGUCGCCGGAUGUGGGAUGGAUGCCUCAAAUUUAAUGUGUAUACGAGCACAUUACUUGUUUGAGCACCAGAUAUGUUGCCCUGGUGAAAAGGACUUCUUCCUUUUGUACUGGAUAGGUGAAGCCAAAAAAUGGCUUCCCUGGCUUUGGCUUGUGCUCUUUUUGCAAAAAAAACGUCCCAUUAUAUGCAUGGAAAUCAUGAUCCUCGAUCUCACAAACCUCUAUUUCCCGUCGUCACGCAUGAAUCCUCUGUGACCUCCUCGUCAAGGUGCCCUACGAUCGGUGAGAUGACCGCACCUGGUCCUAUCCCUGAUGACUCCCAUCGGAUGUUGUUAUUGUUGCUGCUGCUAUCACUAUACCACAACACUAAAUUAGCGUGGGACUACUGUCGAUAUAAAUAGAGGUAUACCAUUGAACUGUCAGUCACUGCAAAUUAUCAUAGAUGGUGAGUCAGUAUAUAUCUAUAUUCCAACAGAAUAUAUGUCGUUAUAUUUAUAUGUGAAUAGUGUCGCUUCGUUCGUCGGCAAUUUGUAGCAAUAGCAUUGUACCGUCAGUCAGCAUAAAAAUCAUUGAGCAAUUUCUCUAGCGUGCGACACUAACAAUUGUUGGCGGGCAAAAUUAGUCACAAGACCUACACCUUUUCACGAGACUAGAACCCUAAGUCUCUCUUUUCACCAAACUCAUUGCAGCCAGCCGCCUCGCACCAUGAAUAGCCGCCGCCGCCGCCGAGGAACACCCACACCUAGCCGCAGCUGCCAAUCCUGCUAAAUCAGCCGUGUGUGUUUGGGGAGGCGUAUGGAGCGCGCGCCAAUCCGGCCGCUGAACGACCGCGCGGCCGAGGCAGUGCCCUAUGCGCGUGUUGGUGCAAGCGUGCGUGAGUAGGGGCCAGGCAAGGGCGGAGUAGCGCUGGUGUGGGCACAAGGGCGAGAUUUGCAUAAGGACGGCACACGUGCUGAGGUCUGGGUGCGUGCUGUACCGGCAGCCACUAGCUCCAGCAGGGGUGCGUGCAGUUGCGCUCAAGGAAGAAGAUAGCAUCACCACUUCAUUAGCAAGACAUAUUACAGGUAUUAAUCUCUCUUUCUUCUCCCCCUCCACCGCUAUAGAUAUGUAUAUUGGGAAUUUUCGUUUGUGCAAGGUAGAUUAUUGGAGAAUUUUGAAACUUUAGCAUUCCCAACAACUGCAUACAUCACUAUAGUUUUGUCUCCACUGCGAGACACAGACCAUGGACAUGUAGAUCUGCCCUGUGCUUCUUUACAAAAUUUGUUGUGUGCUUUACAAACAAAAUAUGUUGACACAUUCAGUUCAUGGAAAUGUGUGGGGACGCAGACCAUAUAAAGAUGUUGUGUGCUUCUUUAUAAACGAAAUAUAUGUGCUUCUUUACUGAAACCGUGUGUGCAAACUAUGUGCCCCUUUAUAGAUUUCCUUGCUGCUUUGUCAGGAACUGCUAUGUGCUUCUUUACAAAGGAAAUCUCUCCACACUCCACACACACGAACUGUUUACAGUAGCUCUCGAAGGAAGAAGCAACGUCAUUAUUAUAGAUAUUAAUCUCUCUUUCUUCUUCCCCCUCCACCUACUUCGACUUUGUCUUGUUCAUUCCUGGCAUGCUACACUGGAGAUUAUUAACCAUUUUCUACCAUGAGUUAGCCCCAUUUUUUCAAAUAUAUCAUCUGUCAGUUAGACCCUUGUUGUUGUAGUGUCAAUGUUUGUUCACGGUCCAGAGCUGAUUUAAUUUGGGUAUUACCUAUAAAUCUACUAUCCUUGGAGUUCACGGUCCAGACCUCAUUUGGGUACUGCAAACAAAGGCAGAGACAUAUAAGUGGAGAUAACAGUGUGGGGUUUGUGGCAAUGAAAUCUAAUUGCAAUGUAAAAAGUUGUAUGUUUUUGCUCUGCUCUCCAGGUGCUAGCUUCUGCCUUAAUGCAGAGUCAUGACAUAAUUACAGUCUAGAGUCAUGACAUAAUUACAGUAUAAUGUUUUUCUAGCAGUUGUUGUUGGUUUCUUCAAUGUUUUUUGUUUACACCAUGCUGCAACAAAUAUUUCACUAUACCACAACACCAAAUUAGCGUCGGAUGACUGUCGCUAUAAAUAGAGAAUUCUCGGCGUACUGUUAGUGGGUAAUAUGAGUCACAAACUAUCAGUUUCUGAAAAAAAUGACUAAUACUAAUUGGAACCACCAUGAUGUCCGAAAGGGAAAUGUGCCCUUGGGCCAUUUCCAAAGUAUUUUGGUGAUUGAGUGCCAACACAAGUGGUCAUGUGUUAAUCUAUGCCAAAUGAUGGACAAAGUGAAAACCAACAUAAAGGUAUGUUUCUAAGUCUUAGUACUUUGUUUUAAGGACUAAUGUAUUGUGUCUAAGUACUGGAAAUAGGAGAAAUCAAUUUGGAAAAGUGAUGGCUUUGUUCAGCCAAAGACAGUUCAGUCUGGGAGCACCGGACUGUCCGGUGGUGCACCGGACAGUGUCCGGUGCGCCAGGCUGGCUCGGGUGAAAAGGCCGCUCUCGGGUCUCGAUGGCGGCGUACGACUAUAAAUCACUGGACUGUCCGGUGGUGCACCGGACAGUGUCCGGUGAGCCAACGGUCGGCCGCGUAAUCCACGCGUGACGCGUGGCCAGGCCAACGGUCUGAAGGGGGCACCGGACUGUCCGGUGUGCACCGGACAGUGUCUGGUGCGCCAACGGCUCCAAAUCGCCAACGGUCAGCUGCGCCAAAAUAGGAAAGAAAUCCGCACCGGACAGUGUCCGGUGGUGCACCGGACUGUCCGGUGCGCCAGUCGACAGAAGGCAAGAAUUGCCUUCCUGGAAUGUUCUCAACGGCUCCUAGCUGCCUUGGGGCUAUAAAAGGGACCCCUAGGCGCAUGGAGAAGUACACUAAGCAUCCUUUGAGCAUUCCUAAGCACCAAGACCUCAUUUCCGCGCAUUCGAUUCUUUGUGAUAGCAACUAGAGCUCAAUUUGAGUAGAGAACUCUUUGAGUUGUGUUGAGAGUUCAAGUUGUGACUUGUGUGCGUAUUUGUGCUCUGAUUUUGUGUCUUGUGUGUGUUGCUCAUCCCAUCCUUACUUCCGUGCUUCCUUGUGAACAUCAAAUUGUAAGGGCGAGAGGCUCCAAGUUGUGGAGAUUCCUCGCAAGCGGGAUAUAGUGAAACAAAGCAAAACAUCAUGGUAUUCAAGUGGGUCUUUGGACCGCUUGAGAGGGGUUGAGUGCAACCCUCGUCCGUUGGGACGCCACAACAUGGAGUAGGCAAGUGUUGGACUUGGCCGAACCACGGGAUAAACCACUGUGCCUCUCUGUGUUGAUCUCCUUGUGGUUAUUGUGUUUUGCAAGAACUCCUCUCUAGCCACUUGACCUUAUUGUGCUAACUCCUAAUCAAGUUUUGUGGCAUUAAGUUUCAAGUUUUUACAGGAUCACCUAUUCACCCCCCCUCUAGGUGCUCUCAAUUGGUAUCAGAGUCGUUCUCUUCAAGAAAGGGACUAAUCGCCCGAAGGGAUGGAUCCUAAGGGAAAGGGGAUAGUGAUCAAUGACAAGGAGAAGGAGUCCUUCAUCAAUGAGCCAAAAGACGACAAGCCCACUGAUUCGGGCUCAAUUCAUAAGAAGAAGGACGGGAAGAAGAAGAGGCGCAUCAAGAAGAUCGUCUACUACGACGACAGCGACGAGUCCUCUUCUUCCCAAAAGGACAACGACGACAACGACUACGAGAAAAAGAAGACUGUUAACUCGAACUUUUCUUUUGAUUACUCUCGUAUUCCGCAAAAUUCCAAUACUCAUUUGCUUUUCAUUCCCCUCGGCAAACCCCCUCACUUUGAUGGAGAGGACUACGGAUUUUAGAGUCACAAAAUGCGUAGCCACUUGUUCUCUCUCCAUCCAAGUAUAUGGGAGAUAGUAGAAAAUGGAAUGCACUUUGAUAGUACGGAUAGUCCCAUGUUCAUCAAUGAACAAAUUCAUAAAAAUGCACAAGCUACUACUGUGUUGUUAGCCUCAUUGUGUAGGGAUGAGUACCAUAAGGUGAGCGGCUUGGACAACGCCAAGCAGAUUUGGGACACCCUCAAGAUCUCACACGAGGGGAACAACGUCACCAUGCUCACCAAGAUGGAGUUGGUGGAAGGAGAACUAGGAAGGUUCGCAAUGAUCAGGGGGAGGAGCCAACCCAAACAUACAACAGGCUCAAGACCUUCGUCAACAAAAUAAGGAGCUAUGGAAGCACGCGAUGGACGGACCACGACGUCGUCCGCCUAAUGCUAAGGUCUUUCACUGUCCUUGAUCCACAUCUUGUAAACAAUAUUCGUGAAAAUCCUAGGUACACCAAGAUGUCGCCUGAAGAAAUACUUGGAAAGUUCGUAAGCGGGUGGAUGAUGAUCAAGGAGGCAAGAUACGUCGAUGAGGCAUUGAAUGGUCCAAUUCAUGAGCCUCAAGCCAUUGCUCUCAAGGCAACAAAUAGCAAGGAGACGCUAUCUAGCAAGGUGGCACAAGUUGAGGCGGCGGGGCUCAAUGAGGAAGAAAUGGCACUCAUCAUCAAGCGCUUCAAGACGGCGCUAAAGGGUCACAAGGAGCAUCCCAAAAGGAGCAAGACGAAGGGAAAGCGCUCCUGCUUCAAGUGUGGUAAGAUUGGUCACUUUAUUGCUAACUGUCCCGAUAAUGAUAGUGACCAGGAACAAGGAAAGAAUGGGAAAAGAGAGAACAAGAAGGUUUACAAUAAGGCUAAAGGCGAGGCACACCUUGGAAAGGAGUGGGAUUCGGAUUACUCUUCGUCCGACUCCGACGACGAAGGACUCGCCGCCACCGCCUUCAACAAAUCGUCUCUCUUCCCCAACGAGCAUCACACCUGCCUCAUGGCAAAGGAGAAGAAGGUAAGUACUCGAAAUGCUACUACAUAUGCCUCUUCAAGUGAUGACGAAUCUAGCAAUGAUGAAAUAGACUACGCUAGUUUGUUCAAGGGCUUAGAUAGAACUAAAAUCGAUAAGAUCAAUGAAUUGAUUGAUGCCUUGAAUGAUAAGAAUAGAUUGUUAGAAAAGCAAGAGGAUCUUUUGUAUGAAGAACAUGAUAAAUUUGUAGAGGCACAAAAAUCUCUUGCUUUAGAAGUUAAAAGGAAUGAAAUGCUUUCUUGUGAACUAUCUACUUGCCAUGAGACCAUUUCUAGUUUAAAAAGUGUUAAUGAUGAUUUAAAUGCUAAACUAGAAGUAGCAAAUAGAUCUAACUCUUGUGUAGAACAUGUUGUGAUUUGCAAUAGGUGUAAAGAUCUUAAUAUUGAUGCUUGUAGUGAACACCUAGUUUCUAUUGCAAAGUUAAAUGAUGAAGUGGCUAGUCUUAAUGCCCAACUUAAGACUAGCAAAAAUGAAUUUGAUAAACUAAAAUUUGCAAGGGAUGCCUACACCAUUGGUAGACACCCCUCAAUUAAGGGUGGGCUUGGCUUUAAGAGAGAAGCCAAGAACUUAACAAGUCAUAAGGCUCCCAUUCCCGCCAAGGAGAAAGGGAAGGCUCCUAUGACUAAUAGUGCUCAAAAGAACCAUGCUUUCAUGUACCAUGACAGGAGAUAUUCUAGGAAUGUUCAUAGAAGUGAUGAUGCUUUUGAUUCUCAUGCCAUGAUUGCUUCAAGUUCUUCUAUUAUGCAUGAUAGAAAUUUUGCUAGGAAAAAUGUUGUUCAUCAUAUGCCUAGAAGAAAUGUUGUUCAUGUACCUAGGAAAGUAAGUAAUGAACAUUCUACAAUAUACCAUGCUUGCAAUGCUUCCUUUGCUAUUUGUAGAAAUGAUAAGAAGGUGGUCGCUAGAAAAUUAGAGGCAAAAUGCAAGGGAGAUAAAACUUGCAUUUGGGUCCCUAAGGAUAUUGUCACUAACCUUGUAGGACCCAACAAGAGUUGGGUACCUAAGACCCAAGCCUAAUUUGCCUUGCAGGUUUAUGCAUCCGGGGGAUCAAGCUGGAUUAUCGACAGCGGAUGCACAAACCACAUGACGGGGGAGAAGAAGAUGUUCACCUCCUACGUCAAGAACAAAGAUUCCCAAGACUCAAUCAUAUUCGGUGACGGGAAUCAAGGCAAGGUUAAAGGACUAGGAAAAAUAGCAAUUUCUUCCGAGCAUUCUAUCUCUAAUGUGUUUUUAGUUGAAUCGCUGGGAUAUAAUUUGUUGUCCGUUAGUCAAUUAUGCAAUAUGGGAUAUAAUUGCUUAUUCACAAAUGUAGAUGUGUCUGUCUUUAGAAGGAGUGAUGGUUCAUUAGCUUUUAAGUGUGUAUUAGACGGCAAACUCUACUUAGUUGAUUUUGCAAAAGAGGAGGCUGGUCUAGAUGCAUGCUUAAUUGCUAAGACUAGCAUGGGCUGGCUGUGGCAUCGUCGUUUAGCACAUGUGGGGAUGAAGAACCUUCACAAACUUCUAAAGGGAGAACAUGUAAUAGGUCUAACAAAUGUAACCUUCGAAAAAGAUAGACAUUGUGCAGCUUGUCAAGCAGGUAAACAGGUGGGAAGCUCACAUCAUACCAAAAAUGUGAUGACCACAUCAAGACCUUUGGAGUUGCUUCAUAUGGACCUCUUCGGACCCGUCGCCUAUCUAAGCAUAGGAGGAAGUAAGUAUGGUCUUGUUAUUGUUGAUGACUUUUCCCGCUUCACUUGGGUAUUCUUUUUGCAGGAUAAAACAGAAACCCAAGGGACACUCAAGCGCUUCCUAAGGAGAGCUCAAAAUGAGUUUGAGCUCAAGGUGAAGAAAAUAAGGAGCGACAAUGGGUCCGAGUUCAAAAACCUUCAAGUGGAGGAGUACCUUGAGGAGGAAGGAAUCAAGCACGAGUUCUCCGCUCCCAACACACCACAGCAAAAUGGUGUGGUAGAGAGGAAGAAUAGGACACUCAUAGACAUGGCGAGGACAAUGCUUGGAGAAUUCAAGACGCCCGAGCGGUUUUGGUCGGAAGCUGUGAACACAGCUUGCCACACCAUAAAUCGGGUCUACCUUCAUCGCCUCCUCAAGAAGACGUCAUACGAGCUACUAACCGGUAACAAACCCAAUGUUUCGUAUUUCCGAGUUUUUGGGAGUAAAUGCUACAUUCUAGUAAAGAAGGGUAGGAAUUCCAAAUUUGCUCCCAAAGCCGGAGAAGGGUUUUUGUUAGGUUAUGACUCAAAUACAAAGGCGUAUAGGGUCUUCAACAAAUCAUCGGGUUUGGUUGAAGUCUCUAGUGACGUUGUAUUUGAUGAGACUAAUGGCUCUCCAAGAGAGCAAGUUGUUGAUCUUGAUGAUGUAGAUGAAGAAGAUGUUCCAACGGCCGCAAUACGUACCAUGGCGAUUGGUGAUGUGCGACCACAGGAACAAAAGGAACAAGAUCAACCUUCUUCCUCAACAAUGGUGCAUCCCCCAACUCAAGACAAUAAAAAGGUUCAUCAAGAAGAGGCGUGUGAUCAAGGGGGAGCACAAGAUGAUCAUGUUAUGGAGAAGAAGCACAACCGGCACCUCCAACUCAAGUUCGAGCAACGAUUCAAAGGAAUCAUCCCGUCGACCAAAUUUUGGGUGACAUUAGCAAGGGAGUAACUACUCGCUCUAGAUUAGUUAAUUUUUGUGAGCAUUACUCUUUUGUCUCUUCUAUUGAGCCUUUCAGGGUAGAAGAGGCCUUGCUAGAUCCGGACUGGGUGAUGGCCAUGCAGGAAGAGCUCAACAACUUCAAGCGAAAUGAAGUUUGGACACUGGUGCCUCGUCCCAAGCAAAACGUUGUGGGAACCAAGUGGGUGUUCCGCAACAAACAAGAUGAGCAUGGGGUGGUGACAAGGAACAAGGCACGACUUGUGGCAAAAGGUUAUGCCCAAGUCGCAGGUUUGGACUUUGAGGAGACUUUUGCUCCUGUGGCUAGGAUAGAGUCGAUUCGUAUUUUGUUAGCCUAUGCCGCUCACCAUUCUUUUAGGUUUUACCAAAUGGAUGUUAAGAGCGCUUUCCUCAACGGGCCAAUCAAGGAGGAGGUGUACGUGGAGCAACCCCCUGGCUUUGAGGAUGAACGGUACCCCGACCACGUGUGUAAGCUCUCUAAGGCGCUUUAUGGACUUGAGCAAGCCCCAAGAGCAUGGUAUGAAUGCCUUAGAGACUUUUUAAUUGCUAAUGCUUUCAAGGUUGGGAAAGCCGAUCCAACUUUAUUCACUAAGACUUGUGAUGGUGACUUAUUUGUGUGCCAAAUUUAUGUCGAUGACAUAAUAUUUGGUUCUACUAACCAAAAGUCUUGUGAAGAGUUUAGCAGGGUGAUGACGCAGAAAUUCGAGAUGUCAAUGAUGGGCGAGUUAAACUACUUCCUUGGGUUCCAAGUGAAGCAACUCAAGGAAGGCACCCUCAUCUCCCAAACAAAGUACACGCAAGACUUGCUAAGGCGGUUUGGGAUGAAGGACGCCAAGCCCGCAAAGACUCCAAUGGGAACUGACGGACAUGUCGACCUCAACAAAGGAGGUAAGUCCGUUGAUCAAAAAGCAUACCGGUCUAUGAUAGGGUCUUUACUUUAUUUAUGUGCUAGUAGACCGGAUAUUAUGCUUAGCGUAUGCAUGUGUGCUAAAUUUCAAUCCGAUCCAAGGGAGUGUCACUUAGUGGCCGUGAAGCGAAUUCUUAGAUAUUUAGUCGCUACGCCUUGCUUCGGGAUCUGGUAUCCAAGGGGGUCUACCUUUGACUUGAUUGGAUAUUCAGACUCCGACUAUGCUGGAUGUAAGGUCGAUAGGAAGAGUACAUCGGGGACGUGCCAAUUCUUAGGAAGGUCCUUGGUGUCGUGGAGCUCUUAGAAACAAACUUAUGUUGCCCUAUCCACCGCUGAGGCCGAGUAUGUUGUCGCAGGACAGUGUUGCGUGCAACUACUUUGGAUGAGGCAAACCCUCCGGGACUUUGGCUACAAUCUGAGCAAAGUCCCACUCCUAUGUGAUAAUGAGAGUGCUAUCUGCAUGGCAGACAAUCCUGUUGAACACAGUCGCACUAAGCACAUAGACAUCCAGCAUCACUUUUUGAGAGACCACCAGCAAAAGGGAGAUAUCAAAGUGUUUCAUGUUAGCACCGAGAACCAGUUAGCCGAUAUCUUUACCAAGCCUCUAGAUGAGAAGACCUUUUGCAGGCUGCGUAGUGAGCUAAAUGUCUUAGAUUCGCGGAACUUGGAUUGAUUUAUAGCAUACAUGUGUUUUAUGCCUUGAUCAUGUUCCUUAUGAAUUUUGUUGUUUAUUUAUUGUGCUCAAGGUGUACAAACACUCCCCGGACCUCACAAGUCCAUUUGCAAGUGAUGCACAUAUUUAGGGGGGAGAUGUGCUACAACUUGACCCUUUGAGACUAACUGUGUGCUUGAGUUUGCUUGAUUUAGUCUCAAAGGUGGAUUGAAAGGGAAAGGUGGACUUGGACCAUGAAAGACUUCCACUGCACUCCGAUGAGAGGGUAACUUACUCCAAGUUCAUCUUCAUACUCUUAUUGCCUUUUUACUCUUAGUUGAAGUUUUUGGUGAGGCAAUGGGGUUAAAAGGGCCAAAAAUGAUCUUGUUUUGGUGUUUGAUGCCAAAGGGGGAGAAAUUAAGGCCAAAGCAAUAAAUGGAUCAUCUACCACUUGAGAAUUUUGAAAAUAGUAGAAUAGAGCUUUUGGUUUGACAAAACUCUCUUAUUGUCUCUCUUGUCAAAAGCUGGCCUCUUGUGGGGAGAAUGGUUGAUUAUGGGAAAAGGGGGAGUUUUUGAAAUCUUUGAUCAAUUUCUCUUGGAACAACUCUCUUUAUGUCUCAACAAGUGUGUUUGACUUAGAGAUAGGAAAUUGAGGUUGAUUUGCAAAAACAAAACCAAGUGGUGGCAAAGAAUGAUCCAAAUAUGCCAAAUUUGAUUCAAAACAAAUCUGCGGCAGAACCACCCGAAUUAUUCCAGCUUAAGUGCCUAAGUCACGCCUCAGGGGUCGUAACACACUUAAAUCGGAAUAACCCGUCAGUUCUUUAGAUCUAGUCUGAUAGAGCCACUUAACCAGGAUCAAAUUCCACAAUCUCACUCGAAGGUGAGUCACAGAAGAAAUACAAUAAAACAGGAGACCUCCAAUUAAGUACGGAGUUAUUACAUAAAUCGGAGUUUUUGAGUAGCAAAUUAGAGUUCACAAAAUAAAAUGCAGCGGAUAAUCGAUGUCGUCGGUAUCAAGGAAAUGGGCAAGGCCUAGCCCACUACUCCUCGUGCUCCUCUCCUGCCGGAGCAACAUCCCACUCGACCGUCCAACCCGGUGGCAGGGUGGUAGGCCAAGUCACACCAUCAACCAUUUCCUGAAUGGUACCUGCAAAAAUUGUGCCACAAGCAAGUCUGAGUAUACUAAUACUCAGCUAGACUUAACCGGUGUGAGGAGUCUACUCCUCUACCUCUAGACUAUGCAGUUGUUUGGCUGAGGGGUUUGGUUUGCCAAAAGCACUAGCUGUUUCUAAAAGCAAUUUUUAGCUUUUCAAAUUCUAUCAUCAUUAACUUAGCUAGAUUGCUCCUUCUAAGCAUACAUGGUAACAAUCAAUUAGUUCAAUCAAGAAGUUAUCUCAUGUAACCACAUUUCACUUCUUACUCAAUGCAGUACAAGGAAUCAAGCAGUCUCAUUAGCUGCGAGAAGCAGACGAUUCGAAUCGAGUUUUAACCUUGCAAGGUAAACCUAAACACACGGCAUGUCAGGGUACUCCGACCCCACACAUGACAACCGUCCCCAUCGAUUCCCCGUUCGCGUCCAGGCCUCACCGCCUUGGCAUACAAUGCUCCACUGACCCUGGCUGCCGCCGUGCAGUGACCGCACUUGUACCCACCAUAGCUAGCAUGGGAGACCCAGUCUCAGGUCGCAUGAGGGAUAAAGUCCGCGCCCGGCUUCACUCAGGUACUAGGUUUACCGGUUACCAUUUUUCCCGGCAUGUGCUUAGUACGUUCAAAAGCUUGACUCAGGUAUCCACACAUUAAUCCUUAAUUCAUUUUUGUCCGUCUCAUGGACAAGGCAUCCUCCCUGGAUCCAAAUCCAUAGACUAAACAUAUAUCCCAUUAUCAAGAUGAAUACAAUCAAUUCCUGACCUCGCGCGAGUGCUAGAAAAAUCACUCGACUUCUACCGAGAUCCUGAUUUAGCAUACCACCUACUCGACCUAGCAUACUAGUAUUCAUCUCAAAAGGAAUCCUAAGUUCAUGCAACUAGAGGUUUCAAGCAACUCCUACACUUAAGUGCACAUUGCAAUCCUACAAGCAUUAAAUGUAGUAAAAUAGCAUAAUUAACAGGUUAUGCAUAAAACCGGGGCUUGCCUUCAAUUGCUGGGGCUGUGGGGAGAUCCUCAAUAGCAGCCUCUAAAGCCUGCUCCUGGUCCUCCUCUUGGACAGAUCCUUGCUCGGGGAUGAGCACGUACUCUCCGUCGACAAGAUUACAAUCUAAUGAAUGCAAUGUGUAAGAUAUAUGCAUGCUUUAAAGGUGUAUGAUCUUUCUCGAGUUAAACAAGGUUAACUUUGCUUAUAUAAGUCCCUUGGGUGGGGUAUACUUGGUAAAUUGGUUUAAACUUAGCUAAGGUAAGUAGUAGAUUAAAUUUUGGGGUUCCACUGAAUUCCUUUUAAGUCUUAGGGAGAAUUGAUAAGUUCUCAAGUUGGACUUAUUGGGGUGAGGUUUAUUUCUUCUUCCCUUUUCUUUUAUUCUCUUAAAGGUUUUGGAGUAGGUUUGAACUACAAGUUGCUUUUAUAAAAUUCUAAAAAUUCUGCAAAAAUUACAGUGGCUUGCUACUGGUGUAUGUUUCUCUGUCUCAAAAUUUGGGGAUCAUAAAGUGAGUAGUUUUCUCUGGACAAAAAUACCAAAUUUUAGGGCAGAAGGGGUACUUUGAACUACAACUAUUAUUUAACAGUGGGUAAUUCUCUAAACCUUAUUUUUGCUGGCUUUUAGGUGUUAUAACAUGACUAGAUACAAAUUUCUAGUCAUUAAUACCUUUUAAUUAAUUUUCUAUGGUUUUCUCAAGUUCUUAGCUAAAUGGGUGCUUUCUACUACCACUAUCUUUGAAAAACAUCAAACAACAGAGUUCUUAUUUUUCUUGGUUAUUAUUUUGUGCAAGAGCAAUCAUUCUGAAGUUUGGCAUCUUUUUGCUUAAGGGAAGGGGUGGUAUGCAUUAUUUGAAUUAAGUGGCCUUUCUUUUAAAUUAUUAGCAAUAGGUAUGAGUUUGCUUCUUUUUCAUGGGUUUGCAUUUUUCUCUGGUAGUUCAUCACAUUAUGGUCUUAGCAAAAUUUUGGUUGCCCAUUAUUGCAUCAUUAGGGGUUAUUCAAGAAUUAUUUGGAAAAAGCCUUAUUAACACUUUAUAUUUAUUUUCCUUACUUAAAAAGUUGGGCUGAGGUGCUCUUUAUUUUUGUAGUGGGGCUCUGGUGGUUGUAAGUCCACUGGAUUUUUAUUAAGCAUCUUGGUUAUAGUUUUGCCUUUCUAAUAAUUGAUUUUCAGUCUAUAUAAGGCUAAAUAAAUCAUUUUAAUUCAAAACUGGUCCAAAUUAAUAGGCUCUGUAUUUUUCCUAGGUUCUCUGUUACAUAAGUAAACUAGGAAAAAUAAUCUUAAUCACUGUUCAUUAAUUUCUAAUGCCUUUCUGAUUUUCUCUAAGUUUUGGACAAAAUAGCUUUAAAUGAAUAACUACAUCAUAAAUUCUAAUGCUGGGGUUCCUACUAUUUUUAAACAGUGUCUAAAUGAGGUUUAAACACCUACAAAUUUUCUUAAGUUCAGCACAGAAGAAAAACAAAUUUUCCUUAGUUAAACAAGGUUUAGUGGGUUUCUGUUUUUAAUUUUAAACUCUAAAAUUUAGAACAGAAAGCAUAGGGUUUAUCAUUUUUAAAUGAUAGUUCAUAAUAUUCAGGAGCUAGCAAAAUUGGUUUGACAACUUUUUAUUAAGAUUUCAUCAAGUUAUGGAUUUUCUAAGUUCUCUGGUCAUUUAAAAAAAGAAUAUCAGAAUUGGUUUAAUGGAAAUCCACUUUGCACUGGGGUCCCUGGCGGGUUUUUAAGUUUUCUUCGCGGAUCAGUCCUUAAGCUACUAUUCACAUGAGUCACUGACGUUACAGAAAACCCCUCGGGUUCUACAAAUCCUAACCCGAGGUCCUUCUUCUACCUCAAACAGUAACCGCGGCGGAAGAAAGGGCGGAGGGGCUUACCGGCGGCGAGAUUGCUCCGGUGAAGUGGUCGAGGACGAAGGGGAGGUCGCGGGGAUCACAACGGUGUGCGGGACACCGUCGGAGAUGGCCGGAGUCGGUCGGUCCACGCGCGCAGGCGGGGAUGCUCGUCGGCGGCGAGGGGACCGGCCUGGUCACGGCGAGAUAGUUCAAUCAAAUAGGUCAGGAAGGUCCACGGGAUGCCAGAGAAGACAUGAGCGCAAGGAAUUGGGCGGGGACUCACUGGAUAGCUCGGUCCACGCGCGGCGGCGGAAGACCGAAGUCCGGUGAGGUCGAUCUCGGGCCUCCGGUGAAGACUGGCCGGGUCCGAGGGCUUGGCAAGCUUCACGGGCUACUGGCGGAGCUAGCCGAAGCACUGGCUUGACUUGAGGGUGGCUGGAGUGGGCUGGCCACGGUGGCCGAAGCUCUGGCGGCAAUGGCGGGCGGAAUUGAGCUCGCCGGAGCUAAGGAAAGGUGGCUGGCCGGUGAGGGUGAGUGCGGGGCGAAGUGAGGUGCGCCCGGGGAGGCUUUAUAGGCGCGGGCGGGCACGGCCGAGGGCGUGGGCGCGCGGCGGACUUGACCGGACGCCGGGGUGAGCGCGCGCGCGGGUUGGGCGAGCUCUGGCGUGCCGACCAGGGUCGAACACGUGUGCCCGUGCGUUCUGCCCAAGUUCUGGCGCGUGUGGUCGCUCAUCCGAGCCUGCUCUCGCCUUGGUCCGUGCACAAAACCUCUUCUCCUCCCUACAAGCUACCAUUCUUGUGUGGAGGUCAUAGGAUUUUGCCUACUGGUUGCAGAGAUAUGGAGCCAGGAAAUCUGGUCUGUCUCCCUGCCCAAACCCGAGGCAAAUCCAAGGUUUUGUCGUGUCUAGGGCUCGCGUCCCAAUGCCAUCUUCUGGCACACGACAGAGGGGUUAGUUAGACACAAUUUUGUCAAUGGGGCCAUUAGGAUUCGAGUUAGGGAUCAAGGUGAACAUCCCUGAUCUUUGGCUCAAGGUCUGAAUUUCAGAAUUCUGAAAUUCAGAAAUCCCAUUAAGUCCCCACAUGAGAAGCUUGAUUUGGGGUUUUAUUUGAGUUAUUUUGGCCAAGCUUUCUCAACCUUUCUUGUUGCUCAUUAAAUAUACUUUAAUUUUUAUAAUUGGCUCAAGUCAAAAUUUUAAACUUUUCAUCCCCUUUUUUCUUAUUUUCUUGAAUUUUGCUCAUGGGGCUCACUUAGGGUUUUUAAUUAGGGUUGCACAUUCUUAUCUUUUAAGGGACUCAAUUGUUUUGAUCAUGAUACUUUUAAGUAUAUACUUGGUGACUUCUUUAUUACUUAAGUUAUUUUGAUGCUCAUGCUUACUUUGGUUCACAUAAAAUAAUGAUUCUUGGUUUGGCAUUUGAGAGAAACCCUAGGUGACACUGGGGUGUCAUAAAAUCUGUGUACUUAUCUGCAUUGAUAUUGCACAUCUUUGUAUUGCUUUUGUUGUGUUGGCAUAAAUCACCAAAAAGGGGGAGAUUUAAAGGGAAAUGUGCCCUUGGGCCAUUUCCAAAGUAUUUUGGUGAUUGAGUGCCAACACAAGUGGUCAUGUGUUAAACUAUGCCAAAUGAUGGACAAAGUGAAAACCAACAUAAAGGUAUGUUUCUAAGUCUUAGUACUUUGUUUUAAGGACUAAUGUAUUGUGUCUAAGUACUGGAAACAUGAGAAAUCAAUUUGGAAAAGUGAUGGCUUUGUUCAGCCAAAGACAGUUCAGUCUGGGAGCACCGGACUGUCCGGUGGUGCACCGGACAGUGUCCGGUGGUGCACCGGACAGUGUCUGGUGCGCCAGGCUGGCUCUGGUGAAAAGGCCGCUCUCGGGUCUCGACGGCGGCGUACGACUAUAAAUCACCGGACUGUCCGGUGGUGCACCGGACAGUGUCCGGUGAGCCAACGGUCGGCCGCGUAAUCCACGCGUGACGCGUGGCCGGGCCAACGGUCUGAAGGGGGCACCGGACUGUCCGGUGUGCACCGGACAGUGUCCGGUGCGCCAACGACUCCAAAUCUCCAACGGUCGGCUGCGCCAAAAUAGGAAAGAAAUCCGCACCGGACAGUGUCCGGUGGUGCACCGGACUGUCCGGUGUGCCAGUCGACAGAAGGCAAGAAUUGCCUUCCUGGAAUGUUCUCAACGGCUUCUAGCUGCCUUGGGGCUAUAAAAGGGACCCCUAGGCGCAUGGAGAAGUACACCAAGCAUCCUUUGCGCAUUCCUAAGCACCAAGACCUCAUUUCCGCGCAUUCGAUUCUUUGUGAUAGCAACUAGAGCUCAAUUUGAGUAGAGAACUCUUUGAGUUGUGUUGAGAGUUCAAGUUGUGACUUGUGUGCGUAUUUGUGCUCUGAUUUUCUGUCUUGUGUGUGUUGCUCAUCCCAUCCUUACUUCUGUGCUUCCUUGUGAACAUCAAAUUGUAAGGGCGAGAGGCUCUAAGUUGUGGAGAUUCCUCGCAAGCGGGAUAUAGUGAAACAAAGCAAAACACUGUGGUAUUCAAGUGGGUCUUUGGACCGCUUGAGAGGGGUUGAGUGCAACCCUCGUCCGUUGGGACGCCACAAUGUGGAGUAGGCAAGUGUUGGACUUGGCCGAACCACGGGAUAAACCACUGUGCCUCUCUGUGUUGAUCUCCUUGUGGUUAUUGUGUUUUGCAAGAACUCCUCUCUAGCCACUUGACCUUAUUGUGCUAACUUCUAAUCAAGUUUUGUGGCAUUAAGUUUCAAGUUUUUACAGGAUCACCUAUUCACCCCCCCCCUCUAGGUGCUCUCAAUGUCUUUAUAGCUUACUAUCUCAUUUAUGUGCGCUUAUCUAAUUUAAUCCAUUCAUACACUACAGCAUCUGAAUCUACAUUUGAUCUGGUGCUAGCACAAUUUCUUAAAGGUGAAAGAACCCGCAUAGACUCUCGUGUGACAGUAUGAUUGUCUUUCUAUUCAUCUUUUUUCAUAACAUGUGGAUUUGAAUAUCAUAUGCAUGGACAUAAAUAUAGAUAUAUAAAAUUAUAUGACUAUUGUAUUUCUUAUGAUAAUUUUUCAUUUUGGAAGCUAUCUGGUCCCCUAUACAAAGGUUGAUGGAUAAAACAUGGAUCGAUAAUGAUGCUAGGUACAAAGCAUGUUUCACAAAUUGAAUGACACACAUUGUUAAAAUGUCAUUUAACAUAAAAAUAUUGUAGGCACAGCAAGGCAUAUUUGCAAGGAGUGAAUGGUUUCUUAGCUUUUGCAUUUAGAAAUCAGCAGUAGGAAGUAAGAUCUUAUGCCUUGUAGAAAGUGUGUCAACUCAUUUUGGAAAGAGGCAAGUGAAGUACGUGAGCACUUGAUAUGUGAUGGGUUUCUUAAAUGGUACAUGAUAUGGAACUUACAUGGAGAAGCUAGCUCUUCCGUGAAUCAUGGGAACUAUGACGAUGCUGAGGUUAUAGUGGAGCCUAACGAGAAUGAUGACAUAUCUGGUUUGCUUAGAGAUUUAGUUGUUGGUUUAGAUGAUAAAGGUGAUUUUGAGGACAAUAGUUCCAUUAUUGGGUGUUGUGAUGAGCUACGGCCAUUGAAAAAUUGGUAGCAGAAAACAAAAAAGAGUUGUAUCCUAAUUGCAAAAAAUAUACACAGUUGUGUUUCCUAGGUUGUGGUGUAGUGUAUGAGUAGUGGCUCAAGUGAACAACGAGAGGCAACCAAGAACAACAUGUGCUCCAACAGCUGCACCAUGGCAGUCAUCCAUCUCAUAGGUGGCCGAUGGAACACUUGUGCUCUUGCCUACCACUGCCAGAAGCAUCGCAUCUUUCCGUUCCCCUGUCACACUCACACAAGAGGGAUGGACUACAACUAGCUUGCAGGUACACCUCCAUUCGUAAUAAGAAUUCUCCCUACUUGCAAUAUGCCCAUCCUAUUAGACAAUGAAAAUUCUCCCUACUUGCAAUAUGCUCAUCCUGAAAGAAGAAUUGUAAAGAAGAAGUGUAAUUCUAAGAAACAAUAAGAUGUAAUAAGGGAGAUUUCUGAAUUAUGAAUUUCAUAUAAUUCUUUUUAUAUAUUGACAUUAUGCUUUUUAGAUCUUGAUAUAUAUUGUGCAACUAAAAAUGGUAAACUAUAAAAAUCCGAGUAUUUUUACAUGCAUACAUUGCCUUUUAUAAGACUUCGUUCAACAAUAAUUUUGUUUUGCAAAAAACAUUAAAGUGGGGACUCUCUAGUACCGUUUGUUAUAACGAAUCGAUGCUAAAUGGUCUUUAGUACCGGUUAUCCAUAAGAACCAAUACUAUAUAUCCUUUUUAGUUCCCAUUAAGAGAACUUUAGUACCAGUUCUUAUAAAAGAAUAUCAUACUCUAGAAUCCAAAUUGUCAUUCUAUGCAUGACAGUAUGACAUUGUGUCACUAUCUCUAAUUAAGAGUAAAGAUGCUUAACAUGUGAUGGAAGGGGAGAUAGACCGUGAGAUGCAAUGGUUAAUUACAUUUUGAGCAACAUUUACAAUAUAAAACACAUAAUGUAAUAUAUAUGUGUAUAUAUAUGUAUAUAUUAUGAUACUAUAUGAUAUAAGAUAUAGGGAACAAAGGACAUGACAUAGAGAUAGAAAACAAGGGAUAGAGAAAAGAUUUUGAGCAUUAAAGAUUGAGAUAGAAAAUAAGGGAUAGAUAAAAAGAUAUAGAACGUUAAAGAUAGCUAGGGGAUAGAGAAAGUAUAUACAUGCAUAAUCUAAUAUAAUAUAAUAUAAUAUAAUAUAAUAUAAUAUAAGAGAUAGAGAUGUAAUGAAAUAAAUCCUCGUAGACUACAGGGUCACAUUUACCUAUAAAUUUAUGUCUCCUCCAUUCACCACGUCCACACACUCUUUGGUUGAACUCUUCGCACCUUACCUUCUAUUCUCAAGGAAACCUUUAUCCAUGGCCCGAGGUAUCAUACUGCUCCUGCUUGUGACCCCCCUCGCCAUCUCCAUGGCACUGCCAUCACUAUCAACGAGAAUCGAAGGGAGUGUCAUAGGGGAGAGAUCCAACUUGUUCUCACAGCUGCACUCCGAUAAUUCUAGCCCUACAGAAAACAAACUCCAACCAGGUCCUCUUUUCAUAUUGGUUAUUUAUUAGGGAUCAAUGAGCUUUGAAUCAAGUAAAACAACAAUUACUUCUACACUACUAGUUAUCAUUAUCUGGUUGCUCGUGCAGGUGAAAAGUCCUUUGCAUCGGAGGCAUAUGCGGUGAACUGGAACGAACCACCAGACCAACAAUCGCAAGACUCCCUCGAGCAGCUAGAGCCGUAUCGAGUGAUAUGGAAGCAACCAGUGCAAGGUGAUUCAUUUUUUUGCUUGCUUGCUUUCCGUGAUGAAUCCAAAUUUCUUAGGAUUAACUAAACUAUAUACCAUUUCAUGGUAAUUAUAUACUUGUGAUAUUCGCCCCAAUAGAGGGUCUUUUGCCUUUAAGGGCAUGACCCGUGUUGUUGGGGGUUGUCGUUCGCGAUCGCGUUUUCGAUCUCUUUUCACAAUGCCAACCCUGAGUCUCUUCUAAUUUUAGAGGACCGGUUAGAGGGUUGUUUCAUCUUUUUAUAUCAUCAUUACCUACACGUCCGUUCGGUAGAGAUGGAGGGACGUCAGCCAUGUGCUACUUUUCUUGAUGGGCGAAGUAGGAUGCCCUGUAAGCUGAUAAUGGGUUAAUUUGAGUGAUGGCUCGGUUCCCCGUCGAAGGGAUCUGAUGGAUCAACUAGUGAUGAGUCUCAAAAAAAAUUUGUCUUCCGUUCCCAUAUAGUUUCUUUGAGGAAAUAACCAUGGGUCGGAAGCCCAGACUCGAACAUGGGUCGAGGUUCCCUUAGCGCUUGGGUGCCUAAGUAUUGAUCGUUGGGGUCCAUCCUUUCUGCCCCCACUCUGGUUGCGCCCAAGUGUGGCCGUCGAACCCUUGAUGGGUCUGACUUCGAACUAUUUGGCUUUUAAUGGGCCAUAGAGACGUCUUUUAGCCUUAUAUCCCUUUAUACCUGGACGAUUUAUGGUUCGUGAAGGCGACUUGUCCUUUGAGGAUCGACUGAUUGUCGCGUGGGUGCACGACUCAAGGAACCUAUAAUGUUAGGGCAAAGCGAGUGUGGGGUACCCAAGCGAUGACUCUACCCAAAGAACUUUAGUAGCCCUUCUAGAAAAUAUCAUAGUCUAGAAUCUGAAUUGUCAUUCUAUACAUGACACUGUGUCACUAUCUCUAAUUGAGAGUAAGAAGCAUAUCGUGUGAUGGAAGGGGGAGAUAGAUCGUGAGAAGUAAUGCUUAAUUACAUUUUUAGAAACAUUUAUAGAGAGAGAGGAGAGCUAUUCAUCACCCUAUGUGAAGCUUCACCCACCCAGUAAUUACUAAAGAACACUCAGUAAUUUUUCGAUAAUUACUAAAUAUCGCUCAGUCAUUAUCGAUAAUUACUAAAGGAUCUUUAGUAUUUACCGGUUAGGUGAAGCUUCACAUAGGAUGAAGAAUAUAUGAUAGUAUAAGAGAGGGAUCCAGAGAGGACAUGAAAUAGAGAGAGAAAAUAAGGGGUACAAAAAUAUGUUGAGCAUUAAAAAGAGCAAGAGGAAGAGAAAAUAUACAAGCAUAAUCUAAUAUAAUACUACCUUCGUUUUUAUUUGACACUAGCCAGUUCAAUAUUACACUAACAAACAUCAAAUAAAAAACCAGAGGGAGUAUAACUUAAGAGACAGAGAAGUGUGAAAUAGGUCCUCGAUCGUAGAUUAUUGGGCACUUGCUUUCCCUAUUGUCUCCUCUGUCCUCCUCGUCCACACACUUCGCUCCUUGCUUCGCCUCAAGAAACCAUUUAUCCAUGGCCCGAGGUAUCAUGCUCUUGCUUGUCAUCCCCCUCGUUGUCUCCAUGGCACUGCCAUCCCUAUCGACGCGAGAACCGAAGGGAGUGUUAUGGGAGAGAUCCAACUCAUUCUCAUAGGACUCCGAUAAUUCUAGCAAUCUAGCUCUGAUGAAAGCAAACUCCAACCAUGUUCUCUUUUCAUAUUGAUUACUUCCUCCAUUUUAAAAUAGUAGUCGUUUUAUCUCUUGGUUUUUAUGUCUAUAUUCAAAAGGAUGAUGAUGAAUCUAGACAGAUAUACAAAACACAUACAUCAAGUUUAUAUGAAUCCACUAAUUCUCUAAAACGAAUUUUAUUUUGGGACGGGGGAGUAUUUAUUAGGGAUAAAUGAGCUUUGAAUCGGGUAAAACUGUAAUUUCUUCUCUGUACAAUACUAAUUAUCAUUAUGUGACUGCUCGUGAAGGUGAAAAGUCCUUCGUAUCCGAGGCAUAUCCGGCGAAAUGGAACAAACCACCAUCACCAAGCAAGCAAUCGCAAGACUCCUUCGAGCCAGAGGCAUAUCGGGUGAAAUGGAACAAAUCACCACCACCACACCAACAAUCGCAAGACUCCUUCGAGUCGGAGGCAUAUCGAGUGAAAUGGAACAAAUCACCACCACCACACCAGCAAUCGCAAGACUCCUUUGAGCCGGAGGCAUAUCGGGUGAAAUGGAACAAAUCACCACCACCACACCAACAAUCGCAAGACUCCUUGGAGCAGGAGGCAUAUCGGGUGAAAUGGAACAAAUCACCACCACCACAACAACAAACGCAAGACUCUUUCGAGCAGGAGGCAUAUCGGGUGAAAUGGAACAAAUCACCACCACCACACCAGCAAUCGCAAGACUCCUUCGAGCCGGAGGCAUAUCGGGUGAAAUGGAACAAAUCACCACCACCACACCAGCAAUCGCAAGACUCCUUUGAGCCGAAGGCAUAUUGGGUGGGAUGGAAGAAACAUGCGCAAGGUGAUUUGAUUUCUUGUUUUUUGUUUGCUCGUUGUGAUGAAUCCAAAUUUAUUUCUUGGGAUUAACUGAACUAUACCAUUUCAUGAUAACUCACGGAGGAGGCACCAUAUGUACAUCUUGCAGGAGCAACGGACGUUGCUGAUGAGACAACGCCAGCACGUGGUCAUGGUCUGCAUGUCGCGACCGGGAUGCUCUUCACGAGGAAGAGCUUGCUUCCAGGGACAGCCCUACCGGAAGGUACCAAGUUCUGCGGCCACG